rnacentral:lncRNA from 1 species
UGUGUGCAUUAUACCCGUGUCAGCCCAUGGGACAAAUCCUGCUACUGCUGCCAUGUGUGGAAUGAAGAUUGUUUCUGUUGGAACUGAUGCCAAGGGUAACAUCAACAUUGAAGAGUUAAGGAAGGCCGCAGAAGCUAAUAGGGACAACCUAUCAACCCUUAUGGUAAAGAGGCUUUGCAACAUGUACUGAUAAUUCAUUUUGUAUUAGUAGAAAACUUAAAUAUGACUAGGACAUUUGGGAAUGCUUGUUUGUGCAAUUUCUCUUGAUAUAUGAAUUAAAUUUAACUUUCAGGUAACGUACCCUUCAACUCAUGGAGUUUAUGAAGAAGGUAUUGAUGAGAUAUGCAAGAUAAUUCACGAUAAUGGAGGUCAAGUAUAUAUGGACGGGGCUAACAUGAAUGCUCAGGUCUGUUACUUCUUUAAAUAUGUUCCUAUGAACUAUCAUUUUACAUUUUGAUGACUCAAGCAUCUCAUAUUGUAGAAUGAUGUAAAAUAGUAGGUUGAUUCAUUUAGAUUUAUAUGCAUCUUUCAAUGGGUAGCAGUAACGGAUUUUGAGGUCAAUGGAGUCAGAAUGUAAACCUGUAGAUACAAGUAAUAUGAGCUUGAAAAAGGAUUACUUGCCAGGUGAGUUAAUCAUCAGCAAUUCAGCAUAUGUUUGUUAGGGAAAAUAUCCCACAUCGAAUGAGUAUUGAUGUUGGUUAAGUAAAUAAGACUUGGGCAACCCUCAACUAUUGAGCUGGCUUUUAGGUUCAGUUAGGCCCGUAGACUUCUAUAUGGUAUUAGAGCCAAACUCACCACAUGAGUAGACCCUCACUACCUUAACAGGUGACAAGGACUAGUAAAAAAAAACUGGCUUGCACAUGACGGGGAGUGUUAGGGAAAAUAUCCCACAUCGACUGAGUAUUGAACUGGGGUUAAGUAUAUAAGACUUGGAGCUGGCUUUUGGGUUGAGUUAGGACCGUAGACUUCUACAAUGUUCAGCUUGACCAAUCUUUUCUUGUAAUCAAUUAGAUGUGUGGAGCUGUAGGAUCUUCUCUUGCUUUUCAUCACUUAAAUGUUCAUUAUUUUUCAUGCAUCUCUGCAUCUUAACAGUGCUGAUCUUCAAACUAUGUCUCAACUCUUCAAAAAAUUGAACAACCGUACAGGCAUUUUUUCGCAUUGCAUACAGCUCACCAAUGGAAAUUGUCUGAGAAAAUUUUUGUUUUGUAGGUCGGUCUGACAAGCCCUGGUUACAUUGGAGCUGAUGUUUGCCAUCUCAAUCUCCACAAAACAUUUUGCAUUCCGCAUGGAGGUGGUGGUCCUGGUAUGGGCCCUAUUGGUGUGAAGAAACACUUGGCACCCUUUCUGCCUUCACAUCCUGUGGUAUGUGCUCGUACAUUUAACAAGUGUUCUUUGCAUACUUUUUCAUCCUACUUUUAAUAUAUUUACAUUUUAGCUUAGAUGGAGAAUAUUGCAUCGUUUAAUUUGAUUUUCCACUAGUUUUAUAGGAAAUACCAAUUUUAUGUUUACCUAUUAUUCAUGCAUGAAUACACAUAGUAUAUAUUAUUAUUAUUAUUAGACUCAUUGUAUUGAGCUUAUGGCUGCUGAUGACUUUUAGGCCGCCCACCAAAAAAACCCAAAAAAAAAAACUCUGUAAUUGUUAUGAUGGAACCUUCUCUUCUGCACAGAUAGGCCCUUGGUAUGCAGUUCAAGCUAUUUACUACCUUUUAUGCAUUAGUAUCUUUCCGACCAUUAAUAAAUCAAAUGCCUAUAAAUGAUUGAAUAUCUGCUACUAGUAAUAGGGCUCAGUAAAGUCUACAAAUUGUUCUGAUGUAUUUGCUGCUCCGAUAUUUUUCAUUCAGUUAUUAAUUUUUUAAUUUUAUUUCCAUGAUGAAGGUAUCCACAGGUGGUAUUCCUGCCCCUGAAAAGUCUCAACCCCUGGGCACAAUUGCAGCUGCACCCUGGGGCUCUGCACUUAUCCUGCCAAUAUCAUAUACGUACAUAGCUAUGAUGGGUUCUAAAGGACUCACUGAGGCUUCAAAGAUAGCUAUUCUGAAUGCAAACUACAUGGCAAAACGUUUGGAGGUUCUUGACUUUUCCUUUAAUAUCUUUACUUUAAAAUAAGUAAGUUUCAUUUUGGUGGUUGCAUCGCUUUGCGGAUGUUCUUAUACUUCUAUAAAACAUUGUCACACUUUUAUUGUCUAAGCAAAGCAACUUCCACUUGCUACGCUCACAUAACCUUUUGCUCAAACUUUCUUCAGGAAGAAGAAUGAUUUGUUCACGCAUGCUUGGUUUACCUUCUAUAUUGCUUGCCAUUGCAGUUAUAAAUUCUGGAUAAUUUUGACCUAGUUAAGUUUGUUUUGGUUUUUCAGAAACAUUACCCCAUCCUUUUCCGUGGUGUCAAUGGAACAGUUGCUCAUGAAUUCAUUGUGGACUUAAGAGGCUUGAAGGUUGUUCUUAUGACACAGAAGUUUCAAUUAGUUUCCUCUUGAUCUACUGUUUAUUUCCAUAACAAAUUGUAAACCUUUUUCAUCUCAGAAUACUGCCGGGAUAGAGCCCGAAGAUGUUGCCAAACGUCUUAUGGAUUAUGGAUUCCAUGGACCAACAAUGUCAUGGCCUGUUCCAGGCACACUUAUGAUUGAACCAACUGAAAGUGAAAGCAAGGUAUGUCAUAACAGAGAAGAUCUCUUCUUUCAAAUUUUACUUUCUCUAACCAAAUUCACUACUUUUGCAGGAAGAGUUGGACAGGUAUUGUGAUGCUCUCAUCUCCAUCAGAGAAGAAAUUGCACAGAUUGAAAAUGGGAAGGCAGAUAUCCACAACAAUGUCCUGAAGGUGACAUGCUUGUUUCUUCACCAUGGCUAUUUCUUUAGUUACAUAGUGAAAGAAAUUAACAUAUGUAUAUCCAGUUCUCCGUGGAAUCAAAGUUUAUUUAUGAAGCCUUAUGUUUAUUAUCUGAAAUUUGGAAAUGCAGGGGGCGCCUCAUCCACCAUCUUUGCUCAUGGGAGAUACAUGGACUAAACCAUACUCUCGAGAAUAUGCAGCCUAUCCUGCUUCCUGGCUCCGGUUUGCUAAGUUCUGGCCUGCUACAGGUAUGCGUGUCCAUCAUACCCCUUAUGUGCCCUCAACCCUCAACUUCAUUGCCAGAAUCUGCAAUUCGUGAAGUCGUUGAAUAACUUUUUUGUUCACAUUAUUGUCAUCAUUCAUAUUUAAGUUCUAGUUGUACUACUAAUUUAGCUGCCUUAUCCAGUAAGCCAGACUAACACCAUCGAACUCUUUAUUAGGCAAAAUGAGACUGCACAAUUUAUUAUGUCAGAGCAGGGGUCCUUUGUCUAUAAUAAUGCAUCUUAUCUUUUAUCUCCUUUUAACCUAUUUGAAAGUAAUAUUAACAACAUAACAGCAAUAUAAAAUUCUGUGCCAUAAACUUCACAUCAAACCCAUGUGUCGCUGUAGGUUAUUUCAAUUUUGACUUCAUAGGCUUAUGGUAAUUUCCGACUUUUAGCAGUCACUGAAAUACAAACAUGUCUUUUAAUUCCUUGCCUGAUUGUACUGACAUUGGACUUCUCGGGACUGCUAUAUCAGGACGCGUUGACAAUGUGUAUGGUGACCGCAACCUCAUCUGCACCCUUCUUCCAGCUGCACAAGUUGCUGAGGAGCAGGCUGCAGCCACUGCUUAGAGUUGCCAUCAACAUGCCCCCUGGUGCAAGGUUUCUUCAGGAGCAUGGAAAAAUUUGGAAUCAUCAGCACUUCCUGAUUUGAUUGUAUAUAUGAAUACAGAGCCUCAUGGCCCAAUGCUUCCCUUUGAUAUACUGAUUAAUUAUAUCAGCUUCUUUAAUAACAAUAGUUGCUGAUUGCAACUCAGGUACUGCAAAUUAUCAUCCCCCUUUCUUCUCUUCAUUCACUAUGUCUUUUAAAUUAAUUGAUUACUAAACACAUUCUGAAGUUGGUGAAUUUUAUAACAAAUGGGUGAAGGAUAAAAACGAGUGAGAAGAAUCUGUGGCCAACGUUUUUCGUACCCAAUUGUGUAAAGGAUUAUUUGCCAGCCGUGCUGUGUCCGGUGUCCCGUGCAAGCUUUCAUUUACCCAUUCAACAUUACGGCUAAAUUCUUGUCACUUAUGCUUCAUCCGGUUUCAAUUUUAUUCUCAACCCCUUAUAUAAUAAAUAAUUGUUCAAUUAUCUGUACAUGUAACUUUACCACACAUAAUCUGACGUUUUAGGAUCUUUCUAGCAUAAAUAUUUAGAAUCUCACAUCCGAAAACCCAUUAAACAUGGGGAAAUUUUAGAAACUAUUAGAUCAAGGAUACGGUCAAUAACUGUGUCAAAUAAUAAUCGAAAUAUUCUUGACUAGAUUAUUAGAUACAAAUAAAAUAUCUAUGUCGAUUCUAAUUUGAGGCGAAAUACAUGACAUACAAGGUAAAUACCAAUCACCAUGUGUCAAUUUAAAUUAUUGCCAUAAUAAAGGGUCCGUUUGGUAUUAAGGCAUUGUGACUUAACAAAUAUAAUUAUAAAAUAAAAAUUGUGAAAAGAAAAAUUAUAGUUCUGAAAUGUAAUUUUUAUAUAAUAAUUUUGAUAAAAAUAGUUAAGAUAUUAUGAUAUUUUCGUCAUACAAAAGUGAAAUAAAAUCAACUUAACUUAAGAAUCAUAACAUAAAGUGUUUAUUGAACACUUUAGCACAAUAAUUUUUAAAUUAUAAUUGUUCAACUAAAUAUGUCCUAUAUUUAAACACGGACGAAAUUUGUUUCUUAUAUUGUGUAUGUGCUUAUGCAUGAGACAAAUGAUUCUCUAUACAUUAUAAUAUUUAAUUCAAAGAUUGUCCAAAAUCUACCCAAGGCUUCUAUACUUUGUUCCCUGAUGAGCUCUAUAACUUUCAAAUUUAAUUUAUAGAUAUUUCCUGUGGUAGAUAAGGUCCGCUUCAACCUCCCCGCCCUGUGCUUCGCCUUCUCCAUCAAAUUUUUUUUUUUUUUUUUUUGCUUUUAUAAGGCUGUCGUAGGAAUUAGGAUCUUAAAUUUGCACAUCAAGGCUGUAGUUUCAAAUAUCAUUAGUUUCCCUCUCUUUUUAAAUCUUUUAGACACUUUCUAAGUAUCCCUUCCGCAACAGUCAGUUGCUUCACCAACCUCAUGCUAAAUCAAAGCAAGUCAAUAAACUUCGUUGACGAUGUAUGGUGUAUUCCAAACUGAAAUUUUUUUGGAACAAAUCACAUGGAUUAUUGAUUAUUAGUAGAUAAAGGAUAUGAGAGUAGUUAAAUAUUAAUUUUACAUAAUCAUUAAUGGACAUGUGACUUAGCAUUUAUAAAAAUUCACGGAAAUUAAGGUCAUGAGCAGUUCCUAAUUUAUUAUUUAGAAUUUUAAACCAAGCAAAGUCGAGACCUUUGUUCAAUAGAAGCUACAAUAUAAAAAUAUAAACUUUAAGUUUCAUGAAUUUUUUUUAUAUCGCAACGACUGUACAUAACCCAUUGUUCAUUCAUAAGAGUCUUAGACUUACAUAAUAUUUUUGUAGCUCAUAAGAGUCUGAAUUUUUUAUUAUUUCAUAUCUAGUAGCUAGUUGCUAGUUGAAGAGCUUGCAAUUUCCAGAGUGCAGACGCUCUCUCACCUAUUUAUGUAUAUAUAUAUGUAUAUAUUUGUGUGUGUGUAUAUAUAUAUAUAUAUUACAUUUUUUAGUUUUUUACCGCAUAACAAAUACUUUCAUGAGUGAUGACAAAGUUACAAAUUAUAGUAUAAAUUUAUUUUGUGCAAAAUGAUGUGGUAUAAAUUUAUUGAUUGGAUGAAAAUAAAAAAUAAUAAAGUUAAAUUAUGUAGGUCAAGCUGUAUUUAAUCAAACCAGUUAAAUUGUGCUACAUCAAUUUAUACGAAACAAAUUUGUUAAGAGGCUCGAGGUAUGUAAUUGCUGAUUCUUGUAUCCUGAUAAGGACUCUUCCAAACUUCUAUACUUUUGUGCAAUUUGUUGGAUCAUUUUAUAUACGCAUUGUCCUUGCUAUAUAGAAGAUGCUUUUUAUACAGAAAAAUAUUUUUCCAGUUGAUAUAUUGUAAUGUGUUUAUAACUAUUUUAGAUAGUAUCACUGGUGAGUUCUUUUGAGUUCACAUUUUAUUUCUUUUCUUUGACUAUGUGAAAUUAGAGAUUUAUGUUUUCAUAAUGAUGGAGAUUCAUGGUGUUGGCCUUGAUUGGGUAAGAGUGAAGGCUAUGAGCUAUUAUGUAUCCUACAUGCUGCAAAUGAUUUUAGCUAUUAUGAAAUUUCUUGUUUAUAUGUUUGGCUUAUUUCUCUUUCUUUCUUUCGUUAUUUCUUUCUUUCACUAGUCACAUAACUGUACAACUCUGUUUGAGUUAAAAAUUUCUCCUUAACAACUAGUAGUUUCUUGUGGAAUAUACUAUAUAUCGUCGAUUGUCAGAGCUGGUCAUCUAACAAUGGUCAUUACUUUGGAAGGUUUGGGAUUGUUUGCCACAACACCUAUUUACUGACACAUGUUGUUGGUGUUCUUCAUUUACUAACUAACAAAUAUGUGCAGGUGUGUAGAAAUGGUUCUUCCCACUUAAGAGGAAAUGUCUAUGUUCACUAUAAGUCGCUGGAAUCAGCUGUUCUCGCUUACCAUUCUGUCAAUGGCCGUUACUUUACUGGGAAACAGGUCUUUGUGAAAAAUUGUUGGAGCUUACUUUCUACUUUAUAUUUAUUUGUUUUAUAUAAAGUAACUACUAUUUAAAAAAUGUUUGGCUCUCAGUGAAUAGGCCUUGCCACUUUUCAUGUUUCUGAUAGAAAUUCCAGAAUACUGAUAUCCUGUCAUUUUGAUCCUCUUUGUCUGCCUGCAUUCCUGGUAAUUGGUGCCUGUUAAAAUGGAUUGAAUUAAAGCUCUUGGCAUUGGGUAUAAGAUUUGGUUUAUCCGACAGACUUCAGUUGUAAAGCUUACAGCAUGUCUUCUUGGAGGCUGUAUUUGAAUGUCCCAACAUGUUGAUAGGAUUUGGAUAGUCUUAAAUACCAGGGCAGCUUUCUUAGCAAAGGGAGAUUGAAAAGGCAUGAUCUAGGAGAAGCUUCUACUUUCUUAAGAGAAGCUUCUACUUUCUUAAGUCAUUGUUUAAGGGUUGUUUUUGCAGUAUUCGUUGGGGUCUAGUUGUUCCGUAAUUUUUCCAAUUGUCCAUUCAGCUUAAAUUGCUGUGCAUUGUACUAAAAUUGCUUCACUUGUUUAAUUGGUCUGAACGUUGAAGAAAAUUAUUAAAAUAAUUUCAUUUUAUUGCUAUGAGAACAGUUGUUUCACUAUUUAUUUACUUUACAGAAGAUUCCUGACUAGUUUCCUUUAGACUUGACACUGGUAAAAUUGCAAUGGGUUAAGCUGUGAAAAAUUAUAUGCUUAGUGAACGCUAGUACAGUCUCCCAUCUUUUAACUAUCUAUGGACAUUGUUGACAUAGUCUAAUCUGAAAUUUUUCUCCAUGCUUAAAUUGUAAUCAACACAUUACUGUUUACUGAAUUUUACAGCUUGUCAUUUUCUAGAUGGUGAUGGUUUAUUUAUUUGUGUGUUUCUUGACAGAUCACAUGUGAAUUUAUUAAUGUGACUAGAUGGAAGAUUGCCAUAUGUGGGGAAUAUAUGAAGUCAAGACUAAAGGUACAGCCAAUUGUCUCAUUUUUCAGAGUUAUAAUUGUGCGGCUUAUACACUUGCUUUUUUCUUUGCCAUUUUGCUUUUGAUAUGAAAUGAGUUUGUUUCUUUUCUUCUUUUUUUUACACUCUUGUUAUCUUCGUUGGGCAUAUUUUAACAGACAUGCUCUCGUGGAAUGGCUUGCAAUUUUAUCCACUAUUUUCGCAACCCUAGCGGAGACUAUGAAUGGGCUGAUUGGGAUAAACCACCUCCGAGAUAUUGGGUGAAAAAGAUGGCUGCUUUAUUUGGUUAUUCUGAUGAAUCUGGGACCUGGAAUCAAGAGCGCUCGGGACAAACGAGGAACAAGAUAGAUUCAACUAAUGCCGACAGGUAUGCUUUUAUUACUAGUCAUAGACACUAAAAACUGUACUUGGUAUAUAUGAACUCUUGUUUAUUUAAUUCACUUUCUGUUAUUUGAAUUUUUUAGUUUAAACUUCCAUGUUUGACCGAUGAUUUUGAGAGGUUUCUUCAUAGUAUCGUUCUCUUCAUUUGUGUUUUCUUCGAGCUGGUCAUCUAACAAUGGUCAUUACUUUGGAAGGUUUGGGAUUAUUUGCCACAACACCUAUUUACUGACACAUGCUGUUGGUGCUCUUCAUUUACUAACUAACAAAUAUGUGCAGGUGUGUAGAAAUGGUUCUUCCCACUUGAGAGGAAAUGUCUAUGUUCACUAUAAGUCGCUGGAAUCAGCUGUUCUCGCUUACCAUUCUGUCAAUGGUCGUUACUUUGCUGGGAAACAGGUCUUUGUGAAGAAUUGUUGGAGCUUACUUUCUACUUUAUAUUUAUUUGUUUUAUAUAAAGUAACUACUAUUUAAAAAAUGUUUGGCUCUCAGUGAAUAGGCCUUGCCACUUUUCAUGUUUCUGAUAGAAAUUCCAGAAUACUGAUAUCCUGUCAUUUUGAUCCUCUUUGUCUGCCUGCAUUCCUGGUAAUUGGUGCCUGUUAAAAUGGAUUGAAUUAAAGCUCUUGGCAUUGGGUAUAAGAUUUGGUUUAUCCGACAGACUUCAGUUGUAAAGCUUACAGCAUGUCUUCUUGGAGGCUGUAUUUGAAUGUCCCAACAUGUUGAUAGGAUUUGGAUAGUCUUAAAUACUAGGGCAGCUUUCUUAGCAAAGGGAGAUUGAAAAGGCAUGAUCUAGGAGAAGCUUCUACUUUCUUAAGAGAAGCUUCUACUUUCUUAAGUCAUUGUUUAAGGGUUGUUUUUGCAGUAUUCGUUGGGGUCUAGUUGUUCCGUAAUUUUUCCAAUUGUCCAUUCAGCUUAAAUUGCUGUGCAUUGUACUAAAAUUGCUUCACUUGUUUAAUUGGUCUGAACGUUGAAGAAAAUUAUUAAAAUAAUUUCAUUUUAUUGCUAUGAGAACAGUUGUUUCACUAUUUAUUUACUUUACAGAAGAUUCCUGACUAGUUUCCUUUAGACUUGACACUGGUAAAAUUGCAAUGGGUUAAGCUGUGAAAAAUUAUAUGCUUAGUGAACGCUAGUACAGUCUCCCAUCUUUUAACUAUCUAUGGACAUUGUUGACAUAGUCUAAUCUGAAAUUUUUCUCCAUGCUUAAAUUGUAAUCAACACAUUACUGUUUACUGAAUUUUACAGCUUGUCAUUUUCUAGAUGGUGAUGGUUUAUUUAUUUGUGUGUUUCUUGACAGAUCACAUGUGAAUUUAUUAAUGUGACUAGAUGGAAGAUUGCCAUAUGUGGGGAAUAUAUGAAGUCAAGACUAAAGGUACAGUCAAUUGUCUCAUUUUUCAGAGUUAUAAUUGUGCGGCUUAUACACUUGUUUUUUUCUUUGCCAUUUUGCUUUUGAUAUGAAAUGAGUUUGUUUCUUUUCUUCUUUUUUUUACACUCUUGUUAUCUUUGUUGGGCAUAUUUUAACAGACAUGCUCUUGUGAAAUGGCUUGCAAUUUUAUCCACUAUUUUCGCAACCCUAGCGGAGACUAUGAAUGGGCUGAUUGGGAUAAACCACCUCCGAGAUAUUGGGUGAAAAAGAUGGCUGCUUUAUUUGGUUAUUCUGAUGAAUCUGGGACCUGGAAUCAAGAACGCUCAGGACAAACGAGGAACAAAAUAGAUUCAACUAAUGCCAACAGGUAUGCUUUUAUUACUAGUCAUAGACACUAAAAACUGUACUUGGUAUAUAUGAACUCUUGUUUAUUUAAUUCACUUUCUGUUAUUUGAAUUUUUUAGUUUAAACUUCCAUGUUUGACCGAUGAUUUUGAGAGGUUUCUUCAUAGUAUCGUUCUCUUCAUUUGUGUUUUCUUCNNNNNNNNNNNNNNNNNNNNNNNNNNNNNNNNNNNNNNNNNNNNNNNNNNNNNNNNNNNNNNNNNNNNNNNNNNNNNNNNNNNNNNNNNNNNNNNNNNNNNNNNNNNNNNNNNNNNNNNNNNNNNNNNNNNNNNNNNNNNNNNNNNNNNNNNNNNNNNNNNNNNNNNNNNNNNNNNNNNNNNNNNNNNNNNNNNNNNNNNNNNNNNNNNNNNNNNNNNNNNNNNNNNNNGGCAAGAAAAUAAUUAGAUUCAACAAGAAGCCUUUGGUGAUGUAGCAUUGCAAUCUUAUGUACAAGGGAUAAUGAUCCAAACUAUGAUCAAAUUUCAUUAUUUAAUGUAUUUAUUGCUGAUGUUAGAAAUCUUCUGGUUAUUUAUGGUUUUGUAAUUUCCUAUGUAGGCAUCAUUACAGAAGGUCCAGAUCAAGGGAGGCUGAUAUUGUGAAAAGUGGUUCUGGCAAAAGCCAUGAUGAUGAACGUCAAGUUCAUGAAACAACUUGGAGUCGGAGGCGCUCCAAUUAUCACAGUGAAAGCAAAAGUGAUGAGGCUAAUUCUGAUGGAAGUUGGUCAGAUAGGGACAGAGACUAAUUUUUAUGUAUUGAAUUUGGAUUAUUUAGUUAUGAGAGUAGGAUAUCUCAUAUUUUGGCUAUUGAAGUUCAAUUUGUAAUAUAUACUAAUAAUAUUUAAAUGUGAAAUGAAAGAUUUUGUGAUAUAAAUCAAUUUCUUUUUGUUAUUUUGUGGUGCUUUUAAUUUUACAAAUAAAUCAAUAGGCAAUAAUCCAAUUUAAUUUUUUACUUUUUAAAAAAUAAAUUAACUAGUGAUACCAUGGUAACAAUAAUCAUAGAUACUAAUAAAAUAUCAAUAACUACUAACAUUAUGGUGUCAUAAUAUCGGUGAUACUGUAAUAAUAGUAAUCACUGACACCACUUACAAGUGUCACUAUUUUUCUGACUCCCAGAUUACUGACACAAUUAACAAAUGUAAGUAAAAGUAAUUUCUGACACUAUUCUAAAGUCAGUAAAGACCAUUUUUCUAGUAGUGUUCAUUUAUAUGAUCUGUCAUUUUAUUUUGCAUUGAAAAAAGAACAACUAAGUAUAGUACGAUAUUAAUAAAUUAAUCUCAAUUAAAUAAUAUUUUUUGUUAUUUUCGACUUUAGGCCAAUCUAUUAAUAAUUUAAUAAAAUCUAUAAGAUAAUAAUUUUUUAAAAUCCAUAUUUUUCCAUAGGAUACCCGUUAUACAUUAAUUAACAAUCACCUAAUGUAAAACUAAGUCGACAUAGUAUAUGUAUAUAUGGUUUUUGGAAGAUACACUCUUAAAAUUGCUAGUUUCUUUUUGGAAUUAAUUUUGACUUAAAUCUCAUAUCUAAUUUUCUUAAUGUACAAAAAAAAUUAAUUGUAUUGUUGUUUUGCAACAAGAAAUUAUUCAAUAAUAAUAUCACUUUGAGUUCUUUGUACAACAUGGAUUCCAUAGUACAACCAUCAUUCUUAACAUGGAAAAAUAAAAACUCCAUAAUAAGCUUAUUACUAUGAAUGUAAGACAAUUAACUAAUAUUCAAAUAAAACAUAAUAAAUACAAAUCAAGACAAAUCAAUGCUAUAAAUGUGAUCAUACUGUUUUCUAAAAUAAGGAAUAUCUUCAAAAUCAAUAAUUUAUUAAUCUAUCGAUUAACUUUAUAAUAUUAACUAAAAUUAACAAAAAUUUAUUGUCCAAAAUUAUUAAUUUAUCAAAAUUUUAUUGCAUAUUAACAGAGAAAUGAGCACUUUGUGAAGCCACAAAUGAGUAUAUAUGACUUAGGUAUAUAUGGGGUUAAGUUAUUGAUUCGCUUCAUAUAUAUGGAAGUGGAAGAGGUGUUGUGAAAGUAACUCAAUUUUGUCAAAAGUAACAUUGUUGUGUGAAAUUAAUAUUGGAAUCCCAUAUCGUUUAUUGGAUUUAUUUUGGAGUUCCAUUAUGUUAUUCUAACACAGUACAAUUGAAUUGAUAUGUCAAAAAUAGACAUAUUAUCCUAAGAAUAUACGAAAUUGAAAUCUGGUAGCAUCAAAAAACGUGAAUAUUUAAGUGAAUCAAAAUGUUUCCUACUUUAGCACCAUCCAAGAUGAGAUUAUCAACAAUUUAUAAGAUGAAGAAACAUGCUGCUUCGUCUCCCCUCUAUUCAUUAUGUGAUUUGAAUGGACUAAAUUAAAGUCACAAGAUUAUCAUGUGUAUUCAUGUCUUCAUAAAAACAUUGUCAUUGUUGUCAUUUUCCAAUGAUUUGCUUGUCUUUAUAGGCCAAAGCCCGCAUCAUAUAUCCUAGAACACAGACUUUGCCUCCCCUAUAAUCAUUAUGCGAUUUGAAUGGACUAAAUUAAAGUCACGAGAUUAUCAUGUGUAUUCAUGUCUUCAUAAAGAGAUUGUCAUUUUUGUCAUUUUCCAAUGAUUUGCUUGUCUUUAUAGGCCAAAGCCCCAUCAUAUAUCAUCUCCUUAGAACAUAGACAAUCUUUAUUCAUUGAUAGGCGUCAGAUAUUGCAAAUUACAAAACCUUUAGAGUGUGGUUGGCAUUAUUUUUUUUUAUUUUGUGCUUUUUUAUAAUUUUUUUUAGAGGAGAAAAAUGAUAUUUUUGGUGUGAUGUUCUUAAAAGGAAAAGGCAUUUGGUAUUUUGUUUUCAAGAUAAGAUAUCAAAUGAAAAAGAAAAAAUAUAUAUAAAAAGUAAAUUUGGUAGUUUGUUUGAAAAUAUCAAAAUAAUAAAAAUGUGUUUGGUGAAUUUUUUUUAUAAUAUAUUAAUUUCUAUUUUUUGCUCUGCAAUGCAUCUAGUUUUUGUUCUUUUUUAUAUUCCUAUUAUCAUUACAAAUCUAAUUAAAAUAAAUUACAAAUGAAAUUAGUAAUAAAAAUAUUUAUUAAUUACCGUAAUACAUAUAGGUCCAGCUACCUACCUUAACCGUGGUGGUAAGGUACCCCAUUUUCUAUCCCCAUUUGAAAUGGUCGUUGGAUUUGAACUUAUAGAAUCCAAAGGAUAUAGUUUUAAACGUGAUACACAUAGUAGAAAUGUGCUACCAUUUGAGUUAGUUCUGUUGAUGAAGAUGAAGAUGAAUUGAGGAUGAGGGUGAAAAUGUCAAAAGCCAAAAAAUUAUCCGUGGUUAAACACACAAAGUCAAAGACUUAUUAUCAAUCUUUCAAGAAUAAUUGUUAUACUUGAGUGAAGGACUCCUAAAAUAGUCUCAAGAUAUUGCUGCUUACAGGAAGUAGUUGGAAUUAGAAGUACACAAAAAGUGUCGGUAUAAUUACGAGAGGUCAAGACUGCAUCGGUUGCAAAAUCUAGCACAGAGAAAGAGCUUCGGUUUUUUUUCUUUUUUUGAUAAUGGAAAACCCUCGGGUCUAGAUUUUGAAAAAAUUUCUGAAAAUUUGAUGGUCUUCCCGUCAACGGUUAGCCAUUAAUUUGGCUACUUUUUUUCUCCUUCAUACAUUUACAAGCCAACUUGCCAAACUAAUUUGUAAACGUUAGUUUUCCAUGAUGAUCGUCUAGGAAACCAAGUUUUGAGACUUCAAAAAAUAAUUAAUCAACAAUCCAAUCACUCACGAUACAAGCAGCCUUACUUCCCCUUCUAAAUUAUAGUGGUUUAGUUGGGCUAUUUUCAGCCUGCUUCCACCGAACAGAGUUAUUUAUUUUAUUUAUUGUUGCUCCAAAUACGGAUGACUUCUUCUCCCCUCAAGGAGCAAAACCUGAUGAUGCCAAUAAAAUUCUAAUCUGUCCUUGAAAAACCAUGUCACAUAAAUUAUAAUAAAUAACGAUUAAUAUCGUCAAUAAAGUGAAAUGGCUUUGUAUAUAAAUAUUGAAUAAAACGAUAGCAACGACGAAGAUUAAUAUUGUUGGCUUGCUAUCUGAGAUGUACUGUAUGUACUUGUGCAGAAAUGUUCAUAUUCAGUUUCUAUUGAUUACGUUGCAGCUUUGAACUUUUGAUGUCUUCUUUUUCUUUUCCUUUCUCUUGUUCUCUUCUUUAUCGGACCAAAAUUCUCUUCUCAUAGUGGAAAUCAUAAAAUAAAAAUUUAACCAGACAUUUAUGCUGCGUUUACUAAACUGAAAUUGGAAAUAGCUGGAAUCGGAAUGGACAAUAAUGUGAAUGGGCUGGAAUGAAAAUACAAAUAAGUUGUUUAUUUGAAUUAUAGGAAUCGAAAUCGGAAUGAACUGGAUUGUCAUUAAUAUGUUUACUUUGUCUUGGAAUCGAAAUCGGAAUGAGUUAAAUUGUAACAAAUUACUAAAAAAUACUUAAUGGUAAUUAAUUGUAAAAAUUUUAAUUAAUUAUAAUAACUAUAUUAUAAAUUAUUAUAAAAAUAUAUUAACUAAUAAUAUUAAUAUUAAUUACUUAAUUAAAAUAAUAUAUUAAUUAUUAUGAUUAUUUAUUCAAAAUUAUAAUUAUUAAUCAUUAUUGUUAAUAAUAUAUUAAUAUAUUAAUUAGUAGUAAUAAUUAUAUUAUUUAUUUAAUUAAUUAUAUUAAUUAUAAUAAUAAUAAUAUAUGAAUUAAUUAUAAUAAUUAUAUUUUUAUUAUUAUAAUAUUAUAUUAAUUAAUUAAUUAAUUACAAUAACAAUAUAUAUUAAUUAUUGUGAUUAUUUAUUAUAAUAGUAUAUUAAUUAAUUAAUUAUAAAAGAGGAUAAAGUUGGCAUUUUUAAUUUUGGGGGAGGGCAAAAUGGUUAAUCCUAAGAAUGAGAGACUCAUUCCCACCUCUACACGGGAAACAAUCUCCUAUUCCCCAUUCCCAAAUAGUGGUGGGCCCCACCAUUCCGAUUCCGAUUCCUACUUCAUAUUUGCGAAGUAAAUGCCAUCAAUUAUUUCGAUUCCGGAUUCUGAUUCCCGAAUCCGAAAAGUAAACGCACCGUUAGAAAUAUCAUGUACAUUCAUUUUCUCAUUCGAUGUUCGUACUGAUAUUGUGUGAAUUUAGAGUUUCACAACGUUGUGGACUCCAAAAUUCGCAUGAAAAUUCAUUCUGACAUCUAUGGAUAAUAAAAAUGAAGUAUCUGAUAAGAAUCCACAUCAAAAGUCUUUCUAAAUCAGGAUAUAUUUGACUAUAUCCAUAAUGACAUUUAUAUAUGACAAAAUCAUUGCCAAUAUAACAUGCUUAUAUAUUGGAAGACGAAUCCCUAAUUUCGAUGCUUGAUUACUUGCUUUUAUGUUAUUAAAUAUUUUGUAUAAAUUAGGCCUUAGGCCGAUCAUAUUUUUAUUUUGCUUUUACAAUAUCCUCGCCAGAUUAGCUAAGAAAGAAAUUGUAGUAUGCCAUAUGUCACUUCAUUUAUAUGAUUUGUUAAUUUAUUUUGCAUUGAGAAAAGACCAGUUAAUUACAAUACGAUCUUAAUACUUGAUAAAUUAAUAAUCUUAAUUAAAUAAUAGUUUUUGUUAUUUCUUACUUAGGGCCAACGUGUUAAUAAUUUAAUAAAAUCUAUAAGAUAAUAUUUUUUAAAAACCACAUUUUUCCAUGUAAAAUUUAAUAUUUACCGAAUGUAAAAUUUAAGUCAUAUAAUAUAUGUCUACGUGGUUUUUGUGAAAUGUACUCUUAAAACUAUUAGUUUCUUGUUGGAUUUAAUUUUGAAUUGAAACUCGUCUCUAAUUUUUUUAUUAACAUGAAAAAAAAUCAAUUGAUAUCAUCAUUUUGCAACAUAAAUUAUUUAAUGUCAAUAUCGCUUUGAGUGUUUCAUUUUUAGAUUUAAUUUUGAAAGUAACUCAAUAUCUUGUCAAAAGUAACGUUGUUGUGUGAAAUUAAUAUUCAAAUCCCAUUUCGUUAACUGGAUGUAUUUUGGAGUUCUGAUCAAAUCUCCAGUAUGUUAUUCUAAUGCCGUACAAUUGAAUUGAUAUGUUAAAAAGAGAAUUCGCUCACGAUGUACAAUUGAAUUAUCUAAAAUUCUAAAUUAUAGUUCACACAGUCCAGAAAAUUAUAUUAUCCUAAAGAGUAUAUAAAAUUGAAAUCUAAAAUAGCCUAAAAAAAACGUGAAUAUUUAAGUGAAUCACAAUGUUCCGUUGCUUUGGCGCCGUCGAAGAUAAGAUAAUCAUCAAUUUCCAAGAUGAAGAAACACGGCACGUGUGAGAUCCAAGAGCCACUCCUAUAUUCAUGAUGCGGAUUGAAGGGAUUAAAUUCAAGUCACGAAAUUAUAACGUAUAUUCAUGUCUUCGUAAAAACAUUGUCAUUUUUCAAUGAUUUGCUUGUCUUUGCCGGCCAAAGGCUCAUCAUAUAUCAGCCCCCUAGAUCUCAGACACACAAGCAUACUAGCUUAAUUAACUGAUAGCUAUGGCUACUUUAGAGCCAUUUGAUUAUGUUGGAACCGAUUUAAGGUAGAGUACUCUUUCAUAGCAACGUCAAUUAGCAUGUUGCGUUGUUAGUGGCUAAGUAGCCUAACUCAUCGCAACGUCAACUAGCAGCCACACAUGGGGAUUUGUUGCGCCAUAGCUGGUGAUCAGCAGGCAUCAUUACUCAUAAACAACAAUCACGUAAAUAUUGUAUAAAAAUCACAUUAUUUAAAUUUUAUUUUGAAAAUCAUUAUUUGAAUAAUAUAUAUACCAAAAGUUUGAAGGAGUAGAAUGAAAUAUUCAUGAUCAAUUUCACUUUCAUUUUAUAUAUUUUUAAGUUAAUAUGAUUAAAUUAAGUUUGAAAACAAACAAAAAAUUCAGUUAUUCAGGGAUUAGAGACCUUCGGAGAUCUCUUGUUAUUAUUCGGGGAGGGGACGAAGAUUCCCUCAAAUAAUUCUGACGAGAACAAAAAGUGGAUGGGGACAUAUGCAGAAUAUCGGGAAUGGGUAUGGGAAUGUUGAUCCCCUCCCCAUUGUCAUCCCUACUUGAUUGCACACCUAUAUUGUCGGCCUAUUUAGCAAACGUGAAUUUGGCAAAAAAGUUUUUUUGAAAAAAAGGCACAACUGAAUAGAUAAAGAUAUUUUAAUAUAUACUUCAAGUUUAUAUAUAUAGUACUGUUCCAAUCCGGGAUUCCGAAUUGGAACAAUAUCCGGGAGAGAGGCUGGUGGCCAGCUGUGGCUGCACAUGGUGGAGCCCACCAUGUGCAGCCAAACCAAAAAAAAUUAAAAGAGGCUAUUCCAAUCAGGGACUAUAUAUAUUAAUACAUGAUUAAAAUUUAUUUAAUUAUUAUAUUAUCCUUUACUAAUUAUUAAUCUUACAAAUAUAUUUACUCAAAUAAAAUAUCAUAUUAGAUUUCUAUUACCAAUUAUAAAUCAUACAAAUAUAUUUACUCAAAUAAAAGAUGAGAUUAGGGGAAAACUUUUAUCCAUAAAGUAAAAUAAAUGCUAUAUAAGUACAUGUGAUGUUGAGCAAUGCCAUUCGAGAAGUAGCCCUCAAAUUUUCGUCCCAAACAAAAUGAUUUUCCUACUACUCCUUUCAAUUUUUCUUCCCAGUGCUUCUUCAUCAAUCCCUGUGGAUCCACCUGUUAGCUUCUCAUUUUCCUCAUUCAACCCAAAAAGUUGUAGCGAUGGCAGCCUAAUUUGCAUGGGCGCAGUGACUCCAAGUUAUGGCUACUUGAGCCUCACAUCAGACCCUUCACCAGAAUCGCCAGAUCAGCUGCCGCUAAAAAAGGUUGGACGGGUUUUAUACAGCCAGCCUGUGACUGCAUGGCCAGCUAUGAUUAGUACCACCUUCACCAUUAGGAUCUCACCCUACCCAAAUACAACGGAUUCUGCAGAUGGCAUGACGUUUGUUUUUGCAACCGAUACCAGCCCUCCAACUGAAAACUCCGCCGGCGGAAAUCUUGGACUGAGUACUGACACAUGCAUGCAUGGGCGCAUGUUAUAUAUAAUAGCAGUCAAAUAAUAAACAAAAUGAUGAAUACAUCAAGCAAAAUUUUCCAAUUGAGACUCAUAAUUCAGGAUUAAAUUCUAGGACAAGUUGCCAACAGCGGCAUUAACAUACUUUUAAUUAUAAAUUCUCUUGUUAUCUCCGACUUUAAUCAAAUCAAAAUCCUAGAUCAGAUCGCCACUUGAUAUAUCAUUUCUUUUACACACACACACACUAAUUAUGUUUACAAAUUGUGUGUAGGUAACGGUGUUUCGCAAUUAGCCGUGGAGCUGGACACUUACAAGAACGACUACUGGUCUGAUCCAGAUGCUAACCAUAUGGGCAUUGACAUAGCAAACUUAACAUCGAAUCCAGCCAAGAGUCUCGACAGCUCUGGUAUUGAUCUCAAAAGUGGAAGACCGAUCCAGGUUCACAUUUAUUACGAUGGAUGGACGAAAAUACUCUAUGUUUAUGUGGCAUAUGCGGGGAACCCACUUCAGAAGCUUAUUGAAAGACCUAUCCUCUUGUCAGAAACAAUUCCAAGCUCAGUCUAUGUUGGCUUCACAGCAUCCACAGGGCCCGACUUUUCAGAAAGCCAUCAGGUGCUUGAUUGGACCUUCACAACGUUCCCAUUGCCUUCUUCUUCUCUGGAGGAGCAAAACCUGGCGAUGCCAAUAUAAUUCUAAACCGUCCUUGAAAAACCAUGUCACAUAAAAAAUUAUAAUAAAUAAAAAUAACUAAUAUCGUCAAUAAAGUGACAUGGCUCUAGAAGCUGACUAAGAUUAAUAUUGUUGGCUUGCUAUCUGAGAUGUUCUGCAUUUACUUGUGUAGAAAUGUUCAUAUUCAGCUUCUAUUGAUUACGUUGCAGCUUUGAACUUUUGAUGUCUUCUUUUUCUUUUUCCUCGUUCUGUUCUUUAUCCGACCAAAAUUCUCUUCUCAUACUGGAAAUCAUAAAAUGAAAAUUCAACCAUACAUGGAAACAAUGUACGCAUCACAACAGAUAUUUACAUGGACAGUCCUUCCCUCCUGCAGAUAUCCGCACGAAUUAGUGUGUAAAUUUAGUGGUUCACAACAUCGUGAACUCUCAAAUUCACAAAAAAAUUUAACAGUGUCAACUUUAAUAAAAAUCUGGAUUCAUACAUUUAUAGCGUAGUGCAUACUUUCAUGGAUAAUAAAUAUGAAAUGUGUGAUAAGAAUGCACAUCAAAGAUUCUUUCUUAAUCAAGAUAUAUUUGGCUAAUAUCCAUAAUGACAUUUAUAUAUGUCAAAAUCAUUGCCAAUAUAACAUGCAUAUAUAUUUGGAAGAUGAAUCCCUAAUUUACGAUGAUGAUUACUUACUUUUUAUGUUAUCAAAGCAUUAAACAUUUUGUAUAAAUUAGGCCUUAGAGCUGAUCAUCUUUUCAUUUUGCUUUUAUCAUAUCCUCGAUAAAUUAAUUAAGAAAGAAAUUGUGGUAAGCCAUAUGUCACUUCAUUUAUAUGAUUUGUCAAUUUAUUUUGCAUUGAAAAAAGACCAACUAAUUACAGUACAAUCUUAAAAAAUUAAUGGUCAAUAAAUUAAAAAUCUCAAUUAAAUAAUAAUUUUUGUUAUUUCCGACUUAGGGCCAACGUGUUAAUAAUUCAAUAAAAUCUAUAAAUUAAUAUUUUUAAAAAUCCAUGUGAUUCCACAGGAGACACGUAAUAUAUAAAUUAAUAAUCACCCUAAUAUAAAAUUAAAUCAUAUAAUAUAUGCAUACGUGGUUUUUGUGAGAUGUGCUCUUAAAACUAUUAGAUUCUUUUUGGAUUUAAUUUGACUUGAAUCUCAUCUCUAUUUUUUUUAACGCAAAAAAAAAAAAAAAAAUCAAUUGGUAUCGUCAUUUUGCAAUGGAAAUUAUUCAAUGUUAAUAUCACUUUGAGUGUUUCUUUCCGCAAGACGGAUUCCAUAUAUAGUACAACUAUAACUCUUAACAUGAACAAAUAAAAGGUCUAUAAUAAUCUUAUUACAAUCAAUGUAAGACAAUUAAUUAAUAUUCAAAUAAAACAUAAUAAAUAUAAAAUCAAGACAAAUCAAUACUAUAAAUGUGAUCAUAUAUUUUUGAAAAUAAAAAAUAUCUUCAUAAACUAAUAAAUUAUUAAUCUUUUAAUUAAUUAUAUAAUAUUUUCCACAAUUACUAAAUUGUUUAGAUUUAGAGUCUCCAAACUUUAGUAUUCAUUGAGAUUUUACUGCAUAUUAACAGAGAAAUAAAACACUUCGUGGAGCCCCAAAUAGUUUAUAUGACUUAAUUAUAUAUAGGGCUAUUGAUUGGCUUUCGUGUAUGUGGAAGUGGAAGAGGUGUUGUGAAAGUAACUCAAUAUUUUGUCAAAAGUAAGAUUGUUGUGUAAAAUUAUUCAAACCCAUUUCGUUUAUUGGAUGUAUUUUGGAGUUCUAAUCAAAUCUCCAUUGUGUUAUCCUAACGCCAUACAAUUGAAUUGAUAUGUGAAAAAGAGAAAUCGCUCACGAUGUACAAUUGAAUUAUCUAAAUAUCUAAAUUAUAUAGUUCACAAGGUCCAGAAAAUCAUAUUAUCCUAAAGAGUAUAUGAAAUUGAAAUCGAAUCGCCUAAAAAAAAACGUGAAUAUUUAAGUGAAUCACAAUGUUCCGUUGCUUUGGAGCCGUCGAAGAUAAGAUAUCACCAAUUUCCAAGAUGAAGAAACAUGCCACGUGUUAGGUCCAAGAGUCACCCCUUUAUUCACGAUGCGGAUUGCAUGGACUGAAUUAAAGUCACGAGAUUAUAACGCUUAUUCAUAUCUUCGUAUGGACAUUGUCAUUUUAUAAUGAUUUGCUCGUCUUUGUAGGCCAGAGGCCUCAUCAGAUCUCAUGUGCCUAGACCUUUCACACACACACACACCUGUACACAACCUUAAUUAACUGAUCGAUGUCGGAUAAAGAUGGCCAAUGGGCCGAGCGGCACCUGGCACGAUAUGUAUCCGUACAACACGGCACGACACAAAUAUAUUUUGGUAAGGCACGCAGCACGGCACGACACGCACGUGAGCCGUGCCGGACCAAUAAUUUUAGGCACGUGACCCUUAAAAGCAUGGCACAAUUAGAGAUGAGACAAAAUUCGGCACGUCAAAAAACACAUAAUAAACACGUUUCAUUGGUAGGCUAACACGCAGCCCGUGGGCCAUCAAUGGACAUGAGCCAAAGUAUAUAAAAAUUAAAAAAAAAAGUGAAAAAUAAAUAUAAAAUGUUAUGAUUUUACAAUUAUUUUUAAAUUAAAAUUUUUAAUAUUUUUUUUAGCACAAGAUUUUAAAAAUUAAUUUAAGUCCUAGUUUAAAUAAAUAUUCUAAUUUUUUAUGUUUAUAAUUUAUUAAAUGAACAAAUACAUAUCAUGAUUUUAAUAAAUAAAAUUAUAAAUACCAUGAUUUUAUAAAUGAUAAAUUAAAAAUUUUACGACAUCAAUAUUUCAUUUAUGAAGUCAUAAAUUAGUCAAUAGUUAAUGGAGAUAUGUUUCAUUUGUGAGUGAAUAUUUUUCAUAUUUAUACACAAAAAAAAAUUAUGAAUGAAAUAUUUUUAUGAUAAAUUAAAAAAUAUAAUAUUAGUUGUUCAAAUAAAAUUAGGUGUAAUUGUUAUUCUAUGACUUGUAAUUUUGUUUCUUCAUUAAUUAUUACUAUGAUCUAUGAAAUAAUAAUAAUACUAAUAAUAAUAAUAAUAAUUAUAAUAAUAAUAAUAAUUAUUAUUAUUAUUAUUAUUAUUAUUAAACUGAUGGGCUUAAAAAGCACGUUAGACAUGUAGGCUUAAAUAAAGCACGCCAGACACGUGGGCUUGUUUAAGGCACAUUGGACAUGUGAAUUUAAAGGGGAAAAAAAGUUGGUAGGCUUUUUUUGGGUACGGCACGAGCGGGCCCGUGUCGUGGGCCAUGUUGGGCCCUUAAAAAAAGGUGGGCACGGCACGACCCAGCCCACCAAAUUGCCGACCCAUGAGCCCGUGUGGGCCAACAUCUGAUGGGUCAUGUCGUGUCCAUCGUUAGUGUCGGAUACUCAAAUUAAUACGGCAAAUUACAAAACUUUUAGGGUGCAUUUGGAAUUAUAAUUAUUUUUUAACUAGUGUUUUUAUAUUUGAUGUGAUGUUUUAGAGAAGAAUAAUAAUAUAAGAUUGUUAUAUUACAUAAUCAUGUAUGAUGUAGCAGCCAUUGAAUAAAAAUCCUAUGGAAAUAUAAGAUAAUAAAAUCAUAUUAUUUUCACAACCGUUGAAUUUUCAUCCAACGGCUGCUACAUAAUCAUGUAUGUUACAUGUUUAUGUAACAUAAUAAAAGCCAUAAUAAUGUUCUUAAUGUGAUGUUUUCAAAGGUGAAGGGGAUUUAGUAAUUUGUUUUUAAAAUAGUAUAUAAAUGAAAACUGUAAAAAAAAACAUAUUCGGUAAUUUAUCCAAAAUACGAAAAUAAUGAAAGUGUUUUGGGUGAAAUUUUUUUACAAUAUGUUGUGUUUUAAAUUUCAUUGUUCGAUACAAUUAGUACUCUGUUUUUUUUUUUUAAUAAUCUUAUUAUCAUUGCGAAUCUGAUUAAAAUAAAUUACAAAUGAAAUUAGUAAUAAAUAAUAUUAUUAAUUACCAUAGGACAUAUGGGUUCAGCUGGCUUUAUCCCUAUGGUAAGGUACCCCCUUUUAUUCUCCCCAUUUGAAAUGGUCGUUGGAUUUCAACUUAUGUAAUCUGGAGACUACGGUUUUAAACACGAUAUACACAGUAGAAAUGUGCUACCAUUUGAGCCGGUUGGGUUAACGAAGACGAUGACGGAUUCAUGAGGAGGGAAAAAAGGUCAAAAGCUGAGAAAUUAUCGAUGGUCAAACACAUAAAAUCAAAGAUUAAUUAUCACUCUUUCGGGAAUAAUUUUGAAAAAAAUUGAUGGUCUUCCCGUCAAUCUCACCCAUGACUUUGGCUAUUUCUCUUCUGGGUAAUUUUUAAAAACAUCCCCUGAAAUUUGGGCUUGUUGCAAGUAGAUAGCGAUAAUUUAUUUAUUUAUAAAAAAACCCUACCGUUAGUUAACUUUAACAUUGACCGUUAGUUGACUAUACAAAGACAAUAUUACCCUUAACAAUAAUUUGUAAACGGAAAUAACUAAAAAAAAUUAAAAUUAUUGACUAUUUUACCCUUUUUAAAUUAUUGAUAUUUUCUUAAAGUUUUUACAAGAAAGAUAAAAUUAAAAAUUUUAAAAAUCAUCUUUAAAUUAUUGAUAUUUUCUUAAAGGUUCUACAAAAAAGAUAAAAUUAAAAACUUGAAAAUGAAAUAGUUAUAAUCUUUACCUAUGAUAUUGUAAAUCUUUAGAAUUGACAAGGAUAAAAUUGUCAAAAAAUAGGGUUUGUGCUUUUCGUGCUAACAAUUUUAAUUUUUUUUUAGUUAUUUCCGUCUACAAAUUGUUGUUAAGGGUAAUAUUGUCUUUGCAUAGUCAACUAACAGUCAAUGUUAAAGUUAACUGACGGUAGGGAGUUUUUUACAAAUAAACAAAUUCUCGCCAUCUAUUUACAACAAGCACAAACCUCAAAGGAGGUUUUUAAAAAUUACCCAUUUAUCAAUUGGGGUUGACUCGAAGUACCAAUUUAAUGACACAGUCCCUCUUUUUUUUUCGAACUUUCCCCUUCUAUUCUUAUUUUCUCUCACAAAAUUAAGAGAAUGAGAAUAUAUAUAUUCAUUUUCUGGAUUUUCAACAGCCCCACGCCCCCACCAAACAUGUUUUUUUUUUUUGGUCUACUUUGGAAAACGUAGAACCACAGCUGGAAAACAAUACAAAACACGCCCAUAUUGCACAUAUAGAAAAGACAAAUAUGAUCGAUCAAUUGGGUUUCAGUUUUUCUUCCAUUUUUGUUGGUGGCCUUUCGCGAGGCUGAAAACCUUUUGAAUAAGACUAUUGGCAACCACUAAAAAUUUCAUAAAAUUCUUUUUAUAAAUAUCUUAUUAAAAAAUUUUAGAACAAUAAAAAAUAAAUAGGACUAUUUGAACUGACCAAAAUAUUCUUCAAACCCAUCUUUACAGGAAAAUAUUUAUUUUCAAAAUAUUCGUUAAUGAAUUUACUAUUAAGGAUAAAAUUAUGCAAUUAAAUGAAAUAAUUUACUCUAUACAUCCAUCUCUAAACUCUUUUUUACUUCAUCAUCCAUCUUUAUCCCUUAAAUUCUAGACUUAUACGGAUUUCUCCUUUUUUUUAAUUUAUGAAUGUCUCUACAAAUGAUUAAACUAUACAAUUAAAUUAAAUAAAUCCAAUUCUUGGAUUGAGAUUUUGAAGUUAUUGUAACCUCUUGUCUUUGAUUUUCUAGUUGGGCAAAAGUCAACUUUUAAGAAUAAGGAAAUUCAAGUUGUGUGGCUAACUCAAAGCAAUGGUUUCAAGCCUUCAAAAGGUAAUAAUGGAUCUUGAUCCCAUGUAAUUAAUCUAAGUUAUAGAGAUAACUCUGAAAAAGAGGGCUAGAGAGAGAAAUUUACCUUUCACAAUUUUUUAUUUGAUUUGUUUAAAUUAAUUCAAUCCCAAAUGCUUGAUUUCAUUAAUUAAUAAUAAAUUGCGCAUACUUUUUUGGCCGGAAAGCUCUAAAACUUAAAUUUUGUUUGAUUGAUUUAGACUAGACUUUAUUUUCAUGUUUUUAUUAAGUAAAUUGAAAAAUCCAGGUUAACGAUGUUUUGUAUAGUAAUUACAUUAGGAUAGAAUUUGGUUGUUAAAGAUAUAUUUAAUAUUUAGGUGGGUAUAUAGAGUAAAAUUUUAAUUUUUAAAUUUCAGUGAUUAGUUUAAAGAGUAAACGAGUUUAAAAAGUGUUUUAAUAUGUUAAAAUAGCCUUACCUUUGAAAAUGCUUUUAACACCUUCGUUGCUGACAAAAAUAACCUUAAUGAAACUUAUUUUUCAUACACCCAUUCUCUCAAUUUUCUUGUGGUGAUAUUAACACCUCUCAACAACUUCUUAAAGCACAUUUUUCACAAGUAACUUUAUGAAUUUUGUUCCCCAUUGAACCGUUAAAAUCCAAAACAAAAGUCUUCCUAAUUUCUCUCUUAUUUUUCUUACUGCACAAUUCCGAAGUCCUUCAUCCUGUUGCUCAACCUCCAUGCCAAUAUAAUCACUUCCUUUAUUCAUCAUUCUCUAAUCGAGACAAGCAUCUCCUUGUCGGAUCUAUAUUCGUCAAGAAAUCAACCAUAAAAAAAAAAAAACAACACGACAACAAAAUAGAAUACAAAAAUAAGUUGCGUAUAAAAAAAAAAAUUUGACUGGCGAAAAGAAAAUUAAUGAUUUUAGAAUUUAGUUAUUUCUUAGUGGUCAUCGGCGCAGAAAUGAUUAAGUAAUUGCGAGAAAAUUUACAGAAAUGAAAAUUAAUAUCCUAGAAUGGAAAAAAAAUGGUUUGUGAGAGAAUUCUUAACAACGUGGGUGUAGUGAAGAGUUCUUUUAAAUUAUACAUUUGGAUUUAACUGAAUUACACUCGUCUUUUAUUGUAAUUUAACUAGAGGAUAAAUUUGUAAAUAUGAAAGUGGGGUUUCAAAAGGAUAAUAGAAGGGUGCUAAUAGCUCAAUUCAAACCCUUUACCUGUGGGUUGCCUUGAAUUAUGAAGUGGGUCAUUCAAGAUGGUCUCUAUCCAACUCUCUAUUGUGGGUCUAUUCAUUAAACAUUCAGUGUGAAUUUAGCACAACAUUUUUUUCGGCUUUUUGGGGGAUAAAAAACAUGACUUAAUUGAUCGGGUCAUUAGAUAAAAUAAAAUUGGAUAUUUUUAUAUUAUAAUUUUGAAUGCAAACGACAAUCAUUGAAAAAAAGAUUAAUUUAGUAAUUUUUUUUUUAGUUGUAGUCUUAGAGCAAAUCAAUUUCUUUCUAUCCCUGUGAGAAGGAUUCAAAUUACAAAUCUCUUAUUUUUAUAUUAGAGAUUUUACCAACUAAUAAAAAAGGGAAAAAAUUGUGGGUUUAAAACUGUGGCCACCUAGUUCAGUAGGUAAACCCACAUUUUUUUUCUUAAAUGGAGAGGAAUUAAUAAAAAACAAUGCGGAGAUUGCAUAUCAUUUUUGGAAAUAAAAACAUAAGUACAGUUAACUAAGAGUUCCCUCCCAACUAUCCACUAGGGGUUGGCAGUAAGUCGAGUUUGGGGAUCAACAUUUUGUUUCCAUACCCAAUGCUGGAUAUCUUUUCCACUUUUGACUCAGUUCUUAAUUUAGUCUGGUUGAACCCAAAUUCCUUGAACGUUAGUUUUAAAAGAAAAAAGUCAAUAACAAAAACAAAUAAAACACAUACUAUAAUGCGAUUAAAAUGUAUAAGUGAGGCGGUGGGUUUUUAAUUUUUUUAUUUUUUUCAAUUAAAAAUAAACAAUAAUUAUUAUUUAAUAAAAUCAUGUGUCCCAAUUGAUACAGAUAUUUAAGUACAGUCCAAUUCCUUGACCUGAAUUAAAAUCAGGAUAGAGACCUAAUUCCUUUCUCUUUUCCAAACGGACCAAACUUAACUCUACUUCUUUUAGUUUAUUGGGUUGGGUCACUUUUCCUAUUGGGAGACUACUGACCCGAAUGAGAAUUCUGCAUUCCUAUUGGCCACUUUAGCAUUGCUUAAGGGUAUAUUAAAUGACAGAUGAGAUUGACAUAUUGGAAGGAUAAGAAUCCUUGUGAUUUGAUUUUCUACCCUCACGAACUUGGAACGAUGUGUCUACUCUGCCCAUUAAUUCUUCUACAUUUAAUUUCCAAAUGAGCUAUAACUUUUAAAUUUAAUUCAUGUAUUAGUUAAGAAUCGUAAGAUAUGGUUCAGCCUCCCCACCCUAUUCUUCACCUUAUCCAUCAGUUUUCAAGUUUAAGAAUUAAUGCAUAUUUGGUAUGACUCAUAUAAUGGUCAAAAGUAUUUAUUUAAUCUUAUAAGUUUCUUUUAUAAAUUGUAGUAUUGUUUGGUCCAUGUAUAUCUACUCAUGAAUAUAACAAUUAAGCCUAAUAAAAAUUAAUCUUCUGUAAGUUUUUUUUUUUUUUUUUUACUUUAUAGUAUGAUAUCUAAGCAUACCAUAUAAAUAAUAUUGAAUAAUAAACAAUUAAAGCUUUCCUAAGCACUAUGUGUAAAUAAUUUAAUGAAAUACACAGAAUCAAAGAUAAUCAUUUAUAAACUUUAUGGAUCCAAGCAUAUGUUUAGUUAAAUAUUAAUUUCAACAAUCAAUAAUGUAUGACAAAAUUGGUGAAAAAAAUUAAGGUAGCAUUUACUUAUUGGAUUGAAUUGGGAAUCAUGAAGAGUCAGAAUCCUGGGAUUGACAGUGCGGAGUGAGAGUGGGAGUAUGUUGUUUACUUACAGUGGAAUGAAAGUGUGGAAUAUAAAUUAGAAUCUCAUUUAUGUGCUUACUUUAUCUUAUAUUGUGAGUGAAUUGUUUCAAAUAACAAUUUUACCCCUUAUUUAAAGAAUUAUAGCAUUUAGGUACAAAGUGAAUUAAAAAAUAUAUUUGUAAAAUAAAUUAUUUAUUCUUAGAAUACACUAUUCAUUAUCAUUAGUUAUUAGGAUUAACGGAUGUACGGUAUAAGUAAAUGUAACAUUAUUUUAUUUAAAUAAAUAUAAUUAUACUAUAUUUAAUAAAGGAAGGAUAAAAAAGGGAAAAGUAGGAGUGGGCUCUCCUAGGAGUGGGAAUGUCACUGCACACUCCAAAACUAAGUGAUACCUACGGAGUGAGACUCUCACUCAUCUCUUUAAUUAAGCAAGUAAACAUUAUAAUGAAAUGAAUUCACACUCUUCACUCUUACUCCAAUAAAUAAACUCAACAUAAUAUUAUGAGUAAUGAUAUAGCCACAAACUCUUAUACAAAUUUAUUUUGUACAAACUGAUGUGGCAUGAUAAGAUUUGUUGAAUUAAAUAUCACUUGGCCCCUGAUGUGGCAUGAUAAGAUUUACUUGGCCCACAUGAUUUGUUUUUAUUAUUUUAUAUUUUCAUUCAACCAAUGAAUUAAUGCCACGUCAGUUUGUACAAAAUAAGUUUGUACAAGAGUUUGUGGCUGUAUCAUUACUCUAAUAUUAUUCAACUAAAUAUGUGAAACAAUAACCAUAAAUGUAGGAAAUGAAUUGAGUAAAAGGUAAUUUUUAUUGAACGGGACUCCAGUAUAAAAAAUUAAAAAGACAUAAAGAGAUUGAUGACAAUAGAAUUUAUUGAACCCAUCAUGCGGCUGCCGCUCUAAUUCUUCUCUCUGUCUUCCGAUUCUCCUCCUCCUCUUCUCUUAUUGGGCGUGAUGAUGCUUAUACAUGAUUGUGCUGCCACCUCCUCUUAGAAUCAGAUUAGGAUUUUCAUUCCAUUUUAGUGCCAUGCUCGUGCCAACUAUAAUGGCAGUAUUGCUUCAAUUCUCAGUGAGUUUGAUGGAUCCCUUUUCAAUUUGGAUUAAAUUCUAACAAAUUAAUCCUUUGUCCUCUUAAUUUUUGGCCCUUAAUAUCCGAAGCCCACUCGUGCGAUAAUCUUUUAUUUCUCUUCCAAUUUAAUCCUUUAAGCUUUAUUUAUUUUUCAAUGCCCAGUUAAUUUUCCUGUUCAAUAAAAAUAAAUAAAUAAAUUAAAAAUAUAAUGACAAAAGACUAAUUAAUAUAUGAUUUAGAGGGGAAAGAUAUCAAUAAAUUACGCUCAUCAGGUUUAUAAGUCAUUUAUUGGUAUGGGGUUGGUACACUUAGUAUAUCAUAUACCAGGCUGAGAUUUCUCAAGGAAGACUUGAGUCUCUGCUUAAUUUCUAGACCAUUAUUACGGAUCUUACUGGAUUGCCUAGGUCAAGUGCCUCGUUGCUCGAUGAGGGAAUUGCUACUGCUGAGGCAAUGGCUAUGAGCAAUAACAUACAGAAGGGAAGGAAGAAGACUUUUAUUAUUGCUAGCAAUUGCCACCCUCAAACAAUUGACAUUUGUGUUACUAGAGCUGACUAGAGCUGAUGGUUUUGAUCAUAAACUUGUUUUUUCGGAUCUUAAAGAUAUUGAUUACAAGUCGGGUGAUGUAUGUAGAGUUUUGGUCCAGUAUCCGGGUAUGUUUUGGAUUAUGGGGAGUUCAUUAAGAAUGCUUGUGCGAAUGGGAUUAAGGUUGUUAUAGCAUCGGAUUUGUUGGUGUUGGCAAUGCUGAAGCCUCCGGACGACGGGGGGGAUUACAUUUGUGGUGGGCUUUGCUUAGAGGUUUGGUGUGCCAAUGGGGUAUGGAGUCCUCAUGCAGCAUUUUCGGCUACCUCUCAAGAGUAUAAGAGGAUGAUGCCAGAGAGGAUUAUUGAUGUUUGACAAGUCAAGGUCCCGAAAGGAUCGCUAGUGAAAUAACACAUCUAGAAGCCCGGUUACUCUGCUGUUUGGACAAAAACGGAAUUGUGAUGCUGGAAUCGUGGGUAGAGACGGCUAUAUUUUUGUAGGUAAAUUAAUGCCUCUGGCUAUUGUAUGCUCGGAAGAUAGAUUAUUACCAUACUUGGCAUUCGGCUAUCCACUUCAAAGGAAACUUACCUGAAACUAGUAUUGAUUCUUCAGGGAAAUCUGCUCUGGGAAUGGCAAUGCAGACUACGGAGAGGCAUAUCCGCAAGGACAAGGCUACCAGCAACAUCUGCACUCCUCGAGUAAGAGAUUAUUGUUAUUCCUGUCGUAUUUCUGUUUUACUUUAGAGGACUGCCUGCGUAGAGAUUGGAAAACUGUGGAGAGACUGGAAACUGUUCUCUAAUUUAUGGAUAGUUUUGAGACUGCAGAACCUUAUCCAGCUCAAGGAUUUUGUCACAAACAUGUGCAUUCAUAUUUUCUGCGCCACAAAACAUGCCCAACGAACUGACUUUGCUUUCCUUGAAUAAAACUUUUCUUUGUAGUCAUUAGUAGUGACUCAUUACUCGGAAACACGGACCUGGAGGCCUUAAAACUAUUGCUCAAUGAAUCCAUGGACUAGCCGGCACUUGGGUUGAAAAAGCUGAGGGCUUCCCUUCAUUGACACUGUGAAGGUGAAGUGUGCAGAUGCACAUGCCAUUGCCAACGCUCCUUACAAGAGUGAAAUGAAUCUUUGGGUUGUAGAUAUUCCAACACUGUGAGUUUGUCUUCCAUAUUUUUUGUUGAUUGGUUGAGUAAUGUAUGACUUUCUGCUGUCAUCAGAUUGAGGGAGUGUUUUUUGUCUCUUAGGCCACUGCUUCCUUUGAUGAAACAAAACCACCUUGGCGGAUAUUGAAAAGCUUUUCAAAGUUUUUGCUGGUGGCAAAUCCGUGCUUCUACAUUUUUUUUUUGCAAUGAUCUUCGCUAUAUUAAUUACAUUGUUUGAGUUCUAAACAGAACCUUCUAUUGCUUUUUAAUAUUUCUUAGAUAUCACACACAGCAUGAAUUGCUUAGGUACAUUAAUCUGUUACUAUCAAAAGGAUCUCUCCCUGUGCCGCAGCGUGAUUCCAUUGGCAAUCUGGGAUCUUGCAUAAUGAAAUUGAAUGCAACUACUGAAAUGAUACACUGAUUAAUUAUAUCAGCUCGUUUAAUAACAAUACCUGCUGAUUGCAGCUCAGGUACUGUAAAUCAUCUUUCCUCUUUCUUGGCCUCAUUGUCCAUGUCUUUAAAUUAAUUGAUUACCAAACACAUUUUAAAGCUGGGGAACUUUUAUAACAAAUGGGUGAAGAAUAAAGCCGAGGGAGAAGAAUCUGUGGCCAACCUUUUUCGCUCCCAAUUUUGUAAAGGGUCAAAAUCCCAGUUGGCAUUUUAUAAUUUGCCAGCUGUGCUGUGUCCGGAGUCCCAUACAAGCUUUCAUUUACACAGUCAACAUUACAGCUAGAUUCUUGUCACUUGUGUGUCUCGUCCCGUUUCAAUUGAUUACCAACCCCACAUAAAAUAAAUACUUGCUAAACUUUCCGUGCAAGCAACAUUACUACGCAUAUUCUGACGUUUUGCGAUCGAAAUAUUCUUUACGUAGGGGGAAGUUUUAGAAAAUAUUUUUAAAACAUAAUACGUUCGAUAAUUUGUCUGAUCAAUAAUCAAAAUAUUUUUUAUACAAUUAAUAUAUACAAAUGAAAUAUUUACGUGGAUUCAAAUUUGACUCGAAUUAUAUAUAAGGCAAAUAUCAAUCCCCAUCUGUCAAUUCAAAUUAUUGCCUACAAUAUAACUAUAAAAUAAAAAAAUAAAAAAAGUGUAGUUAACUUUUAAAUAAUAAUUUUUUAAAAAAUGUAAAGAUAAUAUGAAAUUUUGAUCACAUAAAAGUGAGAUAAAAUCAACUUCGCUUACGAAUCAUAACAUCGAGUAUUUAUUAAGUACUUUAAUAUUAUAGUUAUUAAAAUAUAGUUUUCCAACUACAAUACUAAGUAUAUCCUAAAUUUAAACAUUUUUCAUGUGCUCUGAUUUUUUUUUUCUUUUUAAACAAAAAGUUUGAAGUGUGAGGUGCCUGCUUAUCAAUUCUACUUUGUGUAAAUCUUAUCCAAUAUGGAAAACUAUCCAAAGCCCAAAAGAACGUAACAUCAAUUCCGUCGGAUUCUAAGACGAUUCUGACUAGAUCAUUCGAUUGUUCCAAUUCCUUUUCGUCCACUUACUUGCCAUGGCUAAAUUAGAUCUCGAAGCCCUCUUUUUUUUUUUUCAAUUUUCAUAUUAUUUUGGGAUAACCAAGCUUUUUCUAUUAGCUCGAUUAAAUAUUUUUUUAAUGCCCCAUUAAAUAUUUGAUAACCUUAUCGUACAGGAUUUCGCAUCUUGUAGCAUAUUCCAUCUCUCUGAUCUACCAUUUUCUCUUCUCACCCCCUCAUUGUAAUUUACAUGGCCUCUUAAAACCUCACGUAAAUGGGACAUUGGAUUAAAAUUAUAGGAAUACAAAUUCGUACAUAAUUUUUUUUUUUUUUUUAUAGAAAAACUGAUGUUACAAUUACAGUGAUACUUAGAAUAAAAACAAUUUUAAAUUGUUUCGAUCAGUUAGUGAUAGUGUGGUCCCAACAUAUGAAUCUAUAACGAAUUAUAUAUACUGUUAAAUAUUUUAAAAAAAAUCAAUUCCAUACAAACCCAUAAGUCCUACAUGUAAAAGUGGAAUAGAAGAAGAUAAAUAACUUAGGGCCAGUUUGUGAAUGCUGUAACUUUUAAACUAAUUAAAAAUAAUCAGGAAUGAAGAGAGUCAGUUAAGUGUUUAGUAAAUUUUAUUUUCAGAAGUACCGUGAGUUUUGAAAGCAGUUUAUGGACGUUUAGUGAAUUUUAUUGUUAAACUGCUGAGAUAAGCAAAUGACUAAAAUGUACAUAAUAUAGGAUAAAAUUUACUUAUACAUAUAAAAACAUUUACAUACAAUAUAUUUAAUUGUGUAUUAUAAUAAUUUUAACUAAAAAUAAAAUUUAUAAUAUAUUGAUUUUAUAUUUUUUUCCGUCUUUACAUAAUAUAGGAUAAAAUUUACUUAUACAUAUAAAAACAUUUACAUACAAUAUAUUUAAUUGUGUAUUAUAAUAAUUUUAACUAAAAAUAAAAUUUAUAAUAUAUUGAUUUUAUAUUUUUUUCCGUCUUAAACAAUUGAUAAUUAAAUUUAUAAUAUAAUGAAACAAAUUUAAUAAUAAUUGACCAACAAAUUGAUAUUAAUAAAUUUAUAUUGAUGAAUUAUAAUACAAAUUAAUUAAAAUAUUGAUUUUGUUUCCAAUUUGAAUAAGGAUAAUUUUGGGUUUAGAUAAUAAUUUUAAGGAUAUUUAUGGAAUUGUAUUAAAAGAUAAAAUUAAUUCUUAAAAUAAGAAUCUAAAAGCUAUUUAUUCCCUCCUUUUCAAAAUAAGCUAAAAGAGAUAUUGAUUUUUAACAAAAGUGAUUUUGAUUUUUUUUUACUAAACACUAAAAUUAAUUUUUAGAUUUUCAAAAUUACUUUUUAACCUUCUAAAAGCAAUCUUAAAUGGGCUUUUAAUGGGAAAAUGACCGAUACACCCUAAAUAUUUAGGAAGAGGAUAUAAAACUCUUUAAUGUUUUAAAAAUAACAUUUAAACCCCAAUUUGAUAAUGGAUUCAGUUUGUUCAAAUAAUUAAAAGGUUAACAUAUUACAUUCCCUUACUAAUAACUAGUGAAUUAACCCAAAAAAAUCCUCCUCCAAAAAUCACAAACCUAAAAUUACAAAAUUCAAUCGAUUCCUAAUUGAAAAACUCUCCUCUUCUAUCAAAAAAUCACAAGCCCCUAAUAGAAUUCCCUAACCUAUUGCACGCAGACUCGUUGCUCGUGCCCUUAAGCCACUGCUCGUUCUAGAAUAUGCCAAAAUGUUGAUGAUGACGAUGAAGCAUAUCGGUCAAAUGAUGACAAUGUAGACACAGCACCUGUUGAUGACAAAAGUGGAUCAAAUUGGGAUGACGAUAAAGUGGAUGUUGGAGACAUUGAAGGUAGUGAAGAAUUGGAUUGUGAAAUAGUUAAGAAGAAGAUGAAAUUCUUUCUAAAUAUGAUUAAGAUGAUAGAGAAUAUGGCUUGCUUUUAGAAUGUCAAGAUGAGCAAUUAGGAAAAAUAAGAUAUUAAAUUGAAUUUCUAGAGCAAAAUUUUAUUUAUUAAUAAUUUUAUAAGAAAAAUGAGUAAGUCAAUAUAUUAACUUGUAUGUUAGAGGGGGAUAAUAGUAAUUAUAAUUGAAAAUAAUUUUUUUUGUUAAAAUUGACAGAAUCUUUUAAUAAAUUAGGAUUUAAAUUUUUUUUUCAAUAUUAGGGAGUUUUGUAUUCCUCCUUUCCAUAAAUGUUUUGGGUGUAUCAAUUAUUUUUUCUAAACUUAAUUAAUAAUUACCAAAUAUAUUUUUAACGGUUUAAAGAAAAAUAUUUUUAAAAAAUUAUUAACGUCGGCGGCCGCUGUACCAUUGUUGCGGUUGCGUAAGAAACUUUGUAUGAAAUAUUAUUUAUUCCAAAAAAAAAAAAAAAAAAACUGAAGUCAAUUCAGAAUAACGGGUCACAAGUCUCUCGCUGCACUGUAUCGGCCAAUUAGCCAGCCCUCCAUAAAUUUUUCUCAUGAACCACGAGUCGGUGAAUGAUUCCAUACUCCGCAGCUACGUUGUACAACGAUGUGCCAUCCCUCGUCACCUCCGUACCUUGCGUCUAAAAGAGGCAACUGCGUUUGCUUAAUCAACGGCAUUUAAACACCUGUAAUCGAAGAACCCAUUAUUAAGAGCUAAUGCACGUGUACCAAAACAAUGGUGUAUUAUUGUUGCAUCAUUAAUUAAAGCUAAUUACUUUUUAUCAUCUAAUCAUCGGGGUUAUCUUCGUCAUUAUCUAUCAAAUGCAACUUAUGCCACCAAUAAUAUUAGAUUGCAUUUACUUGUCAGAUUUAGAAAUGAAAAUUUAGAAUCAAAAUGAAAUCCACGUUAUUUAGUAAAAUAAGAAAAUGAAUGCGAUUUAUUUUAGCAGACCCCACAUUAAUUUGAGAAUUAGAAAUGUAAAUCUAAUUCCUAAGGAGGCUUUGGGAAUCAAACUCUCACUCCUAGAAUUUUCCAUUAUGCCCCAUUAAUUCUUCAUUAUUUCAAAAAUAUCAUCACUUUAAAUAAAAAUAUAUAAAUAGAAAAAAAAAAUCUUAAAACCUAAACUCUCUCACACUCGACUCCCAGCCAAACGCCAUUGCAGGUUUCUAUCACUAUCACGGCCAUAAUCAUCCACUAUCUUCGUCGUGGCUGGUCCAUCGACUGUGGACCACAGCUGAUUGCCGGUUUCGUAUUCGUUGGGGUGUCUUGAUUUCGUCCCCGUUUCAGUUUCAUCUUCGUUUCGCCGCUAAUUUCGUCUUUGAUGGCCAUGGUUCUCGUCCGAUGAUGAUGAGUUGCUAGCGAUGAUGAUUUGUUGUUGUCGUUGUAGUUGUCAACAAUGAUGAUUUCGAUUUUGACUAUUGUUUUUUUUUUUUGAGAAAUGGAUUAUUUUGUUGAUGAUGAUGAAUCCCAUUAUGAUUAUUAUUAUUUUUAAAUGGAUUAUUAUUUUGUUGAUGAUUUAUUAUUAUUAUUAUUAAUGAUAAAUUAUAAUUAAUACAUUAACAAUAAUUAUUAUUAUUAAGAAUGAUUUUUUAGUAAUCUGUUAUCAUAUAAUUCAUUCCGAAUUCGAUUUGAAGACAAAGUAAACGCAUUAAUGGAAUCUGACUCAUUCCGAUUCUAAUUCUUACCGUUCAAGUAAACAAUUUAUUCUAAUCCAUAUUCCUAUUCUCAUUCCAAUUAUUUCCAUUCUUAUCCAUUCUAAUUUCCAUUUAAUAAACGCAUCAUUAAUGUAUUGCAAUAAACAUUUAACAAUAUAAAUCCAAUUUUGUUCUUUAUCAUUUUAAAUUUACACAUAGCAACAACUACAUGAUUUGUGUGGAUUGUGGAAUUAAAGAAUGCAACAUUUUACAGAUUUUUCUUUCGAUUGUAUGUUAAUAUAAUACUCAAAUAUACCUAUGAUAUUUUGUAAUCUCUCUCUUUAAUAAGACAUGUAACAAAAAAAAAAACAAUUUAUGUGCUAUAAAUUUUCAUUUACAGCACAUAAAUUAUUUUUCAUUUAUGUAACACAUGUAGCAAAAAAGUAGUUUGUACAAAUAUUUUCAUUUUUUAAAAAAUUAUCAAAAACACUAUUAUCAUUGACCAUCUCUAAAUUAUUUAUUUGAUUCGAUAGUUAAGAUCACAAAAGAAUUAUUCAAAAUUAAUACUAAAAAUUUCAUAGUAUAAAGGAAAGUCCAUGCAUGCAAUUGUGGAUACAGUCAUAAAUUCUUAUCAUUGCAUUAUAAUUUUCAAGUCUAUGAUCAUCCAUCAUCAUAUUACAAAUUUGAUUCAAACCAUUGAUAUCACUAAGACCUAUGGAAAAUAACCGUUUAUUAUAAUUUUCAGGUGCAUAGUUCAAAAGCAGCCCAAUUGGCAAAAUCGACAGCAUAACCGUUGACCAAACAACAACCAUCCGAUCACCAACAUCACGCAAUGAAAAGCAUUACCCCCCACUAAACGUUCAAGAUCAGCAGACGUCCAUGAAAGGCAAUACAAUGUUUACUCAGCGUAGAAUUACAAAUCCGAUCCUUGACUCCCACACUCACACAUAUUAGUAGUACAAUUUAUAUACUUAUUAAUUAGUUUUUUUUUAAAAAGAUCUAUUAAUUAAUUAAAUUGUUUAAACAAAUAAAUUAAUAAUUAUUUUAUUUUGUAAUUUUCAAGUGUCAUAAAUCACAAUUCACAUUUCACGUAAGAGAGAGAGAGAGAGAGAGAGAGAGAGAGAGAGGUGUGCAUUGGAGGGAAUGGGUGAGCGGUUAAUUUAAGUGUCUAAAGUGGGGAGAGGUAGCUUGACGAAGAAUGGAUGCGUAUGUUAAGCGAAUCUGCCUUUAAUCAGUGGGCGUAGGUUAAGCCACAAGAGGCGAUAAGAAGGAGAAGAAGAAGGGGAAAAUAAUAAAAAAGAAAUUACGAAAUAGUUGCCAUCAUCGUUCGUCGUUGAUGAAUCAUCGAUGUCGAAAGUGAAGCAUCUACUAAGAAAGCUCCACAUCGGCGGCGGAUUAAAUGAGCAUCAACGACUGCCCGAUGCCCGCCCCGUUAUCAAUCCGAGCCCCAGCCCUAGUCCCAGUCCCAGUCCCAACGCUACGCCGUCGUCGUCAUCUCCUAGCUCGGGGACAUUGGGGAGAAUCGGGGCCGUUGAAUCGGCGGCUAGUGAUCGGAGGGAUGGGGACAGUGGAGUAGAUUUUAACUUAUUGGAAGAGGAGUUUCAGGUGCAGUUGGCUUUAGCGAUUAGCGCGUCGGAUCCAGACGCCAGAGAGAAGGUUGAGUCGGCUCAGAUCGAUGCCGCCAAGCGGAUGAGUCUCGGCUGCCGCUCGGCUUCUGUCACUGAAACCGAUGCCCUCGUUGAGUUCCUCUCGCUUCGAUAUUGGGUGUGUAAAUGCUUAUAUUUUGUUCAAUUUUGGGAUUCAGACUAUUUACUUAAUCAAUUUAAGGGUACUAGGCAAGUUUAAUUCAGAAUUUUUAAGUUUUUCAUAGCUAUGAAUGAUUUAUCUCGGAUCAAUAUUUAAGAUCUUAUAUCUAUUGUUUGGUUCAGGUUACAAAUGAUGGUAGUUUGCAACUUUGCAUGGAUAAUUAAUUAUUAACUUUUUUCUUUCAGUACUUUUUCAUCAGUAGCUGUUGAUAUUGAAAUUGAAUUAUUGCAUCUCACUUCCAUUUAUUACUUUUGUUAUGAUUCAAGUGCAUUUAUAGAGGAACGGAGUGAAUUAGCUUGUUUUGUGAAUCUGAUUCUUUUGUCUUGUUUAUAUUAAGUUUGAACUGAAACAUAGUUGGAUUUAUGUUAAUUAUAGUGAUUGGAUAUGUUGUCAUUGGUUUUAUUAGUUUCUUCCAGAUCCCCGUCAAUGUAGAAGUUUCUGCCAAGCAGAUUGAUUGGUGAAUUGCGCAUUAUAGACACUUCCUUUUAUGUUGACAAACAAUUUAUACAUCUUUAUAUUUGCAUAGCCAGUACUAUUAGUUUCUUAAUUCACGGCAACAGAAGUUGUAAUAGUAAUUUCUUAUUUUCUGAUGUUACCAUAUUUACCUGCUUAUUUCCUUGUUUUACUGAUUUAAAAUUUAUGUACAUGUAACUCUUGGGAGUGUAAUGUUAUUUCUCCUGUAAAAAUUUGGGUACAAUUGUCAUUUUUGAAAAUAUUUAAUUUGGUCUAUGAAACCGUCUAUCAGUUUAUCAAUCAUUUUUACUGAAUGGUUAUGUCGUUCAUGGUCGAGAGAAGGGGAGAGAAGGUUUUUAUAUUCUUUACUGGAAUCUGGAAAGGUUAGAGUCAAAAUCAUGAUGCAAUUUCUUGUUCUUUAAUUUCUCAAGUGAUCCAGGAGAACUAAUAGUUUACCCUUUCAAAUGAUUUUUAAGUAAUUCUUUUUUUAGCUUCGCAUCUGUAGUUAUAUAAUCUGGCUAACAAAGGAUUUACUAAUUUUUGUAUCUUUCACAUGCAGAGCUAUAGUGCUGUAAACUACGAUGAAAAAAUUGUUGAUGGAUUUUAUGAUGUAUAUGGAAUUACCUCAAAUUCAGUGUCACAAGGAAAGAUGCCGUUGUUGGUAGAUCUUCAAGCAAUAUCCCUAUCAGAUAAUCUUGAUUAUGAAGUGAUUGUGGUAAACCGCUUGGUUGAUCCUAACCUUAAAGAGCUUGAGAAAAGAGCGUAUAAUGUAUCAGUUGAGUGCCGCUACUCUGAUCUCGGUCCAAUUUUAAGUGGCUUGAUACAGAAAAUUGCUGAUCUUGUUGUUGAGAGAAUGGGUGGACCAGUUGGCAAUGCAGAAGAAAUAUAUGGAAGGUGGACCUUGAGACGUACCCAGUUAAGGAAUUCUCUAAACACAAACAUUCUUCCACUUGGGUGUCUUGAUGUUGGACUUUCACGUCAUAGGGCCCUACUGUUCAAGGUUGUAAAUUUUCAAAUCGUUUUAUAUCCUUGGGUUAAACUGAAUCAAACGAUAUUUAUUCACCCUUUAACUUAGCUUGGGUAUCCUGAUUACUUUGAAUUUUCUAUUCCAUUGUUGGCUUAUUAGUGCUUAAUUAUUGAAGAAAACGUUUAGAGUUGUCCCCCCCAUUAUUUCAGCUAAUUUAAUGACAAAGUAUGUUUCUGGUCCUUAGGAUAUAUUGAUUGAAGUUAAUGAUUUUUUACUGGUGAUGGUAGGUGCUAGCUGAUAGAAUCAAUCUUCCAUGUAUGUUGGUUAAAGGAAGCUACUACACUGGCACAGAUGAUGGAGCUGUAAACCUGAUCAAACUUGAUAAUGGAAGGUAGUGAUCCCCACAUUCAAGUUAUGAAUGCAGUGCUUUUGAUUUAUGUAUAUUUCUUAAUGAUGGCCUUUCCCACCACCGUCAUCAUCAACUGUCCACAUUCCUUUCAUUUAUUUGUAUUUGCUGUAAUCAGUUUUUUAUUUUUUUUUUUCACUUAAUGCACCUGCAUGCUUCUUGUCUAAUACAAGGUUUAAUAUGAACAAUGUUUGAUUGUGAAAUUGUUUUGUUCUGAUGCAGUGAAUAUAUUAUUGAUCUAAUGGGUGCUCCUGGCACAUUAAUUCCUGCCGAGGUACCCAGCUGUCUUCUGCAAAAUGCUGGAUUAGAUGUAAGGGAGUUUCCCGAUCAUACAGAAACCUCAGUAAUUUCUCAUAUGGAGCUUGAUGAUGGAACUGAAACUCCAACUAUCUCACGACCAAUGCCUGAUAGGAUACCUGAAGUUGGCAGCACAGGGUCAGAGGAGGCUUCAUUUGUAGGUAAGAUCACAAACAAGGAUGAGUCAGAACUUGCUGAUAAAAAUCAAACUGAGAAAUUUGAGAAAGAUUUUGGGCAGCUUUCCCCAGCACUAUCAAACCCUUGUGAAGGCACAUCAGGCACUUCUCGAAAACCAUCAUCUGCUCAAAAGAAGAAAGUUAAAAGUGUUUCCAAGUAUGUCAUUAGUGCUGCAAAAGACCCUGAAUUUGCACGGAAAUUACAUGCUGUUUUGUUACAAAGUGGUGCAUCACCUCCCCCAGAUUUGUUCCUGGAUAUUAAUUCGCAGGAUCUGGGUGAAUGGAAGAUGCUUGAACAAGUCCAUCUAGCAGAUGGGAAAAAUGUAGAUAAUGAUGUUCAAUGUCUUUCAAAUAGGUUCUUAUCAAACCAUGAACAGUCUCAUGCAUCCUCUGUUGGAGUGGAAUCUUCAAACUAUUUAAAUUAUGAGAGUAGAAAGAGGCAGCCGGCAGAGUGGUUUGCUGAACAGCACAAAAAAUUGGAACCAAAUGUCAUUAAUUGUGACCUUUCUUUGUCCUCUGAUACUGCAGGCGAGAGAUUCGUUCUUGUUGGUAAUGAACUAAAGCUAAAUAAUGCUACAAGUGUAAAUACUGUUCCUGUUAACCCUCCCGGAGUUGUUGCCGGAGCUUCGUGUGAGAAAGAAAUUCCUGGAUCUCCCUUGCCCGCUGCAGCUGAGUUUUGCCAAAGACAACCUGAAAAUGCCUUGGUCAGUGUCAAACAACCGGUUUACACUGACUUGGGUAAAGAAUCUGCUGCUGACUUGAUGCCAAUGAUCAAUAGUGGCCUGCUUAUGACUUGCAAUGGUCAGAGUGACAGCAUUAACCCAAUGUUGGGGGAGGUUGCGGAAUGGGAAAUUCUCUGGGAGGAUCUUCAAAUUGGUGAACGAAUUGGUAUUGGUAAUGGUCGUUUCAUUUCAUUCAUUCACUCAUUCAUUAUUACUGUUUUUUAAUAAAAGGUAUCAUGCUAUCAUUUUUUAUAAUAAGGAUAAUUUUCUGUUUUUUAACUUUUUGAAUAACUUCAUACAUCUUCUUUGGAAUGCAUAUCAUUUUAUCAUAGGCUCUGGCCUGGAAGCUGUGUAUUUAUUGUAUUAUGAAUUAGGUAUGAAGUAGAAAUCUGCAGGGGUAUAAAGUGAAAAGGGAAUAAUUAGAUUUGAUGUUUUUAUCUGCUUUGCUUUCAGUCAGAUCAUCUGCUGAACUUGAGCUUGGCCUUAUGGCAUCAAAUUGAAGCCGCCAAUGCUUUAACUUUCACUUAGGAGUAAUAUUCAUGUCUAUCUGGAAUGGUUUGACUGUUCAUUCAAAUAGUUUUGGACAUGCCUCCAAGAAUCUUCAUACCUUCUUCAUAUGUUAUAGGCAGAAGCUGAUACACCUGCUUAACUGCCUCCCAGGGUUUUGGAAUCUGUGUUGAACCAUUCAAUGUAUGCAUAUUAGUUUGCUUGCUAUUUUUUCAUAUUCUUUGCUUCUCUUGAUGCACAGUAAGGAGUCAAAAGUCUGACUGUCGUUGUAUAUUAUUGGAGGCUUCUUCCCUAUAUUUUGUUUAAGCAAGGAUGUUUGGAUGUGUGUGCACAAAAGCACACUUGUAUUUAUUGGUAAAUUUGGUGCUUGCUUGAUUAUGUUAUAGAUGGUCAAUAAUCGUCUCAUAUGACAUUUUAUUUCAGGCUCAUAUGGCGAGGUCUACCGUGCAGAUUGGCAUGGCACUGUAAGUUAUGCUUUCAAUACAUCAGUCAUUUCUCAUCCUUCUUUGGUAGUUUUAACAUUGUGGAAUUUCUAGGAACAACAUGCGAUAUAGUAUCACAUGUAACUCCUUGAUGAUAUCCCUCAUGAUGAUUUUGCAAUUUUUUGGAAAACACUGUAUCUUUCUACCAUAUAACAUACUAUAUUGUCUGUUUUUUUCCCCUUUAUUCUUUUUAAAUUAAACUUCUUAUAUAGUAGUUUUUAACUCUUUCAUUUCCAAAUGUCGCCCUCAGCAUAAUAUAUACUACUGCAGUCAUUCUAAACUGUGGAAAAUAUAUUAAAAUCUUUCAACUGCUUGACUAACACUUUCAGUCUUUAACAAUAUCUUUGAAAUUAAUUUUUUUAAAUUAAUUGGAGAUUUUAAUAUGUAUAACUUGUACAGUCUUAUAGGAGUUCUGGUAUGUUCUGUUUUACUGUUAUUUUCAAUUUUGCCGUUUGGUUUUCAAAGUUAUUAAAAAGUUACGUUGCAUGACACAGGAAGUUGCUGUGAAGAAGUUUUUGGACCAAGAUUUUUCUGGAGAUUCACUUUCGCAGUUUAAGUGCGAGGUAAGUACCAUAAAUCAACUUCCUGUAUCGCAUUUUCUGUUCUUUUAUUACCUAAACAAACGACAAUCAUAAUUUUAUAUCAACUCCUGCUUUACUCUUCUGCAGGCUGAAAUCAUGUUGAGGUUGAGACAUCCUAAUGUGGUUCUUUUUAUGGGAGCAGUUACUCGCUCCCCUCAUUUCUCAAUAUUGACGGAGUUUCUCCCUAGGUUAUUUUACUUUGACAUUUAAUCUUGAAAUCUCGAGAAUUAGUGAGUUGAGCUCCAUUGGUCUUUGUUUCUUUGUUGUUCACAAGUCUGCCAAAAACUUAAUGAUUAUAAAAGUUGGCUUUCCAAUCAUCAUUUCAAUACCAUUAUACUUAAGUAGUAUUCUCCUUCUUUUGCUCCUUUUGAUAUGAGUAAUUCACUGAUCCUUAUAAAUCUUAUCUUUGUUCUGGGGUUUUAGUUGAUAAAUUUCAGAGGGAAAAUGGAAAAAUAAAUAAAUAAAAGAGCAAUCAAAAUCUAACUAUCACUAGGUUGUAGAGGCAUUUUACCACUAUGACUGCUAUUAUGUGCACUUGCAUUGUCUUUGCUUUAUAUGGAAACUUUACAUUCUUUUCUGAGAUAUAUUUCUGAUCCAUUUGUUUGUGGGAAAUCCUGUUUCUGCAAGUCAUAUCAAUGUCAGUGUUUCUGCCAAAAAACUUCUGAAACAAUGAUUGUUAUUUAUUAAGUAAAUUAACGAUAUCUUGUCUUUCUUCUCUUUCUAUUGGUGCACAGGGGGAGUUUAUAUAGGUUACUGCAUCGUCCCAAUCAUCAACUUGAUGAGAGAAGGCGAAUGCGAAUGGCUCUCGAUGUGGUAUACAUUGAAACAUCUCCUUUCAUUUUAAUUCCUCUAUAUUUUAGGUCUUUUCCCUGCCUCUUCCUUUUCCGCUCAAUUUAAACUUCUUUAUGCUUUGCAGGCAAAGGGAAUGAAUUACUUGCACACAAGCCAUCCGACCAUUGUGCAUCGAGAUCUAAAGUCUCCAAAUCUUCUUGUUGAUAAGAACUGGGUUGUAAAGGUGAUUUUAAACUCAAAUUCUGUCAUUCAUUUUUUUUUUUCCAGACUCUUAUUUAGAUACUAGACUGCAGUGUUUGAUCUUUUUGGUGACAGCUUCCAACAUCUUUUGUGCUUCUCUCUAGGUCUGUGAUUUUGGGUUGUCUCGCAUUAAGCAUCAUACUUAUCUGUCUUCAAAAUCGACCGCUGGAACAGUAAGUCGUUCAAUGCUAUUAUAUGAUUCUAUUCUUGAAAAGUCAUUAAGCCAUUUCUUUAGUAAUCCAGUGGGAAGCGCUAUCCUGUUAACGCACAGUAACAAAAACUUUAUUCUGUUGGACUGCAGCCUGAAUGGAUGGCACCAGAAGUUCUCCGGAAUGAACCAGCUAAUGAAAAGUGAGUCAAUUGAAUUUAUUCCGAUCCAUUUGAGGGGUUUUGGUAGAUAAAUUGGAACUUCAAUUGAGUAUGUUGCUUAUACAAUCAGACUGGCUUGCUUGCAGAUGUGAUGUGUACAGUUUUGGUGUGAUAUUGUGGGAGUUGGCUACCUUGAGUGUUCCUUGGAAAGGUUUGAAUCCAAUGCAGGUUGUUGGAGCUGUUGGAUUCCAGAAUAGACGUCUUGAAAUUCCAGAUGACAUUGAUCCAGCAGUUGCACAGAUAAUACGUGAUUGUUGGCAAACGUAAGUUCUAGAUUUUGUGAAUAUCAAUAUUCUAUAGCUGAGGUUAUCAGAGUACAAUCAUAUUUUGCAAUAAAUAAUCAGCUUCAUGACUUUUAUACUAGAUAUUGUAUUUUAUCCUGAUAGCAUCAGAAAAGAAUUGCAAGAAUCUGUCCAUCGUCUUUUUUCUUCUUCUUCUAUUGAAAAUGCUAGACAUGUGCAUUCAAUGGAGUCAAAAAUUUUGAAGUGACUUGAAGUUAAAAGAUGUGGAAAAUGAGUAUUCUUUUCUGCUGGUGGAGCUUGAAUGACAACAUAGUUACCAAAUAUUAUUUUGUUUGAUAUUUUCUCAAGUUAAAGAUAACAUUUAGUUUGAUAUGCUUCAUCAACAUUGGACGGUACUAUCGUGAUAAUUUCUUGGCUAGGGGAACGGAUUUAAUUCAUUUUUCAUAACUAUUUUCCUCUCCCUUUCCCUCUCUUGCAGGGAGCCACAUUUACGGCCAUCUUUUGCACAGUUAAUGUCUCGUCUGCGAUGUCUUCAACGUCUGCUUGUAGAUAGAUCAAACUCUACAAAUCAAUUCUCAGAGUUGCCAUAACAGUGGCACUGUAAUAAAUAACUGAAAGACGUUGUUUCUGGGCUCAAAGAGGCAGAGCAGCUACCAGUUUUUUUUUUAUUUUUAAAAAGAACUUUUUCCCCCCCUUGAAUUUGAUAUAAAGAAAGUUAGGAGAGUACUGGAAUGGGGAAAGUGUUGGUUCAUUCAAAGUGGGGGCUCAGCACGAUCCAUUCAGGAGACGGUGGAAUUCCUCCUAAUCAACAACUGCAUAAGAGCAGUGGAGGAUACCGUCAAAACGAUGCAUUCAGUAGUGUAACUAUGUAGUAUCAAUCUAAAUGUACAAGCUUCAAAAGAAGAAAAAAACAGGAAAGGGAAGAAAAAAAAAGUGAAAGAUAGAAAAUUAAUGAUUUUUUUUGUUUUUUGGGUUCCAUUAUUGUAUCUGUGGAGGUCUUGUUUGGGAAGCAAAAUCCCAACUCCUGAAUUGUAAACAUCUCUCUACAGGUUGUUGUCGAAACAGAAAAAAGAGAGAAGAAAAAAGAAUUUGUCUGCAUUUGUUAUGUUUCUUUUUAUUUGUAGUCUACAAAAUUAUUUUCUUCACAAGGUUGAAUACGCUAUGAGAAGUAGUUUUAGACUCUAGAAUUUAGCUAGCUACCUGUUGUAAGAAUGUCUUCCAUAUUACAACCUGGAUUUAAACCCAUGAAAAAAUUUAAGGCGUUUGUCUGCAUGCAAGAGUUCUAAAUAUUGUUGAAUCUGCAUGUGCCUUUGUGAAUUGUGAUUCAAUACGGAUCAAAUAAUCGCCAACCCAGAAGGGUACGUUACAUCAAUGAAUUGAAGAAACGGGAAAAUUAAAAUUUAAAAAAAAAAAGCAAAACGAAAGGCACAAUGAAAUAAAAAUCCCACGGCAAAUUGAAAUUAGGAUAAAGGCUAGUGAAUUAUAUAUACAAGUAUUAGAGAAGUAAGCAACAACAGCUACAACAAUGGCGAUGGUUUAUCAGCCUUCAACAAAACCACCCUUAUCAACAAGCUUCCUCUCCUCUUCCACGCACAGCUUGAACUUCCUCAGUCCAAAUCUAAGAGUCGGAGUACGUCAUCACCAGUACAGUUAUUUAAUCCCAAAAAUACCCUCGCCACCAUGUUUUAGAAUUAGAAGAAACAGCAGCAGCAGCAGCAGCAGCAGCAGCAACACCCCGCCACUACCAGAAACAGAGUGCCCAGUUCCAGCAGAUCAGCAACCAAUAAACGAGUACCAGAACCUGUCAAGUUCGUUCCCAUUCUCGUGGGCCUCGGGUGACUUCGUAGAGUACUGCUCAAGGUUGUUCGUCACGGGCGCUUCUUUCGCUCUCUUUGUUGGGCUACCCGUGGCCUGGUUUGGCGCUGUGGGGCCCGACUCCGAGCCUCUGGAGAGAAUUCUCGGAGCUGUUUCAAGUGGGGUAAUUGUUGUUACCCUUGCUGUUGUGAGGAUGUAUCUUGGUUGGGCUUACGUGGGUAAUCGCUUGCUCAGUGCCACUGUUGAAUACGAAGAGACUGGCUGGUAUGAUGGUCAGGUAUAUCCGCGCCAUUUGUUUCUUCGCAAUUUUAUCUAUUUAUAGUUUUAUACUUUCAGAUAGUCGGAAGCACAGGCCAAGUUGGCUGCAUGCUCAAUUUCAUGCACGCCCAAAUAAUGAUGAAAUCUGAAACUAAUAUCUAAACACUGUCAAUCUGUGAUUAGCCAAAGUGGAACUGUGAAUUUGCAACUGAUUAGCCAAAGUGGAACUGUGAAUUUGCAACUAACUUCUACCCUUUAUCUUGUGUUGGAUUUAUUAUGGGUCAGCGUUCUUGACAGUGAUUAGCCAAAGUGGAACUGUGAAUUUGCAACUAACUUUUACCCUUUUAUCAUGUGUUGGAUUUAUUAUGGGUCAGCGUUCCUCUUAAUAACUUUUUAACCAUCAUCUCUAGGCUUGUGUUUAGCUUUUCAAAGCAGCAAGCCUAUCUGAUCCCACUCACUUGACAUUAUUUGAAAUUUCGUGAUUGAACAAUCCGGUGCUGAAUGGUAAUAUGAUCUUUGUGUUGAAUUUUUUUACGAGGUUGUGAUUAUUUAAUUAAAACAUAAUAUUAUAUGUUAUAAAUUCACAUGUGGCACAGCAUCUUGCAUAGAUCAGCACCACUCAGUUUAGCACUUGGAUCUAAGUUUAGUUGAACAAGAUUGGCUGAGAAAGUGGGGGACAAGUUAUAGGCGUUUCUUUAAUGAUUAAGUGAGCCAAUGAGGCAAACAGAAAUGAAGGGGAAGAGAGCCUCUGCUGUUAUCUUUGAAUUACCAAGCAAGUAUUGCCACUUAUUAUUAUUUUUUUUCUUUUUCUUUCUUUCAGCAGAUGACCUGUAAACUGAUUUUGAGUUCUCAUGAUAUGUUGAUAUUAGCCUGAAUACUUUUUUCCUGCUAUGUUGCUAGGUUGUACUAUUUCUAUCAGGCAGUUUCCAUCACUUUUGAUCUAACUUACAAAGUUCUUUGCCAACUUCACCGUGGCGAGCUUCUAUUCAUUGCUUUUAUGAAAUAAUUUGCUAUAUUCAAAGCUUGUAAAGAAAUUUCCUUGACAGAUAUGGGUGAAGACUGCUGAAGUUUUGGCUCGUGACAGGCUGCUCGGUUCAUUUUCGGUAAGUAAUUUAUUGAAAGCAUUAGGUGUACUUCGAAUAGGUCUUUGAUGAUGGAAAUUCCAUGUGAACCAUGUACUGAGAAACUCAAUGAUUAUUGAUUAUGUUUUGUUGCUAUGAAUUAUCAUGAAAGGAAUCUUUGAGAAAUUAUGACUUUCUGCUGCUACCUCCGGGACCAAUUUCCUAUGUAUUCUUUUGAGACAAUGAAAUAGAGCAAGACUAUCUAUUACUUCAUCCUGUUCAACUUCCAAAAUUAUAAUAAAAACUAGUGGUACUUUUGUAUAUGAUUUGUUGGGAUUUACUUGCGUCCCAAACUUUAGCUAAAAUUGACAACUUGCUUUAUAAGAUAGAGGAAACGUCAGUUGACUGGAUGCUGUAUUUUCUCAAGGAUACUUGCUAUUUCAAUCAUAUGAGCACAUGUUAUGGCUUUUAAAAAUAUGUUGCAUUAAUUGUUGUAGAAAAGUAUUACAGUACUCUAAACAAACAGGUUAAUCCUGGUAAAAGAAGCUUAUAUUGUUUUACACUCAGAUAGCUAUUACAAUUUACACAUAAUAAAAUUCUUUCAUGUCUUAAACUCGUGGCUUUUGAUGCUCACUCUUUUUUGAAAACGCAUCCUUGUUCUGCUAGAAGCUUCCUGCCCUAAUUCAAUUUCAAAGUAGUGCUAGGACUUAAGAAAAUUGUUCACAUCUGUGUUUUGUUCUUUCGCAUUACAGCUCGCUCAAUAGUUUUAUCUUGUGUCACUCCUGCAGGUCAAGCCUGUGCUGAGCAGAUUAAAGUACACUCUAAUAACUCUAGGAGCUUCACUAUUUGUUUGUGCUCUUCUUCUCAUCAAUUUGGAAGGAGGGCAAAAGGGUUCCUACCUAACGCCCACAGAACCUGGGGACGAAGCCAUUCCUGGAGUUUACAACGAUGAUUCUGCAAAAUCAUUCGAGCCAGAUGCAUUCUGUGGUGAACCCAGUCCUCCUUGAUUACUUCUUCCCAGGCAGCAAUUUGUACAUUUUACAGUCAAGUAUGAAUGUAUAUUCAACAGUAUAUACUAUGUACAGGUUGCUAUAUGAUCAAUUUUAACAAUCAGAAAAUACAAAAUUCUUAUGGAACUUGGGUGAGCUUUUGCUGGAGUGAAAUGGGUUGAUUCCCUGCUCAGACAGCACAUCACAUAUGCUUUAUUAAUUGCUUGAACCAAAUUUAGAAAUAUAGAAAACAGAGAUGGCCUUAUUAAUGUUAAUUGACAUAUUUAAAUAGUUAGCUAAUUUAGCUCGCUUUGUGGACCAAAUUUCCGUCGCUUUUCACUUGGUCCGUAGCCCAUAGCUUUUCACUUGGUCGGUAGUCGGUGCCGAGUCCAAUCGCCGUAGGUUUUAUCUUAUGAUGCACUAAAUAAAUGUCACCAAUGUGGCAUGACACAUUGCGACAUUGCUACGUGGACGGGCUCAUGUAACACAUGGUACAACAUCGAUUGGUUCGAUUCAUUGGAAUUAAAUUCAAUACAUUGAAUGUUGAAUAAGAUCCCACCCCAGAUUCAACUACUAACUUUACUGGAACACGUCAACACACACCAACAAACCUUGUCAAAUUGUCGUCAUAUAUUCCGGCAAACGUAAAUAUCUUUGAUUUGAGAUUAUCAUCUCCGAUUUUGAACCCAAAAAUCUAAAACUUAUUUGAUUUCUAUAUUAAUUAUUUAAUUUUCAACUAAAAAAAUCUAAAAUUUCAUUUGAUUUCAAUAUGAAUUAUUUAUUUUAUUUCCCAAACAAACUCCCCCAUGUUCAUAACUUAGGUCUCCCGAGUCCCGACCGCAAAAACAUGAAAUAUCCAUUUUUGUAGAUAUAAUUUAGUUCUUCAAAUUUUCGUAAUAUAAUUUGUGAAAUCACCAGAAUUUGAUAGCAUUGUCAUAAGUCAUAACCCUUUAUAAUUCUUUAAUUUUAUUCAAAACAUUUAAUCUACCAUCUCACGUAACUUCAAAUUUUAAUUAGGUUAGGUGUGGGAUUAACAUAACCCCAACAACUUUAUAUAGAAACAAAAAAUCAAUCUUGAUCAUCAAAGCUUAAGAAGAACACGUGAAGUACACAAAAUUCCAUAGGAAACAAAAACCCUAAAUCUAUUUAAUUCAAAUAUUUUAAAUAAACCAAAUCAUUAAUCAUAGAUAAAGUAAAGCAAACAAAACAAAAAGUGACCCUAUUACACCAUUGAAACUAUUCAGUUGGGAAGGUAAUUAAUUGCUAAUAGCAAAUUAAUUUCAUUAAUUAAAAAGCAUUAAAUGAAAAGAGAGGUUAAAGGUGUGGUGAGAUGGGACCCACCAGUGAACUGAAAAUCAGGUCCGGUUCAUGAACCUCCCGACUUUUCAAUCUUCACCUUCCAAGACAAGAAAAGAAUUAGCAAAAAAAAAUUGUGAAAAAAAAUAAUUAUUAAAAAAAAUUACAAUUUUGAUAAUUGCCCUUGUCACAUAUAUCAGAGCAGUUUCUGCUCCUCCACCAUGACGAACACACAACACUUGCAACAAGAAAGACAAAAACGUUUACUGUUCUCAAUCUCUUUCUUGUGCACUGCAGCACCAACUUUGAAAUAUUUGUUUCAAUUCAACUCUUUGCCUCUCCAUCAGCUGCCUGCAUUCUUUACAGGUUAGUGAAGGAAAAAGCCAUCAUUUUAAAAUUUUAUGAGCACCCUUUUGUUUCUUUCUGGUUUCUAGUCGAAUGAAUUGCAUAAAGGUCAGAUCUUUUUGUUCUUGAAUGUGUAGUGAAACUGUGGAACUACAGUUAUAAGAAGUCAUCUGGGGAUGUGUUUGCAUGGUAAGAAAAACGGUAGAAAAUAAAUGGGAAAGGGAGAAAACCAAAUAUCAGGUACCAUAGCUCCUGGGAUAGGAAAUCUUGUCAAUCUGAGGGGGAGGUGGAUUUUUAAUGUUUUGAUUUUUAUCUGAUAAUUUAGCUAUCCAAUGAAGUUUUUGCAGGGUUAAUCUGAUUAUUAGAUGUCUUUAAGAUUGCCUCUACUAAAAGCUUUGUGAAAGCUUUUAACAAGAAUCAGAAGUAUAUUGCUUAGACGCGCUUGCUGUUGGUAUCUGGUAGAUUGAAUGUCAUCAAGGAAAAAAAUUAGGUUGUUCAGGCAAGAAGUACUUGCAUCGGGGAUUUAUAUAUUUUUUGUGGGUUCAGAGAAUCUGUUAUUGUCUUUGAAUUAAUGUUCGCAAUGCUUUACUGCUUUCAUGGUAAGAAAGUUACUGCCUAAAAUAGGAAAAUAUUUUGCCUUCGAAGCACAAGUGGUAAAUUAUUUGAACAUGAGGCGCUGUCUUCAGUUUGGUUAUUAAGAAAGUUGCUUUUAGAAGACAACUGUAGGAUUUGCAUUUCUUUGUGUCCUUGACUUAAGAUUAUUUUUCUGUUUUCAUACUCUUCGCAAUGACACUAAAUACCAUUAAUGGUUUCGGUCUUUGUUGACUCUGAAAGUCUAAAAAGAUUUAGUUGUGUUCAGCACAUUUUUUGCUCUAUCUUUAUUAAUCAAUCCCUCCACUGAUCUAUUGUUGGCUUUCAACAUAAGUUGGGAGCCUUUUGAUGAGCUUCAAUUUUCAGUUGGAGGUUGAGGGGACGAUGAAUGAGCUUAGUUUAUGAUACAAGGACCUUUUUGAUUCUAGUUGAAUUUGUCAUACAUAAUAAAUGCCUAUGGUCCUAUAUAAUGUUAGAUGGCAACUAAGGAUUCUUGGAGUGAAUCCAUGUGGUGAGGAGUGGAGUUUGGCACUUUUUCUCUUUCUUCACUCCUUGAUGGAAAUGCUCUAAGUCUAAUAGUUUAAUAUCUUUCGGUCUAAUAAAUGAAUUAUAUGUAUUUUAGUUUUUGGAGCUAUGUGGAAAAAAACUUAGGUUUGUGAUAUUAUAGUAUAUUUGGACUAUUGUUGGCAGUGCGGCUGCACGCGCCCAAAUGUGGGAUUUGUUUUUUUUUUUUUUAAGAUAACUUUCGGCUGCACGCGCCCAAAUGUGGGAUUUGUUAUAUUUGGACUAUUGUUGGCAGUGCGGCUGCACGCGCCCAAAUGUGGGAUUUGUUUUUUUUUUUUUUAAGAUAACUUUCUACAAAAGGAAAAGUACUGCAAUCUGUCAUUUGAAGGUUGGUUGAGCUACAAAGAGUCAAUACUCCCAAGAUUGCAAUGCCAUUCGGUGAACAUGCUUGAAAUGGGGCUAAACAUUAAAUAAUGUUAGCAAAGUAGAUGUUGUUGGUUUCGUGUCUUGAUGUUACUUGACAUAAUUAACUAUUCAUGUUGAAGAAGAAAGAAAGAAUCUUUCAAAGAUAUUUGGGAGUGAGAACAAAUUAAUCACUGGAUCCAUUUUCUCCUAUAUAUGAUUGUCUUUCCCUAUUAGUAGUCACGAAUUCAUGAUUGUCCUGAAAGGAAAGUACCAUUCGAGAGGAACAAUGUCUUUUGAGUUGCAAUAAAUGUCAAUGCAUACUAUAGUGGAUUCAGUUUCAAUACCUAGAUUAUUCUGAUUAUAGUUACAUGCGUGAUGGAGUAGAUUGGAUUGGGAUUUUGUAAAUAAUUAGCAUGAGCUUACUGAAUGUUGUGGAGACUCAUGAUGGAAACUCUCAAUACCAAAGAUUUCUUUUGCUUGUCUAUUGGCCUUAGUCAGCAUUGAUGAUUUUAACACUUGUUGAAUUUUUUCGCUCUAUAUCUUUUUCCAGUUUUUAUGGGCAUUCAUUUUGAAUCAUUUCUAAUAAAGGCCUGUCUUCGUGUGUGUAUGGCAGAAUUAUUGGUUUGCUUAUCUUAUCGGAAAUAAGUUAAUUAUGUCUGAAGGAGUAAUUUGACAUAGUGAUACUACUACACAGAAAUUGCAUGACACCAUUGUCACAGUGAAAACUUCUUAUAAUGAAUAUAAAAGCAGCUUAUGACAUUGAACAUGUGAGCUCUACGUCCAAAAUUGACCAUGAGCUUUGGCUACUCGACGAAAUUAAUCCAAAGGCGGCGAGAUUCCCAUGCUGUUUAGUUUGGACCCCUCUCCCGGUCGUCUCGUGGUUGGCACCUUUCAUUGGACAUGUUGGUAUUUGCAGGGAGGAUGGAGUUAGUUUGGAUUUUUCCGGAUCCAACUUGGUGAAUGUUGAUGAGUUUGCUGUUGGUGCCGUUGCCAGAUAUCUUCAGCUUGAUAGGAAACAGGUACACAUUUUUUGUAUAAUGUUUGUGCCAAAAUUUACCCUGUUAUGUUUCAUAUUUUUGUUCUCUCCCACUCUCGUUUCAUUAAAAUACACACAAAACUUGUCCUUUCACUAUCAUUAUUAUCAAUAUUUGUUUUUAGCUCGAGAACUUGGUUUCUCAUGCUUUUGCCAAAUGAAUCUAUUUCGUUGUUGAUUCCAGUAACCGAUUUAAUCUCUCAAUUACUCGAGUGUAUUCAUCAUUAGUUUACGGAAGAGACAGUUUAAACUGCAUUAAACUGCCAGCAAGUCACCUGACUAUUUUAUUGUGUGAAUCAGUGUUGCUUUCCUCCAAAUCUAUCUGGGCACACAUGCAAGCAGGGCUAUCAGCACUCAGAAUUUGGAACUGCAAUGACAUGGGAUGAUGCCUUACAAUUGAGUAACCGUCAGUUUGAGCAUAGAACUUACAACAUAUUUACAUGCAACAGCCACUCAUUUGUUGCAAAUUGUCUAAACCGGCUCUGUUAUGGUGGAUCAAUGAGUUGGAACAUGACCAAUGUAGCAGCUUUGAUUCUGUUUAAGGGGCAUUGGGUUAAUAGCACGUCAAUCAUUCGAUCCUUCCUCCCAUUCACUGUGGUGGCUUGCUUAGGUUUAUUAAUAGUUGGCUGGCCGUUCUUGAUCGGGCUGUUCUCACUCUCUUUCCUCCUCUUGGGUUGGUAUCUGUUGGGUACAUACUGUGUUAAAGGCCUACUAGAGUGCUAGUCACCCGUGUUCAUGUUCUAAGGUUUUAUUCUCUAGAAAAGGCAUGGGUCGGUACAGUCGAGUGAGAGCGAUGUUUAUAAUACAUGGUAUAAGAGUUGGCAUUAAUGAACUGAACUAAAUCUAAAAUCAAAAUAUAUAUCUUUAUAAGAAAGGAAACUGUUAAGCGUUUGUCUUAAAUUCCUUUGAUUUCUCGUUUCUCUUUGUGGUAGCUGUGUCGAUCUUGGUUCUAGUUUUCAUUGAGACUGUACAUGGUGCAGCAUUGAGUGCUGGGAUAAGGUAGCACACUGACGCCACAUGAUUCAUUAAUUUGGGUGAAAAGUGUCCACAGUUCAUGUCCAUUAUAUCAUCCAUUCAGCUUGUUUACAAAAUAAGUUCCGUUUAAUGUUGGUUACUUUGCAAAUAAUAGAGACGUUGUAAGCAUCAAGUCAAGAUGCCCAAAUUUGUAUGGGUUUUCCUAAAUUAAUACCAUACAUUCAAAUAUUCAAAAGCAAAUCUACAAAAUAAUUCUUUCUUGAAAUUUUUGCAUUCCAUCAGUAUAAACAGUUUCUGUUCUUUACCCAAAAUGAGAAAAACACAUCAGAAGUUUUGACAAUUUGUACCAGGUAUGCAAUUUGAAGUUAGAACUGCCACACGACUAGCAUUAAGUAAGCUCCUUUUCAUGGCGGGCAAAUGCGAGUGUUAAGCGCGUCUUCUGAUCAGGGUAUUCAUUUAGAAACACAAAAUCAAGAACAACAUCAACAGAGGCUGAUAUGUGAUUUGAAAUUAAAACUGCCACACAACUAGCAUUGGUAAGCCCUAAGAACAACAUCAACAGAGGCUGAUAUAUGAUUGAAGUUAAAACUGCCACACGACUAGCAUUAGUAAGCCCCUUUUAAUUUGGGGAAAUGCGAUUAUUAAGCACGUCUAAUCAUCAAGGUAUUCAUUUGGCAUCACAAACUCAAGAACAACAUCAACAGAUGCUUGAGUAUGACAUCCAAAAGUGCAUGAUCCUGGGCUUAUCUGUUUACCAAUACCCAAAGGCUGAGCAACCAUCCCAGAAUAGUACACUUUUGAAAGGAAUCCAUUUUAUGCUCCAUACUUUGGGGCCUUCCAAAGCUUAAAAGCAACUUCAUGCAGAAAUCUAUCAGCUGGUAUUGUGAGAUAGCCACCAUGCUGCAACGGCAACAAAAAUGAUGCACAAGUACCUUUAUUAGUAAAAUCAAUAAACCAGAAGCCCAUGAAUUUAUGUCUACCUGGAUGAUAUUCAGAUAGAGAACCAUUAAUUAUGACAUGUUCUGAAGAUAAUCAUAAUGUUCUCAUGAAAAUAAACAAUUUGAAGUAAGGUAUGAUUUGAAACAGGACCAAUCAAACUUCAUUUUGUUUUUAGGCAAAGCUCAAUAUAAGAUCCAACAAAUCAAUCUAUACCUCUUUAAAAUCUUUAAAAGAAAAUGUCUCUGCCAUAUCUUUGCGGGUGACAGCAUACUGCCAUUGAGAGAUAAGCAUUGGGCAAUGGUGCCUGUUGAUUACAAGUUAGCAAUAUUCGUCAGAUACUGUAAACAGGAUGUAAGAAUCAACAAAGUAUUUUCCUACCUAACAUCAUUCCGCGGAGUUUCUCCUUUCAUAGUGUAACUUUGACGAGGGAAGAGCGCUGAAAGAUCAGAACUUUUCUCAUCGAUAGAAAUCAAAACUGAAAGAUUGGAAUUAUCUGCCUCCAAAACUUGUCCAUAGCUCAAUACAACAGACAAGUGCAAACGUGAACCAACUUCAGUAGCAGGUUGAGCCAUUUGUAAUAUAACACGGACCAAAGCAUUGAUAUAUUCCAAAUCAUGAGCAACGGCCUUGCCUUUGUCGUCAUUCGUCUUUUCACCAGCCCCAAUGUGCACCAAUACUAAAUCAAAUUGGCUCACUUCUUCCAUCUUCCCUCUCUGAAGCCCUAACAACUUCAGCAACUCCGAGGCCACAACAUCAAUUGGUGAUCCAGAAAGCGAAUCACUUGUUUCGAUUAACUCAUUUAAUUGCAAUGUAGCAAAGCCAAGUUUGUCACCAAAAGAUUUCAACCUUGAAUUAGUUGUGAUUAAAGCGGCUUUCAAUCCCAUGAACCUGAAAUGUAAGGAAUAAGUGUGUUAGCCAAUCUUGACAACGCGCACUUUAACAUACAGUUCUCAUUCAUAGUAAGUCUAAGCAAAUGAUACCUAUCGGAUAUAGUUUGAAAUGGUGACUUCUCCUCCCAUUUUAGUUCAGUAGUAUGUUCUCCAAUCUAAUAUGAGAACUAACAAAUUUUAGACUGGUACAAAAUUAAAUUUUCCAAAUUCUGAAAGUCUGUGAAUCUUACUCCACUGAGAUAAUCUUGAUUUGCAUCAAUCAAUACUGCGAACUCUCUAACAAUUCGCUCUUCCUCGCUUUCUGCAAUCUAAAUCUAAGUAAAUCCCAACAAUCACAGAUGUAGCAACAUUCAUCUGUAAGCUGAGACGAUUAAAAAUAAUGAAAAAAAAAAGGCAUGAAGAUAUUAAAUUGCAGCUCCGUGCUGCUGGACAAACAAGAACAUGCAAACAUUCAGAACCUUGAAACUCUAUACAAACAUGAGCUAGCUGAAGAUAAUUGAUCAAUAAUUACACCUAAUUUGUGUUGAAACAACAUACGAUCUUUUUUUUUUUCAUUAUUCCUCUGAUCUUACAUGCGAUUUUCAAUAAUCCAAAUAAAGCAGUAUCAAAUUAAAGCAGCAAUAGCAAAAAAUGAAUGAAAAGAAAAAAGAGAAGCAAACCUGAGGGAGGUGCAAUAGGAAGGCUCAAAAAGCCACAGGCAGCUUUAGAUGCAAGUGAGUGGAGAUGGGCGUGCGAUGGUUCUACGAAACGGGCCAAUCCGUCGCCGUAUAACACCAAUGCCUUGCUGGGUUUGUCCGCCAUUGCCUUGUGGAGGCUCUGGGAGAGAAAACAGUGUGAGUAUAUUUAUUCCUUCUUUUUGUUACUUUGGGAGACGGGGCUUGGAGAUAUUUGUACACGUGUCUUAUGCAUAGAUUCUAACAGCUGUAAAACACCCCCUCCAGCGAGACUGCGAAAGCCUCUUUACUUAUUUAUUUGUUAUCACGCGGUAGUAGAAGUCUCGGUCCUCUCGGUAGUUGGUACUCCUUUAUCUGUUUUUUUUUUUUUUUUAAAAAAAAAUUAUCUUUUAUGUGUAUACUUUAAUUAAUUAUACAUAUUAUCAUAAAUGAAUAAGAAGCCAAGCUUUUACAGGUUACAGCACCUACGAUUUUUAAUUUUUUUUUAAUUAAUUGAUUACGAAAAUAAUAAAGAUAAAUAGGAGAUAAAAUAUGAGGCUGCAUCUGAGUUGCUUUGGGUGCACCAUGCCCUUAAUUUUGUCCUUAUCUGCACUAAAUACGGUGGCACCUCCUUUAUAUAGAAACAAUUUCAUGUAAUCAUUAAAAAUUAAGAUUGUUAUAUUAUAAUAAAUUAAAAUCUUUUUAAAUCUCAUCUUAAUAAAUUUACCUUCACAUAAUAAUUAUUAUUUGUAUAUUACUAAAAAUAUAUGAUAUGUUACAUGAAAAGUUUAAAAUAAAUAAAAUAUGUUUUAGAACAAUAAUUUAUUUUUAAGAGGUGUUAUUAAAUUAUUGUAUAAUAUUUUAUAAAAAUUAUAUUGCGAGAAAAAUAUUAAAAGAGUCCAUAUAUUUAAACUUUUAAGAUAACUUUAUAUCUUUUCAAUUGUAUUAGAUUGAUAUAGUAUAUACUUUAUUCCCAUGUCUAUAAAACAGGAGAAAUGUUCUCAUAAAAUAUAUAUCAUGUUCGGAUCGGAUCAGGUUGUUAAUUAAACCCGAUUAGAUGAAUUUGUGUCAACUCGAUCAGAUCGUGAUCGGAUCGGGUUUGAUCCGAGAACCCAAUCAGGUUGACACAAAAAAAAAAUUAAAAAAAAUAAGAAACAAGAAAAUAAAAAAUGAAAGCUGAAACCUAAAUUGCAACUAAACUCCUAAAUCCUAACCCAGUAAUCCUAAACACUCAACACACACCAGUCGGUCCACACACACAAAGGAUUACAAACAAACACAAGUCAACGCAUUAAACCAUUAACAACACUAGAAAACAACACACAACAAUGACGACACAAGGCACAAGCAACAUCCCUCAAAUAAACGACAGCUUCCCUCAAACAGCUUCCUCUUAAACGACAGCACACAGUAUAAGGCACAAGUAGCCUCGCUCCUAACCCAUUACCGACAGCCACACGGCCCACACGUAGCGCCUCCUUCAAACGAACAAAACACAAACACAUAGCACCUCCCUCAAACAAACGACAGCCACACGGCCAUCAGACGCAGCAACCAUCGAAAGCUGACGAUGAUCGAAGCUGCUCCACGAGGAUCGUGAUCCGAUCUAUUGAUCUGUUGCUACUAAGUAUCAUAUCUGUUGGGCCACCUCCACUCUUCCAAUCCUUCACCAUUACCCGAUUCAGUUCGAGCUCCGUUCGAACCCGAAAGCUGUGACCCGAAUUUUGGCUGUUGACAUUUGAGUUUUGGAAGCUUGAGUUUAAGGCGUUGAUACUUGGUAUAUAUUCAUUAUAUAUUAUAUCUAAUUUGAACUCGAUUCGAUCCGAACUCAACCCAAAUAUAUAAUUUGAAUCAGAUCAAAUCGGGUUAUAUAUUCGGAUGAAUUUUUAUCCAACCUGAUCAACCAGAAACCCGAUCGGGUUAAUCCGAAUCAGACCCGAACCCGAUUUUGCCCAGCCCUAUGUACAACGAUCAAAACGAUUGCAUCUAUUUAAUACUAAUAACCAAUUAUGUGCAUAAAAGGAUAAUUUUUAAGGAUCUACCCUGAGGUUUUAUGUAUUUGCAAUUAAAUGCGUUGUAUGACAGUAUUAUCAAUUACCUCCCGCCGUUUGCACUUAGUUUCAUAUAUCGUAAAAAUAUAUGAGCAUAAAUUUAGAAAAUUGCAAGCAAAAUUCACACAAAUUGAAGCAAAAAGGCAAAACUCUUUUUUUUCAUCAAUGAAACCACAUAGCCAUCCCCAAAAUUAAAAUGCUCUAAUUCAUCUUAAAAUUCACCAAAUCCAACCUAUAAAGCAAUUCAUUCAUCCCAAGCAAACACAAAAUCUUCUCUUCAUGCUUCAAGCCUCACCAAAUCAAGCUCAAAUACGAAGAAUCCCAUUUGAAAGAAUAUGAAAGUGGCAACAUCGAAAAGUGGUGCAGUGGAUGUUGCAUAUUGGAAGAACAAAAUGCUGGAUUCGAGUGCUAGAAACAAAAGCUUAACAACAAGUUUGGAUCCAUGACUAAUUAAGGUAAAUUUAAAACUUUUACCUAAUAUAUGUGUUUACUUGGAAAUGUAAAAUUAAGGGCAUAAAACUUAAAUUAUUUCAGCAAUUGGUAUCAGAACUCAUGGUUAUGCAUUUCCUUAUAAACCAUGGUCAAUUUUAUUGAUGAAUCUAACUUGGCUCACUCAUGAAAUUUUUUCUUUAAUUUCAGAAUUUUUUUUUUAUUUUGGGCGUAUUUGAGUAAAUGGUUGUUGAAUAAUACAUGAGUGAUGAAUGUGGACUAAAAAUAUAAAUUUUUCAUAAUUUUUGAUGGGUAAAAUCGGGAUGGUAUGAACAAAAAUUAUUGUAGCUUACUAUAGUGUCAGUGUAGGUGCAUCCCGAGUUUGGAGAUAAGUUAAAGGGAUAAUAUAAGUUGGAUUCCUAAACUUUAUGAAAUUUCAUUAUGGCUUAGUUUUAGAAAAUGGUUGCAUAUGAAAAUUUUGUUUUGGCCUAGUGUGUUUGAAAUUUUUUCAAAAGGGUCCUUGACAGAAGGUCAAUGUGGUAAACUAUCAUUUUAGUUCCUAAUAUUUUAAUAAAUUUUAUUGUGUCCCAAUAACUUAUGAUAUUUUAUUUACAUUUAUAUUAGGGACUAAAAUGAUAUUUGACUACGUUGACCUUAAGUCAAGGACCCUUGUAAAAAAUUUUCACACAUGUUAGGCCAAAACAAAAUUUUCAUAUGUAAAUAUUUUCUAAAACUGGGUCAUACUGAAAUUUCAUAAAGUUUAGGGAUCCAUAUGAUUUUAUCCCUUCAACCUCAUCUCGCAGGGACGCAUCCACCGUGACACUACAGUAAGCUACAGUAAUUUUUGUUCAUACCAUCUCGAUUUUUACCACAAAAAAUUAUGAAAAGUUUGUAUUUUUACUCCACAGUCAUUGCUCAUACAUUAUUUAACAACCAUUUACUUAACUAUGUCCAAAAACAAAAAAAUCUGAAAUUAAGGAAAAAAAUUCCAUGAGUGAUCUAAGUUUGAUUCAUCAAUAAAAUUGACCAUGGUUUACAAGGAAAUGUACAACCAUAACCAGUGGCGGAUCUAAAAAAAUAAUUUAUCGGGGGCUAAAUUAGAUAAUAAUAAAAUAUAAAAAACUAAAAUUUUGAUUCUUGAAUAUGUAAAAUAUUUGCUAAUACAUUUAUAAUUAUUCUCUACGCAUUUUCAUAUUUUAAAAAUGUUAUGUAAUAGACUCAUUAUCAAUAUUCUUAAAUUUAUUGUUUCUUAUAUAAAAAACCAAACUAUCAUUUAUCCCAUCCGAUUUCAAAGAUGAUUCUUCGGAGUUUCAUUAUUAAAAACGUUCGUUCUAAUAUUAUUAUAGAAACUAGAAGAAUUAACCUUAUUUUUUAUAAUAGAAAAUAUUCUGGGUGGUGGCUUAUCAUUAUUUUUAAUUAAAAUAUAGGUUUUUAUAAUUCUUAAAAGUAAAAGUUUAAAUUUUAUGGGAGUUUAUAUUUUAUAGUGACUAUUUUAAUAAAUUUAAAGGGGGCUAAUUAGAAAAUUAAAAAUUUUUCUCUUUUAUUUUUAAAAUUGUUUUGGCCAGUGGGGGCUUGCUGCAUCCGCCCCUGAUCAUAACCAUGAGCUCUGAUACCAAUUACUGAAAUAAUUUGAGUUUUAUGACCUUAAUCUUGCAUCUCCAAGUAAACACAUAUAUUAGGUAAAAGUUCUAGAUUUACCUUGAUUAGUCACAUAUCCUAGCUUGUUGUUCAUCUUUUGUUUCUUGCGCUCAAAUCUAGCGUUGUGUUCUUCCAAUAUGCAGCAAUUUUAGCUUCAAAUUCAGCUGCAAAAUCUAGUUCCUCAUGCACUGCACACACACACAAUCGGCAAAACGAGAGAAAAGAGAGAGAUGCAUUGUACUAAUGCCCCAGAUUAAUGAAAAGUAAACUUACAAUGGGCUGAAGUCACUUAAAUACUGUCCCUGAGUUCGGAGUACAAAAUUGUCUAUCUCAUUAUGAGCUAAAAUAACACAAUUGAAUGUUAUAAUUAUCCAUAAUAUACUACUAUAUAGGGUAUGACAAAAUCAGACUUAUUAACAUAAUAUUUGAUUACUUAAUAAAUGAGUCUAUCAAAAUUACUGCUUAAUAUUGGACAUAAUCAUGUAUUAAUCCGGUAAAACGUAAAAAAUAAUUAAAAUAAUUUAUACCAGUCCACAAUAUGUGAGAAAUAAACCCAACGGUGGGGUGUCACUGGCCACCGGUGACUGAAGCUACACUGAUCAGACCUUGUAGAAGCAUAAAUCUGAUAUGAUUGAAACAAACCCAAAAACUUAUUUUAGGCUCAAAGCCUCUCCAUUUCAAAGUCCAAAUAUGACUAACCCCUAAAUUCGAAGAAAAAGUGAUUAAGGAUAAAAGAAUGGUGGGGGAAAAAUAUUGCCGUCGGGUGAUCACUGCCAGUGACCUGCUUUCGAUGGAACUGUCAUCGAACUGCUUCGCAUGUUCACAGCUUAGUGAUUCUUAGUCGCUUUAUUGGAAAAUAAAAUUACAACCAGGUUGAUGCUCUUUUGAAGAAGCUGUUGCAUGUUCUUGAAGGUGUGAUUUGAAUAUAUUAACAUGUGAUUGACCUUAAGGGUUAGUUGCAUGUUAGAAAUUAAAAUUAGUUUUAAAAAAUAGUUUUUUUUUCACAGCUUUGAAGAUGAUGGAUGGUGUUGAGAUUUUGGAUAAAUUUUAUUAAAAUUGAAAUUGGGUUGAUAGAUCUCUGUUGAAUGUAACUGAUAGUUGUUAGUUGUUGAAAUCGAAUCUUGUAAAAUGGUUGAUUGUUUUUUUUGUAAAAAAAUUGUAAUUGGGUUUUCCAUCUGUGAUGAAGAAGCAUUUUAUAUAGUCAGAAAUCGAAUCUUGUAAAAUGGUUGAAUUUUUUUUUUUGGGAAAAAAAUUGUAAUUGGGUUUUCCAACUAUGAUGAAGAAGCAUGUAGUCAGAACUAUAAGUGUGUUUGGGAGUGAGGUGCUGUAAUUUUUAAGAUGCAGCUGCUAUGAAGUAAAAAUUACAGUUGUGGAAUAGAAGUUGGGGAAAAAAAUUUACUAAACUGUCAAAGCCUAUGUACAAGUAUUACCAAAUAUCUUAAUAACUAGAUUUUGUCAGCCCAGUUAUCUCACUACAAUCCCAAACGGGCUACAUAUCUAGGCUGUAAAUUACCAGGAAGUUCACGAGACUUAUUAAUAAACAAUAAAUUAGUUUCUUCAUAAAUUCUUAUCGAGCAAUAAAAAUAUUGUUGAAUAUAACGAAGUUAGAUGACAAUUUAGGAAGCAAUCUUGUUGGAGAUGCAUAGUUUAUGAUCAAGAAUUCAGGAUAUUAUUUAUCUCGUGCUAAUACCAAACAAUAAACAGCAAGUAUGAAGAACAGAAGAAAGCGAGUACAACUAUAUUUCUUAUAUUACUAUUUGCUUCAUGGAACAAAAUGCUUUCUCUCAUGGAACCCUUGUAUAAUUGUUGUAGCAUGAGGAGCAAAUGAAAGAAAUGGGUUGUGAUUGAUAUUUUUUUUGCGCUUGGAAUUAGAACACUAUAUAGCUACUGCAAGAAUAAAAUUUUCAAUUUUUACUUUUGUUUUUUCUAAUGAUUUCCAAUGUUCGAUACGGUCAUACUUUGCAUUUAAGUGUAAAUAUGUAAAACCUCAGGGGAGAUCCCUGUGCGUAAAGUGAAUAUGAACACAUUAUUAACAACACUGUUGUUGUCAGAAAGACGGUAACGAGAAGCAAACGUAUAGUAAUAAAAUUUAGAGUGCUGCUAUUAACCCUGAAUUUACGCUCCAAAAAAUAAAACGCUUUCACUUUUAUUUUUACUUUUUACGUGUUGCUUCAUUUGCUUUCGGGGAGCAAAUUCAGGGUGCAAUUUCGGGAUAAAUAGUUUUUUCUUAAAAUUUAUGAGAGAUGAGCAAAUUAUUGGAUGGGAGGAAUGGGUGGUCAUCUGGUGCGAUAUUAAACAAAAGGGGAAAUAUAGUUGAAAAGUGGAGGGUGGCCAAACGAAUAAUAAUGAUAGGGAGUGAAGCAGAAACAGUAACCUGGCUGCUGGAGGUAGUUUGUACCGGCGGUUUUGGAGCAUCUGAUAUAUAAAUAAAAACGAUAAAUCAUCGGAGGCGUUAUUAUAAGAUUUAUAUCGACCUAAUCUACAAAGUCUUCGCACGAUUCGUCGGGUUCUUCAAUCGUAACUUCUUCACAGACAUACCAUACCCGCCGAUUCCGGUUUUACACCACUUCGCCCGGUCAGCAACUUCACAAAGAUACAACAUCGAUCAGAUAGUCUCCCAAUUCGACCCUCACUUUACAGCCUUUACUACUGGCCAAACAUAUGAGAACCAGUCAUUUGAUUGUGUCGGCAAUUAUUCAACCGGGGAAAAUUCAUUCACAUCCGUAGGAUUUCACGUAACAGUUUAUUUCAUCUUUAUUUUUUAAAUAAUAACUGAAAAUAUUUUUUUUAUUAACUCACUAUUAGUUAAAUACCAUUUGUUAGUUAUUUAUUGAGGGUCAAAAAAGAUUUUUCAUUAAAGAGAAAAUUAGAAAGAGUAAAUUAAAAUUGACAUAUAACUAAAAAUAAUAUUUAUCUAAUCCCACUAAACAAAAAAUAUCGAAAAAGAUGAAAACUUCUAUUUCAAGUAAUUAUUUUACACUUCUCUUUAUUUUGACGGUAUGAAAAAUCCUAUAAACUCAAGAUUUAAAAUAAAAAAUAAUUAUAAUUUUUAUAUUCGUAUAAAUAUACUCUCUAAUUGCACUGUGAGCUGACUUGAGCAGAUAGUGGUAAGAAUUUGGGGAGAUAGUAGUAAGGAUUUGAGGAGACAAUAAUGGUCGAAAAAGAGUGGUGUAAAGCUCAUAAUAAAAAUUGGCUGAAGAUUAAGAAGAUUUUCAGCACAUGCAAGCACAUAAAAAUUAGUUGUAUUUUUGAGUUUUUCUUAUAAUGAUUUAAAGAUAUUGUGGUAAUUAUAAUUUGUUACUUAUGAUGAUUAUUCAAUAACUAUAUCAAACUAUUUCAUCGUUAAUUUCAUUUAAGAAAAAAUUAAUAAAUUUUCCAUAUUUUGUAAUGUUAUUUAAUUGUGUAAAAAAAUAUUUUAAUAUAAUUUAUACCACUUUAAUAAAAAAAAUUUAUUUUGCCCUCAAUGAAUUACUAGUUAACGGCAUUAAACUAAUAGUGAGUUAGCGAAAGGAUAUUUUAGGCUAUUAUUUAAAAAGUAGGGAUGAAAUGGGCUAUUGCAUGAAACUCUAGGGAUAAAAAGAAAUUUUUCCCUUAUUUAGCCACCACAGUCGAUUGUGUACGGGAGAAAUUUUCUAAUACAUCAAAAGUAUAAUAUCAAUCAUACAAUAAGUAAAUGAUACUAUUAUAACUUUAUUUUCAAAUAUCAUAAUGUAUGUAACAACUAUAUUAAAUUCAAUUACACAAGUCAUACAUGCAUCAAUAAUUAUAUUACCUUUGAUCUAUUGUAAAAUUUCUGUGUACAUAUCAUUUUUUUUCAUAGAGAAUAUGCGUCUCUCCAUCUAUCUAUGAGGGUUUAAUUAUUGUGAUUUUUGUUAGUGAACUUUAUUAUGAUUUUUUUUUGGGUAGAAUUAUGUAGUUGUAUUUUACAUAAUAUUCUUUUAAAAAAAAUUGAAAGGAAAACAAAAAAAAAUGGUUCCCUAAUUUUCACUUAUUAAAUUUGUCUUUUGAAACUAAACAUGAAAAACAAAUUUAAAAAAGAAAAUACACCAUGUUUACGAUAACUAACGGAUUAAUAGCCUGUUUGAGAGUGUGGUGAGCUAAUUGGACUGCCAAAACCCAGCUACGCGGUUGUUUGAUAACACUUGGAGUUGGACUUUGGCAGCUUAACAAAUUUUUUUCACAACUGUGGAUUUUACUCCACAUCAUCUACAGCUUAAAAACUACAGCACCUCACUCCCAAACACACCCUAAAUCAUCAAUCAAACAGUGAAUAAACUCUUGAAUAUUUGAAAAUUACAAGUAAAAUAUCCUCCAGAAUAAAAAUAAAAAUAAAAAUCAUCCUUAACGAUCAGCACUAUCUGAUUACUAGGAAAAACAAACAUAAACGAGGCAGAUAACCCAGACAAGGGAUCUAAGACAACAGCGCUAGGCAUUACAUAGUUUUCCCGCUAACUGUGCAGCAGAUGUGCAAUCAGAAUCUAAACUAACAGCUGAAAUAAUAGGAAUAACCCAAAAUUAUUGUCAUCAUUCUGGCCUUGCUUGCUCUAUACUGACUUGCUAAUCCACCCCGUUUGCUGUGGCAGCUGUAUUUACUUUUAUUUUUUAAUUUUUUUCCAUUUUUUAAAACAGUCUGCAAGUUUUAAAUCACCUUAAUAGAAAGGAUUUUGAAUUUUCAGUCUUCAACCUCGGUGUUAAAAACAAAACUUGGAAAUAUUGUGGUGAUAUCCCUGUAGGAUGACAACAAUUAAAAUAACAUGAUCAUCAGUUUGGCAUGAUUUUUAGCGUUUAUUAGGUCAAAAUAGACAGUGUGGAUCAUAGGUUUAAAUUGCAAUUAGGCACCCCAAUUUUGAGGAAAGAAAAAGCAGAUUAAAAUGCACAAGCUAAUUACGUACGUCAAAUAUGGAAGAGUCAUGUUCUUUAAGAGGGAUGGAUUUCGAACUGCAAAUUCCUUCCAUUCUUCUUUAUUGAUUCUGCCAUCCUUAUCUAUAUCAGCAUCUGCAAAUGUCUGGACAAAUGGAUGAGGAUGCUAUAAGUAUCAAAAUGCCCCAGAAAAUGAGCAGCAGAAACAAGGAAAAAAAUUAGAAGACCAUACUUUAUCAAUGAUGGCUUCAAGAAGAUCAUCUGGCAAUUUUAUUUCAGAUUCCAUCAAUAUGGCUGCUACCAUUUGCUUCACCUGAAAACAUAGAACAACAAAUCAUCAGUUAUCAGUAUUUCAGAACAUGAAUCACUGAUAACAAAAUUGGAUGAAGUAUACUCACUUCCUCUCGCUCAAUGUACCCAGUUUGUCUCAGAUCAUAGAGCCUGAAGGCGACUGCAAGAAACAAAAUGAAACGUUUCAAUGAACAUAAUUAAUAUGGUUGCAGAUGAUUCCAAAGUUUUUUAUCUUGAACUCUUACAAUCAAUUUUAUCUUCUAUUGGGGCAUAAGGAUGGAAGACAUUGAGUGCGUGUACAAAUUCCUCAAAAUCAAUGACACCAUUUUUCUUUUCAUCAAAAAGAUCAAAAACCUACAAAAACAAAUGCCACAUUUUCAUACAGUGAUGUAAUAUAAAGAGAAACUUUCUGAAAUAACAAUUAAACUUCUAUCAUUUGACUUCAAACCAUAAAAUACAUGCAAAUGAAUUACAGAAACUUUAUUUUGUUAUUAAACUCACAAAAUCUUGUUAAUGUUGAUUUCGGACUUCCAUUUCUAGAUAUACACUAAACAAACUCAACAGUGGCCUGGGAGUUAUGUGAGUGACACCCUUUACAUUUCUCUUGUUCAAUAACUGACCCCCAGCUUUCCACCAUGUGGGAAGCAAUUAAACCAAAUAAAAGUCCAAUUCAUCAUAAACACAUAGGAGAUAGUCCAAUAAGAUUACCUACCCGGUCCAAAAAGAGAUUCUCGCCAUAUGGAGCUUGGAAGAGUGCCACUUGAAGUUCUUCCUACAUGAUAACAAUCAUUUGAAAUAGUCAUCUCAAUAUGCAAGAAACAAAGCACCAUCCUCACUCAAGAUGGACGUUAAUAAAAACAGUUGAAAGAGUGACAAUAAGACGUGCUUUAGAUUGCCUAUUCAGUGUGGAUAUCAUUUUAUGCCUUUUUCUUUUCCAACAAUACAUACAGCAUCAUAGACACCCAAAUUUUUGGGAUAAAUUCCCAGUGCGGGUAAGAGAUAGUGAACCAUGGCCCAAGAACCACAUUCAAGAGGCACACUCUUUCAUUUGGCAUACAGAUAUAUACCCAAUGUUAUAUAUUUGAUUCAACAAAUUUGAGUAAAGAGAUAGCACCCAUUAUAGCAACUGCAUCGGUGUCAUGCAAAAGCACAAAAGGACAAUAUACAACAUACCAAUGGUUACCUUUUCACAAGAUCACAUCUGCCAGAUCAACUGUUUCAUUGGCUUACUGACGAUUAUGACACAAGAAUUUGGCUUACUGACAAUUAUGAUACAAGAAUUUAUCACAAAUCAAUCAGAAUCAAAAACCAAAUAACAAUAGUUGGUCACACUAAUUUACAUGUCGUAGAACAAAAAUACAAUAAAUAACUAGAAACAAUCAGAGCUCACUCUGUCAAAACUACAUCAAGGGCCAAACUAGGAACACUUGUAGGAAUGGUUUUUGUUGAAGACACAUGCAAGGAGAUGGUUGUAAAGCUUACCUACCUAAAUUGUUGUCCGCCCUUUUUAUGCUUGAUAAAUGCAGCCCCCCCCCAAGUCAAUUAGAAACAAUAUGUUAAGCAGGUUUUGAACCAUGAGAUAUAAAACUGAAGAAAUUUCUUAGUUGAUCCUAAAAUAGAAUCAUAAAAACAAAAUAUUUGAUGCAUUAUUCUAACCAUCACCGUCUUGAAUUCAUGCUAACCAAUGAUCCGGACACCAUUAAAAAGUUAAUAUCAGAACUUCUAAGCUGAAAAAUAGAAAAAAACUUAAAUUUUAUAUUUACCUUGUGUAUCAAGCCGUCUUUGAUAAUUGAACAACUGAGAUUCUUAUACAGCUCGGACAAAGCCUCCAAUUCAUUAACAGAAACUGCACCAUGAGCAAUUACACAAAAGUUAGAACUCUCAAUCACACGUAUAAAAAAAAACACAAACACUUGCACAUUCACAAUGUUCAAAUUUUGUCACUCUAUUCUUGACGACAUUACACUUUGUUGUUCGGUACAAGUGUCAAAAGAAAACAAUUCAAAAAGAAAAAUCACUUGCAGCAACUACCAAAAAUAUAAGUCAACAAGUAAAAAUCUCUUAAUUUGCUUUUCACAAUAGCAGAGCCGCAGCAGAAGCUUAUGCAGAGCUUUUUGGCUCAGUAACUUACAACAAAACAGGGAAUUCGAAAUUUCUCAGCUCCGCAAACAAAUUAAAAAUCAACUUCUGCAAUCAGAAACCACAGUCCAAGAAAAAAAGAAAUUACAUCGAGAUUCAGCAGCAAGUCGAGCAAGAUCUCCGACGUCAAAGCGGCAUUUCUGGACUGGAGGCCGAUACCGAAAGCAACUCGCGACGGUGAUUACGACGGCUUCUAUUAUAGCAAUCAACGGUAUACACGCCGCACAGAUCCGCUCUCCGAAUGUCAAAGAGCUCGAUCCCUGCUCAACCACAGAUCACCAAAAAAAAAAAAAAAGGAAAAAAGGCAAAAAAGAAAAAUCAAAAUGAAAUAAUAAAAUACCAAAUUCAUGUUAACGUAUGUAUUUGUACAGACGACGGAGAUACGUCAUAAUCGAAGGCUCUCAAGAAGGAUCGGUUGGCGGAAGAAUCCAUUGAACCGAAGCCGGCAGAAAACAACUCAUGAGAACCGCGACUGUUUUUCUUUGAAUUUAUAUUAACUUCUGUCCGUCUCUCUGCUUAUUUUUCUGUAGGAAAGGAGCAAGUUGUUGGUGUUCGUGAAUAUGAAGCGUGUUCAAUUGGAAGAUUUCAUUUUCAUAUCAACUCAAGACACACUGCAAAAUUUAUCUAUACCUACCCAUAGAAAUUACAUAAAAUUUCAUCAAUCUGUAUAACUAGACAGAUAUCAUUCAUAGAUUUGGUAUUAAGGCGUUGAUUAGACUGGCGAAAACGCCGUCGACGUUACUGGAUUUAUUGGAAAUGAUGUUUGAAUGAAUGUUGGUUUCUCUACUGGUAUGAAAAUGAAAUUUGACAAUUAAAAAGAAGAACAGAGCCGGAUGAUAAUAUCUUAAAUUAUUCCAUCAGUUUCUUUCUAUUUUUGCUUCGAGUCGCUAUCAACUAUGAUAACCCCAGUUUAACUUAUAAAAUAGGGCAAUGAUACAGUACAAACUACCGCCGCGCUAAUUCAUGUACUUAGAAUUAAAUAUUUUUUUUAUAUGAUAUAUUUUUAUUAUUUUAUAUUUUUAUUUUUUUCAUAAAUUACGGGGGGGAGGGGAAAGAAGAAGAAAAAGUUGAAGACCAAGUUUGUUGGACGCAUCGAUUUGUUAAUUGUUGUGGCUAGUAAUCACCGACUGCGAUCUGCGCGUGUGUUCACUAUGAAUAUUAUUUGUGUCUUGCUGUCCGUACGCACUGAAAAGUAAAGAUUAAUUAAUCGUUUAACUCAUGUUUACUUUUUUAACAUUAAAUGAUUCAAUAAUUUUGGCUUUUGUAUGCUUGUAUCCACCAUAUCGAACGCGGCAGAUCUCCUUUUUAUCUUUCAACCCCGUCCCUUUCAAAUGGUAGAAUCUUGGACAAUGGAUAGUGCCAACAACCCCGUGAUUAAACAAUUCAUUGUCGAGGUCUGCGAACGCAAAAAAACAUUGUUGAUUUUGUAGAUAUGAAAUUGGCUUUUUUUUUUGGAAAAAAAAUAAUGAAUUAUUGUGAUAAUACCUGGCCCAUUCGCGUGACAUGGCAUGAGAUAAAAUCAAACAGAGAUUUUAACAUUACAAGUUAUGGCCACCUCUUCGAGCUAAGAUCAGAAUUUAGGGUAAUGGGGAUAAUUCUAUCGUAUUCCUACUUUCUGUCGUAUCGGUCGGUGGGUGUAUAUCCUUCACUUUAUACUUGUUUCUAGAACGAUGUAGAAGUGGAUAUAUGAUAACUAUUCAUUUUGAAAUUAUGGUCGGGACUGAAAAUUUUGGUAUUUGCAAUGAAGGAUUAAAUUUGAUAUAUACAUACAUACACACACGACAACAAUAAUUUGAUUAAUUGGUUGGCAAAGAUAAGCCAUGGAUCAUUCCAAAAGUUUAAUGUCAAAAUUUUACUUAUGCAUUCUCUACCUUUGUAUUAACUAAACACUUUUAUAAUUUGUCGAAAUAUUUUCAUCAGUUAAGUUUCUUUUAAAGUUCUUAUGAAAGGGAAACAAAAAGUUAUUUAUUAAAUUGACGAGCUAAAGACAAUUUAUUCUACUACAAAAAAUUAAUUUAUGAAAGGGAAACAAAAAGAAUGUGCAAAAGAAGCAAUUUAAUCUUUGAUAUGAUGAUAAUAAUUUUACACAAAAAAUUAAAUAAAUAAAUUUUCCCUUUAAAAAUUAAAUCAAUUAAAUCAAUUUAUGAAGUACCUAACACCACACGGUCAAUUUUACAAAAUUCAUAAAGGGUAAUUUUUGUCCUUUAAGAAGGAAGAACAACAAAUGAUGAUUUAAUUACAAAAUUCAUAAAAAGUUAAUUACAUAGUCUUUUAUGCUCCAUGGGUAAAAUUGACCUUUGAGGAAUUUUCCGUUACAUAUUAACUGAUUUUUAACGGAAUAGUGGGAAAAUGCUAACAGUUUAAAUGUUUGGUGGUAAAUUGAUAGUUUUACCAAACCGUAGUACUGACAUGAUGUGUCAGAAUACCUUUAGUGAAAAAAUGAUAAUAUCCCUAAAAUAAAUCCAACUCUUACUACAAAACUUCUUCCCCACCUUUGAUUUUGGAUCCACUGCACCAUACAUAUUUUAUUAUGAAUAAAUUACUUAAUCAAUAUCAUGCCUUUAGUCAAUAUCAGUUUUAUCAUUGGGAACAAAAUGAAAUUACUGACUGAGCAUUUUCCAUCGCCGUAAAUGAAAGUGAAAAUUAGUUGCCUCUUAUUACAUGACAUUGGCGUCUCGUUAGAUGACGGUCGAGUUAAAUAUCUCAUCACUGACGAAUAUUUACAAUUCGGGGCUUAGUUAUAGUUCUUAUUAACAAUAGUUAUAGGUUUUAGGUCUUUUUAAUUAAUUAACAAUAGUUAUAGGUCUUAUUAUUUGAUACAAGAAAUCAAAAUGUAAAUAUUAUACCACCAGAAAUGGAAUAGACUUGAAUUAAUAUUUGGUGAUAGACCCAAAGUUCAACUCCAACGUCUUCACUAAUUUGACUUAAUAAAGCUGUAUGUAUGGAAUAAAUAAAACUUCACAUGAAUUUGAAUCAAGGAGUCAUGUAUUCUUUUGAUGAUUCAAUAUUGUAUCAAGAAAAAAAAAUAAAGAUGAAUUGCAAAUAUUCGUAAAAGUGAGAGAAUUACAAACAGGAUAUGAUCGUGGGUCGAUAUAUAUGGUGUCCUUAAAGGAUGAAACAGUGAUAUAUAUGAAUGCUUAAAGCAUUUAAUAGAUCAAUUGAUGCAAAUAUCUUAAUUCAUGGGAAGUUGAAGUGAAAUAAUUUGAUGCUUCUAAAGAGAACAUGUUUGCAUGUAUGACAAAAUAUUUUAUUUAUAUUAAAUUAUUGAAUGUAACGCCCUUGGAGAAGCAUAGUCUACCAACUAGAAAAUGAAUUUUAAAUACCCUUAAAGAGAUAGAUGGUGAGAGACAGAGAUUCAAAUUGCCUUAUAAAAUAAAUAUGUGCAAUUUAAGAAAGAAGGAUCGUUAGCUCUUGCAGAGACAUAUGUAUUAAGCUUCGAAAAAUCUCAUCAGCACAUAUAUUAAAAAAUAACAAACUUUUGAUUAAUUAUAUGUCCGUACUUUGUGCAAGAGAAAAAUAGAAAUUGACAAAAGAUUGUUGUCAAUAAAAGUUUAGCUAUUAUGAUAAAAUUUUUAGGAUCCCAAAUUACAAAAUGUGAAGAUCACCAAAUUAUUUGAUUCGCCAAAAUUGUAAAAUAUUUGGAGCUGCAGUCCAUACCCUCCUGAGGAUAUAAAAUUGAUUGGUAAAUUUUGAAGAGCUUUGGUCUUCUAGUCCAUACACCUGUAGUUGGUAUAAUUUAUUAAUAAAAUGUAAAUUUGAACUAUAGUGCAUCAAAAUUAAAUUGAAGAAUCUUGUACUUAUCCUUUAAUGAUAAAAUGCUUAAAACAAUCACUUGAAGUACAAAAUCAAAAAGUUUGCAUUUUAUAUAUUAUUGAUAAAGCUAUUAUCAUAAAUGUGUCUAUUGUAAGAAUCUAGACUUGUAAAAUAUAAUCACUUGAGUGAACAUUUAUUGUAAGUGGAGUAUGUCCAUUAUCCACUUUGCUAUGUGAUUUUAUUAAAUAUUAAAAAUUAGAUUUGCAAUCUUUGCAAAAUAUGUUGAUGAUUUCAUUUCUUUUAAGAAUAAAAUUAAAGAUGAAAUAUUUUGAAAUGAAAUAUUUUUUUUCAAUUUAUGGAUUGAAGUUUAUCAAGUGGAAUGUUAAUAUUGUAGAAAUAAUAAAAUAUUUCAUAUUAAAAAAUUGUUCAAUUUUAAAGUAUAAUGUACAUGUUGAUAUUAAAAAGCUUAUGAAUUCAAUUUUUUUUAAGAACAAAAUUCAUGAUGAAAGAUCUCAAAAUGAAAGAAUUUUUUUCAAUUUAUGGAUUGAAAUUUAUUAAGUAGAAUAUUGAUAGUAUAGAAAUAACUAAAAUAUUUUAUAUUAAAAAAUUAUUCUAUUUUAAAAUAUAAUGUAUAUUUCUUGAUCCUGAAGCAUCAUAUUUUAUUCCAACUUGUGUGCACAAAAGCAAUAGAUAAAUUGCAUUAUUACAAAUUAAAACAUGUUCAUCAUAAACUUAAAAAACGCCAAAAUAGUGUGAGUAGUAUAUUACAUUUUUUCCUUAAUAUGGAUGCUAAAACUUGGUUUUAUUGAAGAAGAUCAACAAAAUUAUGAAGAUAUAUACAUGGCGAUAUUCUUAAAUCAAGAUGAUAGUAUCUCCAAUUUGUUAUAUGUUUUUAAGCUUUUAAAGAUGGUGUUAAUCCUGCAUAUUAUUUCACCAACGUAUUAUUAGUUACAAUAAAAUAUGAUCAUUGAAGCACCCAUAUCACUUUGAGCGGGAGUGCACUUAUUAAAGGGAGUUAUUGAUAUGGAGGGCUAUGUGCAAUGAAUUCUCUUUCUUUCACUAGGUUGUUAUCCCAUCGGGUUUUCCUAAUAAGGUUGUAAUGAGGUAGUUUGUACCUCCUUAAGAUACAAAUAGAUAGUAUAAUAUUUUCGCUUUGCUAUUAUUUUUUCCAUAGGUUUUUACCACCAAAGAUUUCAAUAAGGCAUAUUCUUAGGUUUUUACUAUCAAAGGUUUUAAUGACGUAUAUGCUUAGUAGGUUGAACAUCCAAGUGGGAGUGUAAUAAAAUAAUUAUUAUUUACGUAAAUGUUUAUCAAAGCAAUCUUUUAUUUCCCAGAAACAAAUGUUAACCUCCUUAUAACUCCCAUUUUCUCCUUAAUUUGGAGAUUAUUAUCUCUUAUAGUUAUGAUAUAUUACAUAUCACUUUAUAGUUAUGUAAACGUAAUAUGAGGUAUUUACUCAUUAUUUGAAUAUAUAUAUUAAUACCAUUAUUUGAAUAUUGAAUAAAACUUCUCUUUAUACAUUGUCUCUCUUAUUUAUUUUCUCUUUUUCUACUGAUAUUUCAUUAUGCUCUUAAUUGAUAAAUAAUUUAACAGAUAAGAUUUUAUUUAUUUUGUUAUUAUUAUUAUUUCAUAAUAAAUUCAGAUUAAGAGUCGCUCAAUAGCUCUUUAUUAUAACCGACUUUAAUUUUGAAGCGGUUAUUCCACCAUGGGGAUUACGUGUAGGGAUGACAAAUUGAUCUAUUCAAAUUGGAUAUCCAUAUAUCCAAUUCAAUUAGAUUGAAUAAUAUCCCUCCAAAAUCUUCUUAGAUAUGCAUAUGAAUAUUUUUUAAAAUAUCCAAUUAGAUAUUAGAUGGAUAUAAAUAUUUAAUGAAUAUCCAAAAUUCAGUUAAUUUAUCUAUUUAAAGUUAAAAAAAAUUAUAUUGUUAAACUAAAAUGAAAAAAACAAAAACAAAUGUCCUAGAUUCUAGAUUUAGCAAACCCUAAGAUUAUCAACAACCGCUCAUCUCAUUCUCUUAUCUUCUCUUUUCUCUCAAGUCACUGGGAAAGGAACAAGAGAUCCCAGCUCAUAAAUCCUCCUCUCCUUUUGAAUCCUCAUCCAUUUCUCAAUCGUCCUCGUAUAAUCACUCUCCCUCCAUCUCACCAAAUCCAUGACCAUCACUUCUGUGUUGAAGUGGCAAGGUAUUUUCCCUUCGAAAACCCUGGAAAACUCGCUUGGCGCAACGUUUAAGCAGAAGAAGAAAGUGAUCGAGCUCUUGAGAUUGUCUAAACAGAAGGGUCCGAAUAACGAAAAUUUUGUAAAUGAUGAUGGUUGUCAUUCUGGGGAAGAUGACGAUGAUGAGGAGGUGAGUGGUGUUGACGACUUGUGUUCAUCUUCUUGCUCAGAAAUGGAAAUGAGCUUGUUUAAGGAAACGUUUAUCCAGGUUCUAAAAUCUACGGCAUUCGAGGAUAAGAGUCAAGAGGCCUUGCAAGCUGUCUAACGAGGAGUUGCUGCAUUUGCUAUCUGCAGUUUUAUAAAAUUGAUCUAAUUAAAUCCAGCCAAAUUUGAUAUUGAAAUGAGUAUAAAUAUAUGUAUUAUAAAUAAUUAUAGUACGUGAAUAGUCUUUCUUCGAAAAUCUCUUUUCUCUGAAAAGAGAAUCACGAAUGGAAGGAAAAUGGGGUCCUAUUGGCUCAGCUUCGUCACUCCCAAUUGAGUGAGUGGGUCAGUUCCGUUUUGUGUGUAUUUUGAGCAGACUAAAAGUGUGAGUUACUAUAGAUAAAUCGCUUCCCCAUUAAUCGUCAGGGGUUUCAGCGAGUUAAAAAUCAUAAAGUGUGGUUGGUGAGUUAAAAAGUUAUUCGUUACCUUUUGUUUGAGCUACUAUGGAGACAGAAGAGCUCAUUAAGAAGUGUAGGGCUAUUUCUUUAGAAGGGGAAGAAGAGGAUAAGGUUUCUUUUGUCGGAAACAUGAAAACAAAAGGGGCUGAAAUUGCUGCAGGAUGUCUAGUCGGGAAGAUCCUGACCACAAGGGGAGUGAGUAUCGAAGGGCUUAGAACGGCAAUGCACCAAGCCUGGAGAACAAUACGUGGAGUGAGAAUUGAAAACCUAGGGGAGAACGUCUUCUUGUUCAAGUUUGCAUUGGAAGCUGAUAAAAGAAGAGUGGUAACAGGGGGGCCUUGGCACUUCAAUAGAGCUUUGUUAGUACUGAUUGAGCCAACUGGAAUAGGAAAUAUUGCGAAGCAAGCCUUUACUCAUGUUUUUUUUUGGGUUCAAAUCCUAAAUGUGCCCAUCAUGGCUAUGAAUACGGACGCUAUCUCAAGGUUGGGAGCCAUUAUUGGUACAAUCGAGGAGGUGGAGACAAGCGAAAAUGGGGAAUGCAUUGGAGAGUAUGCACGAGUCAGAAUCAAAGUGGAUAUCUCAAAGCCUUUAAAGAAAAUCAUUUUCUUGGAACCAGAGGGUGAGGAGAAAAUACCAAUGCCGAUUAGGUAUGAGAGAUUACCAGAUUUUUGUUUUUGCUGUGGAACCCUUGGCCAUCAAUUUAGAGAAUGUAUCAAAUAAUAAAGUCAAAAAUAAGUGGAAUGGAGGCAACAAUUCAAGGGAGGAGGAAUCGGCAAACCAAGAAGGCCAUGAAAAUCAACAACAAAACCAGAAACAUCCCAACUCAGACUCAGGAAACGGGUUAGAAACAACCCGGAUUGAAGUGGGUGGAGCUACAACACCAACGAGUAAAAGCCACGUGGCUAAAAUAGGUGCAGAAACAUUAAUGCUAGAGGGAGCAAAAUCGAUGGAACAACAAGUUGGCUGUGAUAAUCUGACCAUAAUAGCUGGCAAGAAUCAGAUGUUGGGGAAUGUGGAAAAUGAAGCGGGAGGAAAGUGGCGGGAAUUGGAGAAUACAAAGGAAAGCCAAAGUUUGGGGUUAAUGGGCUUAAAAAAUAAAGCCCAAACAAUUUCAACCGAGGGAGAAGUAACAGCCAAGAAAAAGCCCAAAUCAAAAAAAUGGAAGCAUCUGGCCAGAGACAUGUGUUCUAAGGAUGAAAGCAAAAUGAGCUUACUUGUAAAGAAACGGCCUAGAGGAGAAGCGGGAAAACGGUACCCAGAAGCAAAGAAAUUAAAGAUGAGUAGUCCGGUGGAGAGGGCAGUAACACAGGAUGGAGGGUUUUUCUUAGCAACACUUAAUGCAAGUGCAAAUUCAGAAGCAUCAGAUAUGGAAGAAAUGGAGGUGAUAGGGUCCACUAUCGAAGAAAUAUCGGCGGAGGCUGAGGGUCAGCCUCGCCGGGAGCCAUGAAAAUCCUCAGCUGGAACGUCCGGGGCUUGGGGAAUUCCCGGACGUCACUCAAGAAAAUUCUCCAAACACAUAGGCCACAAAUUGUUUUCUUAUGCGAAACAAAAAUGCUACCUAUGCAGAUGAACAAUGUUCGAGUCGAAUUAAAUUUUGAGAAUUGUUUUUCCGUAAGCAGGAAUGGUUUAGGAGGGGGUCUAGCAAUGUUAUGGAGCUCUGACAUAGAUGUAAAAAUAGUCUCUUACAGUCAACACCACAUAGAUGCUGAGAUAUGUGAAGAAGGAGGAUCGAAUUGGAGAUGUACGGGGGUUUACGGACACCCAGAAACAGCUCAGAAGAGGCACACAUGGACUUUAAUGAAACGGUUAGCAAUCUUAUCUUCCUUACCGUGGUUAUGCUUUGGUGAUUUCAAUGAAAUUUUACAUUUAAGUGAGAAGAAAGGAGGUAGUGCUAGGGAUGUUAAUAUGAUUUCUGAGUUUAGAGAUGCUAUCAGAGAAUGUAGCUUAGCUGACUUGGGUUGCACAGGGAGAUUUUUCACAUGGUCAAACCGAAGAUAUGGGCCAAACUUUAUAGAAGAGAGAAUAGACAGAUUUUUAUGUAAUAAGGAGUGGGGUAAUCAUUUUCAAGAAUUGGUAACUACAAACUUAGAGUCAUGGACGUCAGAUCAUAGCCCCAUUAUGAUGGAAGUGGUUAAGAAGGGUGUAGAGCAAAUUUGUAAAAGGCAGAGUUGGCGUAGAAUCCACUAUGAGGAUAUGUGGAGCUCUUACGAUACUUGUAAAGAGAUUGUUAAGAAUGAGUGGACUAGCUAUGGAGGGGGGACAAAUGCAAACCCAGUGCAGCUUUUCAAAAAAUCAGCCACGACAUCAAUGGCUCACCUGAGAAUCUGGAGCAAAGAAGAGUUUGGGGAGAGAAAAAAGAAGCUGGAAUUAUUAGUGAAUGAGUUGCAGCUGAUCAGAUAAAGCGAGAAGCCUUAUUAGUGUGGAGCUGAGAUAAAAAAGAUUGAGAAGCAAAUUGAUAACAUUCUGAUCGAUGAAGAGAUAUACUGGAAACAGAGAUCGAGGGCGGAUUGGCUGAAAGAAGGAGACAAGAACACAAAGUUUUUCCAUUCAAAAGCCUCUUCCAGAAAAAGAAAGAAUAAGAUCAGAGGAAUUGAAACUGAUCAAGGCAACUGGAUCAAGGAUGAAAGAGAAGUAGAGAAGGAGUUUUGUGACUAUUUUGAAGGGCUUUUUAAGUCUUCGAAUCCUUCUCAUGACCAACUAAAAGCUGCCCUGGCAAGUCUAGUUCCAAACGUUUCGGAUAAAAUGAAUGAAAAGCCUCAAUAGCCCUUUACCGAAGAUGAGAUAACAACAGCCUUGGCGCAGAUGUGCCCCACCAAAGCCCCUGGACCUNNNNNNNNNNNNNNNNNNNNNNNNNNNNNNNNNNNNNNNNNNNNNNNNNNNNNNNNNNNNNNNNNNNNNNNNNNNNNNNNNNNNNNNNNNNNNNNNNNNNNNNNNNNNNNNNNNNNNNNNNNNNNNNNNNNNNNNNNNNNNNNNNNNNNNNNNNNNNNNNNNNNNNNNNNNNNNNNNNNNNNNNNNNNNNNNNNNNNNNNNNNNNNNNNNNNNNNNNNNNNNNNNNNNNNNNNNNNNNNNNNNNNNNNNNNNNNNNNNNNNNNNNNNNNNNNNNNNNNNNNNNNNNNNNNNNNNNNNNNNNNNNNNNNNNNNNNNNNNNNNNNNNNNNNNNNNNNNNNNNNNNNNNNNNNNNNNNNNNNNNNNNNNNNNNNNNNNNNNNNNNNNNNNNNNNNNNNNNNNNNNNNNNNNNNNNNNNNNNNNNNNNNNNNNNNNNNNNNNNNNNNNNNNNNNNNNNNNNNNNNNNNNNNNNNNNNNNNNNNNNNNNNNNNNNNNNNNNNNNNNNNNNNNNNNNNNNNNNNNNNNNNNNNNNNNNNNNNNNNNNNNNNNNNNNNNNNNNNNNNNNNNNNNNNNNNNNNNNNNNNNNNNNNNNNNNNNNNNNNNNNNNNNNNNNNNNNNNNNNNNNNNNNNNNNNNNNNNNNNNNNNNNNNNNNNNNNNNNNNNNNNNNNNNNNNNNNNNNNNNNNNNNNNNNNNNNNNNNNNNNNNNNNNNNNNNNNNNNNNNNNNNNNNNNNNNNNNNNNNNNNNNNNNNNNNNNNNNNNNNNNNNNNNNNNNNNNNNNNNNNNNNNNNNNNNNNNNNNNNNNNNNNNNNNNNNNNNNNNNNNNNNNNNNNNNNNNNNNNNNNNNNNNNNNNNNNNNNNNNNNNNNNNNNNNNNNNNNNNNNNNNNNNNNNNNNNNNNNNNNNNNNNNNNNNNNNNNNNNNNNNNNNNNNNNNNNNNNNNNNNNNNNNNNNNNNNNNNNNNNNNNNNNNNNNNNNNNNNNNNNNNNNNNNNNNNNNNNNNNNNNNNNNNNNNNNNNNNNNNNNNNNNNNNNNNNNNNNNNNNNNNNNNNNNNNNNNNNNNNNNNNNNNNNNNNNNNNNNNNNNNNNNNNNNNNNNNNNNNNNNNNNNNNNNNNNNNNNNNNNNNNNNNNNNNNNNNNNNNNNNNNNNNNNNNNNNNNNNNNNNNNNNNNNNNNNNNNNNNNNNNNNNNNNNNNNNNNNNNNNNNNNNNNNNNNNNNNNNNNNNNNNNNNNNNNNNNNNNNNNNNNNNNNNNNNNNNNNNNNNNNNNNNNNNNNNNNNNNNNNNNNNNNNNNNNNNNNNNNNNNNNNNNNNNNNNNNNNNNNNNNNNNNNNNNNNNNNNNNNNNNNNNNNNNNNNNNNNNNNNNNNNNNNNNNNNNNNNNNNNNNNNNNNNNNNNNNNNNNNNNNNNNNNNNNNNNNNNNNNNNNNNNNNNNNNNNNNNNNNNNNNNNNNNNNNNNNNNNNNNNNNNNNNNNNNNNNNNNNNNNNNNNNNNNNNNNNNNNNNNNNNNNNNNNNNNNNNNNNNNNNNNNNNNNNNNNNNNNNNNNNNNNNNNNNNNNNNNNNNNNNNNNNNNNNNNNNNNNNNNNNNNNNNNNNNNNNNNNNNNNNNNNNNNNNNNNNNNNNNNNNNNNNNNNNNNNNNNNNNNNNNNNNNNNNNNNNNNNNNNNNNNNNNNNNNNNNNNNNNNNNNNNNNNNNNNNNNNNNNNNNNNNNNNNNNNNNNNNNNNNNNNNNNNNNNNNNNNNNNNNNNNNNNNNNNNNUCUUUGACUGUUACAGCAUGGCUUCGGGACAACUUUUCAACCUAGACAAAUCCUCAAUGUUUUUCAGUGGCAAGACCAAAGCUGAUCAAGUGGCUGCCAUUAAAGAAAUCUUUCAGUUGAAGGUCGUUUCCAGGCACGAAAAAUAUCUAGGGCUGCCAUCCAUGGUUGGAAGAAACAAAAGGAAUUUCUUUGAUGAUUUAAAGCUUAGAGUGAAGAGUAAGAUUUCGAGAGUGAAGAGUAAGAUUUCAAAUUGGCAGCACAAACACUUCUCUAGUGGUGGUAAAGAGGUCCUCCUCAAAGCAAUAGCACAAGCUAUUCCAACCUAUGCCAUGAGCGUGUUCAAAAUUCCCUUGGGGUUGUGUGAAGAUGUGCAGAAAAUUAUUGCUAGAUUUUGGUGGGGAUCUCAAGAUGAUAAGAGAGGCAUUCAUUGGGCUAAGUGGGAGAGGAUUAGUAAAGCAAAAUGCAGAGGUGGAAUGGGAUUCAAGGAGUUCUCGUGCUUCAAUCAUGCUCUAGUAGCCAAACAAAGAUGGAGGAUUUUACAGUUUCCAGAUUCUUUAGCAGCCCGAGUUUUGCAAGCAAGAUACUUCAAGCAAUCUGACUUCUUGCAGGCAAAACUGGGGUCAAAUCCUUCGUAUAUCUGGAAAAGUAUUUUGUGGGGGAGAACUGUAAUCCAAAAGGGCAGCAGAUGGAGGAUUGGUUCAGGGAACAAAGUGCAAGUUCACAACAGCAACUGGAUCCCAAGACCAGAAACGUUCAGACCAAUCUCCUCUCCAACUAUCCCAAAUGAGGCUGUGGUAUCUGAGUUGAUUGAUUCUAACCAAAACUGGAAUGUGAUUAAAGUGUUCCAACAUUUUAUAAAGGAAGAUGCAGAAUUAAUUACCAGCAUUCCUCUUCCGCGAAGACCAAAGCCAGAUCAGAUUAUGUGGCAUUAUGAUAAGCAAGGCAAUUAUACUGUCAAAAGUGGAUAUCGGAUUGCUCAGCAAAUAAAAUUCCAGGACUCCCCUAGUUGCUCAGUUUCGGAUCCAAGUAUAUGGAAGGCUAUCUGGACUUGUUUGCUGCCUGAAAAAAUUAAAAUCUUCAUGUGGAGAGCUGUCCGGAAUUUGUUGCCAUCAGCUGAGAAUCUUUGGAGCAAAAAAGUGAUCUCAGAUCCUACUUGUCAGUUGUGUAAAAAGACUAUGGAAAGCAUUUCUCAUGCCUUGGUGGAUUGCAAAAUGGCCAGGAAGGUAUGGAAAAUAGUCUCUUGUGCGGAUAAGGUCUACACAUUUGCAGAGCAAAGUAUGUCGUAUGUGCUGCAAGGUAUGACAGAAAUGCUAAAUCGAACAGAUUUUGAAUUGUUGGUGGCUUGUUUUUGGUCAAUUUGGCAUGCAAGGAACCUUUUUCUUUUCGAAGGAAAGAAGGUGGACCCUCUGGUUUCCAUGGCAAAAGCUGAGGCAGUAUUGGACUCUUAUAAACGAGUCAAAAUUCCCAGCUCAUCACACUUAGAGAGCAAGAUAACAGUUAAGCAGCAGCGAUGGAAACCACCCCCACAAGGAUGGUUUAAACUUAAUGUAGAUGCAGCCACAAAGAUUGAGAAACAAGUUGCAGGAUUGGGAAUUGUCCUAAGAGACUUUAAUGGGAGUGUGGUUGCUGCUGCAGUAAAGCCAUCUAAGUUUUAUGGAGAUAUAAUCUUUGCUGAGGCGGAGGCCGUAGAAUGGGGUCUGCAGGUUGCAAGAUCUAUUACUAUGGCUUCGAUCAUAGUGGAAACUGAUUCUCAAGGUGUUUCGGAUCUGCUCAACAACAAGAAGAGUAAUAGAUCUGAAGUCUUCUGGGUGAUAUCGGAAAUUCAAGAGCUAGUCAAGGUUUUUUGUAAUGUUAAAGUCCAAUAUACUCCAAGACAUUGUAAUUCCAUUGCACACUCUUUAGCUAGAUUAGCUCUAGGUUGUGAGGAGUCUGUCAUAUAUAAGAACCCAUUUCUAAAAAAUAUCUGGUAUUUGUUCCAGUCUUCUAAUGAAUGAAGGUUAUGAUUCCUUUUCAAAAAAAAAAAAUAAUAAUAAUUAUAAAUUUGUAUUUUAUGGAUAUUUCAUCCAUAAUAAGAUAUUUACCGUCUCUAAUUACGUGGACGGUACGUCAUGGUCUGAUCCGCUGCAGUGCCACGCUUAACUCUAUAAAGUAGAAGCAAAAAUAAUGACAGUAGAAAGUAUAAAGCGGUUAUUCUUUUUCAAUUUCCACGUCCAAUACCAGCGCGUGAACCACGUACCAAAAUCUACCCAAUCACACACUGCCAAAUCCCCAUAACUGUGCAAUCGACGAAUCCGAAUCGAACGUUCCUCAACGGCGCUUAAACAACAAAGCCGCACCAUUUCUUUGAAAAAAAUUCUCUCAUUCACGCUACUAGUUUUGACACCUCUCAGAUGACGAUCCGAGUCGCAACUAUUACUCCGAAUCAACUUGGAACCUCGGUUAAUCAACUGUCCGCUCUCUCCUCAGUAUACCAACCGUCAAAGUCUCGCAUUCUCCGUAUCGAUACAUUCGCUUUCUCAGAAUGUCGUCGUCGUCGUCUCCGUCUGUUACUACUGAUGCUGAAACUCUGAAAAGAAAUCGAAUUCUCUCUAGCAAGCUUUAUUUCGAUAUUCCUAUCUUCAAGGUGACAAAAUUCGCAAUCGUUUUCGUAUAGUAUGUUGUUAAAUUUGAUUUUGAAUUUGAUCUUAAUUUUUGAACGAAACAGCUCCCUCUGAUAUACUCGCCUGACUACGAUAUUUCGUUUCUUGGCAUAGAGAAGCUGUAAGAUCCUCCGAAUUUCUUUCUUUUGUUCCUGUUUUUUCAUUUUAAUUUUAAUUUUAAUUUUUUUUCCUCUUUGCUUCUCUUUACAUGUUUUGAGUUAGUUAUGUGUUAGUUUUGUAGAAUAGUGAAAUAAUAUCCGCUUGUUUAUUGGUAUUUGGAAUGUGUGAAUCAAAUUACUCUUGGCUUGAUAUAAUAAAAUAAAUACAUACUUAUCGUGUUAUUGAUUACUACUUGACUUUGCAGUUAUUACGGCAUAAAUUUAGCUUAAUAAUAGCUUGUGUUUGUGCGUUCUGUUCCACACAUGUUUGAUUUGCUUUGGUCCUGCAAGUUGUUCUAAAGAAACUUCAAUUGGUUAUCAUUGCAAAUGUUUGUUUAUCACUAUGUUAAAACUGGAAUAUCCUAAAAUUUAGUUGACUCUGGACUGAAUUUGAGCUAGAAAUUUGACUUUUUUCUCAGACUGUUUGUAAAAUUUAUGCAGGCACCCAUUUGAUUCUUCCAAAUGGGGUCGCAUUUGCCAGUUCCUUAGCUCUGAGGGUUUUCUGGAUAAAAAUUGUAUCGUUGAGCCACUAGAAGCUUCCAAGGAAGAUCUGCUUGUGGUACUUUCAUACCAGAUGAGCUCUUAGCUAUUAAUAAUGUGAAUCUGCAUUAGUAGUUUUACAUAUAUAUCUAGAGUCCUUUUCUAGUUUGGAUGUUUGCAUAUAUAUAUAUAUAUAAUUUUUCUCUAAUGAUGACAUCGUUAUUUUAAGAAAGUGAGAAUGUCAUUAACAGACACAAAAAUACAGUCUCCUAUAUAUUAAAAUAUAUGUUUUUUUUUAAUAUUUUAAUAGCGUCCUCGUUUUGUUAAAAUGAGGAUGUCCUCAUAAAGAAGGGGCUAAAUAUAUACAUGCACACAUAUAUACAUACAUACAAAUCUGAUUCAUGAAGGGAUAGUAGUAAGCAGUAAAUUUGAAGGUCAUGUGCAGGAAUUUGUUUUACUUGGGGUUGAUUUUGUUGGGAUUUUCAAACUAUUCACUAACCCCACCUACAAUUCAGUAUUACAUAUACAGUAAAACACGCGGACUCUGUUUGUAUGUACAUAUGACGGUUAAUUUUUUUAUAGCUGAUGCCUUUCAUCUGAACUAAUAGGUUUUGGAAUAGCUGUGCGAUACUGCACAACUCAGACUAAGUUGUAAUGCUGCUAUUCCUGAAAGGAUAUUAUUUUGGUAGCAGUCAAUUGUGUGAGUUCUCAAUGUGGAUGCUGGUCAAAAGACAGCAUUCAACUCAAGCCGUAGGCCUUUUGUAGUAACAACUUAAGGGAGCCGUCAUUUUACUUUUGAGUUAUGCGAUUUAAACCUGAUUCUCUUUUCAAUCAGCUUGUUCUUGUGGGCCUAUGUAACACGUCUUUUUCUACCUCUUGUUUUACAAAAGUUUUAAAACUGAAGCUCAUUUAUUUCCUUCAUGUGAAGUUUCUAUGCUCAAUUAUCCUGUUGCAUAAGUUGCUUCUUUCUUUGGUAUGGGAGAGUGAUUAAUUUUAAAGAAAGGCGUUUCCAAGUUUUUUUACUGAAUUGUAUCCUUUUGGAUACACUGCAUAGUUACUGUCAUACAGUAAGUAUAUCCUUUUGGAUACCCUGUGGAUAUGAAUCUAUAUCCUAAACUUUUUGGUUAUCUUUGAUCAGGUUCAUUCAGAAUCAUAUUUGAAGAGUCUACAGAGCAGUCCAAAUGUUUCCAUUAUAAUUGAGGUAAAGCAUAGAGCUUUGAUUUGCUGUUAAUGUUUCCUCAAUGAUUUAGAUGAUGGUUUAUAUUAAUUCUAUUGAGAAAUAAUGUCCAUGAUGUAACUUUGAGGUGAAUGACUGAACGUACUUGAAAUGCUAAGAAAAGGUAGUGACUGGUGUAAUGAUGUUUAAAAGAGAUCUGAAUGAGUUUGGUCCUGAUAAGAUUGGUUUUAUAGAACUCAAAAAGUAACAGGUUGCUUCUGAUGUACUUUAAUAAUUCCAACCAAUGAUUAGGACUUGAAUUCUCUGACGACAAGAUUUUUGACUGAUCUAGAGUGCUGCAAUUUGUAGGUGCCUCCUGUUGCACUAUUUCCCAAUUGUCUUGUGCAGAGGAAAGUUCUUUAUCCAUUUCGCAAGCAGGUGAAUCAUCAUCUUUCUUAAAAGUUUACUAUCUCCUGGCUCCUAAUAAUCUUCUUUUAGAUAGGCUUAUUUUUCAUUUUUUUCUUUUUUUUCCCCCUCUGUUCAAAAUUAACUGCAGGUGGGUGGAACCAUAUUGGCAGCUAAGCUUGCAAAAGAGCGAGGGUGGGCCAUUAAUGUUGGAGGAGGAUUCCAUCACUGCUCUGCUGAUGAAGGAGGUGGAUUUUGUGCUUAUGCAGAUAUUUCUCUUUGCAUACAUUAUGCCUUUGUUCAACUAAAUAUAUCAAGGUAACAAUUAACUUCAGGUCAGGAAAAUGGAUGUGGCAGUUUAAGUGGCAUUUAUAUCUCAAUUGACAGUGCCUGCUUACACAUGGGCUUUUUAACUGCUCGUCAUCUUCAAAUACAGGGUCAUGAUAAUUGAUCUUGAUGCACAUCAAGGAAAUGGUCACGAGAAGGACUUUUCCAGUGACAGUAGGUUGCUUUCAUUUGAUUGUGCUUUUAUUUUUCAUUUUUUUCUUUUGGAUUUUCAAAUGAUAACAUUUGUCCUAACAGGUCGUGUUUAUAUUCUGGAUAUGUUUAACCCUGGAAUUUAUCCUCGGGUUAGUUACCUACUCCUAGAAUUAAAUGACUGCUUCUUCUUCUAUCUUUGCACUUUUUUGUUGCUCUUUGUUAUUAAUUUGUAACCAGUAUUAUCAAAAAAUUACCGGUAUCAUUUGGUAAACAUUCUGAUUUUUUUAUCCUCUCUCGUAAAUCCUCUGUUAGGACUAUGAGGCAAGACGUUUUAUUGAUCAGAAGGUCGAAGUAGUGGUAAACAAUCAAUAUACCAGUUAGAAAAGUGAAUACUAGUUGUUUUGUUGGCCUGCUAAAAUAAUUUGUUUUUCCUACAUUUCAACAGAGUGGGACAACAACAAAUGAGUACUUAAAGAAAUUAGAUGAAGCACUUGAGGUAUAUAUGUUCAAAACUUUUUCUGUUCACGUGUUUCAUCUCCUUUUUUUUCCUAAAUCUUUUCAUCAUUACUGGAAAGAAGAUUGUGGAUGUCUCCUUUAGGAAAUCGUGAGUGACCAGGGCAACACUAAUAUGCCUUUUCUCAAUAGCUUUUGUUGAUAUAUUUCCUUAAGGUAGCUAUUGUGAAGCGUUUAGGUUUCAACUUAUUUAGGCUCUAAUGCAGUUUUUCUUUUCUUUUUUUUCUUCUCAUUUUCUUCCUGCCAUGAUUUGUUAUUUUGUUUAUGCACAACCCAGACAUGCAAGCAUAGACAAAAUUGAUGUUCAGAAUCUUGUUUACCCACUAGAUGCGGAAAGUGUAGCUAUUGGGUAUGGCCUACGCAUUUGCAGUAUCUGUAUACCCCCAAUGCCAUUCUCAUUGACUUUGAGAUUUUUUUUCAUAUUCCUUCCAGUUCUUAUAUAUAAUUACUUCAUGCAGUUGCCAUUUCAUGGAUUGACAUUGGCGAGGUCUAUAAACUUGGAUACUUAUUGUUAGUUGUACUGAGUUAUAUCAGAAAUACUGCCAGCAAUAGUCUCCUCUGGAGCAAUGCAACAUUGAUAGUUUGUGAUUUUGGAUCAGGUUGCUGGUCAUACGUUUGAUCCUGAGCUGGUGAUUUACAAUGCCGGCACUGAUAUCCUGGAGGGAGAUCCACUGGGCAUGUUAAAGGUAAAGUGGGGUGUCUGAUAAUGCUCCCUACUGUGCAUUGAAACAAAUGAAGUCUUUAGUUUGGGCCAUGAUGAGGCCUGAUUAAUGGCUAAUCAUAGAAGAAUCUUCCGGACUAGGAACACUUGUUUGCACUUUUCCAAAUUGAAUAACGGAUACCAUGGUCACAACGGCAAGAUAAAUGUCAUUUGUGAAAUCAGCCGUCUAUAUUAUUAGACAGUUUCUGCCAAAUAUUUCUUAGGGACUAAAGGAUAUAUGUUGUUGUUGGAGUUGCUUCUGCAGAUUAGUCCUGAUGGGAUAGCCGCUAGAGAUGAGAAGACCUUCAGGUUUGCUCGAUCAAGGAACAUUCCCAUUGUUAUGCUCACAUCAGGUCCAAUAACUUCUGAAAAAGUUUUGGCACUCUGGUCCAUUAGAUUUCAUGUUUUUGUGUGAGUUUAUGCAUGCAUGUCCUCAUGCCUGCAUGCAAGAGUGCAUAUGUGCAACUGUGCUACAAAUAUUGAGGGAAACUGCUCUUUUCUGCUAGAACCACCUUCUUAUUCUCAUGUUGUGCUUUGUACCCUCAUCAAUUUUGUCAGUUGAAGUGUCAGGCCUUUAGAUGAGAUAUCCUUUUUUAAAACACUUCUGGGAAAAUGAUUUUACAAAAAAUAUGCAUUAAAUCAACAUGCCCCCUUACUGUUUUUGGAUAGUUAAACAAUUAACAUGAGAUCUGCUUUGCUGAGGUGUCUAGGUUGGUCUUAAAAGAAAGUUUAUUAUUAACUCAUUCCAUUUUGCAGGGGGUUACAUGAAGUCUAGCGCCAGAGUUAUAGCAAAUUCAGUUGAAAACCUAUCAAGAAAGGGCCUGAUAAAUAUGGGGAGGUCACCUGUAAAGAUAUAAGUGCAAUUCAAGUGCCCUUCACUGUGCUUCAUGGGUCUUAUGGAUGCAUGCGUUUGUUUAUUUUCAUGUACAUCUGAAAUGUUCUACACUACACAGUGAUUGUAGCUAUGGGUAUAUAUAAGCAUCUAAGGAAGCAAAAGAUUAAAACAAAUGGUGUGAAGGCAGAACGAUGAAAUACACACACAGAGAGGAAAGCCUAGAAGUAAUUGUAUUAGUGUAUGCAUGAAUCAGUUUUGAAGUUCACGAGUCUUUGUAAAUUUUAUGGUUUUCAAAUGCUAUUUAGGUUGCGUUUGAGAGUGAUGUGUGGCAGUUGGGUUUUCGAAGCCUAAGUGUCGAGGUGUUUGAUAACAUCUUACAGUUGGGGUUUGGUACAGUGGCGAAGCUAGUAUUGUUUUAUGGGGUGGGCUAUUAGAUUUAUUUAUUUUUUUAUAAGUAUUAAUAAAGUUAAAUUUAUAAAUUAUACUUAACUUUAAAAAAAAAAAAAAAAAAACUUACCCUGGCUGCAGCCCGGGUUAGCCCACUCUUACCUUCGCCCUUGGUUUGGUAGCUCAAGAAUUAAUUUUUCUCAGUUCGAUUUCACAGUUAUAGUUUUUACUCCGCAGUAACUGUAGUCUAAAAACUAUAGUACCUUAUUCCCAAACACACCCUUAAUCGGAAUUAUGAUGCUAAAUUAGCUCAUCAUAAUCUAGAGUGUUAUUUUGGAUUUUCAAUGGGCAGUUAUUAUUUUCAUCAUUUUUUAUAAGUGACUUGGUAAUUCCACCCCACAAGUUAUGUAGAUCCAUCAUACUUUUAUAAUAUUAUUACACUAAAUUUUGAAACAUUCAAAUAAAGAAGAAAUUUACACAAAUUUAAUAUGAUUAUUUUAUUAUUAUAAAGGUAAAUGUACCAAACCACUUAAAAUUUUACUUUAACUGAAAUAAUUUUUUUAAUAUAAAAUUAAUAUUUCUAAACGAUGUAUAAGUAAUAUUUUAUUAGUAUGAUUAUUAAUAUUAAACUAAACUAACAAAAUGUACUUAUGAUAUGGGGGGUCCUGAAAAUUAUUAAAUUUUAUUUAAACAUAUUAGAUCAUAAAAUAUAAAACUAAGUGCUAAACUACUAGUUACAAUAAUAUAUAUUUCUUGGAUUUUAUUACUUAUUUGAAGAUUCAAAUAAAAUUUUAUUACUUAUUUGAAGAGUUACAUCAACAUUUAAGGCUCCAAAAGACACUCCAAUUAAGAUUCUUCAAAUAAGAAAUGAUCAUCUCUCUUCAAAUUUGAAGAGAGACUUUCUCCCUCUUCAAUUUAUAUUUUAUUAUUUUUUGUUGAAGAAAAAGAGAAAUGUGCUUUAAUUACUAUUGAUUUUUUCUUUAAAAAAAUAGUUAUUUAAUUAAAACAAUAUUAACUCAUUUCUAUUUGAAGAGUCUUUUGGAGAACAAUAUCUUUUUUCACUCAUCUACUUGCCACAUAGGUAAGCAAAUAAAUAUUUGAAGAGUAAAAUUUAUAGAGCUUUUUGGAGAUGCUCUAAGCUUCGGGCCUUGUUCAUUACUUCUUCAAAAAAAAAAGAGAUUGGAAUGAAAAGCAAUUUUACGCGUUGGGUCUCAUGAGACAUUGGAGAAAUUUUUACAAGUAUAACUACACAACUCAGAUUUAUAAGGUGAAACUAUAGUCCAAUAAGAAAAAAGAAAGACAUCGUAGUGCUCGCUCAACAAUUAUUACUACAGUAAUACCACAACACAAAAUAAUAUAGCCACUAUAUUUGGACUAACAGUCAGAAACAUUAUUAAAACAACAAUACACUGAAAAAGAAAAAACCACGAUAAGCUGCUCUCCAAGACAAUUUACUGGAUAACCCACAAAGAAUCCCCACCCAAGGCCAUGAAAACUUUGAUGCCCCACCCAAGCUGCUCCCCAACCAAAGACGCCAAUACAAGUGUACCCUCCUAUUCUUACUCAUGGGCCUGCACCAUCAACAAUUAUCAAAAGGAAAAAGUUAUUUACCCCGAAUUUGCUCCCCGAAAGACAAAACACACCGUUUGGUAAUUUGAUUGUCAUUUGCUUUUGAAGCACGUGUUUCUUCAGUUGCUUUAUGUAAAAGGGAAGGACAGUCAACGUGCAGCACUUAUUUCAUUUGUUGCGUUCCAGCUGUGCAACACUUAUUUCCUUUGCUUUGCUUUUUCCUUUACUUUUUCGGGAAGGUUUGAAGAUUUAACCGAAGUUCAUUGCAGCGCUAGUGAAAAACCCUAAGUUUACGAUUUGGUUUGGAAAUUGAAAAAUCGGAACUGAUUUGUGAAAGUGCUGAAUCUCUACAUUACAAAACUCGUAAGCAUUUAUUGUUCCUACAUUAAUUUAUUGAGUUGUUUCAUUUUAAGUGGAAAAAUGAAAGUGAAAGCAAAUGAAGGAAGUGGAAAGUGAAAGCAAAAGUGAAAGUUAAGUGGGAAGCAAAUGAAGCAACAUGUGUGGAGAAGAAAAACCAAACGGUGCGUUUUGUUUUUCGGGGCAUAAAUUCGGGGUAAAUAAUAAUAAUAAUAAUAAUAAUAAUAAUAAUAUUGAGAUUACCGACAAUCAAACAAAGCUUUAACAUAUUUUUUGAAGUGGUGAUUUGCUGUCAAAGGCAUCUCAUGUGACCCAAGCGAGAAAAGGACUAAAGUGUACAACCAAAAUAAUUUUAUACACAGCCACUCGGAGUGGUCAGGGCUGCUGCCCUCCAAGUUGGAGGGCAGCAGUUCGAACCCCCACAAAAGCAUUGUGGGGGCAUUUCCUUCCUCAAUUAAAAAUUGAGUGAAGGCAAUCCUCUUUCUUACCCAUGAGUGAAGAGUGGACAUCCCUCGAAUAUUUGUGAGGGUUAAAAUCUGGGCAGAGCUCCAUUAGCAUUGAUGUAAGUUGGUCCCAGUAUUAGUCUGAUUUGUAAAUAUCAGUUAUACUCUCAUGUAAUAUGAGUUGUAAUCUGAGCAAUAGUCUCAUGUAGUCAAAAAAAUAAUAAUAAUUUUAUACACACAUAUAUAUAUAUAUAUAUAACUUAUUAAAAGCAGCAAUCAGCAGAAUCAUUUUCCUCAAACAAUCCUUCAUUUAUUACUCUGUUAUUUACCCUGAAUUUAUGCCCUGAAAAACAAAACGCACCGUUUGAUUUUCUCUCUCCACACGUGUUGCUUCAUUUGCUUUCCAUUUAGCUUUCACUUUUGCUUUCACUUUCCACUUCCUUCAUUUGCUUUCACUUUUCCUUUUCUACUUAAAAUGAAACAACUCAAUAAAUUAAUGAAGGAACAAUAAAUGCUUACGAGUUUUGUAAUGUAGAGAUUCAGCACUUUCACAAAUCAGUUCCAAUUUUUCAGUUUCCAAACCAAAUCAUAAACUUAGGGUUUUUCACUAGCGCUGCAAUGAACUCCGCUUAAAUUUUCAAACCUUCCCGAAAAAGCAAAGCAAAGAAAAUAAGUGAUGCACAGCUGGAACGCAACAAAUAAAAUAAGUGUUGCAUGUUAAUUGUCCUUCGUUUUUACAUAAAGCAACUGAAGAAACACGUGUUUCAAAAGCAAAUGGCAAUCAAAUUACCAAACGGUGCGUUUUGUCUUUUGGGGAGCAAAUCCAGGGUAAAUAGUUUUUUCCUAUAUAUAUAUAUCUAUAUCUAUAAAAGAAAGGUUUAUUUAUUUAAUUAUUUAAAUUUGUGUUAAUUUAUAAUUUUUUAAAUAGAAUAUGAAUUUAUUGUAAUUAUUUUAUAAAGGUGGGUUUGGUUUAAAAAAUAAAAACCACCCUUUUCAUAAUUUGUCACGAGAAAACAGAAAACAAUCCGGUGAUCCAGUAAGAUCAUGGUAUCAUUGGCAUCAUUGGGUGAUGAGAAUUUUAUGUUUAAAGAAAAUGUCAAAAGUACUCCAAUCUAAAUAACUUUCGUUUUCUCUUUUUUUCCUUAAAAUCUAAGGCAUUUUUCCUUUAAAAGAAAAAAAAAAUCUUUUCGUGAAUCUUGAACCAAGCAUUACCCAUUGAUUACGUCAUUAUAACUAAACAACAGGUAGUUGACCCCAACUCCGGUCAUAUCAUUUUCAAUUUUCAACUUCAGAAUCUAUUUCUCUCUUACCUUUUUCUCUCUCUGCCGCGCGUGAGGCGUCUCGCUCUCCUCCCAUUUUCUGUCGCACACUUGGGUUGCGUUGUUAGCAUCGACACUCGCACACAGUCUCUCACACCGACGAGACCAAACAUUUUUUUUCUUUCUUUCCCCCCUCUCUCACCAUUCACCACCAAGGCACCAACUCCCCUAAACCUGCGCCGGGUUGCUUAGAUUGCGCCCUCCUGUCCCUGCAAUGUUGGUGAGAAGAUCUCAGUCCUGCUUGUCUCAGCUCACACUCUUCUUGCUCGUCGUCUACUUCGCUUCGCUCUCACUCGCUCUCGAACUCCUCGACUCGGAUCAUCUCGACGACUUAAACGUCACCGUUUCGAACACUUCCGUUGCUUGACCUGGUUCCUUUGCUGACAUAAUCGAUCGCGCUCUUGAGAAAGAGUUCGCUGAGAAUGAAAAAGCCGAAGGUGCUACUCUAUCUUUAGUUUCUUCUCAUUUGCUUCAAUAACGAACUCGAAUUUGGAAGUGCUUCUAGAAUUUAGGAAUUGGCUUCUUUAAUUCCAAAGCUUGAGGAGAUUGAGUGAGUUCUAAUUUGUUUGAAUAUCUUAUUAUGAUAUGAUCUGUAUUUUUAAUAUUAAUUUUUGUUUUCACAUCCCCAGCUUUUUGGAUGCUUCUCUUACGGAGUUUAGAACCUUUCAUUGCAUGAAAUUUGAUGAGAGAUAUACUAUCGAUGCAUGAUUAAUUGCAAUGAACGAUCAAGUUUCUUUUGUGUGUGUGUGUGUGUGUUUUUUUUUUUUUUUCCUCCCCAUCUGUAAUCUAACGAUUAUGUUAUAUUUUAUUCAAUCUUGAGCUGUUGUUGAUUUGCUUUUUCAAGUAUAGCCUUUUUUUUUUGCAGGGGCAGCAACUGAUGCCGGGAGCUUUAAUAACAGUGUAGCCGAAAAGCAGGUUGGUGGAAUCUUGCAGUUUUCAGUAUCGAAAAGCAAUUUCUUUAAAGAACUUGAAUUUUUACUGAAUUAUGUGAUUUGAGCUGCGCUGUGAGAAUGAUAUUGCUCGCAUAUAAUUGGUUAAAAUGGUUUCACCAGAAUUUUUAAUGUAGUGAAAUGUAUUACGGACAUUAAAUCUGUUAAGUAGGUGCUGAUUAUGUUCGGAAUUAAAUAUAAUAUAAUUUAUGACUUGUCAGUUUAUACGAUCUAAUGAAAUUGUUUAAUUUCAAUCAUACAAUAUAUUAUCUGCUUAAUAAUCUGGUAAUUCUUCAUGUCAGGCUUAAUUAACUCGAUAGAAGCAUCUCUUGUUCUAAAUCUUUUUCAUUUUUCUUUCUCCGAAUUCAUUUUUAACCUAUUUUAGUUGGGAGCAUCUGCUGAAUGUUUUUCUUAACCCUUUUUGGUUGAUCAGGCAGUUUUAGAAACUGUAGCAAGAGUCAAGCCGAAGAAAAAUGACACGAAAGAGGAAAAGUACUGCUUCUAUCUAAUAACUAGAUUUAUUGAUGUGCAGUUUCUAAUAACCUGCUUUUGUCAUUUAGCCUGAUGAGCAUCUAUGAUAUGUUUUACUCUAAUGAAUAAAAAGUUCCAAAAUCCUUACACCCUUGCAUCUUUCAAUUUAGGUCGUUUAAACUUAAUGAUGUUUUCAAUCUGGAUAAUGAUAAUGGAGCUGAAGAAACCCCGACAUUGAUUGAUCGCAAGGUAGCAUUUCUGCUUAAUAAAAUUCUAUUUGAUGUUAUAAUUGCAAAUGCUGAUGAUUGUUGUUUCAUUAUUUUAGGAUAAUGUCUUCAUUAUAUCUAAUUUUAAAUCAAAAUAUCCAGUGCUGCAGCUAGAUUUAAGGUAAACUUACUAUUUGUUUUAAUUUUGGUUUAAUUUGGUCGCCCUACUGAAGGAGUAAGAAGAUCUAAUUUCUACUCCUGUGCUACAGGCUCAUAUCAGACUUGGUGGUUGUCAUUGUGUUUGCAACUUGUGGUGGAAUUGCAUUUGCUUGUGCCGGACAGCCGGUCUGAUUAUAUUGAUAUAAGCUUAUUUUUAAUGACAAACUACAAUGUUAGGAUCUGUUUGAAAGUCCCAGCAUACUGACUUUCUAAGAAAUUGUUAACCAUGCUAAUAUCUACAGGUGAUUACUGGAUAUUUGCUAGCAGGAUCUAUUAUUGGACCCGGAGGGUUUAACUUUGUCAGUGAAAUGGUGCAAGUAUGUUACUUGUAGUUAUAAUUUAUUAGUUUUAUCUUAUAUAGCAGUUCAUUAAAAUAGUUCUGAUUUUUUCACUCUAAUUUUAUUUCCCAUAAUGUUCCAUAACUAUGCUGGUAUACUAGCGCAUCACCUCAUAAAGAUUAUGUCUUAUUUCACGUUCUAGAAACUAAAUUAGGAAAAUUUAGAUGUUAUUAGCUGUAGGCCUAUCGCUGAGAAAUUGUGGGUUGACUUUCACCUGUAUUUCUUUUUUUACUUUUAUACAAUGCCUACAUAUUUCCUCAAAUAUUCAAUGGCAAAAAACUCAAUAACAUUGUAGUCUCUAGAUUCUCUGGCUGCCUGUAUGUCUCUUCUCUCUUCUUGUUGACAACAUUUAAGAGUGCUGUUAAUUUAUUUUGUUUUGUUGUAUUUUGGAGCUAAACUAAAAUCCUAGACGCAUUUUUUAACUUCCUUUUGGGAUGUUGUAUUAAUUAGAAAUUAUAGCAAUAUGUUCGUGUGAUUGGGCUCUUUUCUUUUUCCUUUUGUUUUCUUUGAACACACCAACAGCAACUGACUUUAUUCUCCAUAACAUCUUUUUGAUUAUUUCAGAAAAUGCUUACUUUCCCUUUUAAUAUCAUGGAGUCUUAUCCCUUAAAAGAUUUUGUGUUGAUGAAAGAACCAUUUUUAUUUUAUUAGAUAACUGACAUGUGCAAUAUCUUUUCCACUUGGAUUUAUUUAUAUAGGUUGAAACAGUGGCUCAAUUUGGUGUUAUUUUUCUUCUUUUUGCUUUGGGCCUAGAGUUCUCCACUACAAAGGUAGGCUUAUAUCACAUUCUUUUUAUUUGUGGUUUAUAUUUAUUGUCACAUCUGUCUCACAUGUUAUUCUUCUAAAGUGUAGCUUCGAGUAGUUCGAGCGGUUGCUGUCUUAGGUGGUCUGCUCCAAAUUUUUUUAUUCAUGUUCCUUUGUGGAAUAACAGCCUUGGUAUGUAAUGAUGCUUACAAAACUUUUGUACAAGUUUUAUAAACUGAUAUUUUUUCCUCUGAAAACAACCCUUAAGGCUUGCCUGAGUACAUGCAAUUUUAUAUUUGCUACAUCAGAAGUAACUGAUAAGAAGUAUUUUAAUAACUAACAAGAUAAAGAGAAUAAAAAUGAUAGUCCAACAAGGGGACGAGAGAAUUCUAACAUUGAUAAUGUGGAAUUCAACUAUUAAGGCCUGAUUCUUAAACCACAUUGGCAGCCUGACCAAUGUUGAAUAAUCCUGUGGUCUCAGUACCCUCUUAUGAGGUUUUGUUCUGGGUCAAGAAUUAAAACUUGGUUUUGCAUUUAUCAUAUGCCUGAAUGUGGCAACUUAGUUGUUACAUUUAAUCUCAGACACUGGUCCAAAGAUAUCUACUUGUGCUAUGGUGUUUUGAAGUUUCAAUUCUUUAUCCUUGUUGUCCACAAAUCUCUUUGAUGUCCAUUCAUGUGACGAUGGUGCGGUUUCUGUGUAAAAUAUUAAGGCUUUUGUUCUUGUAACUGUUUUAUGUCUUAUUUUCCUUCUUAAUGUUACUUUGUUACACAAUCUUUCUCAGUGUCAGUGCUGCAGUUCUGAUUGGAUGCUGUUUGCAGUUAUUUGGCAUAAAGCUUUCGGAGGGGAUUUUUGUUGGUACAUUUCUUUCAAUGUCUUCAACGGCAGUGGUAGAACUUUACACACUCCCACUCUACUCACAAUCCUGGAUUUUUGUAUUUGGUAGUUUAGUGUCUUAAUGAUUUUACAUUGUUUGGGCUGUAGGUGUUGAAGUUUCUGAUGGAAAAGAAUUCUACUAAUGCUCUUCAUGGCCAAGUUACCAUUGGCACCCUUAUCCUGCAGGUUCUUAAUUUGUUUCCUUGCUUCUUGUGCAAGUAUUUCAUUUAUGCCUUUUGUUACUCAUCUUAUUGAUUUGAAUUUGAAGGGUCAUCUUUUGUUACUCUUUAGCUUGAAAACUCUUUUGUUUGCCAGGACUGUGCUGUUGGCUUGCUGUUUGCAUUGCUUCCAGUUCUCGGUGGAACUUCUGGUGUUUUACAAGGAAUGAUAUCCAUCACUAAGCUGUAUGGUUCAGAUUUUUGCAAUAUACCAUGUUCGCCUGACCCAUUUCUCUUUGUUUCUUAGUUAGUAAUUUUGGUUCUUAACAUUUAUGGGUGCAUUUCUCUUAAUGUAUCCAUCUUCUAUGUUGCAUGACAUGGGUUUUUAUGGGAUUUGGAUGCUUUGUCCUAUUAAGAAUGGAAAGUAAGGCUCACAAUUACUUAUUUUCCCAUUGUGGGGUCCUUUGCCAGCUGUAUUAUAUGUGCAGGUGUCAAAUUCUGUUAUAUAACUAGUCAAUUCGUCUCUUGAGCAGGUUGGUAGUGUUGAUUGCUUUUUUGGGCAUUCUGUCAAUAUUGUCUCGAACUUGUGUUCCUUGGCUUCUGAAACUGAUGACAAGUCUAUCAUCACAGGUGAUUUUUAAAAUAUCUCCUAUAAAUUUUUCUUUCCACUGUUUUAAUAUAAAUGUUUGUUAGUGAUCCGAUGGUUAACUUUGAUUUAUCUAAUGAAUUCAGUUUUGUUUGGUGCAGACCAAUGAACUCUAUCAGUUGGCUUCAGUUGCAUUCUGCUUACUUGUUGCUUGGGUUUGUUGCGCUUACAAUUAUUUAUUAUAUUCAGAAAAUUUAUUAUUAUCUUGGCAUGAAUCUAUUUACCUUAUUGUGCACCAAUUUUCAGUUGCCUGAAAACUUUAUCAGUAAGUAUUUAAAAAAAAAAGAAAGUAAGCUUCUUUAUCUCCUUUGUCAUCAGUUGCUCUUAGGGUCUGGUUGGUUUAGCAUUUAAAAUAGACCUUCUAGUAGAUUUUGUACCAGUGGAGCUUUUACAAGUAGCAUUUUUAACAAAACAAGAAAAAAGUUGGUCGUUUGGUUGCCAAUUAUAGCUGUUAGCAAAAUUGUAUAAUUACACUGAUUGCUUCCCCCCCCCCCCCCCCNNNNNNNNNNNNNNNNNNNNNNNNNNNNNNNNNNNNNNNNNNNNNNNNNNNCUUGGCCGUACAGCAGCCUCUAUGUUAGGUUAUUGACGUAGAGCAAGAAAUUGAAGAAAUCCUAAUUAGAUUGAAGUUUAUAAUAUUUAGGAAUAUUUUAAUUAAUUUGUAUUCUAGUUUAAUUUGGUUGGCUCUUUAGAGUUUCAUUGUUUACGCAUUGCUUGCUUGAGUUGUAUUCUUAACUUAGGUAGAAGUCUUAUUAAGAUACGCUUUCUAGUCAAAUUAGGUUAAGUAGUAGUUAGUAUAUAUAAGUAUCUUUUGUAGCUUUUACUAGCGGAUCUUGGUUAUUUGUUAUUGAUUAUUUCUUGGAAUAAACUCUAGAUUUGAGUUUAAUAAUACUUUCAGUUUUCAAAGCUCUGUGUGAGUUUUUAAGUUUAGUUAAUUUUCAGCAUUCUACAAAAUCAACAAGUCUUAACCCCUAGGCUCACGGUAUUCUGUCGAAUCAGUGUAAAUUUAGACCGUUCUUUUAUUCUGGUAUUCUCAAGAAUCAAUGGAAUGUUAGAACAUUAAACUUCCGUUGCAUCAGUUAUGUGAGGAAUGAAGUAAAAAUUGUUAAAAUAAAAGAAGGGUAUUUUAGAUAAUUUAAUCUCAAUAGAGGCAAUUUACCUCUACUGAGAUUUGGUAGAAACUCAAAUAUUUUAGGAGUAGAGGUUGUUGAGUAUUUUAAUCCUCCAAAAGUUCUACUGCAGUUUCAACGACAAAAAGGAAAAAAAAAAAUCUGGAAAGCUCUUCUGGCCAGUAGACUAGUCAUAUCAAACAAACACUUUAGAUGUAUGAGCAUCUCGUUAUAAAUUCACUGGCUUAAUGUAAAUCUUUUGUUUUUUGCAUUACAAUGAACUAUCUGCAUCAGGUUGCUACACCCAGCAUUGAAUUAAAACAUUCUUCUCCAUAUCAUGUAAAUGCAGUUUUAUAGAACCUAUAAGUGUGGGUGCAACAAAGACAAGCAUGGGUAAUGGGACUGGAUGCAAAUUGUUGCUCCAAAGUGUAUAGCAACGUGAAAGGGUUCUUGCAUUAACUUAAGCUUGUAAUAUGAGUGAGUUCAUUCAGAUUGUUUGCUAUCUAAUUCUUUUUAUGAUUUCAGUGUAGUGAUAAGCUGGGCCUUAGUCUGGAACUGGGUUCUUUUGCUGCGGGAGUGAUGAUAUCAACUACUGAUCUUGCUCAACAUACACUAGAACAGGUAAGGACAAUUCUGUAAAGUAUGCUUGUUAUUUGUAUGCAUGGAGGCUUGCAAUGGUACCUUAGCAAUGUUGCUCUGCUCCACAUGCAUGCAAGUCUGUGUUGCAAACACAACAGAAGUGAUCUUUUGGCCAUUGUUAAUUACCCAGGAACAUUUGUAAGCUUGAUGGGAACUUGACAGGAACUUGGUCCAAGCAUAAUGUUCUAUUACUCAUUCCUGCUACAAACUAUUGGGAACAAACACAAUUUGGUCAGUUAUCACUUAUCACUCAUAGUGGUGUGUAAGCUUGGACCUGGUCCUUUCUCAUAAACACCGUCCAAUAUCCCAUUAUUGAAUCUGUCUACCCUUAAAUGAAAAUUUGUGGUUCUUUCCUUGUCUCUGGUUUGCUCAUAUAAACAACUUUUAGUAUAUAUUUAAUGGCAAAUUCUGUUCUCAUCAAGUAAUACUUAAUAUGUGUUCAUAAGGGCAGUAUUAAUGUCUCAGUUGUCAGUAUAUAACAUACCCUAAGUUAUGCCGUACGGUUUUAGUCCAUCAAUUGUUUUUUUGUCAUCAAUUUGAGGCUUCUGACAUAACAUUUCAUUUAAUUCUCUCUUAAUCCCCUGUGACCACACACUCGAAACUUGUUAUAUGUGCAGAUCGAACCUAUCCGCAACAUGUUUGCUGCGCUCUUCCUUGCCAGCAUUGGGAUGCUGAUCCAUGUUCAUUUCCUUUGGAAUCACAUCGACAUAUUAUUAGCAUCUGUUAUAUUAGUGAUUACCAUAAAGACUAUUAUAGUCUUCACAGUUGUCAAGGGAUUUGGUUACAACAACAAGACGUCAGUUCUCGUAAGAUUUUCAAGUGAUGGCAUGAUGGCUUUGUGUGUGGGUUUUUUUGCUGCUUCAGUAACCUGUGUUGUUGUACAUGUGUAGGUUGGAAUGUCUCUGGCUCAGAUAGGGGAAUUUGCUUUUGUUCUCCUCAGUCGUUCUUCUAAUCUUCAUUUGGUUGAGGUCAGUAUGGCUGUUAUUGCAGUUAGUCAUGGCAUUGCUCAAGCAGAAAAAUAUAUGUUGCUAAGACUUUCUCAAUGUAAAAUGUAGUGGGACAACAGUGUAUUUUAAAUCUUUUAACCUCUUGCUUCUAGUAGGAUAGUUUGCGAAAAUUAUGAGCUACUGAAGAGCUGAACUUUUGUGACCGUUUUCAGGGGAAACUGUAUUUGCUUCUUCUUGGGACAACAGCUCUUAGCCUGGUAUGCAGUCAUCUCAAUUAUGUUUGAAAAAUGUUGUUGCAAAAUUCAUCAAUUGUAUGCGUGCCUGUGUGAUAUUUUUAACUUUUGGUUUUACUUGCACCAAUGAGUUAAAAGGGAUUAUCAUCAAUGUACAAAUAAGUUAUCAAAAUUAUGCUGAAUGUACUGUGGAGCACUUUCAACUAUUUUAUUGUUGUUUUCCGAGGGUCAUCAAUUUCUUCUUCACCCCCUCUGAAGUGGAAAUUUUAUUCAGUAGAUAACCAUCACGAAUCUCUGCAGGUGACGACUCCUCUGCUUUUCAAGCUAAUUCCUGGUGUGGUGCAUCUUGGCGUGCUGUUACGGUGGUUCUCUCCUGACAGUUCCAUUGAGGUAAAUGCUGACCUGAAUCAAAAUUCAAGGCACUGUCUUACUAUAGUUUUACUUUUUCCUAAAGCUUAUGCUAGCUUGAAUAUGUUUUUGACUCCCAGAAUGGCUUUAUUACUAUAGUUUUACUUUCUCCUAAAGCUUAUGCUAGCUUGAAUAUGUUUUUGACUCCCAGAAUGGCUUUAAAGGAGAUAACCUUCGUUCAGAAAGUGGGAAGCAGCGUAUUACUUUGAUUCCCAUAGCGAUACCCCUAGGACCCCAUGAUUCAUGAUAACAAACUGUGUAUAUGAACUGAAGAGGGACUUCACAUGCCACACAAGCAUUUCAUACUCGAGCAUCCACUGUGCAAACAGCAGUCAAUUGACAUCCUAUUUUGUUCUCUUACGCCUGAAAACAAACAGAACUGACCCUCAGAAUUGGAAGAUCAAGGAAGAGGUAAUCUAAUUCACCCGUGCUAACUGAUUUUCUACAACUUGGAUAAUCAUUCUUUUCGUAUGUGUAGCUUAUGUUUUAUUUUAUAUAUUUUUUUAAUUGUAUCAUAAAUCCCAGCUUGAAAUUCAGAUUGAUAUUAUUGUUAUAAAGUGUAAGCAAUAUUUUCUUGAAUGUUGCUAAAAAAAAACAAAAUUUUACCUGGAAAAUAUGAAAACUUUGUUUGGUAUUUGAGUUGCUGAGGAGGAAAAAAAAAUGGCUAUAACUAUAGAUAAAACUUAGGUGUGUAUAGUAAAUAUAACUUUUAAAUAAUAAAAUUGAUAAUUAAUAAAGAUAUCAUAGGUUUUUCAUCAUAAAAGAGGUGGGUCAAUUCAACUUAUAUUUUAAGCUGCAGUAAUAAGUGUUUAUUAAAUUUUAAAUAUUAUAGUAUUGUAGUUUUUAAACUAUAGCUGUUUAAUUUUAAUACCAAAUAGGAACAAAAUGUAUCAUAUUCUAGAUUCGGUGGUAAAGAGUGAUUUUUUAAAGUCUGGAUUUUGAAUUUGGUGGGAGUAUGCGUUAAUUUAAAAAAAAAAGAUUUGUAUAAUCCCUUUCUCUUUGUUUAUUAGAACCUGGCAAAUAUGAAAUGUGCCAUCACUUCUUUUAUCGGGUCUUUGUUGUUGGAUCAGUGGUUAUCGGGUCUUCGUUGUUAGGUUUUGUUUGGGAUUAAAAUGCUGUAAUUUUUAAGUUACAGUUGUUGAAAAAAAAUUAAUUGUAAAAUAAAAUUUAAUAAUAUAUAGUAAAUAUAAUUUUUUAAUAAAAUUAUUAAAAAUAUAAUAAAUAUUUCAUCAUAUAAGUGAAAAAUUAUAUCAACAUAAUUUUUAAUUACAACAAUUAGUGUUAAUUAAAUACUUUAGUAUUGUAACUUCUAUAACUGUCAAAUUUCAAUUCCAUAAUAAUAAUAAUAAUAAUAAAAUUUUAUAAUAACAAUGCAUUGUAUACCUUGACAACCUCAAUAAAUUCCAGGAAAAGAAGGUUUUUUUUUUUUUUAAUUUAUCACUUUCAUGAUCCAGUGUUCCACGGAUCUAGUAAAGAGGGAGGAGAUCGAAGGAUCUAUCAAAUAAUACUGUAAAUUUUAACUGAACGAGGAAUCGGAAUUCUUAAUCGCAAUAAGAUUUUUUAAGUUACCGGAAGAAUAAUCAUAGUUCAUUAGAGCUAAUUAAUGUGAUGGAAACUUGGAAACUGAUUAAUUACUUAUGUUUUCAGGUCAAAUCAAAGGUUGAUCGCAACAUUGAUUAAUCAGGCGUCAAACUUUUACUUGAGCACUUAAAUUGUCUCUAACCAACCUAGUGAGUGUAAGUUUAAUCUUUGAACUGUCAUUUUGAUAAAUCUUAUAGAAAUUUUGAAAUUGCUUAAGAAAACAAUUCGGCAACUGCAAUGUUUAUUAUGUUUGACCUAACCAAUUAAAAUCAAUAUUCUGAUUAACAUGUAUAAUAGCCUUUCUGCUUUGCUUAAUUAAUGGUCUUGUGAAAAUUUAUGAUUUAUUACUCAGAUGACAUCAUGCUUGGCUCAAAUAAUCAUCAUUUGCCAUGGUGAAGUACUCACAUGAUUCAGGCUCUCGUAACAUUCUUCUUAUUCAAUGACAUAACUCUCAUAAAAAAAUUUAAAAAAAUGACAUAACUACAAUCUUAGUAUUUGAAAUGAUAUGUCACGUUCAUGUAUUAAGUUGUUAGUAUAUUAUAUAUUAUUCAGAAUAAUUUGGCCGUACAGCAGUAUAUAUAUAUAUAUAUAUAUAAGCAUUCAAAUGUAAUGUAUUAUGUCCUGUAUUGUAUUGAAAUUUAGAAAUUUUUAUCUUUUUUAUUGUCCAUAAUUUUAAAAAUAAAGUAAGCAAUUCUCAUUGUAAAAUUUACUCAUAUUAUCUAUUAUUAAUAAAUCUAUUAUUAAUGCACUAAUCUUGAAUCACUAGUUAAUUUCCAUUAAAAAAAACAUAUUAAAUACUUUAUUACUUAGAAUACGUACAAUAUUACUCUUUAUGGAUUUAUGCAAUAGGGGAAAAAAGUGGUGGCAUAGUUGAUGUUUGCUUCUCUGCGGAGGUUUCAAAUAUUUAAGUAUUAUAAUAUGAAGAACGCAAUAUUAAUUACUAUUUCUAAACAUAUGGAGUGGUUAAUGAUGCUGCAAGUCGUUCGAAAUAAUUUAUUUACUUGACAAUAGUAAAUAGGUUGGUUCAUAAAAAUUGACACGAUCAUUAAAUUUUAAUUUGGGUCAACAUUAUUUUUUUCUAUGUCGGGUUAGGAUUUGAUUUCAUACCCUAUUUACCAAGUUAAUGACAUGAUUAUUAAACAAUUAACCAAAGCUAUUUCAUAUUUAUGGAAUCUAAAAUAUACUUAUGUUUUCAAUUCUAAAUUAAUUUACAGAAUCUUAUCAUCAAAACUUAAAUAUUGAAUAUGCUGAUCUUUUUUAGUGAAGAAUGAACAUUUAUAUGAUGUUCCCUUUUGUAAGAUUAUACAUUUUUAUAAUAUAUGAUUAAAAUAUAAUAUUUUAAUCGACAUAUAUAUUUUUAUAAUAUCAAUACAUAAUAUUAUAUAGAGAUAUAAAGAGAGCAAUUUGAGACAAAUAGGUGUGUGAUGUUUAAUGUAAAUCAUGUUGAAUAGCCAUUAAGUGGGUUACUGGUUGUGUCGUGUUAAAUGAUACGAUUACAUGAUUAUUAAAUAGAUAUGUUAGGUGCCUCAUUUAUUUUUUUUGUCAAAUUUGGAUUUCAACAUUUCGAUAGGACACAAACAUGAUCCAAUAUUCUAUUUUGCCAACUCUAGAUGUAACCUUGAGUUAUGUAUAAAAGUUUUGGGACAUUAAUUAUAGGAAAAAGGACACUUACACCCAAGGGUUUUGAGAAAUGGUCAUGUAAUCUCCCAAAUUUUUAAUAAGAGAUACUAAGACUCUCUUUUAACUAUAAUACUCUUAGUAGAUGGUAAUUAAAAAUAAUAAUUUUAUUUUUUUAAUAAAAUAUAAAUAUAUCAGCAGUUACAAUUAAUAAAAUAGAUUUCAUGUACUAAUAAUAUUAAAAUUAUUUUAUAUAAUAUUGAAAAUAAUUUAAAAUUUUUAUAUAUUUAUUUUAAUAUUAUGUUUCUAUUUGUUAUAAAAUUUUGUUUAACACAAUAUAAGAUUGCAAAGUAUUAAAAUAUUUUAAAAAUUGAAAAUAUUAAAAAAAGUAUGUAUUGUUACAUUUAUUUUAAUAUUAUAUUUUUAUUUAUUAUAAAACAUUGAGGUGGUGUUUGGUUAGGAGGAGAGAAUGUAGGAGAGGAAAGUAAUUUAAAUUCUCUUUUUAUUUCCAUUGUUUGGUUUGACAAAAUGUAUAAUAAGUUAAUUUCCAUUAGAAUUUAAUAUACAUCAUAAUGUAGAAUUUAAAUUCCACACUAAGUAGUGAAGAAUUUAAAUUCCUCUUAUAUUAGAAAUUGAAGUUUUCAAAAUUACCCUUCAACUUUUUAAUUUAUUUAAUGUUAUAUUAUUACUAAUAUAAAUAGUUUAAUAUUUAAGAUAAAUGAUAAAUUUGUCUAAAAAAAAUUAUAAUUCAUUUUCUUAUCAAAUUUUAUAUCAAACCAAACAACAAAAUCUAAUUUCACUAGUCUUCUCUAUUCCUCUCCAUUCCACUCUUUUCAUCUCCUCCCUUUCCUUCAAACCAAACAUGACCUAAGAGUUAAUUUUUUAAAGUUAACAAAGGCAAAAGAUAUUUUAGUCUAAAAGGAUCUUUUGUGACCCAUUAUUAAAGUGAUUAUUUUUCUAAACCUUAAAACUGUAAAUAUCUUUUCCUCUUAGCUAUAAUGGAUAAUCACAUCUACAAUAUUAUAGUAACAUAUCUGCAUCGUAUAAUGUGAUUAUGAAUUCAAUUUUCUUUUUAUUCAAAUGCGUACAGAAAGGCAAUUGCAUUGCAAGUAUCACGUGCUUGCUAGAGGUUUCAUCACCUUUCCUUACUUAGGAAAUGUGUCAAUUAUUUGUCAGUAAUUAAAUUAAACAGUACUCCUCUCAAAUGGAAUGCAAGCCAGCAAUAAUACUUUAAACCAAAGCAACAAAGGAACCAAGAGAAAUCUAUUGGCUAAUUAAAGAAGCACUAAUCUGUAUUCUUUUUAACAUGACGCAGAUUGCUAGUCACUGGACGAAUAAUUAUCGUUUCUUGUUUUUUUUCCUUCUGUUAAUGCACCAAUUAGUUGCUUUAUUAAUUGCUUUCACUUUGUUAGGCCAUUUACAUCAUCAGCUGGAACACCUGCCGAUUUUGGUUUUUACAGUGGGCGGUUAAAAAAAAAAAAGAAAAAAGAAAAGACACUUCAUCGUAUUAUAGAAAUGAGAAAGUGAAAGCUAGAAUGAUGCUCAUGGCGCAUGCACGAGGCAGAAAAAGAAUUGGCCAAAACAAUUUUUAAUAAUAAUAAUUAUUUUUAUCCUAUGAUAAGAAUAUUAUCUCUGUAAAUUUUGCCAACAUAAACAGAACACAACAUUGGAUAACCAAAAUGAUAUACACAUUUUUUUAAAAAGAAAAUUAGACAAAAUAUUGAUAGAAAUAACUUUAAAUCAGUGUUGAUUUACUCAAUUACAAACACAGUAAAAUAUCUUACUUUAUCGUUAUUUUUGUCAGCUCUUUAUCUCUUUAUAAAAAUAAUUAAAAUAUAAUUCUAUAAUUAUCUUAAAUGUGUAUAUACACUUUAAAAUUUUUAAAAAGAAAGAAAAACUCAUAUCAAGAAAGAAUCGUGUAACUAUCUCGAGUCAACAGGUAAUUCCGAGCUUAUGGUUACUAUUUCAAAUCUUAUGAAAUAAAAUCAUAUCCAACAAGCUUUCCACUAUUAUUAAACUACUUUCAACCAUUACCGAAAAUGACUUAUCAGGAACAUAGAUGUUUGCUUAGCUAGCGAAAUGGACCAAGUUUAAAUGUACCUACUAUUCAUUAAUUAAAGAGCAAUAUCUCAUUCUAAGCAAACUAAUCGACACCAAGAUAAUUAAGUAGUUUAAUUAAGAUUUGUGCCCUCAAGAUUCCUUACCUUCGAUGGAAAUCGAUGUACGGUUGAAAUAAUUAAGAUGUCGACAGUGCAUCUUAGGGCUUGACUCGACCACCUGUCUUCAGCUGCUCCACUAAAUUUUUAUUACAUUCAAGAUCGAGAAAGACUGUUCAUCUAUCUAGAGCAUACUCUUUUAGUGGUCCCAUUUUUUUUUUCACCUAUAUAUUUGAUCUUAUUAAUCACGAGAUACGUAUAUGAUAAGAAUUCUCCGAACAUUAGCAAGCUAGUCAUUUAUAUAUAUACAUUUUUAAUCCCAAAAUAUUCCUUAAUUACAAUGAUGCUGCUAAAUUAGAAAAAUUGUAAUAGGUUAACAACAUUAUGUUUCUUUAAAUUUUAUUACAUAACGUAAUUGUAGAGCCAUAAGCUCCUUACACAAGUUAAUGGGGCAUCCCAAUAUUGAUUUUAUGAAGAUAUAAAUUAAUAAAACUAAAUUAUAUGAGUUGUGUGGUGUUUUAUUUAUUACCAAAAUAUUAGUCUGUCACGUCAAUUAUGCAAAAUAGUUUAUAUAAAUAUAAGCAAUUGUAUUUAGCUAGUACACAUUUUAUUAGUAAAGAAAAAUUCAUCAAAAAAAUUUUUUUUUUUUGGGGCAGGGCCUCGACAGUAGGUGGAAAAUUUAUUGAAAAUAAAAAGAAUGAAUACGCUAAAUGGGGGACAUAAUGAGCCUUAUUUCAAAUCAAACUAAGAACAAGAACCCUCCAAAACUAACAAGCAAGCAACCUAAAUAAAAUGUUGUCUAAGAAAACGAACAUGCAUGCAAAAAAAUUACAACAAUAAGAAACUACAUAAAACGCUAAGUAGGGACACCGAGAGCAUCAUGAUGCAAAUACGGCAAUAUCUCAAGCGGAUCAGCCCACCAAGAAAAAGCAGCCACAGUCGUGCCAGGAUUAGCAAGCUUCUCAGAAGCAACAUCCUCCUCUCUGAUGAUAAAUAUGUGUGAAAAACUGAUCAACAAAGUCUACAGGCGCGUCAGAAAAUGGAAACUAUCUACACUAAAUCGAAUGAGACAAAAAGCAAGAAGUGAGAAAUUAUCAAUGACUUCGUUUUCAAAGUUCAUUAUACCCGCAGUCUCAACUAAUUUGAUUUCCUAAUCUCUUUAAAAUUGAUAUAUAUUUAUAAGUAGCUUUCCUCAUUGGGAAAAGAAAAUCUUUCUCUUUUCUUAAUCUAUUACUCGGUUGACACAAGUCAUUGGGUUAAAAAAAUCCAAAAGAAAAACAUUCAUGAAGUGAAACUCUGCUGUAUUAUUCUUCGUUGAAAAUGUUUAAAAAGAAGAGGGUUUGUUGGGUUAUCAAUGGCCAAGUAAAGCUUGUGUUAUAUAUAUAUGUACAAGUUUUGAGUACAUUCAAUAUAUUGCUAGAGCUUUUCUUGGCUGCCCCAACAAGCACAUGGUGCUUAUGGAAACAAGAAAUAUAUUAGGAACGAGUUUCAUGAGACUCAUAUUCAAGUUCAAUAAUUAUUUAUUUGUAAGUAUAGAUCGGGAGGAUUUCAUCACCUGUAUCGGGCACAUAUUUUUUUAAUAAUUGGGAAAAAUUAGACAACACAUCGAAUAUUGCUACAACACGGUGUCCCUUCUCUUGGUUGGGACAUAACUUCUUCCAUUUUAAGGUAAUUUGGUCUGUGAGGACCACCGUAUUAAUAUUGUCCCUGCAUUGAAGUAGAUUGGCCCUCGCGAAAAUAUCAUAUAGACAAUACAUAAAAAAGCAAAAGCAUUAAUGAUACAUGAUAACCGUGUAACAUAGCUUAUGUGAACAUUUCUUUUGGGUCCAUCUCGUGAGCAAAUCAUAAAUGAACCAUGUGUACACACACUAUAGCCAAUUUUCAACUAAAAUGGUGUUGGUUGAUCAACAUCAACUUUAAUUUUUCUUUUCUUACCCCAUUUUCUAAGUCAUCAUUUUGAUCAGCUAGCACUUUUGCAACAUUGGUGCCUCAACAACUCUUAUCAUAUCAUAUCUCUAAAUAUGUACGGCUCAUAAUCUAAACGUGCAUGCGCAUAGAUUAAUUUGUCACCCCACAUUUUCUUCAAUAAGGAGGUAAGUUAUUUUGUCUUAUCAAAACAAUACCUUGUAUUUGCAGUAAAGAGCAUUCGAUAACAUUUUUUCUUCAGUUUUCUAGAUUCGGUUGCUUUUAAAUUAGACACCCAGAAGCGUUUUUCAUACAAGUCAUUAUAACCACACUAUGUAUAAAGAACAGUACUGUUCUGCAUUGUAAGUGCUUUUAUGUAUCAGCUAUAUAUAUAAAAGACUAGCUCCUGCAUAAUUUGAUCAUACGGUCACGGUUUUCUCAUUGAAGAAGUGUGACUAUUAUAGCAGGCAUGAUAAUAAAUAGAAGUAUAAAAAAUAUAUACGGGACCAAUUCACAGGAUGUCAGCGAUCGAAUAAUCGGCUGUAUUAAUUGUUUUACAGUGAAUGGUUCACCGUUGUAAGCAGGAAUAUGUUCAGAAUGAGAGGAAUAAAUUACUGUAGUCCCCACAUACUCACCUUAAUUUAAAUAAUAUAUUGUGCCCUUCAUGGGAUAAGAAUAAUUAUUUUAUUUAUUCGCCCAAUCAAAAAGAGAGAGCGAAGCCCAUCGUUUUAUAUAUAUGCGCACGCGCGCGCACACUAGACACCACUAACAAUAAUAAUCUCAUUCGAUAGUAUUAACUUGUGUAGGUGAGAAUGGGCAGGAAAUGCUCACAUUGUGGAAACACAGGCCACAAUUCAAGAACUUGCAGCUCUUAUGAUAACAAUCUAAAAGGUGGCAGCUGCAGCACCAGUACUCUUGCGGGAGGGCUUAGGCUUUUUGGUGUUCAACUUGCUAUAUCUUCAAAUUCAUCAUCAUCGUCAUCUUCUCAGCUGCUGCCACUGAAAAAGAGUUUAAGCACGGAUAGCUUUCCUGCUAUACCAUCGCCAUCAUCUUCAGCUUCUUCUUCGUCAUCAACUGGUGUUACCAUUAAUAUCGAUCAACAUUCUAACAAAUUGUCCAAUGGUUACAUCUCUGACAGCCUCAUUGCACCUACCCAAGACCGCAAAAAGGGUUAAUAAUUAUUGUUAAUUUCAGUUACUUUAAUUGGACUGCUAAUUAAUUAAAUUUCCAUUAUUUCAUGUAUAUAAUGCAUGCUUUAAUCAGUUAAUUAAGAAGCUCUCUUCCAUUGAUGAAUUAAUGUUUAGGAGUGCCGUGGACAGAAGAGGAGCACCGGGUGUUUCUAAUGGGACUAGAAAAGCUUGGCAGAGGCGACUGGAGAGGCAUCUCCAAGAACUUUGUCACCACAAGAACUCCAACACAAGUGGCUAGUCAUGCACAAAAAUAUUUUCUCAGACCAAAAAACCUCUACAAAAGAAAACGCCGCCCCAGUCUCUUUGAUGUAAUGCCCUGGGCCUGGUUUUUAUUAGUAUUGUUAGGCCUUUACUAAUUAUCAGCUUAAUUACCCUUUUGGUCUAGCCGAACAGAAUCUUUUGAGUUAAGCAGUUUAUCUAACAUUCUUUUCAACUUGUUGUAGCAGAUGGGAAGGGAUAAAUUCUCAAAUAAAGUGCUUCAUACAUGCUGUUCCAAGCCAGGAGAACCUUCAAAUUUUUGUGGGUUGUUAUUGAAAUCAACAAAGGCUAGUCCCAGUAAUGGCAUUUGUGAUUCUUCAUCGGCUUUGGCUUAUAAUUCGUUGCCUAAAUGCUUCAAUGAAUCGUUUAACUUCCAGCCAGCAGCUUCUUUCAAUUUAAAAAUGCUGACAGCUGCAAGUGCAUCACCGCCUAAUUUGGAGCUUACACUCGCAGCUCCAACACCGUUGGAUCAAAGGAAAGUAUGUACUCGUGAUCUUAUGAUCGAAGCUAUUAGUGUAAUCAGUCCAUCGCAGCUGUCCGAGCUCUCUUGAUAUUAAAGUUGAAUCAGAACGUUUCAAUUGCAGGAAAACUCUAAUUAAUUGUGUGAUUAACGUACAAUGAUGGCUUUUUUUACUAGUUAUUACAUGUUAUGCCCCUAUUGUUGUUGUUUUCCUUUUAGUCCACCCAUUAAUUGCUUUAUUAAUUGCUUUCACCUUAGGUCAUUUACAUUAGCUGGCCAACACAUUGUUUUUUUUUUUUUUUUUUUAUAGUGGGCGGUUAAAAACAAUAAAUAAAUAAAUAAAGCAUUCAUGACAUUCUUAAUAAAUGCAAAUUAGAUCAAUUUACUUUAAAAUGAACGGCUACAAAGUAAAAGCAUGAUUAAUUGAUUAUAAAUAAAAAUAAAGUGACAACGUCACGGCGGCUUUGUGCCUUUUAUAGAAAUCCAUUAGCAUCUCUAAGGCUGUCAAUUAAUUAAGCUAACCAUUGUGUGCUAUUUAUAAUGUAUAUUAUAGCUUUACCUUGUGAAGUAUAGACAAGUUUUCCUAAUUUGUCAUCAGUAAUUUAAGAGUAACAAUGCUCAUUAUACGCAAACUAAUCUUUCCCUUCAAGAUACCAACCAGUUUCUUAAUAAUUUAAUUGAUUAAUUAAGAUGUGUGCCUCUCGAUUUACGCCUAUCAUUGGAGAUGAGAUCUAUAUAUGGUUGAAAUAAUUAAGAUGCACAUUAGAGUUGAACAAUCUGCAUGUCUUAUGGUUCAUUAAGAUUUACCAAUAAUCAGAUCAUAAAUCAUUUCAUGCGAGAGGGGCAUUGUGAUUUGAAAAAAAAAAAAAAAAACACGAUAACUCUUAAUUCUUGAGUAAUAUUUUGAGUCUGAGCCAUGUUCAUAGGCUUUUAUAUAAUAUUAAAACUAAACUCCGAUACAAGUAAAUCCACAUUAUAUUAUCAACUAACAAGGAUAACAUGAAAAGUAUGGUAUGCACAUCUAAUAUAGUGGUGAUCUUCAACCCCACAUUUUAUUUCAUGAGACUGCACUUUUCUUUUACGUUCCAUUUACUUUCAAGAUUACCAUUUGAUCUCAUGAGACCCCAUUUUUCAUUUCACCAUCUAUUUCUAAAAUUUCAUUGUUCUGUAUUAUCUCUCUCUCUUUUUCUUUUUUCUGUUAGAGUUUUGCAUCAACACUCUUAGAUGCAUAUUUAUCAUCUAUUAUUUUUUUUUAAAAAAAAGUUAAUAAUAAGUUAUAUAAGUGUCUAUGAGCCCGAGGCUCUUUUAGACAAAUAAAUUCCUAAAGUUCAAUCUUUUAGUGUGAAGAAGAAAAAAAAAAAUCAAGAAUAUGAGAUUAUGUUGUACUGUUUACUAAUAAUUGUAAUCUCCACAGAAUAAACAGAAUAUUUUACUUUAAAAAAAAUUGACUCUUGUAAUAUGCUAGAAAAAGUAUAUAGUUGCCGGAUUUGAAUGGAAUAAAAAUACAAUAUAACUUUUUUCCUCUAAUUUGAAGUUUAGUGAGGGUUGAUGGGAUAAAAUGAGGAGAUAAAAUAUCAUCACUCUAUCUAACAAUAUGAAUUUGAGGUAAGGAUGGCAAAAUAAUCCGGACCUGGCCCGGACCCGGACGAACCCGGACGAACCCGGAUAAUCCGGCCGUACAGCAGAAUAUUUAAUUUUAAUAUUAUUUUUUAAUUAAUUUUAUUGAUUAAUCUAAAUGUGUUAUUGUUUAUAAAUGUAUUAAUUUUUUAUUUUUAGAAUUUUAGAAAUUAAUAUUCAUUCAUUGAUUCGGGUUCAAAACCCGGAAUCCGGAAACCCGGAUUUUUCCGGGUUGAACCCGGACCCGGACCCGGAUGAAAAAAUCCGAGUUAAAAUCCAAGUCCGGGAAAAGAAAAUAGUAUCCGGGUCCGGAUCCGGAAAGGCUAAACCCGGACCCAGACCCGGAUUUUGCCAUCCCUAAUUUGAGGGUGUUGCUACUUCUAGCUUCUGUAAGGUACAACCAACUAAAACAAGUGACUAAAGGAGGACCCAAGUGGGCUAAUCACUCACCAAUGGACCUUUAGUUUAAUGGGAGAAGCCUUGCACUUACAAUGUUGAGUGCAAGGGUUCGAGCUUCCACAAGAACUUUAUGGAAGUUAGUUUCAGUACUCCCUCAACUAUUAACUAAUCGAGUUGAGACAAUCUCUCAUUUACGAAAUUUGAGUAGAGUAGCCACCCCUCGAAUAUUAGAGAAGGUUUAAAAUAUUUGGACAAGUGCUUUAGUGAGUUAAUGUAUGGCGGUGGUCCAAGUUGUUUAGUAUGAUUAUAAAUAUUGUAAUUGUAAUGUCUGAUAUAAUAUCAGUAACAAUCUGUGUAUAAUAAAAUUCAAAAAAUAGUGGGCCAAUCACUCCAUUUUAUUGGAAGCUAUACUCUACAGAACCUGUAAAGUAGUAAGACCUUAAGUUUGAAGCAACCCUCAACUCAUGAGUUAAUUGACUUAAGUUCAUAAACUUCGAUAAAGAGUCUUUAUGUAUAUUAGGAGGAUUUAUUUAUUUUCAAAUAUUUGAGAAUAAAUUUAGUACAGUGAUCUAGGCCUAAUAAAUGAAUUAGAUUUCAAAGAGUUGAGAUUGUAAUUUGUCUAAUAUAGUGGUGAUCUUCAACCCCACAUUUUAUUUCAUGAGACUGCACUUUUCUUUUACGUUCCAUUUACUUUCAAGAUUACCAUUUGAUCUCAUGAGACCCCAUUUUUCAUUUCACCAUCUAUUUCUAAAAUUUCAUUGUUCUGUAUUAUCUCUCUCUCUUUUUCUUUUUUCUGUUAGAGUUUUGCAUCAACACUCUUAGAUGCAUAUUUAUCAUCUAUUAUUUUUUUUUAAAAAAAAGUUAAUAAUAAGUUAUAUAAGUGUCUAUGAGCCCGAGGCUCUUUUAGACAAAUAAAUUCCUAAAGUUCAAUCUUUUAGUGUGAAGAAGAAAAAAAAAAAUCAAGAAUAUGAGAUUAUGUUGUACUGUUUACUAAUAAUUGUAAUCUCCACAGAAUAAACAGAAUAUUUUACUUUAAAAAAAAUUGACUCUUGUAAUAUGCUAGAAAAAGUAUAUAGUUGCCGGAUUUGAAUGGAAUAAAAAUACAAUAUAACUUUUUUCCUCUAAUUUGAAGUUUAGUGAGGGUUGAUGGGAUAAAAUGAGGAGAUAAAAUAUCAUCACUCUAUCUAACAAUAUGAAUUUGAGGUAAGGAUGGCAAAAUAAUCCGGACCUGGCCCGGACCCGGACGAACCCGGACGAACCCGGAUAAUCCGGGCCGGGUUGAACCCGCACCGGAAUAUAAAAAAAUCCGGGUCCGGAAUAAAUUUUAAUAACCCAGAUAUAUCCGGGUCCGGGUCCGGGUUUAGGUUAACCCGGACAUCCGGAACCCGGACCCGAAUAUUUAAUUUUAAUAUUAUUUUUUAAUUAAUUUUAUUGAUUAAUCUAAAUGUGUUAUUGUUUAUAAAUGUAUUAAUUUUUUAUUUUUAGAAUUUUAGAAAUUAAUAUUCAUUCAUUGAUUCGGGUUCAAAACCCGGAAUCCGGAAACCCGGAUUUUUCCGGGUUGAACCCGGACCCGGACCCGGAUGAAAAAAUCCGAGUUAAAAUCCAAGUCCGGGAAAAGAAAAUAGUAUCCGGGUCCGGAUCCGGAAAGGCUAAACCCGGACCCAGACCCGGAUUUUGCCAUCCCUAAUUUGAGGGUGUUGCUACUUCUAGCUUCUGUAAGGUACAACCAACUAAAACAAGUGACUAAAGGAGGACCCAAGUGGGCUAAUCACUCACCAAUGGACCUUUAGUUUAAUGGGAGAAGCCUUGCACUUACAAUGUUGAGUGCAAGGGUUCGAGCUUCCACAAGAACUUUAUGGAAGUUAGUUUCAGUACUCCCUCAACUAUUAACUAAUCGAGUUGAGACAAUCUCUCAUUUACGAAAUUUGAGUAGAGUAGCCACCCCUCGAAUAUUAGAGAAGGUUUAAAAUAUUUGGACAAGUGCUUUAGUGAGUUAAUGUAUGGCGGUGGUCCAAGUUGUUUAGUAUGAUUAUAAAUAUUGUAAUUGUAAUGUCUGAUAUAAUAUCAGUAACAAUCUGUGUAUAAUAAAAUUCAAAAAAUAGUGGGCCAAUCACUCCAUUUUAUUGGAAGCUAUACUCUACAGAACCUGUAAAGUAGUAAGACCUUAAGUUUGAAGCAACCCUCAACUCAUGAGUUAAUUGACUUAAGUUCAUAAACUUCGAUAAAGAGUCUUUAUGUAUAUUAGGAGGAUUUAUUUAUUUUCAAAUAUUUGAGAAUAAAUUUAGUACAGUGAUCUAGGCCUAAUAAAUGAAUUAGAUUUCAAAGAGUUGAGAUUGUAAUUUGUAAAUAUAAAUAGAAUUCUCUUUUUUUUUAAAAAAAAAAAAAGAGACCUUUUUUUUUUUUUGAAAAGAAGAGACCAUUUUUUAUAUUCGAAGCAAUUAAGAAAUUUAUAAAAACACCCAACCAUAAGAGACACCACUUCGAGACAACAUAUGUAAAUUCACUGAAUUUUGAUUCCAAGUGGCUGGGAUCGCUUGCAAUAGGCUAAUAUGAAGAUUCGGUGCCAAAUGGGAAUGCUUGCAAUAGACUAAUGACAAUGUGUGUUUUUACGUUAUAUGAUAUCCAAUGCACUUCGUUAGUGAAGAACUCAUCAUCCGCAACUCAUGAGUAAUCCAUAGAGUGAGUCUACAAUUUCUAAAUUGGCUAAUUGUAUAAGCCUAGGGCAAUGGUCCAGAAGUUUUUCUUAUAAGUAGCGUAUAUAGCCUAAAGAAAGAAAAUUAAAAUGGGCUUAUACUACAAUUCUAAUUAAUUACUGUAUUGAAUGAAAUGAAAAUUUUAAUUAAUUAUGAGAUAAAAAAAUGAUAAUGCUUGGUAAAUAUAAUGUCUAAAUAUUAUUUUGACAAAAAUAAUAAAAAUUGUAUAAAUUUUUCAUCAAACAACAACAAGAUAAACUCAUUUUAUUUUCAAACUACAGCAGCGAGUAUUUAUUGAUACUCAGAGCUAUAAUUUUUGAGCUAUGAUUCCCAAUAUAUUUUAAAGUUACUUACACCCAUAACCUCAAAAAAAUUAAUUUUAUGAUCGUCUCUUCAAUAUUUAUAUAUUUUUAUUAUAUAUAAGUAGUUACUUCUUUGGGAAAUAAUGAAAAAACAUUGUCUUUUCUUAAUCCAUCUCGACUUGUGCCACAACAGUCAUCGGGUUUUGGAUAAAACCAAAACAAAAAGAUUCAUGAAAAUGUUUAAAACGAAGAAUGUUUGCUGGCUUGAAUUUUAGGACCAAGGACCAAGGCAAGAGCUCAAGGUCUGCGAGCCCACCUUUUUACAACUUAUUAGAUGCUGCACCCACCUUAAAGCAUGCGAAGGUCCGCAAGAUGCUUAGGAAGCGGCCCAUAUCAGAUCGUCCUUCUAUUUCCCAUUAUGCUUUGUUGGGUCACUCUUUUUUUUUUUUUUUUUUAACUGCGAGGUAUCUUAGGGAGGGUUUUUUUGUUGGGUCACUCUUGAUAUCAAAAGACCAUACCAUAUUUUCUUGAAAAAAUUUAUUUAAUUAAAAGCUUCGCUGAUAGUUGAGCGCUCGAAAUGUUAAGUUGAUAAAAGUGGAUAGAUUCGAGAGAUUGUAGAAAAACAAAAAACAAAUAAUGAAAGGGUCUGAAACUGCUUGUAAAAGAAAUUGAACUUGUGAUUUGUAGAAUAUAUGGAAGAGAGAGAUUUCAAAAACUUGUUAUACUUGUGAGCAGAAAUUCUUGCUCAAGCUAUCGGUUGAAUUCUUUAACAAGCUACAGUGGCUGGUUAGAAAUAUUCAGAAAUGCAAUGCCACUUCCUCUGUGGACUGCAGUCCAUCUGAUGGCAGCUAGCCCAAAAACAGCACAGAUAUUCAUGAUACUUAAAAAAAUAAAAAAUAAAAAUUGAAUGAUGACAAAAGGUGCCUAACUUUUGAUUGCUAGGAAUAAAGGUUGAGCCUCUCCGUAAACUCCACACAUAAUUUCUCUGGCCAUUUUGCCUUUGCCUUAUUGCUAAAGCAACCACUAAGCAAUGCAGUUCAGCAGUUGCUGCUCCAAUGCCAUCCUUUCUUUUAAUUUCUCAGUGCUAAGAGAUGACAAGCCAAGUAAAAUCAGAAACCCCUUUUUCUUUUUCUUUUUCUUUCCUUCUUUUCUUAUCCUUUUUUUCCCUCUCUCUCUCUCUCUCUCUCUGUGUUCGGCUUACUUUAAAUUAAUUUGUCAGGAAUAAUGCCACCAUUUCAUUAUUCGCUUCUCCUUCUGCGUAUUGGACCUUCCUAUGACAUUUGAAAUUCGGCCACAUCACGACACACAACUGGGUCACCUCCAAUUCCCUCCAAUUUCUAGGUCUUUUAUUAAUUAUUUUAUGUGGACUUUGUUUUAUUAGCUUAUUAUCGGUGGGUAGCCUCGAACCAGUGGAUCUAUUUUUCUGGGAACAAAUAUUUCAAAGCGGUUUGCAUGCUUUGCAACAAUAUAUAUUUGAUAUUAUUUCCGUAUACAGCCAUGCAGACAGAGCUGUAUCAUAUCUGUCAACUACUCUCGUGUUUCCCAACUUUGUGUCGUGCAAAUAUUUAUAGCCCCGGAUAGGGGAUACAGAUCGCCAUGUUACUUCCUCACUGUUUCAAACUUCAGCAGCUAACUCUUGAAAAUUUAGAGCAAACAAACAGAAAAAAAAGAAGAAAAUGCGUCCAAAAUCAAAGCAAACGCUCUUCUCUUUUGUAACCCCACUUCAGUUUACACACGUGUGUCAGAAGAUCAUAUCCAAGUUUUCUAUGUGUAUUUGGAGGAGAUAUCUGGAGGCAGCUCGAUCUGAUCUUCAAUCUUAAUCCAAGUCCAAAUACCAAACUGCCUCAUUAGAUAUUGAUAAAUGGCUGGCGCUAUAUAUAUUAUUAAAUUUAUAAGCUUCCAAUCGAGAUCUUGGUUAUACUAAAAUUAGGGGACCUAUCAAAAGAUAAAAAGACAUAAAUUUUACCAACAAUCUUAAGUUCUUCGAUCUUAGUCCAACUCCAAUUACCAAAUUGCCUCAUUAGAUUUAGAUAAAUGGCUUGCGUUAUAUAUAUUAUUAAAUUUAUAAGCUUCCAAUCAAGAUCUUAAUUAUACUAAAAUUAGGAAACCUAUCAAAAGAUAAAAAGAUAUAAAUUUUACUAACAAGUGCGUAGAUCAAAUGGCAUGAGACCGCUUUAACUUAACUAAAGGUUUUGGUUCGAUACUUAAAAACGUAGUUGCGUUAUAUGCUUAUUAGGGGAUAUUUACCGCCUGAAUGAUUUUAUUCGACUCAAAUCUGAAUUAGUUAUAGUUCAAUGUAGUUUUUAAAUAUUAGAUGACUCAAUAUAUCAAGAAAAAAACAUAAAUUUUAACACAUUAUAAGAUAAAAUAUAUUAUAUUAUCUUAGGGUGCGUGUUUUUUUUUUUUGUUUUUAAUUUGUCCCUCAUUCAAUGAUUAGAAAAUUAUAUAUAAUUUAUAUAAAAUAAAUAAUGAAAGAAAAUUUGGUAAAAGGUAGGGCCCAAAAUCCUGCAAAGUGGAGUUAUAGAUCACGCGGGAGUUUGUUAGACUUCUCACAUGAUCCACGAAUCUCCAGCUUGCCCUUUUCAAAGACUGCGACCACUCCCUCCCUCUUCGUUUAUCUCUCUUUUCUUUUCCCUUUUUACUCCUUACCUUCUCCCGCAUUUCCACUUAUGCCCCCUCCUUGCUUACUCGUCAUAAUCUCCAUCUUAGUGGCGCUCUUAAAAUAAUUUGUUCCCGAAGUUACUAAAACAACACUGUCUUUCAUGUCCAAUACGGAAUGAGAAGCUCUGCUGCUUAAGUACCAUACUACUAAAUUAAUGAUUUAAUUAACCAUUAGCUUGAAAAAUUAAAAUUGUCUCUCUUCCAAGUUUAAACGAUGCCCUUGUCACCUUUCAAUGGGCCAAAUGCUAAGCAUGUGAGACGAAAUCAAUAUUCAAUAUUCAAUUAAGGCUGAAGACAAAAGCCUUUCCGUACAUAGUCAUGACUGGUCCACGUCAUAAUUCUCGUAAUUAAGAACUAAUCAAUCUUUUAAAACAAGAGGACAAAACCGGUACUGAAAAAACAAACUGUUAAUUAAAAAUAUUACAUACGAAUGCCAAAGCCAAUAGCAAGGCCCAAAAUAAAACGUAGUUCCCCCCUCUAUCAACUUAUCACAAGAAGCCCUAAUUCACUUAUUGGAUAUUUUCAUUUCUCUCUUCUCUUCUCUUCUCUUCUCUUCUCCUGUGUGUGAAUGUUACUUUGAUACGUGCGUGCGUGAAAAUAUUUUCAUUUCCGCCGCUUGAUGACCCUAAUGGACGCGAGCCAAGCCCCGCCUCAAGGCCUUACGCCCGAAGAAUACGCGGAGCUGAGGCCUAUCAUCGAAAGAUACCACAAGUUUGAACAGAAACCAAACACAUGCGUGUCCCUAAUAACACAACGGAUUGAUGCACCAGCUCACGUUGUGUGGCCUUUUGUUCGAAGAUUCGACAAUCCCCAGAAGUACAAACACUUCAUCAAAAGUUGUAACAUGCACGGCGAUGGCGGCGUAGGCAGCAUAAGAGAAGUGACGGUUGUAUCGGGGCUGCCAGCUUCAACGAGUACUGAGAGAUUAGAGAUUUUGGAUGAUGAAAAGCAUAUAUUAAGCUUUAGGGUUGUGGGGGGUGAGCAUAGGCUAAAUAAUUAUCGGUCUGUCACGUCGGUCAAUGAGUUUCAAAAGGGUGGCGAAAUUUACACUAUUGUUACGGAGUCAUAUGUAGUUGAUAUACCCGAAGGUAAUACUGUGGAAGAUACAAAGAUGUUCGUGGACACUGUUGUGAAGCUCAAUCUGCAGAAGCUUGGAGUUGUGUCAAUGGCUUCUCUCCAUGGACAUGAGUGAAUCAGUUAGUUGAUUAAUUAAUUGCGAUGAUGAUAUCAAAGUUUGUUGUUGCUGUUGAUGAUGAUGAUAAAGGUGGUGAGUGAGAUUAUUCUCUUUGAAAUCUUAGUGGUUAGUAUGAUAUUAAUUUGCAAGUUGUGUUUUUUUUUUUUUUUCAAUUGGGUUUUGGACAAGCUGGAAUUGGUUUGUAUAUUUUAGUUUUAUUUGGGUGAUUUCAGUUAUAUUAUGUCAUGGUUUUUUUCCCCUCCUCCAAUGACCAUUUUCUCUUGAACAAAUGAUUCAAUAAGGGUGAAGCUAUUCAUAUAUAUAGUUGACCCAAAAAAUUUGCAUUAUUAUAAUAUAUAGUUUGGAUACAUAUGGUUUGUUAUGAUAAGCAUUAUUGGCUCUUUUAGUAGUUUUUAUUUCUUUGUGCCCUUCACUGGCCGAAUCUUGAAAUGAUUGCCCUGUGGCAGUUGCAGAUGCAUGUCAUCGUAAUUAAUCAAUAUCUAUUGAAUGAAACCCCAACUAGAUUUGCAUUUUGCAUAUAAUAAAUAUUAGGCUUAGUUUUCUUAUAUGAUGACGUAAGAAACGUGAUUUUUCUUGAUAAAAAUCUAACGGUUGUAGAAAUCAUAUAAUUUUAUUACUUUAUAUUCAUAUAACCAUUAAAUUUUUAUCAAACGACUGUGGAAGAAUCAUGUUUCUUACAUCAUUAUGUAAGAUAACAAGCUCUAUUAUAUUAUUCUUUAACGAGGGCACCGUAAGAAUAUUAAUAAGAAAUAAAAAAUAUAUUAAUUUUAAUAUAUUAAUAAAUAAAAAAUAUAAUUUUUAAUGUAUUGAAAUUUAUAGUUUUUAUAUUUUAGUGGCAUCUUCACUUAAACAAAAUGAAGAUUUCUUUCACUAGAAAAAAAAAUUGUAUAUAUAUAAGAUCACAAUAAAUAAUGACCUCUCGUUUCCUUCAAUUAUUGAAACCACAUUUUUGUUUUUCGUUUACUCUAUAUUAUCUAAUACAUAAAACAGUUGAAGUUCUUAACUAAAGAGAAAUAAACAGAUAGCUCUGUAUGUGUGUGAGCGCUCGUGUGCGAGUGAGUGAGUGAGAGAGAAUAGUCAAACUCCAUUGCUUUUAAGUAUUACUCGAAUGGCCACUUGGGCUUGUAGUCCAGUGGUGAACCAUUGCCCUCAAAGUUAAGCAUGACUAUGAGAGCAAUGGUUCGAGUCCCCACAGACUCAACCUCCCUCAAUUAAAACAUAAUUGUGUGGAGACUUCUUAUAACGUCUUUCUCCCUUGCGAAAUGCGAGUGGAGUAGAGACAUCCCUCCUCUGUGAGGGGUAUUUGGAUGGGCAUGUACUUCAUAGAAUAAAAGUGUAAUAAUAUAAGUCUCAUGUAUAUAUAUCUAAUUGUAAAUAUCAGUGUAAUGAUCUGCUGUCAGUUGUAUAUAUCUCUGUGUAAUACAGUAACCAACUGAUGCUUAAUUAGUUUAAAAAAAAAAGUAUUACUCGAAUGCAUGCAAAGUGAAGAAAUUAAAGUGAGGGAGACAAAAAGGGGAAAUUACGGAGAUAGCCGCUUUCCACUUUUUAAUUAUACACACUCAUAUUUCUUUCAAACAUAACCAGCUUCAUGUCAUUUGGACACAUUUACCCUUAAUCACCAAUUUUUACUGUAUGAUGAUGUAGUAUAUGCCCAAGAAAAUCAUGCAGAAUCUCUCAUGAGAAUACAACAUUGUGACAACGGUGACUUAAUUACUCCUCAUAAUUCCAUCUUCUCACCCUCCAGCUUGUUGAAAUUUAUCAAAAUGUAACUUCCUGGUUGCCAUUUUGAUCAUUAAUCAUGAUCUAUAAGUCACCGUUGAGCGAGAAAAUUAGACGAAAAAUGACAAAGAAAAGAUAAACUGAAUUUUGAGCGAGAAAAGUAUACAUUAAAAAUAAUAUAAUCAAUUAUUAUAUAUAUAUGUAUUUAAAUUUAAUAUAAUCGUUAUUUAUAUAAUGAAUUUUUAAAAUGAAUAUAAACAUGUCGUAAUAAAAUUUAUUUAUUAUAUUACUAAUACGAUAUUUUGAUGUAUUUUAAAAUUUGUUCGAGUUUGGAAUAAACAAAAGGUGUGAGGGAGAGAGUUUUGGUCUGCCGAGCUGUGUGCUUGGCUGUUACUGUAAGAAAAGUGGGAGUGUGGCCAUUUUUGUAAUUUGAAAAAAAGGAAAGUGGUUAUUUGGGCAAAUUCCCGAUUAAAAAAAAAAGAGCGAAAUAUGGGGAAUGUGAUAUUAGAAAGAGUUGAUAGUACGUAUCAGGUAUAAGACACAAACACACGGCGAGGCCGAGGCUAGCUUUUUAAUUAAUUCGUGUGGCUUUGAAUUGAAAUGCCAACCCCUUAAUUCAACGGCAAGCACGUUUUUGAAGAUAUAUAUUUGCCCUCGGAAACUUGUGAGUUAACUUUGCCACCAUGUGACCUCCAAAUCUUACUUUACUGCUUCUUGCCCACUUAAUUGUUUAACUACCAGAUCUUUUCUUGAUUUCUUCAGCUUAUUUAUUGCUUUACAUAUAUAUUUGCAUUAUUUUUCUUUUCUAGAAUCGUAGAGAGAGAGAGAGAGAGUCAGUCGUCUCACUUUUUGUACAUUUGUUGCAUAUACAAUACACAAUCAACCAGUAGACUCUUGACAUGGACAUUAAAAUAAAGACCAAAAAUGUUUUAGAAAAAAAAAAAAUCAAAAGCUGACAGAAUUUACUAGAAGUAUGAUCGGGAUUGCAGUGUUGAUAGAUAACUUGGAGGUGAGAUGCCACCUUCGGAUUCAACGACUUUUGUAAGCCUUACCUUUGGGCUUUAGAUUCCCGUAAUUUUGGGGUGCAAAAAAAAAAUGGAGUCAAUAAUUGCUAGAGAAGAUCCUUUAUUUUUAAAUAUUUAUAAGUGUAGGAGUAGAUCUUAUUUUUAUUAAGCUUAAUUUUCAAGCUGCAUACUCAACAAACUCCAAAAUUUCCACAAUUGUAUUUGUAUAAAUCUAUUUUUUUAAAAAAUUAUUUUAUACAAAUUGAUAUGACAUAAUUCAAUUGGUUUGAUUAAUUAGCUCUUGAUCUACAUGAACCUUUUAAUUUAUUUUAUAUUUUUAUUCAACCAAUAAAUUUAUGUGACAUCAAUUUAUAUAAAUUUAUAAUAAUAUCAUUCCUCUUUAAAAAAAGAAAGUUGAUAUUGUACUAUAGAUUAAAAAAAAAAUUGAGAAAUUAGUGAAUUAGGCUCAACAAUAAGGUGUGAAAAAUUUAUCCCAAGGAUGAAGAAUGACGAGCCAUUGGCCCAUGGCUAGAGGACUAUUAAUUUAUGAGGGCCCAAAUUCGAGUUGAAUGGGAUUCAUAUCAUGCGGCAGCCCAAAUAUAAGAGGACUCACUGCUGUGGUUGGAAAAAGAUUUAUGUCAUAAUAGUGUAGUUUUAGAAUAUUAAGUCGAAAGUUAUUUCUCUGGAAGUUACUGUGAGUGAUUAUUUGAUUCUAAAAGCAGCAACAAUAACAAUAACAAUACAGCAGUACCUUAUUAAAUUAAUACUUGAUAAAUUGGUGGUCUCGAUUAAAUAAUAAUUUUUCAAUUCCAAUUUUGGAGGCAACAUGAUAAAUUAAUAAUUCGAUAAAUUUUUAAAUAAUAAUUUCCAAAAAAAUUUCUUGUAGGGCCCAAUUAAUACAUAAAUUAAUAAUUAACUAAUUUAAAAUUUUACAUAUCACAUGUCUAUGAUUUUCUUUUUUGGGCUAUAUAAUGAUUUAUAUUUUAUCAGUCAUUAUUACUUUCUUUACAACUUUGAAAUGAGAAGGUACCUUUUUUAUUCUAUGUACUAUAUUAAGAGAAAUAGUAGAGAAACUGGUUUAAUAUAUUGCCUCCGAAAAUUCUUCUUUAGUGAGUUACUACAUAAUCCUAGCCGAGCUAUCUAGCUAAAGGAUUUUGAUGUGACUAAUUCAUUUAAUUAAAGAUUAACUUAGAAUCCUAUCAUACUAUUUAACAUACUAAAUUCUAUAAUUAUAUUGCCUCUAUACUUUACUAAAAUUCACAUUAUGAAUGUGAUAUUGUCUUUAUGAAUCAAUAAUUACUAAUUCAUCAAUAUAUAAAUAUUCAUUAAAUUCAUGAUCCCAACACCAUUAAUUUAUCUUCUGUUGUACUUAUUUCAAUCAAAUGCAACGAUAUAAAUAAGGAAAAUGUUACAAAUCAUUUGGAAAUUCAUAGUAAUUUAAAAUAGCUUUUUUUCUUUCUUUCUUUUUUACUAUCUGAAGGUUUUAGUAUGGAUGAGGCUAUUUAAAGUUUGAACUAUAUAUAAUUCCUCUUAAGGGUGAUAUUUGACCCUUCAAUUUAUGUAACUAGAUGGAUCCCUCAAUUUAUCUCACCAGACCUCGCUUUUCAAUUAAUGUUGUUUAUUCUAAAAUUGCCCUUAUUGAAAAGUAAAAAUAAUUAAAACCUAUUAUUUUCUUUCCUCUCAAGUUCUCAAUAGAUUAACUUCUUUGUCUCUCAUAUCUCUUUCAUAUUCUUAAUUAGUUCGUAAUUUGAAUAAGAUAUUAAUUCUUAAUCAAUCCUGAUUAAAUAAAAUCCUAGAUUCUCACAUAAAUUUGAAAUCAAUAUCGCCAAUAACAACAAAAUCCAUUACAUGUUAAUAAAAUUCAACAAUAUCAACAUUGAAACUCAUCAUAUGUUAGUGGAGGUGACGGACUGGUGAUGAACUUAUUAUUGAUGAAGUUAGAGUUGGCAAAAUUUGACACGACUCGAUUGUCCGACACGAAUACAACACAAAUAAAUGGGUAUAGGUCGUCAAAUUUAACACGAUUAUUAAAUGGGCUGGGUCGAGGUCGACAUGAUUUUUUUUCGUUUUGGGUUAGGAUUAGAGUUCUUGAUCCAUUUACUCGACCAAUAACAUUAUAUUUUAUUUUUAAAUUAAUUUCUAAGCUCUUGUCACUAAAAAUCAUGUAUUGGAUAUGAUUAUCUCUUUUUAAUUUUUUUUAAAGAAUAGAUAUAUACUUAGUUUUUUAUUUAUAAAAUUUUAGACAUAUUUAGAAUUUUAAGAGUGUCAGUGUGUAAAAUAUUGGAACACACAUAUAUUUUAUGAUAUUGAUAUAUAAUAUUAUUUACAUAUAUAUAAUUAAAAUUUUAAUAUUAUAAAUGUGUAAUAUUUUGGGAUUAUUGGGUAACCUGUUUAUUUUUCGAAUCGAAUUUGAGUCUCAAUAUUUUAACACGAUUAUUAAAUGGGUCGUGUUUGGGUUGAUCUAAAUUUGACACGACACGAACACGACCCAACGACUCAUUUUGACAGCUAUAGAUGAAGUGGUAGGGUUGAUGGUUAUGCACUUAUACUAUAGAGAGAGAGAGAGAAUAAAAUAAAAUAAUAAUUCUUUUUGUUUAAUAAGAGUAGUUUUAGAAAAUAACAAAACAAUUUAAAAGUGAGAGUUAGUGAGAUCAUUUGAGGAGGUCACGUGUCAUUCAUCUAAUACCCAUUUUCUUAGAAUACUCACUAUCAAAAUAUCAACGCCUAGAAUUUUACUCUAUAAACUAUUCAAUAUCCCAAAAUUAACCCCGUUUUGGUUUCUUCUUCGAUAAUUUUAUAUAAGAACAGUUUGUUAAGACGAGGAUUAAUUAGAGUUCACAGUAGGGGCAAAUAGUUUAACUUACCUGUCCCUUUUGAUAAUUUUGUCUAAAGUUAUCUGUAUAAUACAAAUUUUCAUUGAACCAUGGGUUGAAAAGGAAUUUUAACAGAUUUACUGCUGUACGGCCAAGGCGGAUGUACGGUACAGCAGAAAUAUUUUAAAAAUUGAAAAUAUUAAAAAAAGUAUGUAUUGUUACAUUUAUUUUAAUAUUAUAUUUUUAUUUAUUAUAAAACAUUGAGGUGGUGUUUGGUUAGGAGGAGAGAAUGUAGGAGAGGAAAGUAAUUUAAAUUCUCUUUUUAUUUCCAUUGUUUGGUUUGACAAAAUGUAUAAUAAGUUAAUUUCCAUUAGAAUUUAAUAUACAUCAUAAUGUAGAAUUUAAAUUCCACACUAAGUAGUGAAGAAUUUAAAUUCCUCUUAUAUUAGAAAUUGAAGUUUUCAAAAUUACCCUUCAACUUUUUAAUUUAUUUAAUGUCAUUAAUUGUACGGCCAAGGCGGAUGUACGGUACAGCAGUUUUAAAAUUUUACAUAUCACAUGUCUAUGAUUUUCUUUUUUGGGCUAUAUAAUGAUUUAUAUUUUAUCAGUCAUUAUUACUUUCUUUACAACUUUGAAAUGAGAAGGUACCUUUUUUAUUCUAUGUACUAUAUUAAGAGAAAUAGUAGAGAAACUGGUUUAAUAUAUUGCCUCCGAAAAUUCUUCUUUAGUGAGUUACUACAUAAUCCUAGCCGAGCUAUCUAGCUAAAGGAUUUUGAUGUGACUAAUUCAUUUAAUUAAAGAUUAACUUAGAAUCCUAUCAUACUAUUUAACAUACUAAAUUCUAUAAUUAUAUUGCCUCUAUACUUUACUAAAAUUCACAUUAUGAAUGUGAUAUUGUCUUUAUGAAUCAAUAAUUACUAAUUCAUCAAUAUAUAAAUAUUCAUUAAAUUCAUGAUCCCAACACCAUUAAUUUAUCUUCUGUUGUACUUAUUUCAAUCAAAUGCAACGAUAUAAAUAAGGAAAAUGUUACAAAUCAUUUGGAAAUUCAUAGUAAUUUAAAAUAGCUUUUUUUCUUUCUUUCUUUUUUACUAUCUGAAGGUUUUAGUAUGGAUGAGGCUAUUUAAAGUUUGAACUAUAUAUAAUUCCUCUUAAGGGUGAUAUUUGACCCUUCAAUUUAUGUAACUAGAUGGAUCCCUCAAUUUAUCUCACCAGACCUCGCUUUUCAAUUAAUGUUGUUUAUUCUAAAAUUGCCCUUAUUGAAAAGUAAAAAUAAUUAAAACCUAUUAUUUUCUUUCCUCUCAAGUUCUCAAUAGAUUAACUUCUUUGUCUCUCAUAUCUCUUUCAUAUUCUUAAUUAGUUCGUAAUUUGAAUAAGAUAUUAAUUCUUAAUCAAUCCUGAUUAAAUAAAAUCCUAGAUUCUCACAUAAAUUUGAAAUCAAUAUCGCCAAUAACAACAAAAUCCAUUACAUGUUAAUAAAAUUCAACAAUAUCAACAUUGAAACUCAUCAUAUGUUAGUGGAGGUGACGGACUGGUGAUGAACUUAUUAUUGAUGAAGUUAGAGUUGGCAAAAUUUGACACGACUCGAUUGUCCGACACGAAUACAACACAAAUAAAUGGGUAUAGGUCGUCAAAUUUAACACGAUUAUUAAAUGGGCUGGGUCGAGGUCGACAUGAUUUUUUUUCGUUUUGGGUUAGGAUUAGAGUUCUUGAUCCAUUUACUCGACCAAUAACAUUAUAUUUUAUUUUUAAAUUAAUUUCUAAGCUCUUGUCACUAAAAAUCAUGUAUUGGAUAUGAUUAUCUCUUUUUAAUUUUUUUUAAAGAAUAGAUAUAUACUUAGUUUUUUAUUUAUAAAAUUUUAGACAUAUUUAGAAUUUUAAGAGUGUCAGUGUGUAAAAUAUUGGAACACACAUAUAUUUUAUGAUAUUGAUAUAUAAUAUUAUUUACAUAUAUAUAAUUAAAAUUUUAAUAUUAUAAAUGUGUAAUAUUUUGGGAUUAUUGGGUAACCUGUUUAUUUUUCGAAUCGAAUUUGAGUCUCAAUAUUUUAACACGAUUAUUAAAUGGGUCGUGUUUGGGUUGAUCUAAAUUUGACACGACACGAACACGACCCAACGACUCAUUUUGACAGCUAUAGAUGAAGUGGUAGGGUUGAUGGUUAUGCACUUAUACUAUAGAGAGAGAGAGAGAAUAAAAUAAAAUAAUAAUUCUUUUUGUUUAAUAAGAGUAGUUUUAGAAAAUAACAAAACAAUUUAAAAGUGAGAGUUAGUGAGAUCAUUUGAGGAGGUCACGUGUCAUUCAUCUAAUACCCAUUUUCUUAGAAUACUCACUAUCAAAAUAUCAACGCCUAGAAUUUUACUCUAUAAACUAUUCAAUAUCCCAAAAUUAACCCCGUUUUGGUUUCUUCUUCGAUAAUUUUAUAUAAGAACAGUUUGUUAAGACGAGGAUUAAUUAGAGUUCACAGUAGGGGCAAAUAGUUUAACUUACCUGUCCCUUUUGAUAAUUUUGUCUAAAGUUAUCUGUAUAAUACAAAUUUUCAUUGAACCAUGGGUUGAAAAGGAAUUUUAACAGAUUUAAAUAGUCCCACCCUUUUAAUAAUAUUAUCACCCAAACACGUGUAAUAUGAAAGUUUUUGAUGAGACCCGCGCAUUAAUAUUGGUAUAGUCCCGCGCAUUUACCAUAGCUGAUAAAGUGAACAAGAAGUUUAGAGUCCCGACCCAUCAAGCCCUUAUUAGUUGAAUUCAGCUGACGGUUUGUGGCUUCAUUGAUUUCAUUUGGAAAUAAUUUGGAUAUCUACUUUUUUUUUUUUUUUUUCUUUUUGAAACGAAUUUGGAUUUCUGCUAUAAAAGUGAAUCAACAUUGAAGUGAUAACAGUUACAAUCAUGUAAUGUACUUGGAAAAAAAAAUAAAUUGACCGUUACAUCCGCAUCUCCCGCAAGUGGACCAUAGUUUUAAAUAUGUUUGGUUGACAAAGCUUUUAAAAAAAAAAGAAUCUUGAUCGACUGUACAUUGUCACCGCAAAAUUUUUAAAUUUGUGUUUUUUGCAUGGAAAGAGUGUGUGAAAUGAAGAAAAAGAAAAAGCAUCGAUCAACAUUGUCUUAUUAAACAAAAAGAAAAAAGAAAAUGACUCUUAUUAUGCAAAGAAUAUGUAUUUCAUACGCGACAAUAGCUGGGGUGGCUAUCAUUAUUUAAGUUAUAAUUUUUAGGGUGCAUUUGAGAUUGAUGUGUUGUAGUUUUUAAGUUACAACUGCUGUAGAAAAAAAAUUAUUAUUAUAAAAUAAAAAUUAGUAAUAUAUAGUAAAUAUAAAUUUUAAAUAAUAAUUUUCAUAAAAUUAUUAAAGAUAUAAUUUUUUUUUUAUAAUACAAGUGAAAAACCACAUCAAUAUGACUUUCAAGCUUUACCAAAUAAUAUUUACUGUUUACCAAAUACUUUAAUACUGUAUUUUAAAAACUACAACUGACCAACCUUAAUUUCAAAAGCACCUUUAAUUUGAACAUGUUGUGUGCGUAUGUUAGAUGAGUCAUCUUUUAUCAAAAAAGCCUUUAUUUUUACUAAAGUGAAGACAACUUAAACUAAUAAUAAAAACAAAAAUUUUCAAUAUGCUAAAAGGAUAAAAGAUAAUGCAUGUGUUAUUUUUUUAUAGUUUGGUUCUCAUUUGAAAUUGAACAUACUCUUUUGGGAUUUUUAUUCAUCACAGAUAAAUCUACGUGCAUAUGCAUUCACACGAUACAUGGAAACAUUAAUUCAACUUUGGGCAAGACAUCAUGAUCCAAGAACCCAAAAAGAUAACCUGAAAGACAUUGUAUAAUCAUUGCAUUUACAGGCCCACAGCUUGAAGAUGAUUCAUGAUUCAUGGUGGUCUACAUUGCAAUUUGCACAUGAUAUUGCUAAAAAGGAGAAGAAAGUAGAUGGAAUUUGUAAUUGCUUCAAUAAAUUUUUCAAAGAUCUUGCCACUAGAUUUUCUGGUCAGCUUUGGAUUAUUAUGCUUGCAUCAUCACCAUCAUUUUUUCUUUUUAAAUUAAAAACAAGUACACUGCUAAAUCUUUGUUGCUUUACUUUUUAGCAAUGCCUUAAACCUUUAGUUUGUUGGAUUCUGAAGUGAAAGCAUACAAAUUUCUUCCCCUAUUUAGUCCCUCUUCUUUCCCAUCACUAGUCACUGUACUAGCUUCUUGUCUUAAAACAGCUCAUAAAAGCAACCCCAAAAUAAUUUUGUUCUUAAAAAAAAAAGAAAGAAAAUGUUGCUGAAAAAAAAUCCUGCCACGAACAGGAGUUUCAACAGAGAGAAUCUACAUAUUUUGAUUGUGAUGAUUACAGUGAAGCAGCUGCAGAAGCAGCAGCAGAUAUCAAGAAGAGAUGGUGAUGAGAGGAGGACAAAUUACAAAGGAAAUGGGCCCUCUAAAGCCUGCAACAGAUAUGAGUACCACUGCACCAAAGAGUAAUGUGUUUCCUUUCUCUUUCUUCUCCUUGUUUUUACUCUUUGUGUAUCAAUGCUGUGGUUGUGUGUGUGUGUGGUUCUUCUUUCUCUUUCUAUCUAAUUAAAUGGGUCCAUUUCAUUCCUCUCCACUUCACUGCUCAAGCAUUUUUUGGCCUUUUUUUCACACUCUCUUUCUUGCUUUUAUUUUCCAGACCCAUUGGUGUUUUAUACUUUAACUUUGAAUCUCAGUUUCUUGGGUUCUGUUCAUGCAAAAGAAACUUUGCCCACUUCAUGUAUUGAGGGGGAAAAAAAAGUGAGGAUAAUGCAUUAUGCACGAGGCCAGGGUAACUUUUUCACCUUGUUCUUUUCGUUAAAGAGGAAACAAAAGUUCUGUGCUUCUGUUUCCUGGCUUUUGAUUAUACUCUUUUUGUGGAGAAAGUGAAAGUCAAUUAUAUCAUGUGAAGUUUGUAUUGUAAUGUUAUGUCAAUCAAGCAUAUUAGAAAACAAAACGACUUUUUCUUUGAGCGCUGCAAAGAUUUCUCAUGUCUUGCAUGAUGAAAUCGAAUAUUUAUCUGCUUUAAAAUUCUCCACUUCUUUUAUUUUGUUUUCUUCUAGGUUUGAUGCAUCAAACUGGGUUCUCAAUGAACUUGUAUCUUGGUGGGUGAUACUUGAUAGAUCGCUUUGCUCCUCUGCAAAUGAGACAAAGGUUGGUCACGUUUUCCUGCUUUAUUUUGCUAGUUUCAUUCACAAUUCCACCAGUUCCGCUGUGUCAUCACAUGAUUUUGUAAACACUGAAUUUGAAUUUUUUUUUAUAUGAAACUCAAAAAUGUUUUAAAGAUGAAGAAUAAUCUUGAAGCUGUAACCGGUGAUAUGUUUACACUUUUGUUGGUAGUUUCCUUUUAAAUCACGAUGUUUUGGUAUGAAGUGGAAAUCUUGUUUAUGUUUCAUUUUGUUUUCUCUCCAAGAUAUAUUGUACUUCUAUAAAACUAUUUGUUGGUCUUUCUUGGCUAUUUGCUCUUGGUAUUCAUUCCUCUGCUUCUUGAUUAUAGUGUAUCUGUAGGGAGGGCCUUAGAAAGCUCAGUUAAUAGUUAUUUUAGUUGAUUGACACUGAUGCCUGUCUUAGACUAUUGAUGAUGUUCAAAAUAGAAGGUUACUGAAAAUGGGUAUUUUUCAUACCCUUUUAGUAAAAUCAUAGCAUUGCCUUUUGAAGGAGUGAUGAUAUUGAAACAACUAGUUGUAUGCAUAAUCUGGCCUAUCUAAUUUCUGCAGGUUUGAUAUGUAGUUUCACUUUUUUCUGUAAAAAGUUUCAUCAAACUAUUGGUAGUUUGCUUCUUCAGUCAACACAUUUUGGAUUCUGCUAGAUGAUGAAUAUGUCCUUGUGUUCGAGAAUGAAAGAAAGGGGCAGGAUGAGAAAAACAAUUCCUGUCUGCUUGGGCAGAAAUUAGAAAAUAGAAAGUGGGGAGUGGGGAAGGAAUCUAUCAAAUUCAGAAUUAUUAGGUCCAUUCAUGGAUGUCACAAGUAUCAUUUCAUUCACUUCCUUAGCCACUGUAUUGAUGUAUCAAUUUUCAGAUAUCUUAUUGUUUUUUGUCAUAAAAAAUUGCGCUUAUAAAGUAUUUCUUAAGUUUUCCAGUUCAAUAUUUCUUGAAAGCAGAUAAUCAAUGCAUGAAGAGAAUGAUCACAAAGACAGAAAAGUAUCUGCGCUGGCAACCAAAUUAGUGUGCUUGAUCUCUCCUGAUAUUUGUUGAGUGAGGCUGGCAAAAGCGUCCACAGUACUGCUUGUGGAGAUCAACUGGAUUAACAUACCUUUAGAGUAAAAGAAUCUUGAAGCUGUUGGCGUGAAAUUUUUUUGCAUCUGACCAUCUAAUGGAGAAUGAUAUGUUCAAUAAUCCAAUUAAUAGAGCUAGCAGAUAUUCUAUUCUCGUAGAUGGAACCCCAAACUCACUGAUCAGAACUAGUUCAUUCAACUUUGAUAGCCAAAAGCACCCAGACCCGGCAUUGGCUGGAUUUCCAUCAUUUUCAGCAUUGCAAGGAGAACCUAUCAGUGAUAUCCACACUAAUCUUAAUGUAACAAACAAUUCCAGGGUUUUUGAUUCUGAUGCAUUAGUUACAUCACUCGGAAGGAAUGGCAUGAGAGACUUUUCAGUUGGUAGAUCAGGUCCUAUGGAUAACAUUAACUUUCAAGAGCAGCUGGAGGAUGGAACACCCAUCUCUUCUACUUCAUUUGCUACCCUUUUGGCUGCAAGAAAUGGCCUUCAAGAAAAUCUAAACAACUUAGCAAUUUCAGUGCCUUCAAUUUAUCCUGUGGAUGUUCUUAGAAAUGACAUUGCAAACCACUGCUCGAAUGAUUUGAAUUCUUCUUUUGAAACCUCAGCAAGCUGUGGGUAUGAUGAAGUACUUGGAAAUGUCAAUAGUAAGUGGGUUUUUGACGAGGCUCAUGCAGCUCCAAAGUUUGAUGGAAAAACUUUGUUAAGAACUGGGUUUCAACCAUAUUCAUCCAUAGGAAGCCUGCAUCCAAGUGAGUGGAUAUCCUCAAAUGAUGCAGAUGUGACUGCCAAUCGUUAUGGCUCCUCUAAUUACAGUAAUGAGCUCUCUUUAAGUCUUGCCACUUAUCAUACUGCUAUCACUGGUGGGAAUAAUAUCCCUGAUCAGUGCUCUGAGGUAAGCUUUUCUGGUGCAACUCAUCGUUGCUUGAAUGCAACAAGAUUGUGCUCAGAACAAGCUUCUUGCAGCAGUAAUGAGCUUUCUCUAAGUUUUGGUUCUCACAGACCAGCUCACUUCUUGCAAUUUAUAUCGGGAUCAACUUAUCUCCAUGCAGUACAGGAAAUACUUGCUCAAAUUGCAAGCUACUCGCUAGAAAAUCUAGAUGAUAUGAGUUACUUAGGUGUGAGGAAAAUUGGGGACAAUAUACCACCGUCUUCAAGUUUCAUUACUGGGAAAGGGAGGCCGCCAAUGAACUCUGACGAAUUUCCAAAUGUUGAUGGUUGCUUUGAGGUCCAAAUGAAUCCCUCACAGCAGAGACAAGCAGUUGAAGCUAAGAAAGCCCAAUUGCUGGCUUUACUGCAAAUGGUAUGUUGGAUUACUUUCUUCUGUCUAAGGAUUUAAGUAUAGCAUUAACAUAUGUCAUCGGCCCAGUUGUCUUGAUCAAGCAAGUUUGGUAUUAUUACCAAUUUGGCUUGCUAGCUCUCUCAUUUAUCAAUUCAUUUAAUCCUUUCUGGUGACUCGGAGAUGGCAUUUCAGCAUUGUAAUGACAUUUUGACAAAAAACUUCAUUAUGACUCAGGUUGAUGAUCGAUACAACCAAUGCUUGGAUGAGAUCCAUACAGUUGUAUCUGCAUUUCAUGCUGCAACAGAGUUGGACCCUCAGGUGCAUGCUCGUUUUGCCCUUCAUACUAUCUCUUUCUUAUAUAAAAACUUGAGAGAGAGAAUCAGCAGCCAAAUCCUUGCAAUGGGAGCACAUUUUGAUAGUAAAUCCACAAGAGGGAAGGACACAGUCAUGGUCGAUUCUUUCAUCAAGGAACAAUGGGCUCUCCAACAGCUAAAGAAAAAAGAACACCAAAUAUGGAGACCCCAGAGGGGGUUGCCCGAAAAGUCUGUUUCUGUUUUACGGGCUUGGAUGUUUCAGAACUUUCUUCAUCCGUAAGCUCUUUUACUCAAUGAUUACUUUUACAUUUGUGUACUUGUAAGUUUAUGGCUAGCAUUGUUUGAUGAACUCAACCUAUAUGCAGAUGUGUUAGAACUUGGAAGAUCUUAUGUGUUUGAUGAAUUUCAGGUACCCUAAAGAUGCAGAGAAGCAUUUACUUGCCAUGAAAAGCGGAUUGACGCGAACCCAGGUAAUAGCGUGUGGUGUCUUUGGUGAUUUUAAAUUUAAGGAAAAACUUGUGCAUUCUCAUUUAGGAAACAGGAAACAUAUUUUUGAGCAACAAGUGAAAGUGACUUUGUUAGUUAUCUCUUUUCUUCCAAGAAAUUUAAGUACACUCAUAAUUAUGAACACUUUUCUUUCACACUCAAUUGUACUAGGUAUCAAAUUGGUUUAUAAAUGCCCGUGUUCGACUAUGGAAACCAAUGAUAGAAGAAAUGUACAGAGAAGUCAACAGAAGAAAGGCUCAGGGAAGCAAGGAAGGAAUUGACAGCAGUCGCAGAAGCCAGAUAAGCAUCAGCAACCAAAGAUUUAAUAUGAAUUGAAGCUCAAAAUUUAAAAGAUGGGAGGUGAGACCAAGCACAUCUUGUCUCUUUCAACAAGAAAUCAAAACAUCCAUAAUAUAUGGUACUCACUGUACAUAACGUCCCAUACUUUUCCUUUUGAAGCACAAGGGGCAAAUUUGUCAGUAACUAAUUUCUGUCCAGCUUGAUAUGAAUGUUCCAUUAAACGAAUCAAAAUUUCUUAGUAAAAUUACAAGGAAUUAUUUUGCGUCAUUGAAAGUGCUGGACUAUUGGCACCCCCUCGAUACCCCUUAAAACCCUCUUCUAAUAUAAUUACAGUUAAGUCUAUAAAUAAGUAAAAUUAAUCUCACUUUUUUUUUUCUCUUUAAUUUAGAACUUACAUGUAUUACUAAAACUCGAGGACACCAUCUUGUAGUACUUGGAACAUUUUCUUUCAAGUAAUUAAACUCUCAAUUAACAAACUUAAAUUCUAUGCCCAAGUUGAGUUAGCUGUUGCAACUUGAAAAUAAAACAACAAAAUUCAAUUCUACUUUUUUUUUUUUGCAACCCAAAAUCAAUUGAAUCACAUUUCUCUCUCUCAAGUCUCAUCUAUGUAAUUAAUUUUCACAAACUUAAAAUAUUAAUUUUUUUCCUUUUUUAAUAUUGAUCAUUUUUAUUUUUUGAGAAUUAGAGUUUUUAAAUUUCGUACAAAGAGAAGGUUCAAAGGUUUGAAUGACUCUCAUUCAAAGGAUCAAAAGGACACAGUGGAAACGCCGUUGAGGGGCGCAGCUGGGAAGGGCACACCGCAUGCAGGGCGGAGCUACAUAUAUUAUAUAUACCACUCCAAUUAAAGCCCUUUGAACAGAAAGAAAAAUGCAAAUAUCAUGGGGUGUGAAUACAAGGCUUAGCCAGGAAGGCCAUGCUGCAGCACUAAGGCUCUAUGGGCUCUGUUUAUGAUUAAGGUACUUGUAACUGAGUUACAAGUUAUUGUGGAAAAAUAUCAUGAGAUUAAAUUUAGGAAAAUUAUCAUUGCACCAUUUUUUUUUUGUCUUAUAUUCAUUCAACCACCAUAAAAUUCUAACAUAUUUUUCGCACCAUUUUUCUUUUGAAAUUUGUAUCAAUUAGCUACUUUUGUACUAACACCGUUAAAUAAUUUAAACGAAAUGACAAUUUAAACUCUAAAUAAAUUAAAAUAUCAUUUUAUCUUAUAAAAAUUUUGAAAAAAAAAUUAUAAUUAUAAAAAUAUCCUUAAAUUUAAAAAAUAAAUCCAAAAUAGAGGUGUUCAAUUGAUUUUUAUUAAAUUUAGAUUUUGUAAAUUUUAAUAAUUAUUUUUAUUAAAAACUGCUNNNNNNNNNNNNNNNNNNNNNNNNNNNGUUUCUGCUGUACGGCCAAGGCGGAUGUACGGUACAGCAGAUUUUUGGAUUUAUUUCUUUAUUAAAUGUAGGGGUAUUUUUAAAAUUAUAAUUUUUUUAUUUUCAAAGCUUUUAGAAGAUAAAAUGAUCUCUUAGUUUAUUUAGGAGUAAAAUUAUCAUUUCGUUUAAAUUAUUUAACGUAAAAUUAUCAUUUCGUUUAAAUUAUUUAACGUUAUUAGUGCAAAAGUAGCUAAUUGAUACAAAUUUCAAAAGAAAAGUGAUGCAGAGAAUAUGUUAGAAUUUUGUGGUGGUUGGAUGUAGGGAUGGCAAAAUUCGGAUCCGGAUUUAGUCUUUCCGCUUCCGGACCCGGAUGAUCAAUUUUAAUUACCGGACCCGCAUAUAACCCAUAUUUUUUUAGCUCCGGGUCUGGUCCGGGUUGAACCCGGAAAAGUCCGGGUUUCUGGAAUGCGGGUUUUAAACCCGGAUAUAUGCCUAAAAUUAAAAAAAAAAAUUCAAGCAUGCCAAUUUCGACUCUUUGGUAGUUGCACAAACAAAUAGAACUCAUGGGAUCUUGUGAAGAUAGUGGAGGAAGAUGGGAAAAUUAAAGAAACAAAGAAAGCCACAUGAUUCCAUAGAAAGCACAUGAUUCCACAUAAAGCCACAUGAUUCCUUGAGCCCAAAUCUCAGAAUAAAUCUAAUUUUAACACAUAAGGUAGAAAUUGAAACUUGCAGAUAAGUGCGGCCACCGUCGCGAUGUUGUGAUGCUGAUGAUUGAUGGAUGAUGAUGAACCGACUAUUGAGAGAGAUAAAUCUCUGAACCAGACCCAAGACCUCUUCUUCAUCGGGAUAUGAGCUAAACUUCAACGACAGGACUUGGGCUAAUAAAAAAACUCAUUUGAUUUCGAGAAGGUAAAAGACAUGAGAAGAAUAAGCAAUCAAAGAGGUACGGUCAAAUCAAUGCUUUCAAUCAGCUUUAACCAAUUCUUUAAUUGCUCAAUCGAAAGAAUCGGGGCCACGUUGAUUUUGAAUUUAUUUGCUGAAUUCUGGGGAAUGAACAUGAGGAAGCGGCGGCCGUAGGAAAUGUAGGGUUUGUUUUGUUUCUCUUUUUUUUUUUUAAUACUUAUAAAUAAUAAUUUAAAAAAUUAAUUAAAUAAUAUUUAAAAUAAAAAAACCGGGUCCAGGUUUCGGAAAUCCGAGUUAAGGUGAACCUGGAACCGGACCCGGAUAAGUUCAGGUUUAAGAAAAUUAAAACUGGAUCUGCAUAAAAUAUACAUUCAGUACGGGUUCAACCCGGUCCGAAUCAUCCGGGUUCGUUUUGAUCCGGUCCGGGUUCGAAUUAUCUUGCCAUCCCUAAUUGGAUGAACAUAAAACAAANNNNNNNNNNNNNNNNNNNNNNNNNNNNNNNNNNNNNNNNNNNNNNNNNNNNNNNNNNNNNNNNNNNNNNNNNNNNNNNNNNNNNNNNNNNNNNNNNNNNNNNNNNNNNNNNNNNNNNNNNNNNNNNNNNNNNNNNNNNNNNNNNNNNNNNNNNNNNNNNNNNNNNNNNNNNNNNNNNNNNNNNNNNNNNNNNNNNNNNNNNNNNNNNNNNNNNNNNNNNNNNNNNNNNNNNNNNNNNNNNNNNNNNNNNNNNNNNNNNNNNNNNNNNNNNNNNNNNNNNNNNNNNNNNNNNNNNNNNNNNNNNNNNNNNNNNNNNNNNNNNNNNNNNNNNNNNNNNNNNNNNNNNNNNNNNNNNNNNNNNNNNNNNNNNNNNNNNNNNNNNNNNNNNNNNNNNNNNNNNNNNNNNNNNNNNNNNNNNNNNNNNNNNNNNNNNNNNNNNNNNNNNNNNNNNNNNNNNNNNNNNNNNNNNNNNNNNNNNNNNNNNNNNNNNNNNNNNNNNNNNNNNNNNNNNNNNNNNNNNNNNNNNNNNNNNNNNNNNNNNNNNNNNNNNNNNNNNNNNNNNNNNNNNNNNNNNNNNNNNNNNNNNNNNNNNNNNNNNNNNNNNNNNNNNNNNNNNNNNNNNNNNNNNNNNNNNNNNNNNNNNNNNNNNNNNNNNNNNAGGCGGAUGUACGGUACAGCAGCCGGGUUCGUUUUGAUCCGGUCCGGGUUCGAAUUAUCUUGCCAUCCCUAAUUGGAUGAACAUAAAACAAAGUAAAAAAAAAAAAGUGCAAUGAUAAUUUCUCUUAAAUUUAAUAUUAUGUAAUAAAUAUAAUUUUUAAAUAAUAUUUUAACAAAAUUAAUAAAAAUAUAAUAAAUUUUUUAUCAUACAAAUAUAAAAUCAAACCAACUUGAAUUUUAAAUUAUAAGUGUUAUUAUUUAUCAAACACUUUAAGUUAUUGUUAACGAACUUCAAUUUUAAACAUACCUUAAGCUACUUAUAUUAUACAUACCACUCCAGCUAAAGCCCUUUGAACAAAAAGAACAAUGUAAACGCCAUAGGGUGUGAAUACAAGGCUACAUUCUACUUAAGAAUAAGACUUAUUACUUCAUCCUUAACUUGAUGUAGCCUCAAACAAUAAUAACACAUAUUAAAAUUUGCGGACACUAAAAGUUUCUAAUUCCUAACAGGAGCAGAAAGAUUUCACCAAUUAAAUCUCUAAAAACAUGAGGUAAUUUAUUGGACUUGUCCUACCCACCUCAACUUCUCCCGGUGAAAUCCCUACUAAUUAGAAAAAGAUAUCGAAGUGUCCAGUUACAAAAGCAACGGCGAGUGGCAGAGCAAAACCGCAACCGGGCUGCCGCGAAAGCAAAUGAUAGCUAUGAAUGCAGGAAGCGGCCAGAUAACAUAAGCUGAUGGUGGGAUGGGAAUGGUGGCCAAGCGGUGGUCAUAGCUGGUUGAGAAAUAGGAACGGCAGCAUCAAGGAGCCUUUCAUGGCCAUAACCGAAUCUAACCCACAAAUCUUUAGACCCACCGAGAUCUUGAAAAUAAAAUACACUACCACUUUCAAAAGCCGCGGAUAUAGCACCAUCAGCAAAUGGGUGGAAAAUUAAUCUUCAUUUGGAAGAAAAACCCUUCACAAGGAAGGAGAUAAUAGCUUUCACAAGGAAGGAAGAAGGGAAAGAAAAAAUAAAAAUAAAAAGAGAAGUCGCUUCCGGUGGCAGGCAGGGGUGGGCAAAUAACACGUCCCCAUCAGAUUUUAAAAAUUAAAAUUUAGACCGGAUGCAGAUGAAAAAUCCAACCCUACUUCGAUUUGGCCACUUUGAUUGGAUCGGAUCGUGAAAUCUGAAUUAUAAUGCACACGCAAACACAAAUUUUUAAUCCAAUCUGAUCCAACUCGAACUUUAUCUGGAUCAAAUCGGAUUGGACCACAAGUUUGGGUUAAGUUUAGAUUAUUUUUUUCUUAACACGAUUAAUCCGAAACUUAAUCGGGUGAUCCGAACCUAAUCCCGUGAUCUGAGCCUGAAUUUGCCCGCCCGCCCUGUCCGUGGGAUUAGGAGUUUUUUUUAUUUAAGAUGAGACUAGGGAUGGCAAUGGGGAGGGGAGGGGAGGGGACCGAUCUCUCCGUAUUCAUCCUUGAUAUUUUGUGUAUGUCCCCGUCCUCUUCCCGUUUCCGUCAGAAUUACUUGAGAGAAUCAUCAUCUCCUCCCCGAAUAAUAACAGGGGAUUCCCGAGGAUAUCCGAUCCCCGAAUAACUAAUACAUUUUUUUUCCGAUUUUGAGUUAAUCAUAUUAAAAUAAAAAAUUUAAAUAAAAGUAAAGUUCGAAAUAUAUCUUACAUUAAUAUCUAUUACAAAAGUCACAUACAUUAAAUUAGUAAGUAACGCAACAUACAAGAGAUACAAACUUAUUUUACAAACUAUCAUGAACAAAUUAAUAGUCUAAUACAAAAUUGUUACAAAUAAAAUCNNNNNNNNNNNNNNNNNNNNNNNNNNNNNNNNNNNNNNNNNNNNNNNNNNNNNNNNNNNNNNNNNNNNNNNNNNNNNNNNNNNNNNNNNNNNNNNNNNNNNNNCGCUUGUUGUUAUUUAUUUCUGCUGUACGGCCAAGGCGGAUUUAUAAUUUUAUAAUUUAAAUUUUAUAAUUUAUUUACUACUAAUUUUAAAAAAUUAAAUGGGGAAAUGGGUAGGGGAUUGGGAUUCCACCUCAUCCCCGUCCCCUCCCCGAAUACGAAAUUGAGUAAAAAAAUUUCUCCGUCCCCUCCCCGAAUAAGAAAUUGGGUAUGAAAUUAUCCACAUACCCUCCCCGAAUGGGGAAAAUCCCCGAGGGUACCCGUCCCCGUGGGGAUUUUUGCCAGACCGUGGUUGAAGAGAGAGAAUAUAUGAUUUUAGGGUUUUCACUAUUGUGCAUGUGGAAAUUUAAAGAAAGGUUUACUUAAAAAAAGGUAUUUUUAGUACUAAAUAGAAAAUAAUUGAAAAAAAUAAAUUUUAAAAUACGGAGGGACUAUUUGACAUUAAUUUCCUUUCCAUACAUAUUCUUUAAUUAAUACAAUUAUCAAGUUAUAGUUAUUAUUUUAAUUCAUCAAUUCUCAAAAAUAACAAAAUUGCCCUGAUUAACUAUUUCUUCUCUCUACCACAACAAUACUAAAAACUAAAAAGACUAAACUAAUUUCUCUCUCUUUCAAUUUUUUUUUUCUUGUUAAAUAAAUUUUAUCUCUCUUAAUUUUUACUAUAACAUCCUCAGAUUUACUUUUUGUUAUCAUUUAGAGUUUGUACUUCAAGGAUUUGACUAAGAAAAUUCUAAUAUAUGCAAAGUGGUAAAAAAACUUAUCUUUGAUUUUUAUAUAAUGGAUAUUGAUCCUUUUAUUUUGUUUAAAUUACAAUAGGGCUGAAUUUGUUAAUUUUUGAAGAAUUUUGUUUAUUAACUUAAUAUUUGCUUCAUGUAUCAUAAUAAAUUUUUAUAAGGAGAAGGAGAUGUAAGGAGAGAGAAUGAGGUUAAAUAACUAAUUGAUCAAAUUAUAUUUUCAUAAUAAAAUUUUUAAUUCAAAAAGAAUGUAGUGAGAAACAUGAGUUCAAAUAUCCUCACCCUUCAAAAGCUUCAUCUAAAGCUUUAGAGGCCGGAGGGCUUGCUCAAAUUAAUCAACACAAUCUUGAUUGAACGGAAAGAAAGAUAUCGAGGGUACUUGAUCAUUUGGUUCCAUUAGGCUAAUGUAGGGCUGAAUAAUCUCCAUUAAUUGCAAACUGCAACAGCAAGUCAGCAAAUCAUUUCUCCUGAUAAUGACUGCAUUCUCUGGUAACUAGAACCAGUAAUUAACAGCAAUUUUCACUAGUUGCUCAAAUCAAGAGUCGCAGAUACAAUGAAAUUCUCAACACAUCUGCAAUCAUAUAAACAAUUUCAUCUCACCAAAUUCUACUUCACGUCUGUAUGUCAGCCUUACUGUUGAGACUUCAAAAGUCAAGAAGAGCAAGACACUUCUGCACCACACCUGAAAUCUACCAGCUAUUUUUCAUUGUCACCAAAGAAAUGAAAUGAAUCAACAUGACAAUGAAAAAACAUCAAUCCCUUUAUGAAGAGUUUGCUUUGCAGCCUUUCAUAUUAUCAUUAUUUGCUUGUCAUUGGUAAAUAAUUAUUCCCGAGGAUUUACAGAUUACUGACCCACUCCUCAACUAACAUUUAUGGAUACAUAUAAAAGAAUUAUACCUGAUUUCUGUUUAAUAUAUAACCUAGUAUCUUUCCUGCUCUUUCCCUAUUUACAAUGCUCUGUAAAUUUACUCUUCUGUCGUCUCGACCAAUCAGAAAACUUUACAUGCACCUUAACCAUAUUAUUGCAAAAAAGAACCACGCCUUCCUCUUCCAUCUUAUAUUAGAUGAUUCCCGCAGAAAUUCGAGUUUUUAUUGGUUUUAACUUCAAGCCCAUGCUUUCGGGUGAAAGAAGCUCUGGGGAGAUGCAACACGGACUCAAUGGACUUCUUGGGCUAACACUUAGAGUUGGUCUGUACAAUCCAUAUCCCAUGAGAAAGUACUCCAUUGGUAUCAACAUGGCAUGGGGCUGCUCCUCUGUCACCAUCGAUCCACAUGCCUGAACCUGUAGGUGCCAGAUCCCCAAGUAGUUAAAACUCACUUUCACAAAAUGAUGCAAGCAAGACUAGAAAUCCUAAUAGAGAUAUAUAUACUCGUGUCCAUACCUCAACCAAAGCACUAUAUCUUCUAUCAAUUUUAGAAGUCAUGUGGACAGCCUCAGAAUGGAAAGGAGAGCUUUCACCAACAAAUAUUAGAGAGCGGCAUUGCAGUUUCCGCAGCCCUUCGCUGAUGUCGGGUCUCCUGCCAGACAAAAAAAAUGUUGGAAUACCAGAUCAAAAAGUUGAAGCACAUGAGGUUGUUUCAAAACAAAUGGCACCUACUUAACGACAUUGUAGACAAAUAAGACACUCCAUGUGAUGGAAGACAGUCCUUAACAAAGCAUGAUGACUAGUAAUUAUUAAUCUCUAUCAACAUUGCCACUGUCUCGGGGAAGAUUGCAAAGUUGAUCAGAAAAAUGCAAAAAUCAAGGGCCAAAUGCCAACGUGGAUCAGUAGUCUACAGCAGAGGCAACCAAAACUAAGCAUUUACCAAGCCAAAAGACACCAUUCUUAAUAUUUGCCUCAUGUAAUUAGUGGGAUCAAACUUUCUUGAAACAGGUCUUACCCAUUAAUUGCUUCAAGAAAAUGCCAAACAUUUGAGCUCUGUCUUUCAUCCAGCAGCUGAGGAAAGAAACAUACAUAUUAAGAAGCUAGCCAUGCAAAGGAAAGGGAUUAGUGCUUGACCGUCUACAAUUAAUCAUAGUUUUAUUUCAGAUGAAUAAAGCACUUAUUGCCAAUGAGAGAGAUUAGAAAGGGCUGAGGGACUAACUCUUCUGCAUGCCUGAACUAUAUCAGAUUCUGGUACUUGGGCAUUACCACGAACUUCCUGCUAUCAUUGGUCAGCAUUCAAUCCCCAAUCAAUCAAAUUCUGGAAACAACAACCCAAAUUAAAUGGGAUAAGCUUGAAGCACCAUAAUACCUUGCUGAAGUACCGCUUUAGCAAUAAUUCCUUCACCACCCCACACAUGCCAUAGUAGUAGAGUAAAUUUGACAUUACCUGUGAAUAAUAUGGAGGCUCACAUAAGAAAAAGAUCCUUAAACUUAUAAUCAGUGACAAGGAGGUUGAGGAAUGGAACCUUAUUAUACAACCAUUCUGUCCAAGAGGGUGCUUUGCACAGAGGAGAAACUAGGAUUAACCCAAGUACACGGUGCCUAUAUUUCAUCUGUUACCAAUGAAUGGAAAAGACUAGUAAAUCCCCACUCCUCAGGAGCCCAAUAGGAUAGCCACAAAAAUAAAUAAAUAAAUAAUCAUGUUGAUGGUACCAAGGGGUACAACUUACAGCAAAUAGUGUAAGAAUGUAAGCUCCAGCUGUAACCCCCAUACACAUCACUGCACCAAGUCUGAAGAAGAAGAGACAAAAGAAGGACAAAUCAGUUGGCUUCCUUUAUACACUACCAACUGAAAAUAACUCAUCAUCAUGAUGCAGAAUACUCAUAAGACAGCUUAAAUUUUUCAAAGAACAACCACUUUUAAGAACCAAAAAAGGCAAUAAUGAAAUCAGACAAAAUAUCUGAAGCAGAAGAGAGGCCAUACUAUAGCAUAUGACCAAUCAGCUAACACUCUGAAGAGAGAGUAACAGGCAUACUGUGAUAAUGUAUUUACCCAAAAUGGUUAAGAACCUCAGCGAUUUGAUCCGCUAAAUCAUCAACAGAGAGUACAGGUUCAUCAUCACUAAUUGCCGCAGCUCCAAACUGCAAUAGCUCUUGAAAAACGUACCGGAUCAGAAACAAUGUGAAUAAUAACAUUCGCCAAAAGAAAUAAUUUAGGAUGGUAGACGGAUGAAAAACAAGCAUACUAUGUAAACCAGCUAUUAAGUUACAAACCUCGUGGCCAGGAGGAUUUAUAUGAUAUAUGCAAAAGUUGUGCAGUAGCAAGGAACAUGCUUCUGGGCAGAAGAAUAAUCCUUGAAAGCAGGACAUAUCUGCUCAGUCAAACAUAAAAAAACAUAAGUUAGAGCUCGGUACUGUUGCAUUGGAAGAAAAAGUGUUAAAUAAUAAUAUCUUUCAAAUUUAAAGAUACAAGCUACUCAUAUACUCCGAGAACAUAAUAUAUUUGCACAAAAUUUAAACAAUUAAUAAUGCAAAAGGUCCCAAAUUCAAAUUUAACAUCAACAUAGAUCUCAAUUCUAAUUACAGAAAAAAAAAAUUGUCAUCAGGCAGGGAUCAUAGCCAAGCAAAUUUCUUCUAGAUAUUUAAACAUUUAUGUCCCAGCACAUUUGUCAACAGUUUGGUUGACUUGUCUAUGAAUAAUGAAAAAACAAUUUUACCAGAAAACAUACGAAUUUAAACAUUUUGACUGAAAAAAGGCUCAAUAGCAUAUAGUGAAAUGUCAUCUACACUUUGCUAUUGCAGUUUUCUGAAUGCACCCAAGAAAAUCCAGUAUACUUACAGUUUAGAGCUAAAUCAGGAUAAGUGACAAGAGCUGGCUUGUCCUGGUCCCCAUAGAUGGUAACAGACAAAGAACCAUGGGAAGUUUUUAUAAGAUUGUCCUGCAAAGAUUAGAAUACAUUAUAAGUUUGGAAUACAUUAUUCUCUUAAUAAAUAACACUAGAGGAAAUCAAAUUAGUAAAUCCAACACAACACAUGCCAGUAGUGACAAAGCCUACUUUCUAAAAUAAUAAAUCUCCAAAAUCAGCAUAGCAGGCACAUAUCGAAUGUUCAAAUACUAAAACCAUAUUCGCUUUUGACAAAAAGAACAUUUCAGGCAUAUCCAAGUUAAGUUAUCUUAAAAACAACGGGAAUUUGCAUGUGCAAUGGCACCUUUUGGAGAAAAGUAACUCUUUUGCCAAUUUAGCAUAUGCUGGCAUUAUGUUCUUUGACUCCACGAACAGGAAAUUGACAAAUGAACCACCAAACAUAAGAUUUCACAUCCUCAAUGACUUAACAUGAACCAUUUCUCAUUUAUUUCCAAUAUCUAGUAAUUAGCAUUUCAAGUCAAAAUCAAGAGGCCACAAGAAGCCAUAUUUUGAAAACUAAUGCCAUAUCCGAUCCAUUCAAGACGAACAAGAAAACGCAUUUAAUAUGCAAAUCUCGUGUGGAUAAUCCCUUACAAGUUAUACCAUGAUAAAUAAAAUAAAUAUAUAAAAAUAAAAUCUUCGAAGGCUUUUUGAAAGAUAAAAAGAAAUAAAACAACAAUUCAGCAGUUCACUGUUUUUACAUUAUAACAAGAAAGUCAAAAAUUAUUUAACAUGUUAUAACCUACGCUCAAGAAUAAAAAAAUUCCUCGACGUUAUAAAUUCUUUCCUUUUCCUGCAUUUUCUCAGCAGCCAAACAAGAAUUUAGAAAAAAAAAUUUCAAAACAAAAUGUAGGUACCUUGCCACUAGGAGGAGGAGUCUCCAUAUCAAUGGAAACCGAAUCGCUUGAAGAAUCUGCCAUCUUUCUCUCUCUCUCUCUCUCUCUUCUCUCUCUACUCCUUCUCAAUUCAAAGCCUCAUUGCUGUUAAAUUUGGUUUCCAUUUGCUUAUAUAUAUAUCCCUCUCUCUUCUAAUCUUUUUAAAUUUUUAAAAAAUAAUCAGUAUAAGACUAAUAAAAUCUGCACGCCUCGUAGAUAACUCGCACCGAGUCACCGACGCUCCAUUAGCUCUCGCGUCUCACGUGCGCUCCGCACUCACAAGCCCUAACCUGAGACUCUGGUUUAUUUAACCAUGGUUAAAUAGGCCGACAGUUUGUCUAUUUACCUUUUCGCCCUUGCUCACUGCUGUGCGUGCCGGUUCCCACCAAUUGGUUUUUAGCUGUUUUUCAACAUUUUAGACGUUGGCUGUAAAGUUGCUGCUACGGCCUUCGGUUUAUUAUGUUGACUUUUUAACUACUCGUUGUCGGUCAACGAAAUAGUUAUAAAUUUAUUGACGGGCUGUUUUGUUACUGUAUACCGGCGGUUGAUUCGGCAAUUUCGGACUUAUAUUUUAUCAUAUUUUGUUUAAAUUUUUUUUUAAUAGAAGAGUAAUAUUGAAUUUCUUGUAAAUUUUAGUUGUCAAAAGUACAUAAAAAUCAAAAUAUUCUUAAGUGUUUUUUAAUUUAAAAUUAGAAUAGAUAACAAAUAUAAUUAAAAUUUUGCAGACUAAAUCUAAAUAAUAAAUUAACAACAACUAAAAAAAUCUAAGUCUCUGAUGGUAAAGAAGGAUCUCCCUAAAAUUCAUGUCUUGAGUUUACACUUCCAUUGGUGUGGCCGUGUGGGUGUGUUGAAGAAAAAAUGUGAAAUAUAUUUUAAAAUAAAAAUCAUAUUAUAAGUCUUUAAAUUACUCUUUUUUUUUAAAUUAUUUGAAAUUAUUUUCGGAAAGAAAUUUACGUUGACAUGAAAGUGUGUGACAGAGAAGUCGUUAAGAUGCGAGGUCGAAUUUCAGCCACAGGAUUGUUGAGUUGAAACAUCAAGUGGUUAGUAUAAAAUGAGGCCCACCGCAUUCGUUUUAUGAACUGUCAUUUUCCAUUCAAGUUGGUAUCUGUCAUUGGCACACACCAGAAAGUAACCCAGAUGUCGAUUUUCCUCUCCGAUUUGGGGUCCUUGUAAACAAAGCGUUUCUUCAAUCUGAAAUUUUGAGUUUUCAGAUAAAAUUGCCAAUUUAUUCCACCCAAAAAAGGCAGAAAAGUGAAUUCCUUUUCUAAUUGUUUAAUUUUAAUUUUGAUCUUUUUUUUUUAAUAAUCCAUGAUUGCAACUAAAAGAGUAUGUAUGUUGAGAACAUUCCAAAUAAUUAUUUUACUGAUCAAAUAAAUUUUUUAAACAAAUAUAGUGUUCUUGUCUAUUCAAUUAUUUUUGCUUUUUUUUUUAAAAGAAUUCUUUAUUUAGAUAUCUAAAAUAUAUAUAUAUAUAUAUAAUUGUAAGUCUCCAAUUAGGGUAAAAAUUAAAUAUGGUAUUUAACAAAUUAUUAUUUCAAAAUUUUGAAAAAAUGUUUGGAUUAUCAUUAGGUUAAAUAAAAAAUUAAUAAUAUUACAACUAUAAACUUUUAUAUAAAUUGAUGUGAUAUAAUAUAAAUAAUUGAUUGGUUGAACAAAAUACUAUGCGGCAUCAUUUAUUCUUAUUAUUCAACCAAUCAUGAUAUACAAUAUCAAUUUGUACAAAAAUUUAUACUAUAAUAUUAUUCAUAAGAUUAAAUAAUUAAAAAAAAAGCUAAAUAACUUAUGGCCAUAGCCCUAAUUUGUCAAAAUUUUUAAAAUAAAAUUUGAAUAAAAAACAUCUUGAUCAACUGUCUUCACUAUAAAAGAGAAACCAACCAAAUUAGCUCAAUUGGGACAAUUAAUCAUCUAUAUGAAAUGUCUAAAAUAUACUAAAUCUCACACACUCAUUUGACAUCAGUUUUUUUUUUCCCCCCAUCCAAGUCGCCAUCCGAUAUUUUAAGGCAACUUUCGAUUUGGUAUAUCAAAAUUAUAUAGGGGCCAGCUUAAUAUAAAUUGACGAAUGAUGUCUUUAUUUAUGAAAGUAUUUAAGGGACUUUAAUGCUAUUAUUCAAUUUUCCAUCGUAUACUUUAUUGUUAAAAGAUUUCGUAUUGGAUAUACUUUUCAAACAUGGCUUUCGAAACUAAACAAAUGGAUUUUACCAACUUAAUUCCCUGUUUGUCUUUAAGUAUUCGUUUAAAAUACUAAUCAAUUAUAACUAAACAAAUGGAAUAUAAUUAAUUAAUCAAUUAAUUGCCACAUUAACCACUCUUUAAUUUAUAUAAUACUGUUUAAAUCUCCGAAUCUUUGACUAAAAACUAUUUUGUACAUUAUAAGUUCAAAUGUCCACCAUUACAUUAACCUCCCAACCGAUUUGAUAACUACCAUUCGCUAACAUAAUUAAUUUUCUUAUUGCUAAAAUUUUUAUUGUCAUUUCUUUAUAUUUUUUGCAUUCAAUUCAACGACUGUAUGGCGUGAUGCAUGUGGAAUUCUUUUUCGUUGGGACUCAAAUCAUCCACCGUUUGAUCAUUCACCAUUUGAUGUUGGAAUGCUUGGGUGGCCAAUUUUCGUCAUCGAUUUACCGUCACAUUUUAAAAUAAUUUGCACCGACGCAAGCUGCCGAGUCCGGAUGGAUAAAAACACAAGACCGUGUUUGGCAAUUUUUUAAUUGACACGUGGGGUCUGGGGCGUGUAGCCUGCGUGUAUAAAGUAAGAACAAACAAAAAGAUUAAAAAAUUAAAAAACAAAAAUGAAGAAAAAGAAAAGGAAGGAAGUAUUGUGCCUAUUUACAGUCUUGUUCGAGGUGGAAUAAAGCAACAUUGCAACAACACGGCUGUUAUGGACGUAUCACUAAAGGGACAUUAAAUCAGAUUCUUGUAAAAGUUUUUGACCAACGUUUUCUGUGAAACAAUUUGAUCCCUUACGAAUCUUAUGCAAAAUAUAACUUUAAAUUAUUUAAAGGGUAAAAUUAUGUUGCAACCAGUUAUUGAAUUUAUAGUUGUACAAUUGUAUUAGCUAAAUCCAAUAACUGAAAGUAACAGUGGUACCAUAUUACUGUUGCAACAUAGCUGGACCCUUAUUUAAAUGGAUGAUCAUUUUUAUUUUGUCAGAAUGUAAGAGUGAAUUAAUUUUUAAUCCUUUUCAAAGUUUAAAUUUAGGUGACCACCUAAAUGAAAUUAUUUAUUAAACACUUGAUCAAAUUUAUAAAGACCAAUCAUUUUAAAAUAUUUGAUAAUAUUUUACCUUGUUAUUUUUAUGAGCAUAAUUUUUUUUUUAAGAAACAAUUAUCAAUAUCCUAGUCUAUUGCUAAGCUGCUUAAAGUGUAGAAACUGCUCAGAGUAUCAAUUUUUUUUGUAAACUAAGUUUUAUCCAAGUAUAAUUUCUUUAUCCAAACACAAUCAUAUUUGUCGGUGAAAUGAUUGUUAUCAUUUAUUUUCAUUUAAAAGAAGCAUCCGGAACAAAAAUAAUCAAUUAUCAAGUAAAGGGCAAGAAUGGGGUAGAAACCGCCAAUAAAAAGCCAAUAUUUUUAGCUUACGUGGCCACUGCACGUAAGCAAAAAGUUCCAUGAUAAAUAUUUCGUGAUUUCGAAGUUCUCGUGCCCUGCACGUCAAAUUUAUUGCCGUCACGGCCAACUAGUUUAGUGCCAUUUGGCACUCAGUUACAAGCUCGCUUCAUCCUUGGCUUACCUGUUUGAUUGCAUGUACAAAAAAUAUAAUAAGAAACUUUUUUUUUUUCUCGGCAUUAUUUUUGAAUGAAUGUAUUGAUUUCUCUCCUUUGUUUAAGGCUUUGUCUUAGAAUACAAAAUACGCAGGAGGUUGCCAUCUUGCUUUAAUUAUAUGGUCAAGACUUGAGGGUACACGAUGGACCUACCCGUGUGUAAUUUGUGUUCACACACUUCUCUUUCGGCAUUUUCUCUCGAAAAAGCCCAAUCCAAAUCUACGAAUCAAGCACCAGGACAUAAGCAGAGCUCUAGGGCCAAGGCCUCGGAGGGUUUGGCGAAAGUCGAAAAGUAGACGGAAUAUGUGUAUCUAGUAGUAUGAACUACAAUGAAGCAUAUGAUAUAGUAGUAGUAAUUGACAAGAAUAUAACUACCAUUAGCUCCUUAUCAGGAUCUAUAUGAGGUAAUAUAUAAACAUACACACAGAAAAGCCGAUAGUGCAAUACUGCAACUUUUCUCAUUGCUUUGUUAAGUGUCAAGAGAGAAGGAUAGCUAGGCUGCAGCCUUAAACCCCUCAGGCCGUAGUGAGAAAAAUUCCCUCCCCAGUCUUUAACAGUAGAUGAAUGAGACCUGUUUAUGGUAUGAUAAUGAGUCAAAUGUUACUGGAAGAGGCGCGAGUCUGAUCUGCAAUCACUAUUGUUGGUUCGCAUGUUCAGAGCCCAGAAUUUAUGAUCAAACUUUAUUGCUUCAUAUCUUCCAUAUCUUCAUCAGAGGCAGAAUUUUCAACCUCACUCCCGCCACUUAAGCCAUUGUCAUUGCCUAAAGGUGAAAACUUGUCACUCGUGGUGUUCUCAUGAAAAUGACACUUAAAAAUUUUUACUGGUGGUUUGUCUUCAAUGUUUCUCCCUUCUUUGCGUUUCUUUGUACCACCAACAGCUAUUGGUUUCAUCAAGCCAGGAGAAGCUGAGAAUUCAGUAUCCACAAAAUCAACCAUCUCCAGAUCAUCAUCAACUUUGUCAUGCCUCCUUGUUUCGUUAUUUGUGUGAAAGAAGUGAUAGUCAUUCAAUUUCCCAUUAGCCAUAAAUAUUGGAAGCUCAGAUUCCACCCUAGACUUGCAUAUCAGAGCUUUGGCAUGAAUCUUGGAGAUGUCACAAUCAAAUACUCUUACACCUAGAUCUUCAACAAUCAGCAGCCACUCUGCAAAUGUCAGCACAUUAUAAUUAGAUAUUGGAAGGAUUAAAAUGGAAAAACAUUUGAAAACAUCAAUAAUCACAUAUAGGGUGGCAUCUCAAACUAAAUUCUUCUCUAACUUCAUCAAGUAAGCUCCGAGCAGUAACAGGCCAAGAGUAAAACACAUAGUAAUCAAAACGGUGCUUGUCUAGAAAUUCUCAUGCAUCACCUUAACAAAUAACAACAAUAUGAUUGAUCAUUGAUGCCUCUUAUCAUUAUUCGGUGUGUUGACAACUGUAACCUAACCUGCUACUGCAAAUAAUUUCUGAACCCUAAAGAAUAAUGUAAAUGGAAGGACCAAAGAGGAUGAAGAUAGCUGAGAAACUCACUGAUAAGAGUAAUUGGAGUUGAAAGAUUUGGUGUGCUCAUUUUCCCCCCCAUGGCAGUUUGACAAGUAACCCACUUUAUCAAUUCAGAGGGCAGGCGAGAUUUGGAGAAUGCACUUGUAUAAGAAGUGACUUUCGCCUGGUCAUUGUUGUCCCUGUUGCCAAUUAGAGAUCUUUCAGAUGAGAUGUUCUAAGAUACAACCGUUUCACGGCAGCUACAAUCUUCACAUUCCCAUACCUUGCAGACUGUAAUGCAUUGUCAAGAAUAAGCAACCAUCUGACAGCAAAAUUUUUAAGGCUUUUGCAAGGUAGCUGAACCUCUUUUCGAGGAAUGAGGAAUGAAUACUCUACAGUUAGGACAGCAUCAUACACGAUCUGCCGUAAACAAACUUCAUCUCCACAGCCCUGCAACAAGACAAAACACUAGAUUUGGCAAAAUGGUAAUGUUUUUGUGCCAAAUGUAUGUUUCAUAUUUGAUAAUCUACUUUGUUGGCAAGCAUAUAGCUUUUCCAAAACCGAUAUUUAUCAAUAGAAACUUAAAGGCAAAAGUCUUCAGAAUGCUCCAGAAGAUAACAACCGACGGAUGAUGGAAAAAGAAAAAGGAUCGUAUAUUACGAGGUAAGUAUAAAACAAUGGAAGGAAAAAAAAAUACCGCAAGGCUUAUCUCAACUACUUAGGGUAGAAGAAUGGAUCCCUUUUGAUACAUAAAUAAGACAGAAAAAAUUGAAUGUAUGAUGGACAACAGAUAAAAGUUCAGAAUUGUUAAUAUGAUCAUGCAAAGUAAGUUUUAAAACAUGAAGUGUUAUUAAUAGUUUUGUGACUUUUGAGGCUAAAUUAUAUUGCUUACCUCAAAUCAAGGCUGAAUAGAACACUUUGAGGUUCAGUGACAUGGGUGCCGAAUCACACUUCACUUUGGAUGUUCAGCUCACCCAUUCAGAGUUGCCUUGUGUAUUCACAAUCUGUACCCUAGCCACCACCGACCCAACCCCAUGAAAUGUUAUGUAGUGUAGUCUGGUAGGCAUGCAACUACAUCUUACACAUUAAGGCUAUGACAUCACUUUCUGUGUGGGCAAAAGGGUUGUGUCAAUUAUAAUCCUAUUUUAGCAUUGACACACUGCAUUCUCUUCCAUUUCCGCUAUUCUACAUAAUUCUCUAUUUUCUCAAGAUGUCAAGGCCAUAACCCCAGGACUUACACGUCACCUAAUGAGACUUAAAGCUUCAACUGAUGCAUUUAUAUGAUAAUUUUUUUUUUUGAAAGAAUAUGAUAAGUUAACUUUGAAUGAAAGUAAAUUGAAACAAAAGGCAGAAUACUGACCAGCAGGGAGGACACGGGCAACGCAGGCUCCAGCAGCAUCCUAAGAAUGCCAUCUUACAUGGAUCAAGCAGAAAUUAGUAAGUACAAACAUCAUUACACUUGAUGAAAUAGCAAUGUCAAAGGGAUUUAUAUAACUCGUUACAGAAAAGAAAUCAGAAUUUGGAAAAGACUAAUGAUCAUUGAUCACAAGGAGUUUAAUGUGUUUUUACCAGAUAUAAACGCAAAAUAAAUAAAUGAAUAAAAAAUAAAAAAAUUGAUUAAAUCCCCUAACAAAAUUACAAGCAGACAUACGAGUCCAUGAUCAUUGAAUCUCUAGAUGGUUUAUCCAAGGGAAAAUUCCUUAGACUAAAGUUUUAUUUGGUAAUAUAAUUAGACAGCCGUAGCUUAGAAGCUACAACAUUGAAGAGUUUGAUAAACACUUGCUGCUGUAAUUUGAGCUGAGUUGAUUUUAUUCUACAUUUAUAUGACGAAAAAUCCAUAAUAUCUUUACUAUUUUUGUCAAAGCUAUUACUUAAAAGUCAUUUUUAUAACAACUACCAAUUUUUAUGAGUUUUUUCACCACAACAGUUGUAACUUAAAAGUCACGACACCUCAAUUUCAAAUAUAGGCUAGGAUUAAAAACAUAGCUCUAAAGAGUAAAAAUGAACAUUUAAAUUAAUGAAACGCGAGUUUCAAUAUACCAUAAGAUAUGCUACACCAUGGAUAGUUUCAUUAAGAAUACAAAACACACACAUUGCGCCACUAAAUGGAGAGUUACAUUGUUGAGAACGAUCGAAACACUUAAAAGUAAACGAAAAAAAAAAAAAAAAACUCACCAAGAAAGUAAUGAUUCCGAAACCCAGCUAUCAUUUGAACAGCGCAAUCACGCAAGUCUUUUGCCAACUCCUCCCUCAAACUUCCCAACCCAAACUUCAAGCACAACCUCAACCAAAAUGCCUCACACAUCACAACCCCAGCUAAUUGCCCAACUUUACAACCCAUGCAAACAUUAUCACGCACUUUAUCGCUAACAAUCGGUAAAAAGAGCCUCAAAUUUUCCCUAAAAUCACAAUUCUCUCCAACUUUACUAACCACCCAUACGCGCACCAGAUCGAUAAAACAACAAUUCAAAUUCGGGUCCAAGAUUCUAUCAUCUUGUUCCAAUUCGGAGCCACAAAAAAUGCUAAUGUAACUAACAAUCCCUUCUAACAAACCCUCAACCUCUUCAUAAACUUCCUUUUUAUCAAUCACUAAAUGGCACAACUCGUAAAUAACCGGAGCAAGUAAGGCUACUUUUUUAACUACAUUGCACGAACUAGAACAAGAAACCAGUAGCUGAAACAAGUCCUUAACAGCUAAAACUUGCUUAAGAGAGUGUAAAGAGGUAAAAUCAGAGCUGUAAAAGUUAAGCGCCGAGUAAAACCAAACGUACUCUAAGGAGGGAUCGGGUAGGUUUUGAAGCAAGCGAGAGAAAAUUGAAGUAAUAUUAGAGAAAUCAGAGGACCCCUUUGAGUACUCGCAUAAAAAACGAUCGAUUGACUCUUUUAACAUGGGUUGAAAAUUGUCGGCCGAUUUUGUGAUGUUCAUUUUUGAGAGUGAGAAUUUGAAAUUUGGGGGAAACGUGUAGGGGGUGAUUGGUUGUUGGCGUGUCGAGUGGGAGGAAUUUCUGAGAGUGAACGGAAGUAAAACCCUAGCUAUGCUUAUGGAGGAACUGCGAGAGGAGUGGAAAAAGGAGCGGCCGAGAGGGAAGGUUGGGGCAAUUUCGUAACUGAACAAAUAUUUGAAUUUCAGAUUUUGUGCCAAUAAGAUAAGAGGCCAAAAAGAGAGUGGCUACUUCAAUUUAUAAUAAACAAAUAUAAAGCCGUACAGCAUGCGAACUGCGAAGCAACCGUAAAACUCGACACUAGCGCAUGGUCGUUUUUGUACAUGUCCGUAUAAUAAUAUUAUUUAGUAAUUGGCAUACACGAGGAAAAAAAAUCAAUAUUGUAAAUUUUGCAAAAGAGAGAAAAUGAAUAGUUCAUUACAAGGUUGUUAUCAUUGGUCGGAAGAACCAAAUCAAUGAUUUGAAAGAGUUUAGGAAUAAACACCAAUAAAAAAGCUCAGGUGCUGUCGAUUUUUCUAUAUGUUAACCAAUAGAAAAAUAUAUAUAUCAAGAAUCUGAGAAGAAGAAAAAAAAACAACGCAAAAAAACUAUAGCUAUCACAAAUAUGAAUUUAGCUUGAAGGAAAAAUAAAGUAUUGUUUUGAAUUUAUGUAUUACUUAUAAACCUAUUUUGAACGACAAGGAAGGAAGAAAACUAGAGGUGGCAAAAAUACCCGCCCGGUCCGGACCCGGACCGUACCCAGGCGUUGCGGGCCAGGUAAUACCCGGCCCAUUGAAAUAAAUUUAAAACUUAUAAAAUUACCAAAAAAUAAAAAAUAUCUACACAUAAAAUAUUAAAAAAUAUAAAAUCCGGGUAUCCGGAUUAAAACCCGGCCCGGACCGGUUGCAUCCGGGCAGGGUCCGGUCAUGGCAAUACCCGGACCCGGCCCGGGGUUUUGCCAUCUCUAAAGAAAACUAAGUAGAGAGUAGGAAAAGUUAAAAAUGUAAAAUUUGGGGCAAAAGAUUUUACUUAGUAAAAAAGAAGACUUGAAAAAUAUAACAGUCUUAUUUAUAUAAAUGAGAAAUGUCUAUUUGUAAUUGUUUAAAUUGUAAGUUAAUUUUAUCCGUUAAUAAUAAGUUAAUCUAAUAGAUAACACGUCAGCUGUGUUGCUACUACAUAAAACUUUUUGAGUAAUUGUAGAAAGAAUUUUUUUUUUAAAAAAAAAACAUUGGGGUGAAGAAGAAACUUAUCCCGUUGGUGAAAAUUCUUGCAAAGACCUUCUGUCGUUUGUUUCUUUCCUUCUCGCGUGGAUUUUUCUUCUUUUUUUUCUUUUCCUUUUUUUUGCAAGUGAAAAGAUUCGAAAUAAUACCAUCAUCAUGGGCCAAGGCUACUCUCUAUUUGGGCCGAAUUCCGUUAAAGGCUUUAUGCAAGACCAAGUACGAAUUCGAGAUGAGUGAUGCUAUUAGGACCCCUUGAAAACUCUUUCGAAACCCCUCUUGUGUGUUUACAAUUUUAACCUCUCAUAAAAUGACAAAAAAACCAAUCUUUUUUCUCAACUCAAACUGCAGAUUUCUCUCUCUUUUUCUCUCACUCUGCAUUUAUCGUUACCAUUGCUUGUUGUUUGCAUUUUUGCUGCAAACCUACAAUGAAUUCUUUAUUCGAAAUGCUAAAUUAAGGAUCGUGUAUACAAAUAACUUCAGAUGAAAUAAAUUAUUUAAGUUUUAGUUUUAUUGGGAAGUUCAAAAUAAAUUUUUUUUAUUUUAUAUACGCACUUGACUAGUGAGUUUCACAAGUGUUAACUUACACUUUUAGGUUUAAAAUAUGUACAAAAUCAUUCAAUAAUCAGUUUAAUGGCUAUCAACGAAAGGAAAAAAAAAAUCUUAAUUAUUUCUUAAGAAAUAUAAUAAUUUAAAGGGUUUAAAGCUUAAUUGCAGCUGUAGUUCUGACUUCACCAUUAGUUAUCUUGUUGUUUAAAUCAUAGUAGCUUCUUUUAGAAAACUUAUUUAUUCGCCAUGGAAGAGUCAGUAGUUCCUUUAUUUUGAUCAAAAAUCUAUAAUAAUACACUAAAUUGAGUAAUUUUGCGGUCUUAUGUUAUCUUUCCAUAAAAAUCUUUUAGGUCUUAGGAAGAAAUAGGUAAGGUCAUUUAUGAAAUUAACCCGUGGGUGAUAUUAGUGAUUAUGUUAUUUUAAUUUUCAUUGCAGGUGCUUUAAACAAAAAGGGUUUUAUUAGAGUUAUUGAGGGGUGCCAAUAGUCCCACUCAUUCGAGAUUUUGAGUUUUUAAAAGCAAAAACAAAAUGGUGAUUGUGAUUCCAUUUCUCCCCCGCCUUUUAUCUAAUAACACCUGCUGAAGUGUAAUUUAUAAAUAGGUCCUUGAUAUUUUGUCUAAACUUCAAAUAGACUAGCAGUUUGAAUAACCAAAUAAUCAAUCCUAUUAAGCAAAUAAUCACCGUUUGGCCCACAUUGUACGUUUGGCCGAGAUUAAUUGCAUAAUUUAGUAUUUGAGAGAAUGACACUUUCUUCCCUACUCUAUUUUACUUUUAUGACACUACUCACAAUUUUUAAUUUCUAUAACACAUUUUUUCCCUACCUUUUUUUUUUUUCAAUUUUUACAACACUAUCUUCGUAUAAUGUUUUGGUCACACUCCAUUACUUAAAUGAUGUCAAAAUUUUAGACAAGAACUUAUUUCAACCAUAAAAUAAUCACAUUUUUUUAUUUGAACUUCGACGUUAUGAAAUAAUAUUAUCAAAAUUGUAAUGAAAUAAUUAUAAAAAUAAAAAACUGAUAGAAAGUGUCAACUUAGUUUUCCCUUCUCAUUCCUCGAAUAAUAUCAGUUCAUUUACUAUUGUAUCAACUUACCACCAAGUUACUUAAUCCGCCUCAUUUUACAUCAAACAUUUUUAUUAGCUUAUCCUCUUACUGAUACCUUUUGCAUCAAGAAAAGAAAAUAUAAAUAUGAUAAUAAACAUUAAUUAUAAGUAUUUGUAUAUUUCCUUAAUGGUUGCUUUCUAACAACUCUUUUUUUUUCAUACAAUAAGGAGUCAAAUAUUUAAAUUAAGACAAUAAUAAGACCAUUGUAAACAACGCCAGAGAUGACCUCAUUCUCAUCCAUGGAGCCUAGAAGGUAAAGAUAUAAACUAAAGAAAUUUUAUGUCGCUUUCAUCUAUGAGUGUCAUCUCCCAUCAUUCUACCAAUAAAAUAAAAUUACAUACUUACCUUCCUAUCUCUCUUUGUCGUUUCGGCUUUUUGGGUGGACACAUUUUCAACCCAAUUAAUAUUUUCUUACUACUAAGAAAACGAAUGUUAACGUAUGGAUUCCUAAUUUUUCAUAAUUCUUAAGUAAAGAUAUAGUUUAUAUAUUGCACCGAGUAGGUCCUUUUUUGUCGCCGUGAUUUUUUUUUUUACUUUUUUUUUUUCUGUCACCAAGUGAAUGCAAUGGCUAAAGUCAUCAAACUUUUAGCUAUGAUAAUUUUUUUAAAUUUAUUAUUCCAUAAUUUUCUCAAUUUUAGAAAUAGUUUUUUAAAAGUAGUUAGAAUAUUACUUUCCAAAGUAACUUAUAAAAUAAUCAACUAUAUAAUUAAUAAUAUUUUCAAACUUUAUAUUAUAACCAUGUUAGAGAAGAUUACUUUUUAAAAGCAUCUUAUAAAAUAUAAUUUUAUCAAAAUAAUUUUCAAUCGUGUGUUUAUUAGUAUAAGUAUUUUUCAUCUUAUGGACUCAUUUAUUUUUUCAUAGUAUUUUUAUCUUCAAAUAAUUUAUUAUUGAGUUUUUUAUAACAUUGUGAUUGACAUUUUAUCAUUGGAUUGAAGUUAUAUAUUGUUACUAAUUUUUUCUUUUAUUCAAAUCAUAAAUUUAUAAAUUUUAUAUCAUAUUUUUAUUUUAUUGUUUAGCUUAAUGACAAUCCAAUCUCCUCUUCACUCAUGUGAGCGAGGUUUAAAACUAAAGUCUCUUAUUUUUUUAUUAUCUCAACUAUAUAACACUAAAAAAUAUAUCAAAUUUUCAUCAUAUGAAUAAACUAAAUUUGCAUACAAUCACAUCAAUUUAAUUUUUAUUUGUUAAAUACGUACAUCAAUUAGGUUAGUUUUGUAGAUUUUUUUAUUUUUCCCUCCACUCUAUGUAAAUUUACGCCGUAAGAAAAUAACAAGAUAUGCUUAGUACACCAAUUCACAAUUUCCUCAAUUUUGACUUUUGACCAUCUCCUCGAUAUAAGAGAAACUUUAACGCCAGAGGGCAUUUCAGACUUUUCAGUCAUUUCAAUACAAUUAGUCAAUUAGGGACCUAUUUAACAUAAAUAGACACAAUGUAUUCUUAAUUACGAAAUUAUAAAAAACGCAGUGACGCAGAUGUUAUUACUCCGUUAAGAAAAUGAAAGAAGGAAAGAAAAAAUAAAAGAGAGAGAGAGAGAGCGAGCCAAUAAUCAGCCAAAAAGCUACGUAGCAAUAGCAUUUCCUGCUCCGUCAUUAUCUUCCAAUCUCCAUUUUUUCUACUCUCUGAAAUAAAAAAGAAAAAAAGGCAAAACAAAAAGAAAUUACUAGUACAGUGUGAAAAUCUCAAUCGACGUUCAAUCUGUGCUCUAUCUAUAUAGCAAGCGUACGAUGUCGAUGUGAAAAAAUUUCAUCGAUUUCCAUUUUCUAGAGAGAGAAAGCGGAAUCUAAAUUUAGAGAGAGAAAAAGAGUGAGUGAGUGUUUCCUGUUGUUGAAAUCUGGCUCUCUGGAGUGCUUGUAUUUACGGUUCGUCAUGGUUCGAUUAAUCGACGAGCUCGCCUUAUCGUUUGUUUUAAAUCGGUGAUGAGAUUGUACAAGUUUCAGAUCGAUUCCGUUUGGAUGCAUUAAAAUUGAGUUGGUGUUUUUAUUUUUCAUUUUUCUUCUUCUGGAUUUCUCUUAUUGUGAAAGAAAUGGACAACGGCGGCGGCUCCUCCGAAGCCGCGGCUCAGCCGCUCGAGUGGAAAUUCUCGCAAGUGUUCGGAGAACGGACUGCUGGAGAGGAAGUGCAGGAAGGUACAAUCUUCAUUUUUGCUUUAUCUGAUUCUGCAUAUGGUUCUACUUUUAUUUUAUUUUUUAUUUUUUAUUACAAAAUUAUGGAUAUGUCUUGAGAGAUCUAUGAUAUGCAAUUUGGAUUUGAUAGUUAGAACCGGCGUUAUUGUGAUAAUUUAUAUGCGUCUACAUUAUUGAAGAGCAAUUGAGUUAGUUGUAAUAUUGAUGUUGCAUGCAUGAGUUACUUUUGUUGUUGCUUUGCUUUUUAUUGCGAAUAUACCUCAUCAUAGCUCAGCUUGGAGCUUAAAUAUUGUGCUUGGUGCUGUUAGCUCAUGAAUUACAUGGUCAAUGAACUUGUGAAAGCAUUGGUACUAUGGCAUGCCAUAUGGGAAUGCGUCAUAGUUUCAUCAAGGCAAAGGUGUUGGGCCUGUCGGACAUCUGAUCAAUGGGUUGAUUUCCUGAGUCUCCAGUUUAUAUAAGCAGAGCAAAAUAUUUGGUUUGUUGUGCUUGCUCCAUGCUGGCUCUGAUUCUGAAAGUUAAUAUCAUUGAACAACAAACUGAGUCACAUUGUUGAUUCUGGGCUUGAGUUGACUAAUCGAGUUCUUAACACUAAAACUUUUAUCUCUGGUUUGGCUCUCUGUUAAUCGUUAAUGUAGGCAGUCUGUUAUACUAGUUAUUAACUAUUGAAAAAUGUGAGGUACCCCUUGAAUAGUUGUCAUCAUGGGAGGGACUUGACUUGAAGACAUAAAACAUUCUACAUUAUAUUUCUUAUAUGAUGAAAGUUUUCUUUUCAUUGUAAUUGCGAUUUGUGCAUGGCAGAAGUGUUUUGUAUAUGCUUUUUCUCCCAUGCUGCCUUUGAUUUAUUUCUGGACCUUAUGUUUGCAGUUGAUAUCAUAUCCGCUAUUGAAUUUGAUAAAUCUGGUGAUCACCUUGCUACUGGAGAUCGUGGGGGCCGAGUGGUUUUAUUUGAGAGAACUGACACACGAGAUGUAAGCCAAUUGAUUGCAUACUUGUUUAUAUCAUUUAUGCUAUUAUUUUUUCCUCCAUAAUUUUUAGUUCGUCAAACUAUUGUAGUUUAUAGAUGUAUGAUAUAAACUAUAAUAUGCAGAAUGGUGGACAACGGAGAGAUCUAGAGAUGAUGGAUUAUUCAAUGAGCAGGCACCCUGAGUUCCGGUAUAAAACAGAGUUUCAAAGCCAUGAGCCUGAGGUAGUUUCUUUGUAGUUAGCAUGAUUAAUGUGUUGAUUUGACAAUUGACUCACUGUUCUCGUUUUUCUAAUAACAUGCAUUUUCAUCGGUUUGGUUCAGUUUGAUUAUCUAAAGAGCUUGGAGAUUGAAGAGAAGAUCAACAAGAUUAGAUGGUGCCAGUCAGCUAAUAGUGCCCUGUAUCUCCUGUCCACUAACGACAAGACUAUUAAAUUGUGGAAGGUAAGAAAUUCAUUGAAAGGGACCUUUGUAGCUGUAAACUGUAAAGCAUUUAGUCACUUUUUAUAAUGGAACUGCUUAGACCUCAUUUUUUUUCAAAGGAUUUCUACAUUUUAGUUAAUAAAGAUCUCAGGUGUAUUAGUAGCUUUUGUUACAAUAUGACCUAAGGAGUUAGUAAGUUUUUAAAACAACAGCAAUUUCUUAGUUCAUAACAGAAUGCUCCUUAAGUCUCUUGGUAUGAAUGAUGUGUAUGCUUUUAUGUUGGAUAGGUUCAAGAGAAGAAGGUCAAGAAAGUGUUUGAUUGGAAUGUACACCCUGAAAAAGCUGCAGGAAAUGGUCCAAUUUUUGGUUCACAUGUAUCAGCAAUUCCCAAAUCUUAUAUGGCAAAUGGGGGAUGUGGAGAGAGAAACUUUGGAUGUGCAAGCAAUGACUCGUCCUUCCCCCCGGGUGGUGUUUCAUCUCUACGUUUGCCUGUGGUAGUUGUACUCAAUCUAAUCUUCUUUUUUCCAACAUCAAUUGCCAUUAUAGUGUUAGUCAUCAAUUGCCGUCAUAAUGUUAGUCUAUCUGAAUUUUUUUUUUUUGGAUCUAAUAUAUUUGCUCGUAAUGCUUAAGGAACUGGAAUGACUAUGUAACUUUAUUGUGUUGAAAAAAGAACUAUGCUAUGUUAUGUACCCCUUUUUUCUGUGGAUUAUCUGGAAAAAGGGAUCAAUAUUAAUAUUUGUCUAUUCUUUUAGAGUAGUAAUUGUCAACUUGUUCAUAAGUAUCAUUUUCCAGCUCUGAUACCUUGGUCAAAUUUCACAAUUAGGUUACCAGUCAGGAGACAAAUCUUGUUGCUGGAUGUCGAAGAAUAUAUGCACAUGCACAUGAUUAUCAUAUUAACUCGAUUUCAAAUAACAGGUGAUGACCUGUGAAUAAAUCUUUACCAUUUUGUUUCUCAACAAGACUUUCUGAAUUUUAUUAGUUUCUGAUUAUUCCUUUUUGGUUUAUAGUGAUGGUGAGACCUUUAUAUCGGCCGAUGACCUGCGAAUAAAUCUCUGGAAUUUGGAAAUUAGCAAUCAGAGUUUUAAUAUCGUAGAUGUGAAACCUGCAAACAUGGAGGAUCUUACUGGUGGGACUCUCAGAUCUCUUUCCAGGGGCAAUAACAUGUUAUAUGAUUUUUUAACUGUCUGAAUAAUAGUUUCUGAGAUGUAUAAAACAAUUGUAAUCAAAUGAUAUAUACAGAGAAUGUAUAAUUUCGCUAACUUUAACCCUGAACUUCAUUUAUAAUGCUAUUGUUACCAAAAUAGAGCAGGUACUAUUUUAUAAAAUGAUAUAUUCAUGUGGUCAAAUUCAUUGUUGCAGAGGUGAUUACUUCCGCAGAAUUUCACCCCACCCACUGUAAUAUGUUGGCAUAUAGUAGCUCAAAGGGCUCUAUUCGUCUUAUAGAUAUGCGGCAGUCAGCUUUAUGCGAUACUCAUAGCAAAUUGUAAGGGAUUUUGUGGCAUUCUUUACCCUGAUAUUUAUAUUGGAUUUCUUUUCCUAUUAGUUUCUGUAUUUUUAGUUUUGAGGAACAGGAAGCAGUACCUUAUUGCAGUCCUUUUUUCUCCUUACCGUUCUUACCAGCGUCUUAUUUGCAGGUUUGAGGAACAGGAAGCUCCCGGUACGAGGUCUUUUUUCACGGAGAUAAUUGCCUCCAUUUCAGAUAUCAAGUUUGCCAGGAAUGGAAGACAUAUAUUAAGUCGUGACUACAUGACCCUCAAGGUUCAUUUGUGAUUUUAAAUGAAGUUUCUGUUUCAAUGAAAGCUUCUGCAAAUUCUCUUUUAAUAUAUAUUCUUAAUUUCUCAGGAAGAAAAAUAAAGCUUUUGCAAAUGCAUGAUAUAUGGAAAUUAAACUAUGGAGUCCUUAACAUGUUAACUGUAUUUAACUGAUUUAAGAACUCAGUGUAGUAUUUUCUGUUUUCAAUGUUGAACAAGAUGGGGUUAGAUGAUAGCAAAUAUAAACUUUCCUGUAAAAUUUUAUACAUGUUGUCCUGGGGCAGUUUAUUUAUAAUCUGUUUUUCUGUAUAUCACGCUUGUUCUGAUAUCUAACAUGAUUAUGACUACGUUGUUGACAGUUAUGGGACAUAAAUAUGGAUUCUGGUCCUGUUGCAACUUUCCAGGUUCAUGAACAUCUAAGACCUAAGGUGAUGCAUUCUUCUAAGAAUUAUUUUAUGGGUUUGGAUAACAUUCACACUUUGUAUGAAUGAGAAACUGGAAAGAAGAGAAGUGAAAUGGAUGGUACUCAAUAAUUUUGUAUUGUUACCUAACUAAGUGUAGUGAAUUGCGGGGAAGGAAAAUAGGUGACUUCUCUGGGCACAACUUUCAUUUCGCUUCAACAAGAGUGGAAUUUAAGAGAGAUAUAAUUAAUUAUCCCAAUUUACUUUUUAUAAAUCCAAAAGAUAUGAGUAAGAGUUGCAACUAAAUCCUAUCAUUAUAAAAUCAGCAUUCUUUUUAUUAAUUCUCUUGAUUUCUGCGCUAGCAGUGGGAGGUUGAACUGUGCUUCUCUUUUCUUUUGUUCUUCUCAUAAUUUAUUUUAUACAUUUGUUCAUAACAUGAACUCUUUGUUUGGACUUUGUUCAGUUGUGUGAUUUAUAUGAAAAUGAUUCUAUCUUUGACAAAUUUGAGUGUUGUCUGAGCGGAGAUGGGGGUCGGGUGGCUACUGGUUCCUACAGGUUUGCUACAUAAUUUAUUGAUCCUUAUUGCCUCCAUCUUCCUUCACCAUAAUGCUUGCAUCUAGAUGUAUAAUGUAAUUCUUUAUGUGAUUCCAGCAAUCUGUUUCGCGUGUUUGGUUGUUCUGAGGGUAGUGCAGAAUCAACAACACUGGAAGCCAGCAAAAAUCCCAUGAGGUAUGUUCUGAGAGUAAGGAAUAUUAUUGACAGUGUUAAGGAAGUAGCUAUAAAAGUGGAUUCCUUAACAAGUUUCUAGGUUUACAGCACUUUGUAUUGAAGUGAUUGUAAGAAAAAUUGUGCUAACUUUAUUGCCUUCAUCCUUGUGUAACUAGUUUAUUCUUGCAUUUCCAGGAGACAAGUUCAAACCCCGUCAAGGCCUUCUAGACCUCUAGGAAGUCUUUCUGGUGUUGUGAGGCGAGGUAUGUUUACUCAUAUUCAACUCUUGUGCAUUUUUAUACAAGCACUCACGAAAUUGACAUCUAUUGGGUGAAUUCAAUCUACUAGGUUCGAUUAAAAAUUAUUUGGUUAGUUACUUUCAUAUUAAAUGGAUACAUUAAUAUAGGAAUAACAAAUUAGUCGGAUCUUUAUGCACGCAGUUCAUUUUUUCCUCAUAAUAUUAGCUUGUUAAUUUUGGUUUUGAUUUCACUAAUAUGUGAUGAAGGCGAUUUAUUUACUUUCAUGAGAUAAACAUUUAGGUUCGAACGAAUCUAAGUCUGCCCAGAAAGUAGUCACUGGCUUUUUUUUGUUUUUUGUGCCGAGUUUAUACACAUUAUAAUCUGUGCUUGUAUGCCUUCUUUUCGUUGUGUCAGUAAAAGGAGCAGAUAACUCUGCACUUGAUGCAAAUGGAAAUGCUUUUGAUUUCUCCAUGAAGUUGUUGCACUUAGCUUGGCAUCCAUCAGAAAACUCAAUUGCAUGCGCUGCUUCAAACAGCCUUUACAUGUAUUAUGCAUAAAGUUGGUCUGGGAAGAUAAUGACUUGUUCUAUCUAGCCUGGCAAAGCUUUUGUGGUCGCUUUUGGUGAAAUCUGCUUUGCUCUUCCAAAACCAAUAAUGUGGAAGUCACGCUGCCGUCUAUCAGACUUCUGGCAGUCCAUUGUAAUUUUUAGCAUAUCCUCCAUCAACACCAAGGAAAUUAUCAAGAAAAAGCUUAAACUGAUAAUAUUCCAAGAAGGCUAUAUACUCACUGAUUUAUUCUUUUGUAAGGACAGGUAGAAUUAUCCUUUUUGUCUCUUGCUUAGGUCAAAGAAAAAUGUGGUGGUAGCUAGCCUAUGACGGAGACAACCAGAGACAGAGCGUUAUAAAUACUUUGCUUCGGUGCUGCCGGAUGGGGAGUUAACCUGAAACUUUGAGACGGAGCUUUCACGUUUGCAUCAAUUCUCAUUGAUAUCUGGGGAUUUUCAAUCUUGUAUCAUUUGAACCCACAAAUUCUCUAGGCUUGUGAAAUUUGAUCAUGAUUAUUAUUGUUAUUUAAAUUCUAACCAUUUUUUUCUCUCCUUAGACAGGAUUUGCUUCUAGGUGUCAGUUUUUUUUUCAUUUUUUUAACCUUAAUGGUACUUGAUCUUGUGAUGAAUGCCUCUUGCGAAUCAGUGGCUUAAUUUAUCAUAAAUAAAUGUUUCUUUUGUUUGGUCAACGCUAGGUAACUCGUGUCUUAGGUACUGUUACCUCUCAGCUAGUGGCUACGGUCAGGUUAAAUUAGCUCACGGCCAAAUCACUUAGAACUGUUAAUCCAACAACGGUUUAUAUAAUUAAUCAAAAAUAAAACGUGUAAAACGUAGAAAACUUGAUACCUUUUAGACGAGUUUUACGUUUUAUCAAUCCGUAGUAAUGAAUUUAAUACAAUUUGCUGCAACAUCAAGCUACUAAUAUUUGAACAACUUAGUAUUUCAACCACUUAAUUCUGAUAAUAGUUAAAGCUGGUACACAAAGGAAAAUUUUAUGUAAGCCCAGGGAACUUGGAUUCGAGUAAAACUGGUACAUAAAGGAAAUAUUUAUGCAAGCCCAGGGAACUUGGAUUCGAGUCUAGGCUUGUCCAUCUUUAUAUAUAUACACAAUAGUUUUCUGGUCAAAUAUUUUAAAAUGCGGAAAAAUUCAGAAAAAUUUUAAAUCGGCACAAUUUUAAAGGUUUACAGUUUUAAAACUUUCCCGCACUUUAAAAUUCUGAACUAGAACAAGGAUGCACACUAAAAUGUCGAAAAUAGAUAUAUAUAUAUUUUAAUAUAUUUAAUAUUUUUUUGGUCUGUUAAUAUAUUAAAAUAUGUGUUUUCUUGUCUGUUAUUAGUCUACUCACUUUAUUAAAAUAAAGAUAUGCUCAUUAGAGAAUUAUUAUUAUUAUUAUAAAUAAAAUAAGUUAAUCUCUCUUUGGCUAGUUUAUGGAUAUUGUAACCCCAAUUCCACUAAUAAGGUACUACGGUGAAAUUGCAUUUCAUCAUCCUCAUAUUUAAAACUUUUAAAGUAAUAACCAACAAUAAAUGUUCUAAACCUCCAAAGGAAUAUGAAAUAGAUUAUGAAAUAACAUAUUCUCAAAUAAAUAUCAUUCCAAAGGAAGCUAAAUUAUUCUUAGAUUAUCAACGUAACAUUAAUCCCCAAAAGAAAUAGAGCUCUUAUUUUUCCUCCUAAGACCAUAAGCUCACAUCAUCUAACUCUAUCAGCAAAAAUGUGGUAAUGAGGGGCGAGUCGUCAACUCGGUAAGUAAAUUCAUGCACAAUACUAAAAACAAUUAAAAUAUAAUUUAAUAAAACUUUUUAGUUAUGCAUAAAAAUAAGAGAAAUUACCUUUGUAAAUCAUCAUUUAGUAAAAAUAAAUCACAACAUCAUAAAGUUUUUAACUCCUUUAAACAUCACAAAAGCAUUUUAAACACAUAAAAAAUAAUUAGCUUAUGUCACAUAGUAUCACCUGUAGACCCAGUGACCCGGCCAUAUAACAUCAUUCAAGGUACUGUACCCCACCGGAAUCAUUAACAUUAACAUCAUAUGUGCACAAAAUCCGGCUAGCCUUCCAUAACGUAACAUGACAUAACAUAACAUCAUUACAGACAAUGAGCCAAAACAUAUAAAAUCAUACUUUAACUUUUAAUCAUUUGUAAACUUUCAUAAAUUACAUUUAAAUAAUUCGUAAAUAUUUCAAAGUAUUUGACUUAAAACAAUUUAAUAAAAGCUUUCAUUUUUAAGACAAUUUGUAACUUAAUGCUCACUCAAUGAAAAUUAGUCAAAUAAAUUUUAAUCAUAAAGGAUUCAUAAUUUUAUACAAUAUAAUUUUUAUAGGUCGUUCUAAAGCCUUUUAAUAUCCUAAAUUAAUUUUACCAUCAGCAAUUGCAAUUCUGGAAAGCAGUUUCCAGAACUGCAGCAGCCCAACCAAAAAUUAUGAAAUUAAACAUGCAGUAAGUAGACAUAAUGAUUAAAUAGAGAAAUCAACAUAAUUUUCGAAGAUCAUUUGGAUAGACAGAAAAAUCGCGAAAUCAUACAUGCUACUAAAAAUCGAAAUUUUCCAGCACCAUUGUUCUAACUUUGAAAAUUCACAACAAAUUGAUUACUUGGAAUCUAUUUGCACAAAAUAUAUCAUUGAAAACCUUAGGAUGUCUAGUUUAAUUUUGUGAAAUCUCUCAUGCAGAAAUUGAAUAAAAAAUAAAGGGAAAACAACAAUAAAAUCACAACACUCUUGCCUCAUAAUGCCUAACUAGUCAUUCAUGAUAAAGAAAACGAUGCAUGCAUUCAUUAUCAAACACAUAAGAUUAGAGAACAUGUAUUAGAGAAAGAUAAUUACCUCAAAACUUGUUUCAAACGUGCAUAAUAGAAAACCUAGAAUUCUUUACUUUUAUAUGGUUAUUAGGUUAAAGAAUUUUAAUCAUAGAGAGAAAGGAAGAGUUUAAAUUUUAUUAACACACUUGCUUUUUAAAAAAUAAAUAAAUUAUAUGAUAAAGAUGGUAACCCUUUAUAUUUUAUUUUAGAAAAAAUAAAUUAAUAAAAAAUAGAUAAAUGAAGAGAAUUUUGCCUUUUCUCAAUUAAUGCUAAUUAAAAUCGAUUAACACAAACAAACGAUAAACAAUUAAAUAGGUAAUCAUAAACAACAAAAAGGAACAUGUGUUACAUAUACAACUAUUAUCUUCAUCUAAAUUUGUGAGGGUUAAAUUCUUGGUUGUGCUAGGUAAUGUUUGAAUUCUAAUUAGUUGAAUUAUAGCAUAUUGAAAAAGAAAAAAGAAGAAGAAAUAUAUAUAAAUGAAGUGAAAAAAAAUUAAAGUUAAUUUAUAUAAUAUUUACAAUUAAAUAAAUUAGUUAAUGACAAGUAUAUGUCUUAAUAAUAUAAUUAUUAAUCAUAUUAAACAGCUAGUAAUUUGAAAAAUAAUCAGGCGUUCACAAAUCCUCAACAUAGCCGCAUGUGGCGCAAUAUUAUGAAUCUAUUUGUCGUCCGUACAGCAAACAUGAAGAAUUAACGAGGGACCGGGAUGAAGUUGAUGAAAGAUCAUCAUCUUGAUUUUAAAUUUUGAUGAUGGAUAACCUUCUAUUAGAGAGCUUGCUUUUUGAAUGAAAAUUGGUUAAGCGUUUGUAACAAAUAAGCAUUAACGAAAUGGCCGUCAAAUACAUUGAUUCAAAAUCUGUUAAGCGUUUGAAUGUAAUCAACAAACAAUCGCGACAUAGUCGCACAGCAACUCUAACGACCUCCUCAAAUUUGAUUCAACAGGGAAAAUACUUCAAUUAUAGUUCAAUUAUAGUUGCUUGCUCAGGAGUAACCAUCAAGCAAAGGAUGGCCUUAAUCACUAGAAACACGGCCAACACGCGCGGCCUCCCUCUCCUGCUCUCGCAGCGGGCGGCCUCGCUCUCCUCCUCCGCCGCCUCACAGAAACCCGCCUCGUACGGUCUCGCUCCGGCGCCAUCGACCACGAGCCCCGGAGGCUUGUCAAAGACGGCAGAAUACGUUAUCUCUAAAGCAGACGAUUUGAUAAACUGUAUUCGACGCGGCUCCAUCUGGCCCGUGUCCUUCGGGCUGGCCUGCUGCGCCGUCGAGAUGAUGCACACCGGUGCUUCUCGCUACGAUUUGGAUCGAUUCGGUAUCAUUUUCAGGCCCAGCCCUCGCCAAUCCGAUGUCAUGGUCGUUGCCGGCACUCUCACAAACAAGAUGGCCCCUGCCCUUCGCAAGUGAGUAAACAUUUCACACCUUCAUUUUCUUUCUUGUGGUUUCUAUCCAUUUCGCGUUUAUUAUUUCUUUAUUUAUAUAACACCUUCGAAUUUUCCUUUUUUAAAUUCAUGAUUUUAAGAGAUUCGUUUUUUUUUGUUUUUUUGUUUUUUUGUUUUAUGGCUAGCUGAGAAUAACCAUGAAAGAAAAUAUACAGUAUUUGCUAUUGGCGUCGUUAGUGAGGAUAUCGAAAGGUGAGCAGCAUGCAGCAUGCAGCAUGCAGCAGCAGCAGCAGCAGCCAGCAGCAGAGCUUAGAUAGCAAUUCCACGUACUCUAGUUGUUGUGUUUCAGACGAUUUACGGUUAGGGAUUAUUUUACUUUAACUCGUUUUUAUUAGGAAGAAGUUUAUUUCGUGGUCAAAGUCAAACUGGUAAUUGAGUUUGAGUGAGCGCAUUGUGGCAUGGAAAGAUCAAGCUGCUUGGAUUAAACUUUGUUAGUUCGUCAGAUUAGUUGUCACCCUCGUUUAAUCAAACUGGGGUUUAAAUCAAUCCUAGUUGCUCUCUUUAUCUUAUGUGGGCGCCCAAUGCAUCAACAUCUAGAACAAAAAUUGGACAAUCUUUCCUGUGGCACGAGAAAUAUUCUUAUAAUCUAUUUGAACCUCUUCUAAUAAUACAUCUUUUCCGAGGUUUUGUUUGUGAUAUCCAUGUUAAUUCCAAUUCUCAAAACAUUUACCAAUUGCCAACAAGUUUACCCGACGAACAAGCUAGCUCUACUUCUAUUACCUUCCCAGUGAUAAUUACUACCCAAAUAAUGUUCUAUUUCUCCAGUCUUGUAUGCUGUUGGGACGACAUUGUGAAAUCCUCCAUUACAAUAAUACUCUUAUCAAAUCCAUUCUGAUAUUGAUAAUUUGGAAUUAAAAAAAAAUUAUUAUUUUUAUUAUUAUUAUUUUUACUUACAACUAUCUCAUUAACUCCCUCAAAAAGCUAGAGCUAAUAUUUCCUCUAAAAUUUUGCUUGACAACUGUUGUUCUUUUUAUUUAUUGAAAAUAUAUUUACUAAAUAUUUAUAUGGCCGUUGUCAACUAAAUAUUUUGCUUGACAACCGCCAGUCCAAUGUAAAUAUAAAUGUCAUUGCUGAUAUAAUAGAGAUGAAGUUUUUUUAGAACUAAUGUUAAAAGUGUCCAGAAAGUUUUGAAAUAUUAGUAAAAAGGCUCAAAAAUAGCGUUAUAAAAAGGCUCAAAAACAACAUUUGCACCACAUAAAGUCCCAAUGUUUCUAAUAUAAGUCCAUAUAAUUAAAAAAAAAAAAUUUAUUUUUUCGACUCAAAAAGGAGGUUGUCGUGUUUGAAAUUUAUACUAAAAAAUCUAGAAAAAUUGGAAAAGAAUAAAAGAGGUAAACAGUUAUUAUUUACUCAAUAUUUAUAAAAAUUUUCCUUUAUAGACUUAUAACUAAAGCUUAUUUAACGACUAUGUGUUAAAGGGUUGAUAAGGUACUAGAAUAUUAGACCAAUGAUCUUGAUUUUAAUGAUUUGAAGAGGACAAUGAGUUCUUAGAAUUUACUUUUAAUAAUUUUUUCUUUGAAUUUUUGAAAUAAAUCAAAAUUGUUCUCUUUUCCUUAAAUUAUUAUAAUUUAUAAAUAUAUUACAAUCUUAAAAUCCAAACAAAUGAUAAAUCUGUCGAAUAUAACCAAAAUAUUACUCCUAUUAACAAUAUUUGAAAAAAAAAAAAUGACUUCGCAUAUUUGUGGUGCCCUCACUCGGCCAUCAAAAUUUGCGUUACUUCAAAUCUAGACAGCAUCAACGAGAUGGACCAGAUGGCGGUAUUUCCGUUGUAAAUAACUAAAUAUAUAGUUUUUUCCUUUAUAUUCCGGACAUAAUGUUGGCAUUUAAUUACUAAACCACCCUUCACAAUCACAGAGGUUCACACCGUUACACGUCACGUCACACACACCCCAGAGCCGCUUCAUGUCUAAAUCCCAAUACUACCGGAGAGAGUAACCACCACUUUCAAACCCCAACAACAAUCAAUUUCUCUCUCGCUUUGCCCCCGUGUGAGAAAACUAAACCAAACCAAACCAAACCCCACCCCACAACCCCCAAAACACAAGCCCAAAAAAAAAAAACUAUGGCGGUACUCACCAAAAACACUGCCACGCGCCUCCCUCUCCUCCUCUCGCAACGCGCCGCCUGUCUCCACACGACCGUCCCCUCUCUCUCCUCGGCCUCCGGCUCCUCCUCCUCCUCCUCGCAGCCCACCUCCUACGCUCGCCCUCCACCGCCCUCGACCACAAGUCCAGGCGGUAUCUCAAAGACGGCGGAAUUCGUGAUCUCUAAAUUGGAUGAUGUCGUCAACUAUAUUCGUCGCGGCUCCAUCUGGCCCAUGUCCUUCGGGCUGGCCUGCUGCGCCGUCGAGAUGAUGCACACCGGUGCUGCUCGUUACGAUUUAGAUCGAUUCGGUAUCAUUUUCAGGCCCAGCCCUCGCCAAUCCGAUGUCAUGGUCGUAGCUGGCACACUCACAAACAAGAUGGCCCCUGCCCUUCGCAAGUAUUUACCUUCCCCUUCAUUUCUUAGGGUUUCUAUUUCAAAUUUAAAUAUUUAACACGUGAUUUUUUUUUAUCUAUUAGUAUAUAUGAUUUUCAGUUUGUGUUUUAUUGCUUGGAUCUGCAGUUGGGGUUGAAAUUUAGAUAUCUUGGAUUAUUUUCGAGUGUGUUUUUAAUUCUCUGUUCCAUUUUCCCCCCCUUUAGUUUUGGGUUUAGAAAAUUUUUGACUUUAUGAGGAUAUUGGGGCUUUUGCUUUUCUCAUUGAAUUUUGUCAGUCUGUUUGUUUUGCAUUGCCUUUUGAAGGUCGUCUUGUAGACUGGUGAAUAGGGUGAUAUAGAAGAGUAUGGAACAAAUUUUUGCUUUAGAGACAGUGUCUUCUUUUUAAUUUGUUUUUUUUUUAUCUCUGAGGAUGUUGUUUGCAUUUGGAUAUAUGGAGAGUUAGUGGUUGUGUUACUGUAGUAGGUGGCCGUGUGAAAUUUGUGCCUAUUGAGUUCAGGAAAGGUGAUUGAGUUUGAUUUAGAUUGGAGUGGGGGCUAAGUUUUGGUGGAAAAAUGCUGGAUGUUUCUGGACUACCAACUUUUCACUAGCUAACAAUUGAUCAAUAGAUUGCAUAUGUUGAAGCUCAAUUUGUGUUUGACACACCCCAUGUAUUAUUAAUGUUGUACAAGUGGAGACAAAGAUCAGGAUUACAACUAUUGCUCUUUAUGAGUGGUUGAAGGAUUAGUUUGGCUAACCAUAACAGUAAGAAUUUUCUGUGUCAACUGGUGUUCUGUGGAAAGAACCUUUUGGAAUGGUCAUUGAGUUGGAGUUAGCUGAUCGAUUAAGCUGCUUGGAUUGAAUUUGUCAGUUUAUCAGACAGGGUAAUAUUUUUUAAUCCAUAAUUUUGAACCCAGUUUGGUUCGUAGUUUGGGCUCAAAAUAAGCUGAUGUGGAAAACAAUCCUGAUAGGAAUGGGUUUGAUUUAGUUUGGUGGUUGGUUGAGUCUAAACAAGACUUCUUGUAGGAGCUUAUGUGAUAUUGUACUUGGCACAAUGCAUGGAAAAUCCACUUACAAAGUGGUUUGCUAUAUGGGUGUUCUGUCAGUUAGAGCUUAUUUAUUUAUUUUGUGUGGCACUGGAUCAUAUAAAACUUUUUGUUGCUGAUGGUCUUUUCUAAGGAUGGAUUUCCAUAACUUUGUGUUCAAUGGACCAAAUUUUAUCUCUUGCCUUUCUCAUAUAUUGUUUCUGUACUAGCAAUGCAAUAAGUACACAGUUUUGAGCUUGUUAUUUACUUAUAUAUUUAGUUUUCUCAGUCUUUUCAAUAUAUAUUGAGUUAAAAAUGAGCUAAGUUCAUCUGAGUCUGACUUUCAUUACUUGCAGGGUUUAUGAUCAAAUGCCAGAUCCUAGGUGGGUCAUUUCUAUGGGAAGCUGUGCAAAUGGUGGUGGAUAUUAUCAUUACUCUUACUCUGUUGUUCGGGGUUGCGAUAGGAUUGUCCCCGUGGACAUCUAUGUUCCGGGCUGCCCUCCUACUGCUGAGGCCCUACUCUAUGGAAUUCUCCAACUGCAGAAAAAGAUGAACAGGCGCAGAGAUUUGUAUUAUUGGUGGACAAAGUGAGGAAAGCUCAAGUGGCUCCUUGGCAGUUACACUCGACUAUUAUGUACUAAUAAAAUCCAACUAUUUUAUCUGUUGUCUGAUGAAAUGUCCAUGUAAAGGGAGAGAUUAUUUUCAGCUGUUUUAGAACAUACGUCCUGAGAAGGGCUUAUGUGGUGCUAACACCAAUAUUUCAUGAGUUGGAUCUUUUGUUCUCUGGCCUUGCUACAGCGGAUCAUGUCCCUGUAAAAAUUAUUUGAUAGGCUCGAACAUUUGUUUUUGUGUUUCCUAUUUAUGCCUUUAAAUUGUGCUUAUGGCUUUUGUUUAAUGUGGGUUUAAUAAAUGUGCUUCUGUUUGUGUAGUGUGGAGAGUGUUUUGAAUGCUAGUUGUUCUUACCAUGCAGGUUUUGAGUUGUAGAUCAAAGACAGCAUUGUCUCUGGGUGGUGACCUUGUUUAUGGGUAGUUUUUAGAUGGAGAUGAUUGUUUUUACAAGGUAAUAUGAAUACGUGAUCGCACAACUCGUUGGCUAUUCACAACAGGGUUUUGACUCAUUAUCUUAUUCGCGUUGGAGACGAAGAGCGCCAGAGCCAGGAGUUGCAGGAAGACUGGUUAAGAGUUUGGGGUCCUGUAAUCACGGAUAAAAGUUUUGUGUGUUAUGAGAGCACUAUGACUUAAACUUCUCUUGUUCUUGGGUUUUAAUCAUUUAUGUGCCUGUUUGAGUUAGUUUAAUUGAGCUAUUUUUUGGCUUUUAGAAUUAAAAAAGUCUUUUGGGGCUAUGGGGUGUCAAACCAAAAGUCAUUUUUUUAAUGCAAAAGGUCUUUUGGAAGAAGUCAGGAUUUCUAGUUUUUCUCAAAAAACCUUUUGAGAAGUUAUUUUCUCAUUUAUUACAUUUUUCAUAUUUUCAAAACUAAUUUUAAAUUAACAAAGGAACAAAAAUAAUAUUUCAUUCAUAUCCAAACCCUUAAACCUUAUUUAUUUUUCUUGUUUUGCCUCUUAAUUGUUCAACCCAAUACAAAAAAAAAAAACAAUAGAAGGAGCACAGUACCACAUUUUGCCUCUUAAUUGUUCAACCCAAUACUAUUUAUUUUUCUUGUUUUGCCUCUUAAUUGUUCAACCCAAUACAAAAAAAAAAAACAAUAGAAGGAGCACAGUACCACACCAAUUUUCUUUCAAGUAAGAAUUUUUUUUAUAAUCUCAUGUUUUGAUUUGAAUCUUAUUUUUAAUUUUUUAAUGUGUAUGUAUGUAUAUAUAUAUACACACGGAAAUUUCAUGCUUUGAUUAUACGGAAAUCUCAUGCUUUGAUUCUUUGUCCAUUUGGUUAUAUUUUAUUAUUUUUUGAAGUAAAUUUAUAAAGUUGACUUUGAACGAAAAAUAAUGUUUUGCGAAUUGGUGAAAUAUGGAGUAUAAGUUAAAUUGUCGAAUUAAAUUUAAUCAAUUUUGUAUUGUUAAUUUAUAAAGUUUUUGUUUAUUUCACAUGGGUUUUUAUUCAUGUGGGCAUAUAGAAGUGUUAUUGUUCAGACUAUAAAGUGAAGAAUUGUAUUUAGUUCGAAUUGUUCAUAAUGAAGAAUAUUAUUUGAUUUGCAUAUUAUAUGACAUACAUGUGCAGUAACAAGUAACUCAAAUUAAAAUUACAACAUUUGAUAUUUAAUAUUUUGAAGAUAUUAGUAGCUAUGGUAUCAGUUACAGUUGAAUUGUUUUGCCGAAUUGUUUUAUAUUCCUUUGUGUUUAUUGAAAUGGCAGUGGUUCGUGAAAAUAUUAAUAGGGAACUUGUGCUUAGAUAAACUUAAUCUAGUUAUUUUUAUUAUUUUUUUAUAAAGAAAAAUAAUACUUUAAUUUGUAAAAGUUCAACUGGAUUGAUCAAAUAAUUAUUUUAUUUGUGUUUGUCAUUGAAUUUUAAAUUUGAUAAAUAUUUGUUAGACUCAAAUAUUUAAGAGUUCUGCUAUUUGCCCCGGGUCAAAUCCCCAAACGGCAGCAUAGGUCAUCAUUUUCGACCCUUAUUUUUUUUUGUUUUGAUUUGUUUUGAAACGACAUCGUUCUGCUUUUAUUUUUUUUUUUCUUUGUUAUGAUUUCUUCCUUCUCUUCAUUUAACCCAACUACGACCCAUUGCUUCGUUCUCUUCAUCGACCGAUAGCCACGUUCGUUUGCAAAUCUAACUGCAAAUCCUCCAUAACCCAGUUGCCCCUUCGUUUGCCUCGUUCCAUUUUCCUUCAUCGAACUGAAAUACAGGAUGCCUGCAUAGUCUCCUCACUCCUCGUCUUAAGCUUAGCUAGUCCCCAGUGUUGUAUCCAACUCCAAACCCAUUUUUUGAUGCUCUCGUCUCUCUCUCGCAUAAAGCAGGCUUGUUGCUGUCUGAAACUGACUCAAUGUCCUCUUCCCCAACACUUUUCUUAUGGAAGCUCCAAAAUUUCUCCUCAGCAUUAGAUUCCUGUCUACCCAAAGUCACAGCCCUUGAGAACUUAAUUAAGAUUUGGCAGCCAUUCGCAAUCCCUAGUCUAUUAUUCAUUAAUCUAGUCUCAUUUGGUUAGGAUGGUGGUAUUUUAUUCAAGUUAAAGGACAUAUUUUGCAUUAGUAAGGAAAUUUUCAGAUUCUCAGGUCAAACACGCAACUUGAUACUUUCCUGCACAACAACAUAUAUAGUUGUAGAGUCUCUUUGUUGUUGAAAUGGAUCAAGACAUAAAAACAUAUGAGCACAAAUUUUCGAGGACAAUCUCCAAGUUCAAAGGAAGAAAUUAAUGGCAAUGAAAUAAUCAUGAUGCGAGAUAUGAUUCAUAUAAACACAACCCAGAAGCAUGCAUAAGUUUAAUAAUUUAUACACAUCAAUCUACACUAUGCUUCAAAUUGAAGAAACCAGGGGCACCAUUUUUCAGUUCAGGUAUAUUUAUUGUUUCUCUUCUCUUCGUUCCCAGCAAAUCAGAACAAAGAAAAAAAAUUAAAAGUAGAAACCGUGUGAUGAAGAGAACGAAGAGAAGAGAACAAAGAGGAAGAAGCAAGGGGUGUGCAGCUGGGUUAAGUUAAAUGAAGAGAAAGAAGUUGGGUUAAGUUAAACGAAGAGAAAGAAGAAAUCAGAACAAAGUAAAAAGAAUAGAAGCAAAAAGGGUGUUGUUUCAAAAAUAAUCAAAACAAAAAAAAAAUAAUAGUCGAAAUGACGGCUUAUGCUGCCGUUUCGGGGUUUGACCUGGGAUCUGACUCGGGGUAAGUAGUAUUUUCCAAUAUUUAAGGAUAUUAAUGACUUUAUAAUGAUUAAAAGGCUUUUUUAGAUGGUCAUCCAAACACUUCAAAAAAAGUUUCUCAUUAAAAGAAAAAAAUCUUUUACUAUAGUCAUCCAAACAAUAAAAAUAAGUUAGAAUUUUUACUUUUCUAUUAUUUUUAAGUAGAAGCAAAAACAAAAAUUAACCCAAACAGGCCCUAUGUCAGGGAACAAUACUAGUUGUUAAUUGCUAUUGCGUUUGCUAAUACGCAACAGGAUUUUUUUUUUUUAAAUUUUAAUGUUGAAAUUUCUUAAAACAGAGAACAUUUAGCUUAUAUAUAUGAAAGAAGAAAAUCUAUUUUGACAUUUUUUUUUAACAUGGAAGUAUCCAAAUCAAUUGGUCGUAUACUUAGCAAUAUACUCUUCGAAUUUGAAGAUGUUUUGUUCAUAAUACAUAGUCAUUUGAUUAAUGCGGCUACAACUCAUUAUUAUUUCAAAAAGUAUGAUACAACACAUUCAUGUGACUUUUUUAGCAAUUCACUUCUUAAAGUCAUUAGUAUUAAAUAUCUUAUUAUAAUUUCAAUGUUAUAAUUUCUGUCAGUGUAAAAAAUUUAAUAGAAGGAAAAUUCCUCAAUUUGAAUUGAAAAGAUAUAAGUAUCUUUCAUACCAUAUGAUAUUAUAUAUUUUAAAAUUUUAUUUCAAAUAAUAUAACAUUCAUUAAUUAGAUAUUAACAUAAUAUAAUUAUUUACUUAAAUUUUAUAAAAAAUUAUUAAUCAUUUAAUAAAUAAAAAUAUUGUAUAUUAUAUUAUUUAAGAUAAAAUUUGAGAUAAUAGAGUCCAUGACUCAAUGAGCCGCAGGCAAAAUAAGUAGAAAUAAAUAGAAAAAGGAGAAAUCCGAGCUGGCGAAAAAAGAUCUCUUAAUGAAUAGCUUUUGUUAUACCAUGAGGGAGGGUAUAUAAUGAAUAUAAAAACGCAGCCCUAUUUUCAUAACCUUACUCAUCUUAACACUCGAGUCUCUAGGGUUUCUUUGUCUCUCUCUCUCUCUCCCUCUCUAUCUAUUCUCUCAUCAACAAUGGCAGACGAACCGCAAUACUCAUCAGACGGCACACCCAGUAAACGCAAAUACGAGGACCAAACGACGCCUCCUUCGGCCGCUGCGCGCAGGCCCACGGGAUUCUCUGCUCCGGAUCCCGCCGUUGCCCCUACCUCCUACAACAGUGUCCCUCCGCCUGCCGAUGAAUUCCAAGACUUUCAGGCUGCCAAGCGCCGCGCCGAGCAGAUCGCGGCUCGUCUCUGCAACUCGGUUUCCGCUGAAGCCAAGCGCCCUCGCGUUGAGAACGGCUCUGGCGGCUUCGAUUCCGCUGAUAAAGGUUUCAGCUCCCCUCCCUCUGGUAUAUUUACUUGUCCACGUGUACCAACUUUUUCUCUAUAUUUUUACUUGAUCUCUUUUGUGGCCGAGUGUUCUACAUUGAAUUGAAAUGAUUUUAUGAUCUUAUUUGUUAGUUCCUUUAAUAGUAUUUAGGGUUUCGUUUACUGUUGUGAGGAUGAAGCAUCUUUGCUUAUGAGUUUUAUUUUUUUUUUAGAAAUUCUCCCUGUUAUGUCGGUUGUGACCCCCAUUUGGGCUUCAUUCUCUUUGAUUCUUAGUAGUUGGUGUGACUUUCAGCGUUUUAUGUCAAUCUUUUUCAUUGUUCAUGUGCAAUGAUUUUGUUUGUGGAUCAAAACGGAGUGAUUUUGAUCUGAUUCAAAACAGAUUUGAAGUCUAUUCCAGCUCCUUCAGCCAUACCAGUUUCAUAUGGUGGAUAUCAGAGCAUGGGUACAAGCAAAAAGAUUGAGAUUCCAAAUAUUAGGGUUGGUGUUAUCAUUGGAAAGAGUGGAGAGACUAUCAAAUACCUUCAACUUCAAUCUGGGGCAAAGAUUCAGGUGACUCGUGACACAGAGGCUGACCUCAAUUCUCCUACUCGGUCGGUUGAGCUCAUGGGCACACCCGAACAAAUUGCUAAGGCAGAGCAGCUUAUAAAUGAUGUUCUUGCUGAGGUAGGACUUGGCAUUCUUAAUCGCUCAUUUAUUCCUUUCUUGUUUAUUUAUUGGUUUACAUGAUCGAAGUUUGUGCCUUUUGUACAGUUUUAGAUCUUUAAUGUAUGUUCCUUUUGAUCUAUGGAGUGUACUGGCAUUUAGACUUUGAUUGCUGAUAACUUAUUCCAUAAACUUGGGCCAGGCUGAAUCAGGUGGCUCUGGUAUAGUUGCUCGAAGGCUAACUGGACAAGCUGGCUCUGACCAUUUUGCAAUGAAAAUUCCAAACAACAAGGUAAUCAGAAGCUCUGUUUGUUAGCUUUACUGUUUGGCUUCCGAUUGUCCCUGAUGAUGUGCCUCAAACUCAGGUUGGUCUGGUAAUUGGUAAAGGAGGUGAAACUAUAAAAAAUAUGCAAGCCAGGACUGGAGCUCGUAUUCAGGUGUGUCAUCUAUAAUAAUUAUCACCUUUACACCAGAAUAUUCUUAUUCAGCAGUGAUUCAAAUUUACCUUGUAUGGUUUAUGUUCUAAUUGUAUAUUCCACAGGUGAUACCUCUACAUCUGCCUCCAGGCGACACUUCGACGGAAAGGACGGUGCAGAUUGAUGGGACAAGUGAACAGAUUGAAAGUGCAAAACAGUUGGUUAAUGAAGUCAUCAGUGAGGUAAAUCUUGUGGUUUGCUGGUUUGCAGCUUUUGGCUUAUUUACUUCUGCAUGUGAGCUGUUUCUGCACGUGGUUAAAUCUAUAGCCAAGAAAGGAAUUAUUCAAAUGGAUCAUGAAUUCUGAAUGCUUUAUUGAUGUAUUUUGCUGUAUCCCUUUUGUUUUCAUAUUAAUUUUUUGGUAGCUGGUCUUUCUACCCUGCUGCUACAAUUGAAUCUCUUAGUUAUGCUCACUAGUGAUCUUAUUCUACCCUUUUAUUGUUUAGACUGGAUCUUGUUGGUGGUUUAUGUUUGUCACUGCAGGGCACAGUGAGUCUUACUGUCCAUUAGGUAAAGUGUGGUACAUGUAUAUUUUUCUUGGUCUUCUGUUUUAUUAUCAACUAAUUUUUCUCUCUCGUCUCUGUUUAUAUCUUCAUCCUCUUUAUAUCAUAGUAAAGGUUCUGCAGCUCUUCCUUUUUCCUAUAAUACUAAUAAUUUAUUAAAUAAUCUUUCUUCUUCAAAGUCAAUAUAUGACUGCUGUUGGUGAAACCCUUGUAUCUUUUCCAUAGUUAUCCCUCUUGUUAAUAAUUAUGAAGUGGAUUGUUCUCGGUCAUUCUGUUGUUCCGCUAUUUUCAGUACUCCUUUAUAACUGGUAUGGUUUAUUUAAAGCUGACGGAAGAUAAAUUUUCUGGGCAACAUAUUUGUAACAUGCUAUUUAGUUGCUUUUACAUGAGUUGUGUAUCUAUAUCAUCAUCUAUUCUUCCCUAUGGAAAUGUACACCUAUUUUGCCGCUGAUUCUGUUGGCAUGUAAGAUAAUAUCUUAUCUUAGCACUACACUUAUUUGGAUCUCAAUGUCUAGGUGGAUCUCAGCUAUGUGAAUUGAGGAUUUAAUGGAGAGUAGUUCCUUAUUUUUGUGAUUAAUUGUGAUUAUCAGUAGUUCUCUGAGGUGCAGUGUUGAUUAUUGGAUAUUAAGUUCAUGAGAUAGGUUUUGAUCUUAUUCUAUGUUUAGGUUUUUCUACCCAUUUCACAGCGCUUAUAUCUUAUCAGCGUUCGAGUAGAAUAUUACUUUAGUUGUAUUACCAAGGGAGUGCAAUUGUGGGAUUAUAACUUGUUUUGUCACCAAAUAUGCUUAUUAAUCAUCUAUCAUAUCACUGAUGCUGUUAUUGAGAACUAUUGUAGGGUUAGUGUAUUUUGGGCUAUUUGGUCACACCAACAUGGAUCACUUAGUGUUGGUGUUCCCUCAGCGCUGCUCUGGUAUGGCUCUAUAUCCCAUUUCCUGAUAUUUAGUAAUGAUGAUAUUUUCGAGGGAAGCUGCAAGUAUAUAUUUACUGGAGUUACAAGGUUGCUGCAAUGGAUUUUUUAAUGGAACAUGAGCUUUAGGAUAAUCUCCUUUGUAGUGUUGGUUGUUGAUAAAUUUUCUUUUAUACAUAUUCUCAGUCCCUUGGCUUUACAUCCUCAGGUUUUAAGAAAAUAUUUUGAUAAUAACUGGCUAAUAUUUGAGUUAAAUUCUUUUAAUUAAAUCUGGCUUUGGUGGUUAUGAUUAUUCUAGAGAAAAUUUCACUAGUCAACUCUCCUGUAUGUGCUCCUUAAUUUUGCUGGUAUUCUAACUGCCUCCCAUAUUGUGAAGCUUAUAUCAAAAAGUUCAAUUCAUCAGUGCUUGGGGUUAAAGCCAUUAACUGCUUUAUGUUCUUGUAAAAUGUUGUUGAUUUGCCCUGUGCAUUGCUGUGAAAAGAUUUUUGAAAUUUAGUGCUUGAAAUUUGUGCCAUUGGUUCCUAUGCGCCUUAUAUAACUGGAAUCUUUUUAAUUGGGUGUAAACAAAUGUUAUAAGUUGUAUUAGCUUCAACUAAUCUCGGCAAGCUUCGUGUGUGUACAAUUGUCUUCAUUUUUUAAAGUUGCAAUUCAAGAUUUUAAUUGAAACCAUUUUGACUGCAUAGAAGGGUUUUAAUAUUGUACUUUUACUUUGUCCAUAUAUAAUUGACAAUAGCUAAAACCUCUCAGUUAGUAUAUUUCUUGAGACCGUCUUUGUAAUUGCAUUUAUUUUAAGGUUUUUGAUUAAUUAUUUAUGUCUGUCCACUAUACCAAGUUCCUUUGCUAUGGGAAAUAAAUAUGUAAGAGCUGCUUCCAUUGAAUUAGCACACUGGUGCAUCUUCACGUUUUCUAGUUGACUGUUCCUGUUAAGGUCCGAAGAUUUACUUCAUUUGACUUCAUUUUAAUUAAUAGUGAAGUUACUAAGAACUCCAAUUUACCGGUCUAAGUAUAUUGAUCUUCUAGGAUGUCUUUACUCUUAAUUUGAUGCUUCUGUUAAUUUCAGUGCGUCAAUUAAAUCUUUUCGCUAGAUUUUGUAUUUUGUAAAAACUUUGAACUCAUUGCUGGUCAGUGGCAGUGGGUCUUGCUUUUGUAAGCUUGUAUUGUACUUGUGGUUCUUUUUUUUCCCAUUCACUUCAAAUAGAGAGAGGAUGGGCUUCUGCAGGAGUUUACUCAAUAACCCCAUCAACCAGUACGGUAUGUAGGCAUUUAUUUUAAUAAUACCCAUUCCCUAUAUAAUGUGAACUCGGUUUGCUGCUGUGCAGAUCUACUUGUUUAUUUUUGUGUUCCCUUAAUCUGGAUUUGCGAUGUUUUUUACUAGUUGUUUACAUACAUAUACACUCUCUGUCUGCUAUAUUGCAUAUAUAUUCCAUAAUUAUGGAUAAGUCCAAUCUAGUUGUUUAUAUACAUAUACAUUCUCUGUCUUGCAUAUAUAUUCCAUAAUUAUGGAUAAGUCCAAUCUGGUUAUAUAUGUCGAAACAAUUUUGUGCAGAAUCGUAUUAGAAACCCAGCAAUGGCUGGAGGAUAUUCCCAACAAGGUUAUCAAGCACGUCCUCCUACAAGCUGGGGCACACCUGGGGCUCCUUCAAUGCAACAACCUGGUUAUGGUUAUGUGCAGCCGGGAGCAUAUCCUGGUCAAACACCUCAGUAUAACAUGUCUCAGCCUCCUUAUGGUGGCUAUCCUUCCCAACCAACACCUGGUGGAUAUCCUGGCAAUUGGGACCAGACACCAACACAGCAAACUAGCCAGGGAAGUGGUUAUGAUUACUACAGUCAACAACCAUCCUCUCAGCAACCACAAGCCCCUGGUGGUUCAGCAGCACCAGCAGAUAGUACUGGUUACAGUUACAGUCAGCCACCAGCUUCUGGCUAUAAUCAGCAGGGCCAAGGUUAUGCUCAAGAUAGCUAUGGUGGAUACCAUGCACCUCAGUCAGGCUAUGGGCAGGCAGCGCCAUAUGAUCAGCAACAAGGCUAUAAUUCUGCAGCUGGUUAUGGUAAUGUGAACAACACAAGUCAGGAGGGUCAUACUCCUUCUUAUGGAGCUCAAGGAGAUUCAACACAGGCUCCUCCACCAGUCCAGUCAUCUGCUGCGAUGGGCCAGCAGGGUUAUGGUACCGGCCAGCAGCCUAGUCCAAACACUGCCAGUUAUCCACCACAAGGAGCUACUCAGCCCAGUUAUGGCGUGCCUCCAACUUCGCAGAGUGGCUAUGGGAGUCAGGUCCCACCCCAGUCUGGGUAUGCUGGCUAUGGGAUGCCUCAAGCACAGAAACCUCUUGCCAAUCCACCUGCUUAUGGACAGACUCAGCAGUCACCUGGCUCUGCUGGUGGUUAUGGACAGCCUGGAUAUUCCCAUUCACAACCACCACCUUCUAGUUAUGCACAACCAGAUUCGGGUUCUCAACGUGCACCACCAUCCAAUUAUGGUGCUGCAACUCAGCCAGGUUAUGGAAGUGCAGCAUAUGGUGCACCACCAGGAGGUAGUCAGGCAGGUUAUGGUCAGGGGCCACCGUCUUACUAUGGUGGUGGGUAUUCACAGCCUGUAUACACUGCUGAUGGGAAUGCAGCACCUGCUGCUCAGCCUGUUCAACAGGGUGGAGUAACCAAGUCACCACAAAGUUAAUCACAUGUAGUGAGCUGGAAACAUUCACUUUUUGUUGCUGUCUGUUUGAGUAUGGUUAAUUGUAUUCGUAUGGUUAGGUCUGGUUAGGUUUAGUAAUGUUUUAAGACUUUAGUAAGUGUUUCUCCCUUAAAGAGUAGCGUGGAUGGUCAUAUUUCUUCUUUGUUCAACCUUUCACCUUUAUACUCACUUUUUUUGGUGUGUAUUCUCUGUAUCUGGUUCUUAAAAUGUUCUUUUGCCGCAAACCGUUUGGCUUUUGUGAAUGUUGGAGUAUUUUAAAAGUUGUCAUAGAUAUAAAAAUAUUGUUGGUUGAAUGGAGGCUACUUAAGUUGUAUCUAAGUCAAUGCUUUGGUGAAAAUAUUAUCUUUAUGUUUAGUACUUGAAACUAUCAUCUAAUAUUGCGCUCUGUCUCAACGUUCUAUGUUUUUGGUUUCUUGGUUCUUGCUUUUAUUUGUGUUAUUUGUUCUGUUGAUUUUUUUUUUUGGGGGAAUAUUUCUUUGUGAUUCUUUGGUCUUGUGUUGGUUACUUAUCGGUUGGAGCUAAGAUUUUGUGAUAUCGUAGUAGUAAUUGCUACUCGCCAUUUAAACCAAAAUAGUUUCUUUUUUUCAUUAAGUUGAGGAAGAUAAGUAAUAUGGUCCAUGCCUUCAUGGAUGGUGGUGCUUUAGAAGAGGGUACACAUUUUUCCUCAAAAGAAAAUUGUUAUUUUUUUUUAAUUUUUAAAAGAAGUGUAAAGUUUAACGUCUUUUCUUUUUUUAAAUCAGUGUUUAAUGUAUUAUUAAAUCAUAUAAUUUAGUAAAGUCAAUGUUGAAUUAAUCAUAAAGUCAUUUGGCUUAAUAAAGUGUUUGGAUGUCUACAUAAGAGAAUAUAUAUAUAUAAUAAUUAUUCUCUGAUGAGAAAAUUUUUACUUUAUUUAAGGGAAGAUGUCACUAAAAUAUUAAAAAAUAUGAAUUUUAAUAUUUUAGAGUUUUUUUUUUGUGUUUUAGAGGUAUCUUCACCUUAUAAAGUGAGGAUAUUUUUAUUAAAAAAAGAUUAUAUAUAUAUAUAUAUAUAGGCGAUAAAAAAAACUUUGGAUCUUCUUUGUAAGUGUGUAGAAAUCUAGAUUAUGCUAUAAUAAACUUAAUUUUAAGUGGUCCCAGUUAAUUUUUAGUGUAAAUAGUGACAAUAUAUAUAUAGGCGAUAAAAAAAACUUUGAAUAUAUUGUCACUAUUUACACUAAAAAUUAACUGGGACCACUUAAAAUUAAGUUUAUUAUAACAUAAUCUAGAUUUCUACACACUUACAAAGAAGAUCCAAAGUUUUUUUUAUCGCCUCUUGUUAAUUUAUGAAAUUAUUCUCAAUAUUUAUGUGAACAUAGGUGCAUAUAAAAAAGUAAAAAAAAAAAUCACAUGUCAAACAACGGGACAUCAAAACUCCUAACGUACUAUAUAUGGUUAAUAAAAGAUUGACAACAAUACAACAAAUAAGCUUAUAAUAUGAAUUAUUAAAAUUGCACCAUUAAAAAAUUAUUUUUGAAAUCCUUUUUAAUUCCAUUGGUUGAGAAUGUGAAAUCUUUGAAAUUUAAUAUAAUGAAAAGUGAAUGAGCAACCAUGAUUGUGAAAGAAAUAAAUCAUGACAAUUUUAAAAUAAUAAUUAUUAUUAUAUGCUAUUUUUUUAACUUUGUACAGUAAAAUCUCUUUAUACUUAUAAUACUGGAAUCAAAAUAAUUUAAUUAAUAUGAAAAAGUUAUAACUUAAUAGAGAUAUAAUUACAAAAUUAUUAUUUUGACUUAAUUAUCCUCAAUGUAAGUAAUAUAGAGGUAAAUUAUGCACAACCUAAUAGUUAAGUAAUAAAUCAUGUCAAAUCCAAUAUAUAGAUAUUGAUAAAAGAAACAAACAUAAUUUUAAGAAAUUAAUACACGCAUUUAUGUAGUAUCAGGAAUAUGCAAAGUCAUCUUAAAAAUAUACAUAUUUGCAUUUCCUAUAAUAUUUUUAUCUCAAUGUAAAUUCUAUAAAUACUAUAUAAGGAUUUAGUAACAACUCUAAAUAAUAAAUUAUUGUCCAAAACAACUUUUAAAUUUUAUUUUUUCUAUAUUAAACCUUUAAUAUAAUACGACAAAUAUUUUUUUACAACACACUAAAAAUUAUUCUUGAAAGGAGGGCAAAAAUUUUUUUUAACGGGAAUUUAGAAAAAAAUUAACUUAUUACAUUGUGAAGUUUAUUCUUACUUAUAACUAUCCCUAACUAGGACUAAAUUUUUUUUAUCACUACAUAGAUGUUAUUCUUAUAUAAAGUAUCACUUUAAAGAUGUUUUAUUAUAAUACUAGUUACGAUGUUAUAAUAUAUUGACAUACUUUUUUUCAAUUAGAACAUUUUUAUGAUAAGUUAAAAUAGUAAUAAAAUUUAGUUCCUAAAUUAUUUCAAUUUAUUCAAUAGAUAUAUAAUUUAUUCAUUUUAUAAAAUAAGUCACUAACUCCAAUUGAAAAAAAAAAAAAAUUCAUUUACGAACGUGUUUGAAAAUAAAAUAAAAACUCUAUUAUUAUAUAAAAAUGAAUAAAACAUAAUGGGGUUUGAAUGAUUUUUACUAGGCUAGACUAGGCUAUGAUUGCCGGAGAUUUACUCCUCCCGUAUUAAUGAAAUAGAUGUUUAUAUCUAUCCAAUUUUUAGUUAUCAAAUGUGGAGAUCAACCUGUAGAAUUGACAACUAUCACAAAUGAUUCAAAUAUGGGUCUGGUUAUGUUGGAAUUGCUCAACGGUAGAGCACUGAUGAUGAUAAUUGUAGGAUCAUUAAGAUAUAUAUUAGAUCUGUUGAAGAAAAAUAAGUUUUUUUAAUAUUUUUUUAUAAAAACUUUUAGGAUCGCUCUCAUACAAUAUAUAAGAAUUUGUAAUCUAAAAAUCGUACCUUGAAAAUUCGAUUUGAUUUUUUCUGCUGAAGUGAUUUAGGCUCCCAGAUCACGAUCCGUCACCACCACUCAUGUUAGAUCAUGAUUCGUCACCACCACUCCUGCUAGAUCACGAUCCGCCAUCAAAUAAUCUUUCAGGCUAUGACUCAAGUUUGAUCUGCACUUGACGUGUGGACACCUUUAUCACCACUAAAACAACUAGCACGAGAAAAUUUUUCUCUCAACGAUAAAGAGAUAAAUCUUUUUCUUUAAUAUGUAUAAAGUGGCUGCUCUAUUUUUUUAAGAGAAAAUAAGCCUUUUUAUAUCUCGCUUUAGUGGAAACCCUGGGCUCUAUUUUUUAUAUUACUUAAUUCUAUUAAAUCAAGUUUGAUUUAAAUUAAAAAUAAUAAAUCAUAAGUAACGUUACUUCUUUUUUCUUAUAGGGGUCCACCUUGUAAAAUAACACAAGGCCCCUUAGAUACAAGUACAUUAUAUGGAGCCUCCCACUAAAUAAUAUAUUUAGGCUUUUAACUUAAAUAACUAGUUAUCUUGCUUAUUAAUCUAGUAGUGGUGCAUUCAAUUAAAUGAGUUAACCCGUGGAUCAUUUGUGAACAUACAAUAGUGGCUAAAAUAAUUAGGCUUGUAAUUAAACUAGCCCAAUUAUUUAAUUCAAAUCUAUUCCACUAAAAGAUUGUAACUGACCUCCAUAAUUGUAUGUUCGAAUAAUAAUUCAUCCCAAGCCACAUCGAUUUCUUUACUGCAUAAUCUUUUGUACCACAUCGUUAAUUAAAUCGAUAUCUCAAUUGUCCAAUCAAUUUAAUUACAUCUUAUUCCUUGAUACUUACUGGUUUUCUCUAAUGAUCAUUUUCAAAAUACUAAAUAUGUUGACACACUCUGGCAAAAGAAUUCUAUGAUCAAGUGCCGAAAACCCAUUAAGAGAUGUGUUGUACAAAUUUUAUAUUGUUAAUUUAUAACUCCAAUACUCAUAAUUGCUCCUACCAAGAUACCGGGUAAUCUUGACCACAAUUGUGUGUCGUGCCCAUUGGUAACUCAAAUAGAAUAACAAUUAUAAUCAUGAAAUCAUAACUAACUUAAGAUUAAGAUUACAGUUAAAUCAAUGCCUAUGAGAUUUAAUAAGUCUGACAGUCAUUUCAAGAUUAAUUAAAUCUCAUAUGUGAUCCAGCUCAAUAUAGUCAAACUACAUCAGUAAAUUCAUAUAUGAUUAAGAUAAAUUAUUCAAUGCAUUUACUACAGUCUAAAUAUAAAUAGAGCGCCCAACUCUAUUUAUCAACUACGAACUAAAUUUAUUUAAUUAUAAGAUAACUUGUAUUAUAUAUUCUGUGAAUCCAUAUGAUGAUCACAUAAAUACAUAUAGUAUGAUUAAACGAACAUUAUUCAAUAUAUAUUUAUGCAAUUGAAACUAUCUCAAAUAUUUUAUUAAUCAUAAAAUAAAUUAAUAUGUUUUAAAAGAGCAUAUAAUCCCAACAAGAUCUUCAUUUAUUGCCAUAAUUUGACUAUCAUUCCCAAUACUUAAUAGUGGAAUAGCUCCAUCGUUACCACAACCUUCAAAUGGAAAGGUUGUAGCUAUUGGUGUCAAUAAAGUACAACUCUGAAGAGAUGUGACUUAUAUAGAAGUUGAAGCUAUUGAUUGCAGGUUAUAGGUGGCAAAAGAGGCAGCAUUAUCACAGUGAUCAAUGAGACUAAUUUUCAAGAUGUUGCUUGUUGAGUGCUUAUUUAACAUACAAUUAAUGAGAGAUCCAAAAGCAUACCUUUUAAUUCCUAAAUGUGGAAGCAAAUCACAACGAGAUUAUGUUAUUGUCAAGUUUAUUAGAGACAGAUGAUAAUCUUAUGAAAAAUCCUCAUGUUAUUGUAUGCUUAUGAUCGAAGGAUAAUUAUAAUAAAAGAAAAUAUGAGAGAUCAUAUUGCAAGAGGCCACUGCCUCUUUCUCUCAUUUUCACACUAAAUACGUUCUAUGCAUUGUCAUGUUUCUCACACUUAUCACACACCUCUAUUGUAGAUACAACAAGUGUAUUUAUAUAAAAGUUAAUGCGAGCAAUUGAAGUUAGCCAAAAGACUUAAUAACUCUUGAAGUCUAAAUAAACUUAGUCACAUGAAACUCUAUCUAAAAUAAGCUUUUAGACAUUUUGUUGGGUUGGUCCAAUCCAUCAUGGAUGUCAAUUCCAACAUUGUUAAUUUAAUGAAUAAAAAAAAGCAAUAAAAUAGAUAUAUAUUAUCAUGUAAUUUCAAAAAUCCUAAGCAAAACAAAAAGGAUUUUCAGGAUGUUGAAUGUCAAUACACCGCUAUAUCUUUUAAUACAUAUGCCAAUCCCUUAGUUAUUCUAGCUUUAGGAACAAAUAUACAUAUUUGUUGUAUGGCCAAAUACAUUUCAAGCGGAAGUCAUGAAUACAUACAUACAUACAUACAUAUCCCUAAAAACUAAAAAGAACCUCAUUUUGGUGAACGAGGGCAUGUGUUUACCAACAACACUCAGGCAAAGAAAUGACACAACCACAUACGAAGUUAAUAUAUCAUAGAUUGAGAUUCUCUCCUGAUCUGAGCACUCUUGAUCUUUUAUAAAUCUUGUGCCACAUGUGUUUUAAUAUUAGUGAAUGAUUAAGAUUUAACUAUUUUUUUCUUUUUCAUUUAUUAAUCAUCAAUUAUAUUAAUAAUACUUGCUCAGAUAAAGAUCAAAUCAGAAGAUAAUCUUAAUCUAUAUAUCAUAUCAUUUGUUUGUUUGUGAUAUUUCUUUUACCGAACUAGGCCAACUAUCAAUGAAAGAAAGAACCUAGAUUUUACACAAAGGUUGACUUUGACGCACAUGACAUGGCAAAAUUUUAUUACUCACUGGAUUGCAGCGGAAACAGUUCACUGUAGAGAAAAGCCAAACCAAACCACUCGUCUCAGUCACUGCGACUGUGAGACGAACAUAUGAAGCCCUAGUCUGGCUCUCUCUCUCUCUCGUUCUCUCUCUUUCAAAACGCAAACGAAGGUACGGACGUUCGAAAUUCCCUCUCCUCUUCAUCUCCUAUGCAUUUUGAUGUCCGUGAUGUCUAGAUUCUAACCGUCUGUGUUUUAGAUUCUGAACAUUUACGUUUCAGCUAAUUUAUCAAUUAGGAUUCUAUAUGCCUUAUAAAUUUAUUCUUCGUGCGGAUUUGCUUUAUAGCUUGAAACUGUUUAUGCCAAUGUCCUCGAUUACUUGGAACUUCGAGUGGUUUUGUGUUUUUUUUUUAUUGUNNNNNNNNNNNNNNNNNNNNNNNNNNNNNNNNNNNNNNNNNNNNNNNNNNNNNNNNNNNNNNNNNNNNNNNNNNNNNNNNNNNNNNNNNNNNNNNNNNNNNNNNNNNNNNNNNNNNNNNNNNNNNNNNNNNNNNNNNNNNNNNNNNNNNNNNNNNNNNNNNNNNNNNNNNNNNNNNNNNNNNNNNNNNNNNNNNNGGGGGGGGGGGGGGGUGGGGGUUCUGCAACUGCAAGUGAUUUAUGAAUAAAGUAGCUAAUUGAUUCACUGAUUUGGAGCUCAGUAUUCGUGCCUCAAGAGAACUUACGAAAAUAAGUUGCUGGAUUUUGUUUGGGCUCUUACUUUAGAGUGGUAUUUGCUUGAAUUGGAAUUUUGAAUUUCUCACAUUCACGGGUUGUUUGAUGGGAGAGCUCCUCUUUGUUUUCUUUUCAGUUUAGUAUAUAUGCCUAAGUAUCUUAUUUUAUUUGGUUGUGAGUAGUUUGGGGAAGCAAUGGCAUCCAAGCUGGUGCAGUUGCAAUCCAAGGCUGCCGAGGCCUCAAAGUUUGUGGCCAAGCAUGGAACUUCUUACUACAGACAGUUGUUAGAACAGAACAAGCAAUACAUUCAGGAGCCGCCAACUGUUGAGAAAUGUAAUCUUUUAUCCAAGCAAUUGUUUUACACUCGUCUUAGCAGGUUUGUCACUUUAUCCUGUUUUUGUAGUAAUUAUCUACUUCUGUAUGUUCUGAUUGUGUUGAUUUAUUGUCAGAACUCCUAUCCUUAUUUAUUUUAUUUUUUAGUAUGUUUCCAUCAUAUUGAUUCUUGUGGUCCUAGAUUAGCUGAUGAAACUCAUGGACUGCCUUGGCUAGUAUUUCCUAUACGGAGAAUGUAGAAACUGCAGAAAUAAGUCAAGCAAGAAAAUCACAUUGCACAAAAUUUCAAUUCUCCUAUUAGAGAUAAAUAAAUAUAUUUAUUAGUUAUCAUGAAUCAUAGAUUGAAUUGUGUUAACCUAACCCACCAUUCAUUAACAGGACAAAAAUUCCUCAUAGAUUUUUCAUUUGCUUCUUUCUCUCUUGUGUUUUACAUGUCCUUGUUGAUGACUGUUUACUAAGUCAUCUAACAUCAAUUUGUCAAUCCACCGAUUUUGAGAAAAACAGCUAAGGCCAUAUCAUUCAGGUUAUCCAUAUAUGUUUUUGAUAUAUCUUUUUCUUAUGUGAUACAGUAUUCCUGGGCGAUAUGAAGCAUUCUGGAAAGAGCUUGAUUAUGUGAAGCACUUAUGGAAGAACAGGCAGGAACUCAAGUUAGAGGAUGCUGGUAUUGCAGCAUUGUUUGGGCUAGAGUGCUUUGCAUGGUACUGUGCUGGUGAGAUCAUAGGGCGGGGAUUUACAAUAACUGGCUACUAUGUUUGAGAGUUGCAUCAAAAACAGCUUCUAAAGUUGAAUUGAUGAAAGCUUCCCAGCAUUUUAUAUAUUUGUUAUUGUUCUGUCACCUUAACAUACAUGCUAUAGUUUUGUGCUCUGCGAGAAAAUUGAAAACCGAGAUAGGAACAACUCAUUUGUGUUAACAAACUUAUUUUCGUUUUUCUUUCUUUUUCAUCCCAUAAUAAAAUGCACAGUUUCUAUCACAAUGGCCGCUGGCAAUUUUUGGCCAUCAGAUGUUAGCAAUGUUCAUUCAGUUUGUUGAAGGAGGUGCCUCCCAUGAGGCCAUUCACUUCGUUGUGGAGACUGAUUUUGAAUUUGAUCUUUAGAUUUCUUUGAAAAUGGUUAUCAUUCGCCCUCAUAAGUUUUCUGGUCUUUGCCCCAUUUAUUAAACUAGCUACUACGCGGUUUUGAUAAUUUGCAGUAUUGUAUUUCUUAGAUCUUAGUGAGCCACUAACCUUUUAGAAAAAUGAAAGCCGUCAUAAUAAAAUGGGAGGUCACUUAAACGACAAUUUCUACCAAUGACGGGACAAUUUCUCUGCUUAAUAUGUUUCCAAUGCACGUAUAAAUUCUUUGCUUAGCAUUCACACAAAAACAGGGAGGUAUAGCCAAUGAGCCAAUGAAAACAAAAUAUAUCAUAAAUACAUUCCACAAAGAUUUAUAUUUGAUUAUUUUUCAGUAACUGACGACCACAGCAACAAAAAGCCGCGGUAUUCCCCAGUCAUAAAUAUUCCCUCAUUGUAUCGCUAGUUUCCCGUAUAAGAAUAAAAUAGAGAAAGACCAAAAUUCUUGAACGGUAUCAGUAUUUUUAUCUCUCCUUGCUCAAGACGUAAUAUUACUCAAGUAAGCUUGCCUCUUAAUCACCUUCAAAAGAGCUGAUUCCUAAAUGCAUUAAUCAUUCUUGGCGAGAAAAACAGAACAAAUGCCAAGAUCGAACCAAAGAACAUUUUGAUGGCAUAUCUCACAGGGUUAUGGUCAUCCUCUUGAGAGAUAUUCUUAGGGGCAGACAUGGCUAAUGCCGAAGGUAGAGCUUCUAUUACUGCAUCUGCCAAAUCUGUGAUGAAGGAAGGGGUGCAAUUCAGAGCAGGUACACGUCCCCAAUUUUCAAUGCCGGAUUCAAGAGCCAAUUCCUUGUACUCCAUGUCAAUCUCUUCAAGAGUUUCAAUGUGCUCGCUCACAAAACUGGAAUUUCAGGAGGAAAAUUAGUUUACUUUCUAGACUAUAUCUUCAAGCUCAUAUAAAGUACACAGCCAAGACUUCAGUAAGUAAUGUGUACCUGACUGGAAUGGCUAGAAGACUCUUGACACCUUUCUGGCCAAGCUCCACAAGAACUUCAUCAGUGUAAGGCUUCAGCCAUUUUACAGGCCCAACUCGACUCUAUCCAAAAAGGAAAAAGAAGAAAAUUGAGCAUUACAAGCAAUUAACAGAUAGCUUAACCUAGUGUAGGGGAAGACGAGACCAAUACUCAAUGAGUCUUUGCUAUAGGCUGCAGACGAAAAAGAGAAGUUAUGAACUAAAGUUUAGAACCAAACCUGGUAUGCCAAAGUAUGAUCAUUGUUGAUUCCUCUAUCUUUCAACCUCUGCAUGAUUAGGUAGAUACACUCUUCCAUCUGAUCUCUGUAUGGAUCACCAGCUUUCUCAACAUAACUGACAGGUACACCAUGGGCACUGAAGAAUAUCAUAACCUAGAGUUCCACAAAAUUAGUGAACAUGUGUAGAGAGAUAAUCUCAUCAAAUGAAAACUAGUCGGACAUGCCAAAUUUCUGCAAAGGAACCAUGCAAAAGGUGUAUGCAACAACAAUAAAACUCACCUCCUCAGGUUUUUGGAACUUCCCUAGCUCUUUCUGAAUCAAGUCAGCCAUAGAGUUGACGUAUCCUUCUCGUUGAUACCAGGACCUUAUAAUAGACACAGGCAGCCUCGAUAGAUAUGCAUCUUCCCUGAAAGAUUACUCUCACUCAGAACAGAUUAUAAAGCAGGGCAAAAUCGAUUACUACUGGCAAGAAACUUCCAAUUGACGCUUACACAACAGUACCUAAAUAUAUUCUGGAGAACACGGAUGCUUGACCCCGUUGUAGAGAUAGAGAAUUGUGGAUAAAGUGGCAGCACAACGAGCCUUGUAAUUCUGUCCCUUUUAAUCUGUUGCAUAUAAUAGAUAUCAUUUUAACUGUAUUUUCUCUGUUAUUUAUCUACUAAAACACAGUAUUACGCAAUUAUGAGCUUAAACGCAGAUAUAAAGUCAUUGAAAAACACAGGCACAUCAAAGGAAUAGACAAACAUAAGACUACUGAAUGUCAAAAGUUUUCAGAGAAUCUAAUUAUAUUUCAGGCAAAUUGGAUUCCAUCAUAAGAAAACAGUUACUAAGAAAGUGAAAAUGUGGGACAGCCACCUGCUGAACAGCUUCUUCAGUAAAUGGAUACCAAUAACGCAUUCCAACAUAGACAUUUACGGGCAAGUUUUUGGCUUCUAAAGCUGUUUUAAGUGCUUGUGCCUGCAAAAAGAUUUUCAAACCAUGAAUACAGACUGAAGUUUUACUCACAAAAUGGUAGCAAUACAGCAUAGGUUUUAAGACAUAGUUCACUUGUGGGACAAGUAUGUCGAAUGAAAUGAAAAACUACUUAGACAAAAGCAACAAAAAUACAUGUUCCACCUGCUCAUCUGUUAUUUUGCGCAAUGGUGAGCCACCUCCUAUGGCAGCAUAUCCUUCUUUACUUUUGGGAGCCCGUACCACAGAAAUCAACUUUGCCAAGGGCCACUGAAGAAACCGAAACAGCCUGGGAAGACGUAUAAUGUCCUUUAUCAAAAACAAUAACCAUUAGUAUAACUCUAUAUUUGAAGCAUACAAAUAUAAAAUAGAAAAAAAAAAGAUAAUAAUAAAAUUCCAAAGGUGGGGAUGAAAGAGAAAGAAUCCGACAUACUGGAUCUGCAAAUAAAUUGAACAGAAAUGGCUGAACAUCAUGAAGCGUGUCAGGCCCUCCAAGAUUCAGAAGCAACACCCCAACCUUAUCUUCUGCGGCCUGUGCAUGAGAUUCAUAUUCUACAGCAUUUUCACCAUAUGUUGCUACUCCUGCAGCACAAAUCCCUGCAGGAUUUCUUCUCUGCACAGGACCGCAAAGAUAAGAUUCCCUGACAGUAUAUGCGAGCGCUUGAGAGGAAACUCUAUUGACAUUAUUCAAUCCCUCAGAUGACUGGCAGGACACCGAUACGAUGUGAGAACCUAAUCUGUCAAUGAGACAACCCAACUUCAGCAUUGAGUAUGGAUAUAAACUUCAUCUUCGUAAUAUCCACUGAUCACAGCUGCAUUCUAUUGCCUAUUGAAAAAUCACAGGACAAGAUAAAAUUGACAAGCCUAAAAUGCUGAAAAACUCAUAGCCACGUCUACAUGUCCAUACGUUCAGAUGAAGCAUGGAUCUUAGAAAAGUUUCUAUCUGAAGAAACACUGAUGUAGUAGCUUUGUAACUUAUUUUGACACAAAUUUUUUAAGCAAUGACAAUUAUCAUAUGUAAAGGUAACAUAACGCGUAAUGCAAAAUAAUGACUAAUGCACAGCAUUCAAACACUAUAAUAUUGAUUAGUUAAUAAGAAAAUCAAUCAAUCUAGCAUAAUUCGAAAAUAGAAAUUAAUAAAAAAAUGCAAUUUAAUAUAAGAAUAACAGAGCUCGUGAUAUGAAAGCAAAUGCAACAAAUCAAAUGAGAAUUACCACGUCUACGAAACAUAAUAAAUUAGGACAAAAAAAAAUCAAAUACAUGGUGGAAAUAUCAUAGGAUCCUUAAAACGCAAGCCGCAUUAAUAGUGCUCAAAACGACCCCGGAAAACAAACACUACAGAUUAGAUAAACGGCGAACUUAAAUAAAUUGAUUAAAUUAAAAAAAAAAAAAACUUACGUUUGAUUGAAUUUAUGAAGAUUCGAAACAGGGAGCUUCGCGCGUGAAAGAACUCCAGAGCAUGAUGCGGCGUCCAUGGAGUCGAUGCUUAACCUCUAUUUUCAAUUAAAACCGAACCAGAAUUGAGAAAAUGAGAAUGACAAAACGGUAUUUUUAUUUUUCUUUAUGCUGAGAUAUUUUCGAGGGUUAGUUGAGACCGAAUCUUAAAAAGGAGAAAUAAGAAGUCAAUGAAAUACCUAAUAUAUUUGAUUUGGUUUUGGCGUCUUAAGUAUGGAAAUGAGUAUUUAUUAUCGUGGAGUCGAGUCUCUAUUACUCUAUUAGUUAUUACUUCCUUGUUCCUACUACGUGUUUAAAGCGAGACCGGGAAAGUCACGACAGUGGCGUGCAGGCGUACACCUUCGUUUUUUAAGAACUCUCCUUUCCACGGUUUUUGAGUCGGCAAUAAAUAAAUCGCAGAAACUUCCCCGCACUCCGCUUUUGAAUUUUUGACCGGUUUAGGCACCGAACCGACAUUAUUGGUUUACGUCGGUUUCAAACGGAUACAGUGUUUUUCUAAUAUUUAUUUCAUUUUUUAUUGGUUCCUUUUUUUUUUUAUAAAUUAUAAUUUUAAGCCCGCACUCAUGCAAAACCCAACAGUAAAACUAGUUUUAUUAUAUAUAGUUGGGGGUUAUUUUAAUUGGUAAAAUAAAACGGGACGUUUAAAAAUCGGAUUUUAACGCUGUGCAAAGGGUCAGACAGAUUUGAAUUGUCGUUAUAAUAUAUUAUUAUAUUAGAAUAAUAUAUACAUAAUAAUUUUUCAGUUAGAAUUUUUUUAUUUAUUAAAAUAAAAAUAAAUGUAAAAAAUAAAAAAUACAUAUUCAAAUGCAAUGUAUUUUAAUUUAUGAUGUUGUGUAUUAAAGUUUAUAUAUAUAUUUUUUUAAUUUUCUUAAACUUAUCUUAAAAAAAAGUAAAGAAUUCCCUAUUAGAAAAUUAGCACAUUCACACAUAUAGAAUAAACUUCAAUUCUUAUUGCUUACUUUAACGAACGCAGUGUGUAUAUAUAUUCCUUCAAUUUGGGAGGAUACUUUACAGUAGGUUUGUUUCAAAAAUUUUCUUUUCAUUUUGGCUUUUUUGGCUAGAUUAAUUUCCCUUUACUUUUCUUCUUAUUUUCCUUUGAUUUUAUUCUAUAUGAACAGCGAACGGGCUAUUUAUUAGGUUUUAUUUGGAAUUUGAAAUUGAGUAGUUGUAGUUUUUAAGUUACAGUACUAAAGUGUGAAAAAUCUAUUAUAUCUUUAAUAAUUUUAUUUAAAUUAUUAUUUAAAAAUUAUAUUUAAUACAUAAUAUUAUUUUAUUUUAUAAUUAUAGUUUUUUUUCACAACAACUAUAGUUUAAAAAUUACAGUACUUCAAUCCCAAAUAGGACCUUAAUCAUGUUCAGAUUUGUUCUUCCUCUACCUUAACUUCCCUUCUUCAUGAUUAUUAUUAUUUUCUUCUUAAAAAAGAAAAUGCAUCCAGAUUAUAUCAAUGCAGUAGAAAAUAUAAGUUAAAAAGUGUGGGGGUUGAUGAUCUCAAAUCUAGUUGUUGGGUAGGGGAAAAACAAAGUAUUUUUUUAUUUGGACAAUGAAUUAGAUUUGACGAUUGAUAGAAAUAUAUGUGAGAUUAUUCUUAGCGGGAUGUGUUAAAAGUGAAAGUAUUUAUUCGAGUUAUAUCAAUGUCUCUAAUACUAAAUUAGAGUGUCAAAAGUAUAAAUUAGGGUACAAAUAUUCCACCCAAUUAUGUUAUCAAUAAAAAAUAGAGGAGCUACUAGCACCCCGCUAUUUCUUAUUAAACCCCUUUUUAAAUACACCCACCAAAGCAUUAAAUAAAAUCACUCUCAUUCUAAGUAGGGGUGGGCAAAUCGGGUUUCGGUUCGGGUUGUUCGGGUUUCGGUUUGGGUUUCAACCCGUUCGGAUUGAAGAAUUGAACCCAAUCGGAUUAAAAAUGCCAACCCAAACCGAAUUUACUUCGGUUCGGUUCGGUUCGGGUUGGCAAUUCGGAUCGGAUUGGGUUGAUAAUUCGGGUUAACAUAUCGGUUCGGGUUAAUUCGGGUUAGUUCGGGUUAAUCAAUCAAUUAAUUAACAAUCUCUAAUUUAAUUAUUAAUAACAGCAACAAACCCACUACAAUUUAAUUAAUAACAGUCUCAAAUUGUUUAAUUAUCAGUAAACCCACUCCAAUUUAACUAAUAACAAUCUCCAUUUGUUCAAUUAUCAGUCAACAACAACAAACACACUCCAAAUAAUUGAAUAAUUGCCAAUCAAUUAAUUAAAAAUAUACAAUUUAAUUAUUAGUCAAUGAAGCUCAAUUAAAACUACGUUACAACAUUGAGUUAGUAAUAAGAAAUUCGAAAUUCGAUUCGGGUUGUUGCCAUCAGCUGCGAGCAAGUCAGCAAGUUACAGGCUUACAGCGUCGGCAAAGCGAGACAAACCUUGAUCUCGGAGCAGCUACAGCGUCGGCAGAUCGAGACCGUGCUGGGCUGAGUGGAACGCGAGGUGAACGCACGGCACAGUUGCGGGCGAGGCGUGCUGGCUGACGGCGAGUGGACUGCGGUGAACGGCUGGUGUCUGUUGGAGCUGGACGGGGCUGCUGGCUGCUACUGUCGUCAUGGGCCACGAAACUCAGAAGAGGGAGCAAUGAGGGAGGGGGAGGGAGAGACAGUGAGACCGAGAGUUUAGCUAAUUAGCUGCUUAGGGAUUUUUUUCGCUUAACGUAUGGACUUGACUAGCUUACAGAAUCUGGAAGCUACAGAUUGCAGCAUCAGCCGUUGGAUGUGGAGUGAGAAACUAAACAAUAGAAAUCGAAUGGUGGGAUGACGGGAGAUGUUUGUAUGUAUAUAUAUUUUUAAUUUUUAAAAGCUGAAUCUUAAAAAAAAAAAAAAACUUCAACCCAAAUGGGUUGAAGCUUUGAAUCCGUUCAAGUUUCACCGAUUAACCCAAACUGAACCGAACCCGAACCCGAACGCCCACCCCUAAUUCUAAGUACAACCCUCACUUUAAUGUCAUAAAUGACCUUAUCCUCUUUCUUUCUAGUAAACACCAAAAAUAAAAUAAAAAUAAAAAUAAAAAUAUGGCAAGAGGAUUAAUACUAGAAUUGUUAAAAGAUCAAAUCCUGCGCGCUUCAGCCAGAAGAUAGAAACCAAUAUAUAAAUUCUCAAUUGGUCAUAGGCAAUAGAAGAGAAGAAGCCACUUUAACAUGGCAUGUCGGCUAGAAGCAAACAGAAUAACAAAUGAUUCUCAUUUACAAAAAUUAGAAGUCCAAAUGUGAUUAAAAGAUGAAAAUGUUUUGAAUCUCUGAGUUUUUUUUUUUUUUUUUUCCUUUGGAAAACAUAACCAUCAAGAUUUGUUUUGAUUAUGAAUAUUGGGGUGUACUGAGUUAUUUUUACGAUGAAAUCUGAGGUUAAAAAAGUAAACACUUAGUAUGGGUGUUUUAUAAGAAACUUAUAAGGGAUGCCAAUAACUCAGCUCAAUGAAAAUUUUGAAACAGAUGGCCUUCUACCAGAGAUGAUGAUGUGCUGACGGUCGUAGACUCGUAGUAGGCUAGGAGCCCAAUUUAGCCCAUUGAAAAUAUUAAUAUCUAUUACAUUUACUUGUGAAAACAAAAUUAAAAAGAUAUUAAUUUCUCUGAAAAAACACGUUGAGGGGCAAAAUGGGAAUGAAUGAAUUUACCUUAAUGACCCUAGACGGUUCUGGAGGAGCUACAUUGCAAACCCAAAAAACAACCCUUUACUAUUCUUGCCUAUUUCAGUAAAUUUAAAUCCAGAGCCAGAUAGGGUUUUACCGAAGUAGUUAUAUAUAAGCGCGCUUAGCUUUACCAAAACCAUUAUUUGCUUCGCCUGCCUCCAAUUGGCUACGGCUUCUCUUUCUCAGCUUCACUUUGCAUCACCUGUAUUUCUCUCAUCAACAGGCUGAAUAGAUAGCCACCGCUCCUUUAACAAAACCCUCUCUCGCUUCAGUUACAACUCUUUGGUAAUCAGAUUUGCACUUUGAUUCUAUAUAUUCACACACACGCGCGCACUUUUCAUCUAUCGUUUAAUGUUACGGCAUCGAACACUUAAUAAACUUUGUUUGAUGAUGAUCCAGCGUCUGUGAAUGGAAUUAAGACACGGUGCUUAGUGGAUGAAUGAAGUAUUCAUUCACAGAUCUCUAUCUGCUUGGAUUGGCCAAAGGAUCAGGUACCAGCGUGAAACAUUUCUCUGUUUUGGUAUUACGAGCACUCCUAGUCCUUUUUGUGUGUGGAGUAAAAGUUAAAUAUAUUUCUUUUGGUUUGGUUUGAGCUGCAUUAUGAUGGCCAUUGGCUGCUGAAUGUAUUUGUGUGAAUGUGUUUUGUGCUUUGAUUAACCGUGAGCAUUGUGUGGUGGCUCCAUAUCUGAGUCAACAGCAGGGGCAUAGUCGUUGCCAUCUGACUGCCGCUUGGAGCCAAUAUAAAUUUACCAGAAGAAGAUCCUUGAAACUCAUUGUUGUUUUAAGACACAAUACCUGGUUACAUUUCACUUAGUUUCCAGUCUGCCGGAUUUUUUUUUUUUUGUGCGCGUAGAAAAUAAGGUAGAAAUAAUAGAUCUGAAGAGUAGGAUAAAUAUUGAACGGGCACUCAGUCAGACACGGGUGAUUGUUUCUCAAUGUAAAACAAGCCACCUUUUGCAUGGUGCCUAAAGUAUGCUACUAAACACGAUUGGAGGGAACUGCCUUAUAUGGUUUCCUUCAAAUUUAAAGGAGCUAAAUUAUUUACUAUUUAUGACUCUUCAUGCUAAUUAUCUUGAGCUAAUAUGUGCUCGUGUAUUACUUUAUAGAGGAUUUUGGACAUUCCAAUUUAUAUACAUGCUGAAUGUUGAAUUGAAGUUAGCUUAGGACUUGUAAUGCUUUUUAAAUCUUCAGAUUGAUCAUUUCAGUUUAGAGGAUCUACAAUGUUAGAUGAUGAAGAAAUUGUAGUGUUUUUUUUUCUUUUUUUCUUUUAAUGAGUAUGCGUUUGCUGGUAAAGUAAUAUCUUUACCCUCAAUGACUCUUCCCACUAGUCGUCUUCAACUAAAAUAUGUAUAAACUUGUGUACUACCUUGUUGAAGAUUUGGUUUUUUUCAGAGUAAUGAUAUUGACUCAUCAUUAAAUCACUUCUUAGGCUAAUUUUUUUCCCCUCAUUCUGAGCAAGUCUUUCAACAUAUAUUAGCAAAAUUCAUCAUUUAUUUAUCAAAUUUUCAAUUAACAUCAAGUUAGGUUGGAGCUCAAUAUGUCAAUUUUCCAAGUAGCUAUUGGAGAUCAAAGAUUUAAAACAGUUUUUGUGACAAGUUUUUGAAACAAAGUCCUGGGAAUAACCAUUCUCCCUAUUUGUAGUUUGGGUUUUUUCUUGGAGCUGAAGGCUACCUAGUUUUGUGAAAGAAUGUGUGAUGCUUGAUUGUUUCACCAGAUUUGUGCCAAUUUUGUGACACCGUAAAUUACAGUCUCUAUUUUGGAUGAGCAGUAAUAUUGGAAAAAUUAGGGAAGCUUUCAUCUAGAGGCAAUAUUAUCUUCACAAAUUAGACAACAAUUUUUUUUUUCUUAUAUUUCUUAAAUCUGGUGUGAUUCAAACUUUCAAAAAGUUUUACCUAUUCUCUGUAGAGUUGGGUGAAGAAAAAUGUAAGUUAGUAUUCUGGGUUAAAUAAUAAUUUUAUUGUGUUGUAAAAUUAGUUGUUAACCAUAUCUUAAUUUACAUCAAAUCCAAGUUGUUAUUUUGUUCAACAUAUGAAUUUGUCAACUAACAGACGUUGAUUUUAUUUUUCAAAAUUGCUUUUGCAUAUUUUUCCUAUGUAACUUUGUUACCAACUAAGGUUAAUAAGAGGACAACAAUCAUCUUGAUCUUAGUAUUACUAUUAUGUGAUGGCUGCUUAAGCAGUAGAUUAUCUAGGCUAGAAGUCUGUUAAAAGGAAAUUGAACCGUGAUCUUCUAAUGGCAAAUGUUCUAACACAUGAUAUGAGGAGCUGUUUGCGCUUGAUAGAAGACUGUUGAAAGGAAAUUGAACCGUGAUCGAUCAUUCACCCCAAAGAAACCCUACCAACUCUUCAGCCUUGCUGCCUGUAAGCACAUAUAAUAAAAAAGCAAGUAUUUACCAGCACAGAUAAGCACAUUAUAGGCAGCAAGGCUGUCUCAUCAAUUCAAAGAAAUAAGGCAAAUAAAAUAUUCACCUUAAUAACUCGAUGGACAAUUGAAAUUUCCCGGCCCUGGAAGAUUUGUUACAAACCCUGGUAUAAAUACUUUAAUGUCUUUUGAAUUUUAAUUAGAUAUGGCAAAAUAACCGAGAUCCGGACCAGAACCGGAUUAACCCAGAUGAUCUGGGCUGGCUACAACGCGGUCCGUAUGUAAAAUAAUGCCAACGACAACAAUUUUUUCAACCAGGGCAUAUCCGGCUUCGCUUGAACUCAGUAUCCGGACCUGGACCCUGAUACCUUUUUUUAAAAAUUUAUUGAAAGAUUAAUUUUAAGUAUUAAAAAAGAAAAAGCCCCAAAGGCCGAAACGUACUGCAGCUUCCUUUUCUCCUCUUCCACCACCUUCAAUCUUCCUCCCACAAAGCCCAAAUCCAUCAUUGGCAAUUUGUCAUCAUUAUCCUCAAGCAUUAUCAUCAACAGUUCAGCAUCAUCAUCAAUCAGUCGCGUCGCCGUUCGUGAUUCGCUGUCGUCUUUAUAGCAUCGCCAUUAAUCUUUAUUAAAUCAUCAGCAUACAUGCUUCUUGGGAAUUAGCAGUGCUUUAAAGACGAUAUUAACAUCGCGGGUCAGCUUUUAUCACUAAAAAUGAUUCAUUUGUCUUCAAGUUGUCUCGGUUGUUAAGAUUUUAUAAUCCUUAUUCAUUGGUGCUCGUGCAAUAUGUUCUAUUUUUGUAAAUUAGCAACUCGAAUUCUUUCUGGAAUUUUCGUUAACUUUAAAACAGGUUUUUUUUUUUUUUUAAUUCAGUUGUCCGGGUUGUAAACUCGGAUUCCGGGAACCGGGUUUAAGCAGGACCGGACCCGGAGUUAAAAAGAUACGACAGUGCAAAUGCUUUUGAUAUAAUGGACCUCGUUUCUAAGUUAUUGUGAUCUUUGAUGACUAUUUGAAAUUGUUUGUUAUGCUGUGUUGUGUCUCAGAAUUUAUGAUAUGAAAAAAUUGGAUUGUUCAAUAUAAGUAGCCAUGUGAGUUGUUUCUUUGUCAUUGUUAUAGUCUUGGGUAACAAAACGUAAGCAGAUGUAACCUCUGAGACAAGUGAAGUUGUUUAUAUGCUAAUCUAAAUAAACUUUCUUGACUUGCAUGACAUCUUGUUUCAAAUGUAAUGAUUUUCUUUCUUAGUGAUUGAUUGAUUUCCUAGAAAAUCCUAGUAUAAAUGCUUUUAAUGUAUUUUGAAUUUUAAUUAUCAUGUUCUUUGAACAGGAAUGAGUAAGAGGAAGCGGCCAGACUCGAAUGCGCCUUCUGACUCGCUUACUGAUCAUGAGCGCCUCAUCUAUGAUGUAAUCAGGAGCAACAAACAAGAUAUGGGUAUAUGGACACGAGAUAUGAAACGUGAAUUAAAAGUUAACCUCCCUGAUAAUAUUGUUACUAAAUCUAUCAAGUCACUCCAAAACAAGAGCUUGAUCAAGGAGGUAGUUAAUAUCCACAACAAGGGCAAAAAACACUUAAUGGCAGUGGAGUUUGAGCCCUCAAAGGAAAUCUCUGGUGGCGCGUGGUACUCUGAGGGAAGCCUAGAUACAGAAUUCAUAAAAGUUGUGAAAUCUCAAUGCCUAAAGCAAAUAAUUAAGUUGAAGGUUGCUACUUUGGAGGGCAUUUCAGAUUCCAUCAAAAGGAGUGGAGCUUUCAAAGUUGACUUGACGAAACAGCAGAUUGAAGAGAUUGUGAGGGCUGUGGUUUUGGAUAAUCAGAUUAUGGAAGUGAAGAGCAAUGGAUCGGGGGAAUUCACUAACAUUCCAGUCGGAAAAGUUUGUUAUAAAAACGUGAGCAAGGGGGGUGGCGGAGGGGAACCAAAGACAGGAAGCUCGGCUUCUGUUCCAUGCGGAGUUUGUCCCCAGAUAAAUUUUUGCACGCCGGAUGGCGUAAUCUCCCCGAAAACCUGUGUCUAUUACACUAAGUGGUUGGAUUUUUAAGUUUUUUGUUUUUGCAUUGAGCUAUAAAAUUUUGGAAAUAGUGUAGCAGGGAUUAAGUGUCAAACAAUUUUGCUUAUCAAUGUUAUAUCCACCGAGUGUUUGAACUUUUACGAUCGCUUGUUUUUUUUAUUUUCAUGUCUAUGUUUCUGUUGUUAAUUGCUUACCUCUUUGCAAAGUUUCUUUAUGCUAAAUCGUAGUCUUGUGUGCAUUAUUUGGUUCUAUAAGUUUGUUUUAAAUAUAUGCGCACAAAUAGUGAAAUUUUAUAAGGUGUUUUGCACUGAAAAUUAAAUUCAAUAAUAGCAAUGGAAAUUUGAGUAAAGUGUAGUAGCAAUUUUUAUCUAUUAGGCAUUAAGAAAUACCAUACUUUCUAAAUUGUAUUUUAACUUUUUCAAAAAAUAAUACAUAUUAUACAAAUAAACUCAUAUACAAUUAAUAUAACAGCAUUGUAUUAUUGUCGACAUUAUUUAUUUUCUUUGCGUUUGUGAAUCAUAAUCGGAACAUGUAGAUUCAAUUAUUUAAUUAUUUAAUUUCUUUAAAAGUAAUAUACAAUUUUAAUUUCAUAAGCUAUUUGUUGCAUAUUUUUAACACAAUUUUUGAAAACUUAUAUCCAUGAAGCCCAAUCCAAACUUUUAUACGAAAAACAAAUUGCCAGUUGCAGUAUGCAAGAUUGUUUGCAAUUUGCGGUAAACUCAUUGUAUCUAGAGGAUUCCUUUAUUUUGUUUACUUCGGUAGGGAAGCGUUUCGCCUUUGGGAAAAGCAACCGCGCAAGCGGUGGUGGACGAAGCGGAAGCGAGAAUGUAUUUAUUUUUCUUCAAUAUUUCAAUAAACACAUAUUUAAAACUAAAUAAGUUUGGAGAAAAUAUAAAUACUACUAUACUCUAAUACAAAAAUAAAAAAUAAAAAACGCAAUGGGAUUAUAGAAAGAAAUCGUAAUAAAAUCAUUUCUUUAUUCUAUAAAUGCAUGAUACAUGUUAAGCAAUUAACACGCCAUAUUUGUGUGUCAAAGAUUGAAACUCUCAUACAUUUAAUGUUUAGUACUAUAAAAUUUAUAAAAUAAAGUUAAAUCAAGAUUUUCAUAACAAAAAAUUGUCAAUUUUCGAUCAAACUCAAAACUAGUUCAUAAUAAUCAAGAGAAAUUUUUUUGUGUAGUUUAGUUUGUUUCAACAAAUAUUAUUCUUGAUGCAGGAAAAUGAAAAACUAAAAUGCUAAAUGAGUAAUGUAGUGGGAUUAGACACCAACUUAGCUUAAUUUAAUGUUAAUUACGUUUAGUAUAUGUGCCUUUAAGAUAUUGCAUACUUUCCUCUUUUUUUUUUUUAUAUGUUGAUAUAUUACAAUUAGAACUCCACUGAUAUUUAUAAUAAAAAAUCAAUUAAAACUCUUUUUGAUAAUUCUACUAUAACAUAGUUCGAAUUCAUACUCUCACAUUAUCUCAUAGCCUACAUGGGUUUGAGUCUCACUAAUGAUUGUGAGUCAAUUUUCCUCUUAAUAAAUUUAGGUAGAGAUAUAAUUGUCUCUCUAUGAUAUGGGGUAAAAAGCAGCCCAAUAAUUCUAGCGUCACCCCUCCUUGUUCAUCACACCCCAUUAAUACUAAUGUUGUAAAACUGAAGCAAUAAUCAAGACUUCUUCAUUCAAUAUACUUCUUCAAAUAUAAUGUGUGCAGCAAACCACACGUCUCAAUAUUUGAUGUGUAAUUCAUCUUUUGAAGAAUUACAAAAAUAACCCAAACUUGAAUACCGUAAAAGGUCGGUUGUGUCUGUCAAAAGGGAACAGCCCAACAUGUACAGACUACAGAGGAAAAAGAAAGCAAUUACAGAAAGAAAAUAACCCAAAUUAUUUUCACAGUUGUAAUGACACGGUAACCAAAUUACUAAUUCAAAGCAUGUUUUUCACUUGUAAUGCUUUAACCUUCUCAGCAAAAUAAGCGCCCCUGGUGGACAGGGAGCUUCUAAACACGUGCCGCCUUUAAACAUCGUGAGUGUUUUUUUUCACCUCAUAUGCUUCUCUGCAGUUGCUUGGUUUAUCUGGAUGAAUGUUCAGUUCUUGUUUUGAUAAAAUGAAUUGAGUCUUCUUGUAAUGGUAAUGUGUUGUGUUACUAAUAUUAUUCUCCUUUGUGUGAAUAAGGGAUUUCAUUGAGUGAAUCUGUUUGUCCUGCUCAUAAUCCUUCCUGUUAUUACACAAUAUUCUAUCACUCAAAACUGCUCACAUGUAGAGGCUCUAGGUAUAUAGUUUUAGUUUAUAUUAUUUUGUCAAGUAUUUAUUAAGUUGAAUUGCUAAAACAUAUUUUUAUUUUUUAUUUAUUUUUUGUUUAUGUUGUUAUAGGCUUAUGAAGAAUCUUAAAACAUGCAUCAAUGGUGAUGGCUACAAGUUUAUGUUGAAAACUUAAAAUUAUUUUGAUUUGUCAUAUAAAAUUUGAUCAUUUGUAAUUAUGUUGAAGGUUUAGAAUUAUUAUGUUUUUAUUUAUGGAGGUUGUUAAAAUUUGAUCACUUGUAAUUUUAUUUUUAAUAUGAAAUUUGAUCAUUUGUAAUUUUAUUUUUAAAUAUCGAGGUUGUUAGAAUUAUUAAUUUUUUUUUUUAAAGAGAACCGAAAAUUUAGAAAUUAUUAUUUGAAAAAAUGGAGAUCGGGUCUCCGCUUUAAUCACCACUCAAUUUAAAGAUUUUCGGGGACAUACCCAAACUAUCUCCUACUACAAUUUUUUGGGUGCGGGGCGGGUUCGGGGGAUAGCUUCCAAAUCGGGUUCAAUCUAUAUAGGCUUAAGCUUCUCCAUUCAUUGCAAUGAUGUGAAAUGAGCCGUGGCAUCUUCUCAUUUGAUUUUUUAUGUCCUGUACUCCUGACAUACACAUGUAUAGGUUACUUAUGAACGGUCACAUGCAAGUCUUCCAUAUGGUCCAAUUGCAACUUGAAAUUAUCUUUUAGGGCAUAUGUCGUGUUGGGAGUUAUUAUGCAUCAAGUAGCAACACUACCUCGUCCUUGUGAUUAUAAGAUACCUAUUACAACAUGCUAAAAUACAAAAUAUAUAUCAAUCGGUCACUUUUUCAUAGAGAGUUAAAUACGAAAUGCAUAUCAAUCACUUGUUUUCAUAAAAGAGUCGUUACAAUAUGCUAAAAUACAAAAUGUAUAUUAAUCAGUCACUUGAUUUCAUAGAGUUAAUGUUGUCAAAGAUCAUGUCCAAAAUUGAAACUGAAAAAAGUUCGAUUCAUAUAAUUAAAAAAGAAAAAGAAAAAGGGUCUUGCUAUCUUAGUAUUUAUGUACGUUACUGUCCAUGAUGUGACAAAAGAUUUGUUAACAGCAUGGCAUGUGUAAAAAUUUACUGAUUUAAUAAUUGCCUCUUCCGGUUCCAAUCUGGUAAUAAAAUUAUUUUCACCUGUUAUAGCCAGUUGCAGAUAACUCACUGAAAUUGUGGUGUUUUUGCCAUUUGGAUUUCUUUUCUUUUAUUCUAUAUACAAUAAAUGACACAUAAUAAUUGAAAUUUAAAUAUUAAGAUUUUUAAUUCUAUUAUUAGAUAUUAUCAUUUACAAUAAUUAAAUUAAUUUUAAAAGUCAACAUUUAUUUUACACACUCAAGUAAAUGCUAAAAUAACCUUUAUUUAGUUUUUUUCUUUUUCUUUUUAAGGCCGUAGAAUGUACUCAUCACAAAGACAUAUUAAAUUUAAUUUGGAAGUAUUUAAAAUUUAAUGAUUACAAUUUUAAGUUGAUUGUCCUAGACUUCAUAUUAGCAUUAAUUUCAUGCUUAAUGGUAGAAUUAUCAGGUUCAAUGACAAUGAUUUCAUGUAAUGCUCUAUUUCAUAAUCACAAUUUUGAGUUAAUGAUCAUAGAUUUCAUGUUAGCAUUAGUUUUAUGAAUUUUUUAGGUUAAAUACUAAUGGUGUCACGCAAUACUCAAUGAUUCCAGGUUUAAUGAUUUACAAUUUUAAGUUAAUGGUCAUAAUUUAAUGGUAAUGAUUAUGACUUACUUUUAUUUCAAAUAAUUUGAUUCAUUUAAUGAUUCUCUUAAUUGAUAUAGUGAUUAUACAUAUUUCAAUGCAUAAUAGGUUAAAUUGUGUACAAAAGUUCAGUAAUCUUUAGAAAACUAUUAAUCUCAUCUCGUCUGGUUAUAGUUUAAUUAAUUAUAUCAUCACCAUUAUUACUAUAUUUUAAGCGAUAUAAAUAUUUUCUUUUCAAGGAUUGUUCCAUUGAUUAAGAAGAGUUCAUCUAUAAGGACAUAUACUGCUGGUAUGAGUUUGAGAAACAAACAUACGUGUUAAGAAAUCUCAAAGCUCUUGAGAAGAGACAAAGUGAAUCACAGAGGAGAGCAAAUUUUCUUGAAUUGAAAACAUCAUCCAGCUUAGAAUAAGCUAAUCUGUUCUUAUCCAGGCUGAAAUCUCAAAGCUCUUGAGAAGAGACAAAGUGAAUCACAGAGGAGAGCAAAUUUUCUUGAAUUGAAAACAUCAUCCAGCUUAGAAUAAGCUGAUCUGUUCUUAUCCAGGCUGAAAAAGCAGGAUUCUCAAUUCUUGAUGCAGAUCUAGUACUAGAGGAGCUAGCAGCACUUUCAUCUUGAACAAGAUACUGAUCUGCACACUUAUUUUCUCCAGUGAUGAAUCCCUCUAGGCCAUUGUCUUUAAUCGAAGUUAACACUUGAGUUCUCCAUCUGAUAAAGUAUUGUACUAAAGUUGCAGGUGAAUUCUAAUUUUAAUUUCUUCCAAUAUUUUAAAAAUAAUUAACUUUUUUUUAUUACUAAACUUAAACAUAAGUAUAUAACAGACAAUGAGGCAAUUAACGUGUAACUUAUAUGGAACUGUUUCAUGCAUGUUAAAUGUUUUAGGGACAUAUGAAAUUCUUUCAGUUCAUGAUGUCUUUUUAAAAUAUAAAAAAGAUAUUUCGCGAGAAGUAAAACUUUUCACAAAUUUUGUGCAUGAUAAGAUGAACAUAUGUAAUGUUUGGCUAAAUCAUCGAAUUCAUUCAAUGCAAUACUAGAUAGAUAAAUACUUAAAUGAUAUUUUUUAACUUUAAAUUCAUAUUACUGGAUUUAGUAUAUUCAAUGAAUAUAACUCAUGAUCUUAAGUAAAAGAUUUUAGAAACCCCACCCUAAACUAAUAUCUUAUUCUCAAACUGCAAUUAUUUUAAUGACAAGAAAUUAACUAGAAAGAGAAAGAAGGAAAAAAAAAAACAUUUCCAAUGAUAACACUAUAUUGACCUAACAAUAUACUUGAAGAGAAAAAUUCAUAUAAGUCAGUCCUACCUCAGACUGCUGAGAUGAUAGAACGAGCUACUCAAGCUCUACCUUUUGGCAGAACAAGUGCAUCCUCCUAUAAGACCACUAUUUUUUAUUUUUAAAUUUUGGUGGAAGCCAUCGUGGGAUCAGUCCACUGGUCAGCCGAAUGACAGAGUAUGAGUAGCUGAUCCUACGUAAGUUUUUCUCGUACUCAACAUAUGAUACUUUGGUACAUACAUAUCCCAUAAACGGUUUAUCGUAAUUUGCAUUGUUAUUCUACUAAAUGAAAUCAAAUAUUUGUUACUUGCUAAAAUUGAAAAAACAAAAAAAAAAAAAGAUAAGAAAAGAAAAGAACCACUCCAAAAACCUAAAAUCAUCGGUUAAAACUCAGUGAUUUGAAUGAAAUAUAAAACACAGUGAUCUCGAAUGAAAUAUAGAAAAAGUUGCUUAGGUAUAGAUAACAAGUAAUAAUAAAUAAUACUAAAAUGCUUAAGAGUAAUUCAUGUGAAGUUAGAUACAAAGACUAAUCGUGUUAUUUGUUUAAGAGAAUACAGAAAGGGAAUAUUAAUCAAGGUAAUCAAACUCACCUUCCUUGAGACAAGCAGAAAACGAAAUUUAUUAUGUAGAAAAAAAGAAAUAAGAACCAUCUGAAAACAUAAAGAGGUAAGAACAAACUCAGUACUAGCACAUAUUGUUCAUUACCAGAGCUUAUAUUAACCAAAACUGCAAUAAGCCAUGUUUCUGCAGAAAAACUAUUCUGUUGUCAAUUUACUUAAUAGCAUACACAACACAAACCUAUUUGAUGCAUCACAAGAUUCAUGAGAGCAUCCGAACUGUAAACUAGCAGAUAAAAUCAACUAAAUAAAGAACAUUUCAUCCCCCUUGCUGCAUGAAAAGUUCUCCUUCAAAAAUUCAAUUCGUUAUAGGGAGGAUAUUUAAUGAUGGAACUAUACUUAAUUAGCACUUGCAGAUACAUUUAUACGUGUCAAAACUAGAUCAAAUUGCUCCUCAGCACUUUCAAGAACACAAAACUAAUUCAUUAUGGGAUAAAAUGAAUAGCACCUGUUUUCUUAGAUCAAAUUCAUUGUCUACAACUAGCAAAGCAAAAACCAUAAUCUACAAACUAGAGCAACAAAACCCAUAAUUAAAAUCAGCGAAUCAAAAUUGCAAAAUUCUAAAUGAUAAUUUACCAAUCUGCCAGCACAACUAAAAGCAACAAGAACAAUCAAAUGGACAAAGUGGUGUGUUUCCAGCAUCAGCGUUAUUGAUACACAACUCAUCUUCUGUGUAGAUAGUAAGUCCAUCCUCUGUUCGCUUUCUAGGCCGAGCAGGAGGUUCAGCAAACCCAUCCUCUGUAUCUCCCUUACUCCUCUUUUCUUUCUUUUUCUUGACCAAUUUUGGCUCCAUAGUUUCAUCUUUAUUCAACUUCUUGGUUUUUUUCCCCUCAGGCUUCUUCCUCUUUUUACCAGCAAAGAUUUCAUCAAUCUCGUUACCCAACUUUUUCAGCUUUGAAGAGGGAUUUUCAUCUUCUACGACUGGGUUUUCUGGCGUUUUUUCAGGUACCUUAACAGAACUACUCUUUUUCGGCAUUAAAUCAAACUUGAAGCUGCGAAGCCAUUAGUUUGUUGAUAAGCAAAUAUGUAAAAUAAAUACAUAAGAAAAUAGAAGAUGAAUAAUACAAACAGAAAUGGAGAGAACUUUCCACUUCCACAUCAGAAAAUGCGUAAAUUUCCAGCUUACAACAGAAAACAAUUUAAAUAUGAAAGAAAACCAACAAAACAAAUAAUUCAAGUACUUCAAAUUACCAACACAGCAGCAAGUAUGAAAGAAAAAUCAGACCCCUUAACUGCAAAAGUACCCACAGAGCUACUGACACAAUGCUCUAAAACAAUACAAAAUUUCCGUCCUAAAAGAAUCAGAUUUAAGUCUUCAUACUAUUGUCAUCACCAGUUUCAGAUCUUCAAAAUUUUCCAAUAAAUACUGACCAAGACUUAAACCUAAUGGCGCUUAUUACCUCAACUCCUCAAGCAACAGCGGGCGGCGGCGGCGGCAGCUGCGGCGGCGUGCGAAACAAGCAGCGAACAGGAACAGCAGCGGCGUCGAUUCACGCGCGGCAGUAGAAAAUAGUAGAAAACAGAAGAAGCUGCUGCGACGGAGUCGAUUAGGAAUUUGACUCGCGCGCGUUACAGUGGUUGAUGCAGCGUCGCGCGGCUGUGCUGUGGGUGGCUGGUUCGCUGGACGCUUCACGCUCGCGGUUCUGGACUCUCGCGGCUCGCUGUCGGCCGCUCUUGCCUGCCGGCGGCGUGAACAGUGAGAAAUGAGGGAUUUAGUUCAGGGAUUGAUUUUGGUUUCGCGUUCAAUAACGAUUUGAAUCCGUUUUGUUUUUUCUUUUAAUUUUUCAGUUUUUUUAAUUUGAAUUUUAUAAUAUAUAAUAAAGUUUUGGAUUAAUAUAUAUAUAUAUAUAUGUGUGUGUGUAUGUAUAUUCAUUAUAAAGUCCAGGCUUAAGUCCGAACUUUUAAGUAAAGUCUUUAACUAGGGUGACAUUUGUUUUUUUGUUUAAAAUAUGAAUAAAUUUGAAUUAGUAUGAAUUCUGAAUAAAUCUGAAUGUCUGAAUCUAAAUAAUAUGUUUAUUUUUUUUUCUGACUUAAAAAAUUAAAAAUAUAUACUUUGGGCAAAUUGGGGUCUUGGAUGGGUGAACUCGGAUUCCAGUGGGAAUGAUUUGGAGGUGUUUUUGUUGGGACAAUCUUUGGCAUAGUGGCCUUUUCUCUUGCAGAUGAAACAUCUGCUUGAUUGCUUUCGUUUGAAUUCUCUGGAGAAAAAUGUUUUAAAGGUUUUUGAUUACAGAGGUAUAUCGGCUGGAAACCCGAGCUUGCGGACUACUGGUCCAAAGAACAGUUUUAACUGUUGUAGUUCUGGUAUAACAACGCCACGUACUUCACCAUAACUGGUAAGAUUUCUUUGAACACGCUAUGGUAGUGCUUCUGUGUGUCAGAAAAAUGUCCACUAGCNNNNNNNNNNNNNNNNNNNNNNNNNNNNNNNNNNNNNNNNNNNNNNNNNNNNNNNNNNNNNNNNNNNNNNNNNNNNNNNNNNNNNNNNNNNNNNNNNNNNNNNNNNNNNNNNNNNNNNNNNNNNNNNNNNNNNNNNNNNNNNNNNNNNNNNNNNNNNNNNNNNNNNNNNNNNNNNNNNNNNNNNNNNNNNNNNNNNNNNNNNNNNNNNNNNNNNNNNNNNNNNNNNNNNNNNNNNNNNNNNNNNNNNNNNNNNNNNNNNNNNNNNNNNNNNNNNNNNNNNNNNNNNNNNNNNNNNNNNNNNNNNNNNNNNNNNNNNNNNNNNNNNNNNNNNNNNNNNNNNNNNNNNNNNNNNNNNNNNNNNNNNNNNNNNNNNNNNNNNNNNNNNNNNNNNNNNNNNNNNNNNNNNNNNNNNNNNNNNNNNNNNNNNNNNNNNNNNNNNNNNNNNNNNNNNNNNNNNNNNNNNNNNNNNNNNNNNNNNNNNNNNNNNNNNNNNNNNNNNNNNNNNNNNNNNNNNNNNNNNNNNNNNNNNNNNNNNNNNNNNNNNNNNNNNNNNNNNNNNNNNNNNNNNNNNNNNNNNNNNNNNNNNNNNNNNNNNNNNNNNNNNNNNNNNNNNNNNNNNNNNNNNNNNNNNNNNNNNNNNNNNNNNNNNNNNNNNNNNNNNNNNNNNNNNNNNNNNNNNNNNNNNNNNNNNNNNNNNNNNNNNNNNNNNNNNNNNNNNNNNNNNNNNNNNNNNNNNNNNNNNNNNNNNNNNNNNNNNNNNNNNNNNNNNNNNNNNNNNNNNNNNNNNNNNNNNNNNNNNNNNNNNNNNNNNNNNNNNNNNNNNNNNNNNNNNNNNNNNNNNNNNNNNNNNNNNNNNNNNNNNNNNNNNNNNNNNNNNNNNNNNNNNNNNNNNNNNNNNNNNNNNNNNNNNNNNNNNNNNNNNNNNNNNNNNNNNNNNNNNNNNNNNNNNNNNNNNNNNNNNNNNNNNNNNNNNNNNNNNNNNNNNNNNNNNNNNNNNNNNNNNNNNNNNNNNNNNNNNNNNNNNNNNNNNNNNNNNNNNNNNNNNNNNNNNNNNNNNNNNNNNNNNNNNNNNNNNNNNNNNNNNNNNNNNNNNNNNNNNNNNNNNNNNNNNNNNNNNNNNNNNNNNNNNNNNNNNNNNNNNNNNNNNNNNNNNNNNNNNNNNNNNNNNNNNNNNNNNNNNNNNNNNNNNNNNNNNNNNNNNNNNNNNNNNNNNNNNNNNNNNNNNNNNNNNNNNNNNNNNNNNNNNNNNNNNNNNNNNNNNNNNNNNNNNNNNNNNNNNNNNNNNNNNNNNNNNNNNNNNNNNNNNNNNNNNNNNNNNNNNNNNNNNNNNNNNNNNNNNNNNNNNNNNNNNNNNNNNNNNNNNNNNNNNNNNNNNNNNNNNNNNNNNNNNNNNNNNNNNNNNNNNNNNNNNNNNNNNNNNNNNNNNNNNNNNNNNNNNNNNNNNNNNNNNNNNNNNNNNNNNNNNNNNNNNNNNNNNNNNNNNNNNNNNNNNNNNNNNNNNNNNNNNNNNNNNNNNNNNNNNNNNNNNNNNNNNNNNNNNNNNNNNNNNNNNNNNNNNNNNNNNNNNNNNNNNNNNNNNNNNNNNNNNNNNNNNNNNNNNNNNNNNNNNNNNNNNNNNNNNNNNNNNNNNNNNNNNNNNNNNNNNNNNNNNNNNNNNNNNNNNNNNNNNNNNNNNNNNNNNNNNNNNNNNNNNNNNNNNNNNNNNNNNNNNNNNNNNNNNNNNNNNNNNNNNNNNNNNNNNNNNNNNNNNNNNNNNNNNNNNNNNNNNNNNNNNNNNNNNNNNNNNNNNNNNNNNNNNNNNNNNNNNNNNNNNNNNNNNNNNNNNNNNNNNNNNNNNNNNNNNNNNNNNNNNNNNNNNNNNNNNNNNNNNNNNNNNNNNNNNNNNNNNNNNNNNNNNNNNNNNNNNNNNNNNNNNNNNNNNNNNNNNNNNNNNNNNNNNNNNNNNNNNNNNNNNNNNNNNNNNNNNNNNNNNNNNNNNNNNNNNNNNNNNNNNNNNNNNNNNNNNNNNNNNNNNNNNNNNNNNNNNNNNNNNNNNNNNNNNNNNNNNNNNNNNNNNNNNNNNNNNNNNNNNNNNNNNNNNNNNNNNNNNNNNNNNNNNNNNNNNNNNNNNNNNNNNNNNNNNNNNNNNNNNNNNNNNNNNNNNNNNNNNNNNNNNNNNNNNNNNNNNNNNNNNNNNNNNNNNNNNNNNNNNNNNNNNNNNNNNNNNNNNNNNNNNNNNNNNNNNNNNNNNNNNNNNNNNNNNNNNNNNNNNNNNNNNNNNNNNNNNNNNNNNNNNNNNNNNNNNNNNNNNNNNNNNNNNNNNNNNNNNNNNNNNNNNNNNNNNNNNNNNNNNNNNNNNNNNNNNNNNNNNNNNNNNNNNNNNNNNNNNNNNNNNNNNNNNNNNNNNNNNNNNNNNNNNNNNNNNNNNNNNNNNNNNNNNNNNNNNNNNNNNNNNNNNNNNNNNNNNNNNNNNNNNNNNNNNNNNNNNNNNNNNNNNNNNNNNNNNNNNNNNNNNNNNNNNNNNNNNNNNNNNNNNNNNNNNNNNNNNNNNNNNNNNNNNNNNNNNNNNNNNNNNNNNNNNNNNNNNNNNNNNNNNNNNNNNNNNNNNNNNNNNNNNNNNNNNNNNNNNNNNNNNNNNNNNNNNNNNNNNNNNNNNNNNNNNNNNNNNNNNNNNNNNNNNNNNNNNNNNNNNNNNNNNNNNNNNNNNNNNNNNNNNNNNNNNNNNNNNNNNNNNNNNNNNNNNNNNNNNNNNNNNNNNNNNNNNNNNNNNNNNNNNNNNNNNNNNNNNNNNNNNNNNNNNNNNNNNNNNNNNNNNNNNNNNNNNNNNNNNNNNNNNNNNNNNNNNNNNNNNNNNNNNNNNNNNNNNNNNNNNNNNNNNNNNNNNNNNNNNNNNNNNNNNNNNNNNNNNNNNNNNNNNNNNNNNNNNNNNNNNNNNNNNNNNNNNNNNNNNNNNNNNNNNNNNNNNNNNNNNNNNNNNNNNNNNNNNNNNNNNNNNNNNNNNNNNNNNNNNNNNNNNNNNNNNNNNNNNNNNNNNNNNNNNNNNNNNNNNNNNNNNNNNNNNNNNNNNNNNNNNNNNNNNNNNNNNNNNNNNNNNNNNNNNNNNNNNNNNNNNNNNNNNNNNNNNNNNNNNNNNNNNNNNNNNNNNNNNNNNNNNNNNNNNNNNNNNNNNNNNNNNNNNNNNNNNNNNNNNNNNNNNNNNNNNNNNNNNNNNNNNNNNNNNNNNNNNNNNNNNNNNNNNNNNNNNNNNNNNNNNNNNNNNNNNNNNNNNNNNNNNNNNNNNNNNNNNNNNNNNNNNNNNNNNNNNNNNNNNNNNNNNNNNNNNNNNNNNNNNNNNNNNNNNNNNNNNNNNNNNNNNNNNNNNNNNNNNNNNNNNNNNNNNNNNNNNNNNNNNNNNNNNNNNNNNNNNNNNNNNNNNNNNNNNNNNNNNNNNNNNNNNNNNNNNNNNNNNNNNNNNNNNNNNNNNNNNNNNNNNNNNNNNNNNNNNNNNNNNNNNNNNNNNNNNNNNNNNNNNNNNNNNNNNNNNNNNNNNNNNNNNNNNNNNNNNNNNNNNNNNNNNNNNNNNNNNNNNNNNNNNNNNNNNNNNNNNNNNNNNNNNNNNNNNNNNNNNNNNNNNNNNNNNNNNNNNNNNNNNNNNNNNNNNNNNNNNNNNNNNNNNNNNNNNNNNNNNNNNNNNNNNNNNNNNNNNNNNNNNNNNNNNNNNNNNNNNNNNNNNNNNNNNNNNNNNNNNNNNNNNNNNNNNNNNNNNNNNNNNNNNNNNNNNNNNNNNNNNNNNNNNNNNNNNNNNNNNNNNNNNNNNNNNNNNNNNNNNNNNNNNNNNNNNNNNNNNNNNNNNNNNNNNNNNNNNNNNNNNNNNNNNNNNNNNNNNNNNNNNNNNNNNNNNNNNNNNNNNNNNNNNNNNNNNNNNNNNNNNNNNNNNNNNNNNNNNNNNNNNNNNNNNNNNNNNNNNNNNNNNNNNNNNNNNNNNNNNNNNNNNNNNNNNNNNNNNNNNNNNNNNNNNNNNNNNNNNNNNNNNNNNNNNNNNNNNNNNNNNNNNNNNNNNNNNNNNNNNNNNNNNNNNNNNNNNNNNNNNNNNNNNNNNNNNNNNNNNNNNNNNNNNNNNNNNNNNNNNNNNNNNNNNNNNNNNNNNNNNNNNNNNNNNNNNNNNNNNNNNNNNNNNNNNNNNNNNNNNNNNNNNNNNNNNNNNNNNNNNNNNNNNNNNNNNNNNNNNNNNNNNNNNNNNNNNNNNNNNNNNNNNNNNNNNNNNNNNNNNNNNNNNNNNNNNNNNNNNNNNNNNNNNNNNNNNNNNNNNNNNNNNNNNNNNNNNNNNNNNNNNNNNNNNNNNNNNNNNNNNNNNNNNNNNNNNNNNNNNNNNNNNNNNNNNNNNNNNNNNNNNNNNNNNNNNNNNNNNNNNNNNNNNNNNNNNNNNNNNNNNNNNNNNNNNNNNNNNNNNNNNNNNNNNNNNNNNNNNNNNNNNNNNNNNNNNNNNNNNNNNNNNNNNNNNNNNNNNNNNNNNNNNNNNNNNNNNNNNNNNNNNNNNNNNNNNNNNNNNNNNNNNNNNNNNNNNNNNNNNNNNNNNNNNNNNNNNNNNNNNNNNNNNNNNNNNNNNNNNNNNNNNNNNNNNNNNNNNNNNNNNNNNNNNNNNNNNNNNNNNNNNNNNNNNNNNNNNNNNNNNNNNNNNNNNNNNNNNNNNNNNNNNNNNNNNNNNNNNNNNNNNNNNNNNNNNNNNNNNNNNNNNNNNNNNNNNNNNNNNNNNNNNNNNNNNNNNNNNNNNNNNNNNNNNNNNNNNNNNNNNNNNNNNNNNNNNNNNNNNNNNNNNNNNNNNNNNNNNNNNNNNNNNNNNNNNNNNNNNNNNNNNNNNNNNNNNNNNNNNNNNNNNNNNNNNNNNNNNNNNNNNNNNNNNNNNNNNNNNNNNNNNNNNNNNNNNNNNNNNNNNNNNNNNNNNNNNNNNNNNNNNNNNNNNNNNNNNNNNNNNNNNNNNNNNNNNNNNNNNNNNNNNNNNNNNNNNNNNNNNNNNNNNNNNNNNNNNNNNNNNNNNNNNNNNNNNNNNNNNNNNNNNNNNNNNNNNNNNNNNNNNNNNNNNNNNNNNNNNNNNNNNNNNNNNNNNNNNNNNNNNNNNNNNNNNNNNNNNNNNNNNNNNNNNNNNNNNNNNNNNNNNNNNNNNNNNNNNNNNNNNNNNNNNNNNNNNNNNNNNNNNNNNNNNNNNNNNNNNNNNNNNNNNNNNNNNNNNNNNNNNNNNNNNNNNNNNNNNNNNNNNNNNNNNNNNNNNNNNNNNNNNNNNNNNNNNNNNNNNNNNNNNNNNNNNNNNNNNNNNNNNNNNNNNNNNNNNNNNNNNNNNNNNNNNNNNNNNNNNNNNNNNNNNNNNNNNNNNNNNNNNNNNNNNNNNNNNNNNNNNNNNNNNNNNNNNNNNNNNNNNNNNNNNNNNNNNNNNNNNNNNNNNNNNNNNNNNNNNNNNNNNNNNNNNNNNNNNNNNNNNNNNNNNNNNNNNNNNNNNNNNNNNNNNNNNNNNNNNNNNNNNNNNNNNNNNNNNNNNUUCCUGCUGUACCGUACAUCCGCCUUGGCCGUACAGCAGACAUUUUUUCGGGAACAGUUUUACCUUUGAAAUGAAAGAUAUUGGGGAAGGCUGAGCUGUCCAUUCGGAUGAGAAAAUGGUGUCCAAUCAGAUGAUACUCAAACUUUUUGAUGCCAUUCUUUACCGCUAAGAUUUCUUUGAACACGCUAUGGUAGUGCUUCUGUGUGUCAGAAAAAUGUCCACUAGCGUAAGCGAUAAAGUGUUCCUUGUCAUUGAGUUCUUCGAGGAGGAUGGCACCCCAUGAUUCAUCACUUGCGUCUGUCUGUAAUAUGCGCUUGCCAUCAGUAAUCAACUUUAAAGGAGGCGGAUUUUGCGCAAUCUGCUUGAGAGUAGUGACAGCACGUGUGUGGUCAGCAUUCCAUUCUGGGGGCUUCUUUUUCAAUAAAGCCGAGAGAUGAUGAGUGUGAUGGUCCACAUGUGGGAGGAAAUCACGGAUGUAAUUGAUAAUGCCGAGAAACUGUUGGAUUUGCCUUUUGGAAAGUUGCUGAUCUGGAAAGUGAAGCAAUUCUUGGGCAAUGUGCUUUCCUGGCUGGUAGUGUCCAUCUUUAAUGAUCAUACCAAGGAAUUCAAUAUUAUCUGUAGCAAUGGUGCUUUUCUUGGCCGAUAACAUGAUUCCAUGACUUUGGAUAAUAUCAUAGAAUUGGGACAAUAGGUUGCGAUGUUCUUCAUGCGAUCCUGAAAAAAGCAAAAUAUCGUCAAUGUAAAUCAAUGCAUGAUGCAAAAUGGGCUGGAAGAUUUGGACCAUGGAUUUUUGGAAAAUGGAGGGGGCAGUUUUGAGGCCAAAGGGUAGGACGGUCCAUUGGAAAUGGGCCUGCUGUACGGCCAAGGCGGAUGUACGGUACAGCAGAUGGUUCUCCCCCAUCCCAUGGUGGAGAAAGAAACUGCAACAACUGUCCGAAAUUUACAACCUUGACCGUAUGCCUGCCCCUGAAGCACAAAUGUUCACAUCAGUUUUUAUUAUUCACAGGCCAUACUUCCAACAUCCAGACACCCAUCUCUUUUGGACUCAAGAUCAGGUAUAUGAAUGGUUCACUGCACCACAUAUAGCUGUGAUUGAAAAUGACAUACAAGACGUCCUGCACAAUUACCUUUGCCAAUUAAACCACCAACCUCCGCCACUUAAAGAUAUCUCUCACACCUCCUUAGGUCCACAACAUGACCUUCUCAUGAUACCCACUCCAUCUGCUAUAUCUAAACCUAAGUCCACUGGCAUCAUCAUCAAAGAAGAACGACCAGACUACACUGACUUUCUUUACCAAGACUCACAAGAUCCAUGGGAAGAUUUUCUUCCUCUGAGCCAACACCUCCACCAGUUUCCCCAACCAACAAUGGAUGAACCUGGCCCCUCCGUACCAGGACCAAACUUCCCAGAGACUAUAAUUGCCCUUAUCCACCAUGCCGUGGUCCCUCCUGUAAGCAUCCAAAGCUCUCCAAAACUUUCUUCCAAAAGCAUCCUCACUCUGGUGAUACGGACCCAGAUGAGACCGAAAGCUCAUCCGAAGACGAGUACAUGAAUCUCCGCUCUCCAUAAAGUUGUUUGUCUUGUUGCUUUCAAUAAAGUAGUUUGUCUUGUUGUCAUAAUGAUGUUUCGCUUUAUGUUUGCAUAAUUAUUAAAGUUUGUUUUUACUUUAAUACUUUUGUCCAAGUCAUGCUUUAAUUAUUAAAGCACUUUUGUCUUUUGUAAUAAUUAAAGUUGUGCAAUUAUGUAAAAGAUAGGGGUCCUGUCCUAUCUUCUCAAGAAUCCUCCCCUAUAUAAAGGAUUCUCCCCUUGCUUGUAAGAUAUAGAAGUUUGAAAGAAAUAAACUCGUGUUUUUCUCUUACACCAUGAAUCCCUAAAACUCUUCUCUCUCUGCAAAUGAAGUCCUAAGAAAGAAAAAGAAUAAAGAAUUAAAUUUGUUCAUUUUGAAAACCUAAGGAAGUAUGCUCUGCACUUGCCUUUUCUAAGGAUCCUGUGCAUCAGAAAACUUUUGAUCAUUUCUUAUCUGGUUUGGUACCUUGUUUUAGACUAAAGGAAAGUCUGUUUUGGGUUGUAUAACCUGAGAAAAAUGUUUUAAAGGUUUUUGAUUACAGAGGUAUAUCGGCUGGAAACCCGAGCUUGCGGACUACUGGUCCAAAGAACAGUUUUAACUGUUGUAGUUCUGGUAUAACAACGCCACGUACUUCACCAUAACUGGUAAUCUAUAAUAUUUUAACAUUUAUAAGUAAAACUAAUGAUAAGAUUAUUAUGUGGGAUAAAUGUCUAUGAGUGAGUUUGGGGAUAGACAUGAAAAAUAAAUUAUAAAGCGGGGAUAUUUUUAAUAUUAACUUAACUUAAUUAAUUAACUUAAUUAGAGGCAUUUGUUUUUAUAACUUAAUGAAAUUUUUUAGAUAAUUUUGACUUAAUAAAAUAAGUCAAUUUUUUUGGCUUUUUACUUAAUGGAGAAAUUUGAAUUAAGUCAAUUACUUACUAAUGUAAAAAAUAUACAUGAUUUAUAAUUUAUUUUUCAUGUCUAUCCCAAAACUCACUCAUCGACAUUUACCCCACAUAAAAAAAUCCAUGUUUUUUUCUUUAUUAUAUUAUAUAUGAUAAAAUUUGAACUUUACAGUAUUUUAUAUAUUAAAAUUCUAAUAUAAUUAUGUAUUCACUUGAAUAUAAUUUUACUUAUAAAUGUUAAAAUAUUGUGGUGUUUAAUAUAUUAUUUAUUUGACAUUCAAAUUUAAUAAGGAUACAAAUGUAAAAGUACAUAUUUUCAUCUUUUUCAGUUGGAAAAAACAAACAACUUAAUACUUAUUUUUCGAGAUUCAGACGAAAAAAACAAACAUAUUAUUCAGAUUCAGACAUUCAGAUCUAUUCAGAAUUCAAACUAAUUCAGGUCUAUUCAGAUUUUAAACAAAAAAACAAACGCCACCUUAAUUUAGAUUUCUCCAUUAAGUCAAAAGCUAAAAAAAUUGGCUUAUUCUAUUAAGUCAAAAUUAUCUAAAAAAUCUCAUUAAAUUAUAAAAAUAAACACCUCUAAUUAACUUAAUUAAUUAAGUUAAGUCACUUUAAGUUAUUAAGUUAAAAAAUAAACGCCACCUGAGUCCAUUAUAUAUGGGCUUUACAAAUUACAAGUCCUUCUCCAUGAUUUUAAGCUGCGGGCUGGACCGCGGCCGACCCGAGCUUUUCUGCCACUCUAACUCAUUUGAGAGACUGAGUUAUCUGUUUUUCAGUUUUAGUCGGUCACUGUUUAGCGGGUUUGUUUAUGAUUUUGUGUGUGUUUUCUUUUUAAAUGUAAUUAAUAUAAAUAAUCUAAUUGUUCACAUCCAUAAUUGGAUAUUCAUAUGAUAGUCCCCAUUGGGAUCCGGAUGUGUGCAAAUGUUCUACUUAAAACAUUUAGCUUGAAAUAAUAGAAAUGUUCAAAUCUAAAAUUUUAAAAUGUGAGGAAAGUUCGAAAAACAUAUUAAUUGUGUAGUUUAUGCGCUUUAAAUUUUAAAUUUAUCAAACCUCACAAUUUUAAAAUUUUUUCAAACUUUCUCAUAUUUUAAAAUUUCGGAGCAAAAAAUUAUUACUUGAAAUAAAAAAAUAUUUAAUGAGAUAACCUAAUUAAAAAAAAAAAACUUGAGGUGUUCAUAAGUCAUUAGAUUGGUUUGGAAAUUUUAACAAUUGGAUUAUUACAUAUCUUAAUUAAUUUGAAUUUAAUCAAUCUAAUUUAUGUUUGUAUCGGUUUUGUUUUUAAUUUAAUUAUCUUGUGGAUUUGAUAGUAAAGAAAUAAUUAUAAUCCGAUUCAUAUUAACAAAAUAGGGUAGAUUGGAUGUGAAUUUGUGUCUAAUUGCAUAUUCAAUAACCAUAGAAUGAAUUUCAUCUAUUUACAAAUUGGAUUGGAUUAAAAAAUAUAUAAUCCAAGCCAAAUAAUUAGAUAAGCAAACUCCCUAAUAACCAUGUUCCAAUCUGAGAAAAAUCCGGAACUCCAAAUGUCUUAAAAACAACUUGAAAAUGCAACUUGUCGUUACCAUUCAUGUUUGUUGUUGUUAUUAUUAUUGAAAGCUACUAUGUUUGGCGCGCGGGUUUAGCAUGUGUACGCUGUGCAAAUUUGUGUGCACCAAACAUGGUGUACAGUCGGGCAGGAGCAAAAGAUCAGCAGGCUGGUCAAAUGAGACCCGCCCUCCAUCGCAGUACUUUUGAGUAGAGUUGAUAAAACGGGUCAUCGGGUCGUGUCAAUUUCAUGUCGUGUCAAAUUUAAAUCGAUUAAAACCCGACCCAUUUAAUAAUCGUGUUAAAAUAUUGAGAUCAAAAUCCAACACGAAAAAAUAAUCGGGUUACCCAAUAACCCGCUUAAUAUCUAUAUAUAUUAAACAAAAUUUACAUCAAAUUUAUAAAUAAAAUACUGUGUUUAUAUUUAUCUUUUCAAAAAAUAAAAAUAAAAGAGAGAAUCAUCUCUAAUAUUUGAGUUUUGACAACAAGAACCUACAAAUUAUUUUAAAAUAAAAAAUAUAAUCGGAUCAUUGAUCAGGUAAAUGAGUCAAGAACUUUAACUCUAACCCAGACCCAACACACUUAAUAAUCAUGUUAAAUUCAACGACCCAUACCUAUUUAUUCGUAUCGGGUAAUCGAAUCAUGUCAAAUUUUGUCAGCUCUACUUUUGAGAGGGUCCUUUUUUACAUUUUUUGUUAUCAUUGAACUUAUUUUAAUGUUAUGUAGCUAAUUUAUAAAUUUAAAUUAAGUAGCUAAUGAUUUCUUUAUCCCCGGUGGCAAUCAUGAGUUUUUUUCAGCAACUCUUGAUCAUUGAAAACAUUUGCAAAACUUUAGUUGUACAUCUAUGACGAACAGAAGCUAUGUUGUUGGAGAUAUUGAUAUCGUUGUGUAGAGCGAAAGAUGAGGAUUUCAAUGAUACAAAGUGUGACGAUACUUAAAUAGAUAAUAUUUGUAAUUUUUUGUGGUUGUUAAUGGUGGUGGUUACAAGCGGUUAUUUUAUUUUUAAUUAAUAAAUAAAAAUAAUUUUAUUGUAAUGUAAAUUUUUAAUAUUAAAUAUUAAAAUAUAUAAUAUAGACGUACUACACUAAGCAUGGUAUUAUAUAAAUUUUACAUCAUUUUAUAUAACUCAGUCCAAUUUAUUUUAAUACAAUCUAAUAUUAGUGCGUUACACUAAACAAAGUACUUAUGGAAUAAAAUAAAAUUAUUGUGUUUACACGUUGAAUUAGAGUAAAAAUAGUAAUCUAGAUAUUAAAUACUAGGUUGUCCUAUAAACAUAAAAAUUCAACAUUAGUUGGUAAGUUUCAAGAUCAUAAUUUAUUGUCAAUGAGGUUCAUGCUUUAAAUUUUAAUUGAGGAUGCAUCUGUGUGCUUAGAAAAUAAUUUUUUUAAUAAAGAAAAUAAUUUAUUUAAGAUAAGUUAUGUCGGCAAGUCAUGUGUACGACUUACGUGUGAAGCCACUUUCUUUGAAGUACAACUUAUAAGCAGCACGUGAUUAAAACCGACAUCGAAAAGGAAUAAAUCUGGAUCGUUGAUGCAUCCUUGCACCGCUAAGCGAUAGCCGUCGAUCUUGACCAGCGAUACUAUAAAUAUACCCCCCGCGUCGGGCACCGCUGGCUCCUGCGUUCUCUGUGUUUGUCUAUGUUCUUUUCUACGGGUUGGGUGCGGUGUGAUAAUCGGGAAUUAAUUUAGCGCAAUAUUAGUGCUGUUAUUCGAAUUGAUUGAAUUUCUUGGCUGUUUUUGAGUUAUUGGAGGCGAAGGUAUUUUUAUUUUAUACACUGAUGUAUUGGAUCGAAGUUGUUUCGCUUCUCUUCUCUUUGUUCAAUUAUUGGGUACAGGAUCUUGAAUCUGUGCUGUUCGUUACCGAUCGGGCAUCCGCUGUUGUUUCUUGGAUUAAUGAACUGAGAUUGAUUGGUGACUUUCUUAACUAAUUUGUCGAGGAAUUUUGAGGGCUAGGAUUUUAUUAUAAAGAUGAUAUAUAUAAUAUUCGAUUCUUGACUUGCUUGUCGGUGGUUUGUGAAAUAGAUUGAGAUCUCGGAUUAUUCAUGCUUUUGAGAAGUAUUAUGCAGAGAAUCGAACAGAGUAUAUAGUACAUAUUUUUUUUUUUUGCUGUUGGUGGCGAAGAUAUUAUCUUGAAAUUUGUGCCGUUCAAUAAAUAGGCAGGCGGCAAUUUGUUGGUUUGUGUAGCGCUCAUUGGUAAUUGAUCUAUUGCUCAUUAUUAUGAAGCUUUAUAUAUUCAUAUAAUUGGAAUUUCAUGGUUCCAUUUAAUUUAUUGGUGACAAGGUGUCAUUGUAGGCUGAGAUUGUGGAUUGGAGUUGUUUUGCCUUCAAUUUUCUUUUCUCUUCAUUCAAUUCUUGGUUACAGAAUCUUGAAUUCCUGUGCGGAGAGUGGAGGUUUGAGAUACCGGUAGGGUGUCUGCUCUAAGUCUCCUGUGUUAAUUAACUUGGAACUGUCAAUUAAUCAGGAGGUGUCUGACUCAUUAUUUGCUUCUUUUUCUGCGUGUACAACAGUACAAAUGGUCGUCGUGCAUUUAGAGGAGUAUUGGGGCUCUAAGUUUCAUGGAUUAAUAAACUUGGAACUGUCAAGUAAUCUGGAGGUUUCUGGCUUGUUAUUUGCUCCUUUUUUUUUUUUGCAUGUACAACCGUGCAAAUAGUGGUCAUGGAUUUAGAGGAGUAUUGGCGCUAUCUAUCAACCGGUUUUUAGGACUCUUUUAUGUUUUCUCCUCCUUUUUAGCUUCCACAAUUGCCUUUCUGAAUACUAUGAUGUCCAGCUCAUAUUUUGAUCUUGCGUUUUUGCAUAUGCUGCAGCGAUGUGGAAAUGGUUUGAGUUUUUCUGGAAGAUUGGGAUUCUGGGGAUGUGUUAAAGAGCUUUUCUGACCCCUUCUUAGUUCCUUAUUGAAAAUUUCUAGUCAGGUUAUGCUGGGCUAUCUCACUACAGCAGGGGGUUUUUAUGGCUUCUUUAUUGUUUUUCCUUGUCUCGCUUCCAUCCAUCCUAUUCGAGUGCUAUAAAGUUACAGCUCAUAAUUUUGUCUUUCAUUUUUGCCAAUUUCUGUUGCAGUGAUGUGGCAAUUCUUUGGGUUUCGGUGGAAGAUUGGGAUUCUGCUAAUACUUGAGGGUGUCUAAUGAGUUUUUGUCCAUCCUUCCUUAGUUAAUCACUUCUAUCUAUGAAACUUAAAAUCAAAUUGCGUUUUGAUCUUUUGAUUUACGCAUACUUUUGUGUGGCAGUGUUAAAGAGUAUUUGAGGAAUACCGUGACUCUGCAUCUGGGUGAUGUUUCAUGAGUUUUUUUUUUUCCCUUUGGAACCUGCUCUUAGUUUAUCACUUUUAUCUAUGAAUACUUCAGUGCAGAUUGUAUUCGGGCCAUUUCAUUUUUGUAAUUUUUACGUUUCAGUGUUCUAGAAAUGGUUUGGGUAGCUGAGGAACAUUUGGGCUCUGUUACGAAGGUGGCAUUCAUGACUUUUUCUUAGUUUACUGUCCGUAUUGUUGAGCAAAUCUUUUCAGUUUUGCAAUGUUCUGUGGCAGCAAUAGGGAAACAUUCCAAGUUCCAAGUAACGCUGGGAGCAAGUUUUGAAAGAAUACUAGGACUAUUCUACUCAGGGGGUUUUCUAUUGUCCUAUUUUAGUAAUUUUUGCAGUUUAAUUCUUCUGUCUUUACCUAACUGAAUCCUUGAGGUUCGUAUUAACUCUGUCUUCAUUUUUUGCAAAUUUCUUGAGAGUGAUGAAUAAGUGUUUUAGCUUGCCAACUCUCCACCUUAGGAGUUUCUGACAACUCCCUUGUUCUUUCUUGUUGGUAGCUUCCAUCUAUGCCUGUUUGAAUACUAUAAGUUCAGCUUUCAUUUUUGUGAACUUCUUUCCUAUGAUGUGGGGUUUUUCCCCCUUUUUCAAAGGUUUGGGUAGGAUUUGGGGAUGUCAUUCGUCCCUUUCUUAGCUGAUCGCAUCUACAAAUUUAUCUAUGAAAAACCCAAUUGUAUUUUGGUCAUUUGAUUUUUGUAAGUGUUAUGUUGCAGUUCUUGAGAAAUGGUCUGGGUAUUUGACCACUUCUAGGGGCUGAUCUAAUGAAUUUUUUCGAACUUUUUUUAAUCACUUCUAUUCAUGAAUAUUUUAGAGCAUAUUGUAAUCUGGCUGUUUCAUUUUUUGCAAUGUUUAAUGUUGCAGAGUUUCAGAAAUGGAUUUAGUAGUUGAGGAAUAUCUGGACUGCUGCAAAGGGAGCUUCUAUGAUUGAGGAAUUUUCUGAGUUUUCGAAGAAUCAAUUGACCAUUUCACUUGAGGAGUUGUCUAUUGUGUUGUUCAGUCAUUUUUCCAGUUGGUUUCUUUUAUCUCUGCCUAACUGAAUGCUCUGAAGUGUAACUAUGUUUGUUGCAAAUUUCUUGAGCAGCGAUGGCAAAGUGUGUUCAGUUUUUUUGGAGUAUUAAGGCUUUCUCUCCACUGCAGGGGCUUCUGAUGACUCUAAUUCUUUCUUCUUGCUUCUAGCUUCUAGCUUCCACAUGGCUACCUGAAUACUAUGAGGUUUAUCUCAUAUUUUGGUCUUUCAUUUGUGCAUCUCUGUUGGAGUGAGGUGAAUAUGUUUGAAUUGCUUGUGGAUCGUUUUUAAAUAGAUUGAAAUUUUGAGUGUUAUGGAUUUAUGAGUACAUCUUCGUGUUUUUGAGAAGUGUUGCAGAACGCUAUUCAAGGGGCUUCUAGUAAAUGAUUUAGCUUCUCAAUGCCUUGCUUUAGAGUGUAAUUUGGUCAGUCAUAUUGCCAAAUUGUUGUUGCAGCUUGCCAGUAGAGAAUUGUUUGUGGACAUCUGCGAAUAAAGAGUUUUGUUAGUGUUUUGCGGUUUGCUUGUUAUCUUAUUUGUUUAAUUUGUUGAUGAGAUUACAUCCUGCAGGUUUGUGUUGGAAUCUUGUUUGUUUGAUUUCAAUGAGGUUAUAUGCUUCAGGUUUCUGUUGGAAAAUACUCUGGCCAAUGGUCAAUAUAGUGAGUGGUUUGUCUUCCGGGUUGUGAUUGGCUACAGCAAGGCUUCUGCAAGUUUGUAGGGCACAAAAUUCCUUGCCAUUUGUUGAUUAUCACUUUUGAAGCAGCUGCUGGAAUCAACUAUUUGGCAACAAUAAAUGGGGGUGUAAGGGAAACAUUCUACCACUAGUUAUUGAGCCUUUAUGGAUUAUCCAUAUACCAAGUAAAUAUACUUCUGAUGUUUGUCAAUAUUUUGCCCUAUCAUCAGAUUAUUCAGUGUGUUGAACUUUUUAGCAAAUAUUCUACAUGGAAGGGUGUCCACGUGUGGGGAUCAUAAUGCUGGCACGCUUAUCUUGCGUACUUAUUUUCCCCUUUUUUUCUCUUUGAUGCAUCGCUCUGUUUUUUGAGUUGAUCCUGUGAUCCGUUCUAUGAUUUGUUUGGUUACAGAGAAUUGUUAUAGCUGUUCCAUUGCCCCCCUUUUCUCUAGUUGAAAGAGAGUUUUGGUGUGGUCGAAUUCCGAGUGUUGUUGGGCAGAUAUUGCCUAUUGGUUCUAUACCUCCUGGACUUUGUUUUCCCUUUUUAGCUUGUCUUGGUUGCUAGUUAGCCCUGUGCUCAUUUUUUUUUUUUGGUUUGAUUACAGAGAAUGAUGCUUCAGAAUGAUGUUGCUCGGUUGAUGUUUGUAGUUUUUAUGGAAUACCAGGACUUUUGUCUCGUGGUGUCUAUGAACAUUGAGAACAUAUUCGUGCUUUGGUAAUGCCAUUUUACAAAUUUUUUUGUUGCCGUGUUACUUAAAUGGUCAGUGUUUUGAGGAGUAUUGGGACUGCUACUGCUGUGUCUUUAAUGGGCUUUUUCUGACCUUUUUUUAGCUUAUCACUUCUACUCGUAAUCUGUAAGAGAGGAUUGUAUUUGGUUUGUUUUCUCUCUUUAACAAAUUUUGGAGAAGUAUCGUGGAGCAUUUUUUAGACAUUUUACUUAGUUUUUACCACUUUAUCUUUGAAUACUUUACCUUCAUUGUGCCCCUUUAGUUUGGCAAUUUUUUGUUGCAGUGAGAGAAAAAAAUGUUCCAAGUUUUCAAGGAGUAUAAGGACUAUUCUACUUGGGUGAUUUUCUGACAGAUUUUUAGUCCUUUCCUAAGUUUAUUUGUUCUAUUCUAACAGUCCAGUUUUUAAUUAUGUUUUCCAUCUGUUGCAAAAUUUUGGAGCAGUGAUGGUUGAAUGUUACAAAUUUUGAGUGUUGGGGCUAGCUAUCAUCUAAGGGGGUGUUUGAUGGCUUUUAAAAAUUUUCCUCUAAUUCCUUCACAAUUUUUUGUUGCAUAGGUAUGGGGAACUUAGUUUUCAGGAACAUUGGGACUGUUGACGUGGGGGUAUCUUCCGUGAUUUUUAGUCUUUUCUCUAAUUUAUUAUAUCUAUAUUCUUAUCUUACUCUGUUAAAAUUUAAGAUACAUUGGGGCUAGAUAUUGACUACCUAUGUCUUGCUAUUUUGGAAAAUUGUGUUGCAGUGAUGGCAGUAUGCACUGAGUUUUUGAGGAAUUUGAGGCUAUACAUUGAGGAGUGCCCCGAUGAGUGUUUUGUCUCUUAUAGUUUCUCACUUCUGUCUAUGUUUAUCCUGAGUACUUGAAGAAUAUAUCUCUUAUCAUUUAUUUGGCACAAUUGUGUUGCAGUGUUACAGAGUUGCCAAUUUUUUUGAGGAACUUUGGAACUUGUACGUGUGAAAUCCAUAACUAAAAUUUUCUCUUUCUCUUCUGCAAACAUAUGUUGCAGUGAUAUCAUUCCUGUGUUUUCAAGGAAUAGUGGGACUAUGCUGCUUGUAGUGACCAAUGGGUUUUUCUUCCUUCACUAAUUUAUUAUUGGUGUCUCAGACUAUCUUUCAUUUCUUCAUGAGGUUCAAUUUGUAAUUUUGUCUUUCAUAAUUGUAGUAUUCCAUUUUUGCAAAUUUAUAUUGCAGUGAUGGUGAAUGUUUUGAGGUAUUUCGGGAUUAUCUGCUGCUUGGGGUUUUUUGAUGGUUCUUGUUAUUGUUUCUCCUCGUUUUUUGGCUUUAAAUUUAUGCAGAUAUGAAUGCUUAGAACAUAUUUUGAUCUUUUAUUUUUGCAAAAUAUUUGUUGCAGCGUUGCAAAAUGUAGCAAGCUUUUGUGGAAUAUUGGGACUUUGCUACUCAGGCUUCUGUAAAAAGUUUUUAUCUUUUUCAGUUUUUCACUUAUAUCUAUGCAAACAUACAGCAGAUGAUGGUUGUCUUUUGCAAAGUUUAGGUUCCCCUGUUACAGAAAUGGACCUACAUUUCAAGGAGUGUUGGAUGAUUUACUCGGUGGAUUUUCUAUCAUGUUUUUCAGUCAUGUUUUUCAGUCCUUUUCUUGGUUCAUUUCUUCUGUAUCUGCCUAACUGGAUACUUUUUUAACAAUUCAUUUUAGAAUUGUCUUUCCUUUUUUUGUAAAUUUCUUGAGAAGCGAUGCAAGGUGUUUUUGAGUGCUGGUCAGGGUAUGUCUGAUGACUUUAAUUCUUUUUACUAAUUCCCUCAUUCCAUUUAUGCCUACCUAAAUAGUUUAGGUUGUAUGUCAGCCUGCAUAAUUUUUGCAAAUUUUUUACUGCAGUUUCACAGAAAUGUGCAGUGUUCAUUGACGUGUUUUAGGACUAUGCUACAGAGCAGGUGUCUUCUUGUUAAUUUCUUCUAUUUAUAGAUAUCUGGAUAUGAGAAUUUCAAAUUAUCAUGUUUUACCACUUCUGCAAAUGUAUUGGCAGUGAUUUUAAGUAUUUCUAUGUUUUUUAGGAAUACCGAUCAUGCUAAUAUGGGCUUCUCGUGAGUUGCUCUUCUACGUAGUUCCAAGUUUUGGUGGAAUAUUAGGGUUGUCCGCUACCCAGGGGGUUUCUGAUGACACUAUUUUUUGAUCUAGUUUAUGCUUGCAUCUAUCUGGUUGUACUGAGGUUCAAAUUGUUUUUAGGUCUUUCAUUUUUGCAAAAUUUCUGUUGCAGACUUACAGUGAUAUGAUAACGAGAUUUUGAAGAAUGUUGGGACUACUGUGCAAUCAGGGGGUUUAUUUGAGUUUGUUUCUGGCUCUUAUUCUUCCUAGUUUGUCACUUCUAGAUGGGAAUAUGUAUUAUACCUGACCUUGGAAUGUCACUCUGCCUCACAAAGAUCGUCUCUCUGGCACUUCCGCUUCCGGGGUUGGGUCAAAGCUAUCGGUCGAUCUCGUGGCGAGCCUUCCCCACCUACCUUACCUGGACCACCGUUAGCCCACCAACUUCCUUUGCAAUGUUCCAAGUUUUUGAGGAAUAUUAAAGGCGCUUGGUUUGUGGUUUUAGUCAUUGUUUUAGUUUAUUUCUGUUCUCUCUUCUUAUGUGACUCUCAAAUUCAAGUUAUGAUUUUGUUAUUUUAUUUUUAUCAAAUUUGUUGAUGGCAAUGUGAUCUGAAUUUUGAGUAUUGAGGCUAAUCCAUACUAGUCUCUUCUAGUUUCUUGCUUCUAUCUAUUCUUAAUCCGAAUGAUUCAUUGUUUUAUUUUUCAAAUUUUAGUGUUGCUGUUUCAGAGAAAGGCUUUGAAGAAUUUUGGGAGUAGGGGGUGUUAAUUGAGUUUUUCAGUUCCCUUUCAGUUGCUUGUUGCCUUGUGCUUCUUAAAACUUCAAACUAUUAUUACUCUCUUCCACUUCUGCAAAUUUAUUCUGCAGACUUACAUUUGUAUGUUUUGAAGAAUAGUGGGGCUCUACCACUACUCCUUUAUGUUGAUGUGAUGGAGCACAUUUGGAUAUUUAUGAGGAAGAGCGGGAACUACAACUCAGGAAGGGGUUUUUUUUUUUCCUAUUUAUUGCUUUUGCUUGCAAAAUGUGCACUCUGUAGUCUGUUCUUUCUUUUUUGCAUAUUUAUGUUGAAGUGAUAGGGAAAUGUUGACAUCUCUUGUUCUUUCUCCUGAUUUCUGGCUUCUAUCCAUGCUUAAUUGAAUAUGCGAGUUCAGCUGCUGUUUUCUGCUUCAGUGAGAGAACAUUGUGGCUUCUUUUGGAAUAUUGGUAUUAUGUGAUCUCAGGGGAUGAGUUUUUUACUCUUUCUCCCAGUUUCCUGCAUCCUUCUAUGUCUAUUUGGAUAUUUUAGGUUUAAUUAUGGUUUGAUCUUUCAUUUUUGCUAACUUUUGUUGCAGUAGAGAUAAAUACUUUGCGCCCGUUCUGUAGAUGGGAAUGUUACUGUUCCUGGUUUGCUUCUUUCCCAAAUCAAUAAGCUACUGAAUGAUGCUUUCAAAAUCCUUUUUGGUGCUUUCUUCAAGCUUGCAAUUGUGAAGACUUCUAUGCUUUUCUGGUCACUGAAUGAUUCUGGAGUUUCUUCAUUGUUGGUUAUUCUAACAGCUUGACUAAAGUGUGUCAGUGCAGAUGAGCUGCAAAUGCUUUCGUCACUUGACAAACGGGUGUUUGUGCUGCUCGAGGUUGUAUUGUGCAUUUUCUAGUGUUUUUUUUUUUUGGGUUUCAGUCUUCUAUACAUGCCUAUAUGAAUAAUGAAUGUCUCGAGGUUGUAUUGUGCAUUUUCUAGUGUGCUUUCGUCACUUGACAAACGGGUGUUUGUGCUGCUCGAGGUUGUAUUGUGCAUUUUCUAGUGUUUUUUUUUUUUGGGUUUCAGUCUUCUAUACAUGCCUAUAUGAAUAAUGAAUGUGAAAUAGUAGUUUGCAAAACUUUUCUGUGGUGUUUUUUUUUUAAAAUAAUUUUGAUGACUAAGAUUCUCUUCAUUCUUUAUUUGAACUACGAGGACUUUGAUCUCUAUUUUGAUAGAGUACGUAGGCGUUUGGGUUCUCUCCCAAACUCAAGUCCAAUUUGCCAUUGAUUUUUUUUAUUUGAUGCCAUAUGUGGAUUUCUUACCAACCAUUGUUUUUGUAGUGUUUGAGAGUAAUAGUGGACAGGACUUCUGCUUGAGGUGAUCGUAUUAUUCCCACUAAUCCUCUUUUAUGUGGUUGUAUUGUGUUGGCUGUUCAAUUGGAGGAUAACAGCCUGUCGUGAUGUAGAUUAUGUUUCUAUGAAUGUCGCAUAAUCAUGUGAAGCUUUAAGCUGAUAUAGGUACGAUUGUCCCGAUCAUGUGUUGAAGUUUUUACAUUUGAGUAAGAAUUUUAAUACGGAUAACAGCCCGUCAUGUGAUGUAGUUUAUGUUCCUAUGACUGUCACACAAUCAUGUGAAGUCUUAAGCUUAUACAGGUACGAUCGUCCCGAUCAUGUGUUAAAAAGUUUUUACGUUUUUGAGUAUGAAUUUCUCAACGCAUAAAAUAAACUCUCCUCCGAAGAAAUUAUCUUCAGUUUAUGUUAGUAGGAGCUACCAAGUGAACAUUUUCAUAAGUGAAUCAACCAGAGCAUGGUGUAGACAAUUUAUGACAGUAAUAGCUACCAAGUGAUUGGAUUAUGGUGUCUGCUAAGAAGGAAACUGAUGAAUGGUUUAAAAUUUGUAACCAUUCCACAAGCAGUACUUUUCCUUUGGUAACAACUAACAAAUCCAACCUUUAAAACUGGAAAAACAGCAUUUUUAGGCAAUGCAGUUCCGUUCCACUUGGACCUCUCAAAGGCUGCACAGAAACCAUAUAUACUGUGGUAGAGGGGGAAGAAGACUUAUGAAUAUGAAAAUAUUUAUAAGUACAUGAUUAUUUCAAAAGGUAAACCCAUUACUUGUCUACUGUUGAUGUAACCACGGUACUCGAAGGGGUCAGUAACAACAGAGGCAGCAACAAGCCUAUUUAUGUGAGCCAUAUCCAUGACGAGAAAAGCAUCAGCAGCCUCUGCAAUCUAUGAAGCAACAACAGCAUCUGCAAUCUAAUCAAGCAGUGGAUGCUUUGUGGCUAGCCGCCAAUGAUAUACCCAGAAAAAAUUGUAAGGCAGAGCUAGCAGUAAAUCCUUACCUGCCUCAUGCGAGGAUAGUUAAAGAUAUGCGUUGGCACCAGCUAUUAUGAGUUCUGGUCCAAGGAGAAUAGCCGUUUUCUGGAGCAUGUCCUUGCAUAAAACUGAAACAGAAAUCACAACCGAGUGACCCAAUGAAAUAGUCAAAGACAACCGUCUUUUAGGAAAAUUACAGUAACAUAUUAUGGAUCUGUAGUGUUCUGGAUCAGGAGUUUAAUCAGAAAUAAAAAAAGAUGAAAUCUUAUCAACAACUAACCGUUAUUCGAUCAUGAGGAUUAAGAAUUACAGUAUAAACUUCAAAAUUAUGCUGCCAAAGCUCCUUUCUGACAAAGGGUUUCAAGCUCAUCAAUGUACUCGUUACCACUAUAGUAUCUGAGGUUAAGGGAAAAAAAAAAAGGUUUAUUUCGUCCAUGUAAAAUUGCGUGAAAAGAAAAUGUGAAAGUAAAAAAAAAAAGGUGAAAUAUCCUGAAACGAAGAGAGUUUACCUUUUACCAGGCAGUCCUUCAGAAUAUUUGUCUAUGAGGCAUGAACCGGCUGCCUCCCAUCACAGCUCGGGAUGUAAAAUUUUCAAUGCAAUAAGCUCAAGGCUAUUGAACUGCCUCUCCUUCUCCUUGGUUUUCAAUAAUUUCCUAUGCAUACAAUUGGCUAAACCUCUGUCUCUCCCAAGAAGCGUGAACGGCUCUGCUGUCGCCUGUUUUGAAUAAACAAAUAUAAAUAUACAAGUAUUUGUCUGUUCAAAAAAGAAAAAAAGAUCAUGAAGUACGAUGAGUUUUGCAGACUACCCAAUUUGAAGUCGUAUGCGAAUAUUUACGAGGGUUAUUUGUCUGUGAGCAAGCAAGAAUUUUAUAGAAUUUAAUAUAAAAUUGUAGUUUUAAUUAUUUAUCUCAUUGUAAAUAUCAAUAAUUCAUUAAUUAUCUUCUGGAAUAACAGUUGUUAAUAGUUGUAAAAUAUUUGAUGUAAUAUAAAUUGUUAAAGAAAUGCAACGUCAAAAUUCACUGGAUAGCAUAGAUUUAGAUGUCAAAGUGGGAAAGACGACUGAGAAACACCCAAUGAUUUGGCUAUUGGCUAUUGGAUUUAAAAAGGAUAUAAGAUUAACAUUGGAAUUGAAUGUUAUAUAUAAAAUUAUUUAUUAUUUUAUUUUAUCAUUUAAUAAAUGAAAAUUACAUUUAAUUAAAAUUUAACUAUUAGAAUCUUCAACAUUACAACAACAAAAAAAUUGAUGACCAUUAAUGAGUAUUUGUAAAUACAAACAAGCGAAAAAAGAAUUAUAAAGUUCGUAACUUGUACAAUCAAAACUGUUGAAAUAGUGGACCUCAAAAGAGAUAAAAUUAUAAAAGGGACUUUUGAGUAUAGGAUUUUAUUCCCACAGAGAAAAAGAAUGAACCAAAUUCAAAGAGGGUGCAAAAGUAUAAAAUUAUAAAAAAAAAAUUAGGAUAAAUAAACACCAUUAGAAUGAUUGUUCAGUCUUGGACGGAUUUCUCGCCUAAUUCAUUCAUAUUUAUUUAAACAGCGUCAGAUAAAAUCUAUUCGCCGUGGUGGGGUAUGUACUCUUCAAGUCAUUAGGAAUGCUGAACUGAACCCAGAAUAUUAAUGGGAGGUUUUACACAUAACUCACAACAGAUGAUAAUGAAUUUGUACGAAAGACUAGAAAACCAAUAAUUAUGAAUUUACAAGCAUCACAUUAGCUGGUUGCAACACUAAGUAAUGCCACCCAGAAAGAAAGCAGUUUGGCAACAAUUCUUGAAGCUUGUAUAGUUCUUCUAUUAUAAUUUGGAAGUACAUUAAAGUGAUAAACCUUGAUAGAGAACAUGAAAUUGUUCACUCCACAUGCGAAAGACCACCGCCGCUUUCAGACUUUGUUCUGCACAAGCCAUCAGUUCCGAUAAAUACAAGAAACUAUGUAGUAGCAUAUAAAACAUAACAGGAUUGAACUUCACAAUCAGACUUGAAAUGAUGGACAUUUAAUAAUUGUGCAAAUGCCACACAGAAUGAAAUUAUAAUAUAUAACAAUAGAAUAAAUUUUGAGCAUCAUUUCCUUCUACAAUGGUGAGAUUGAUAAAUAAGUUCAAAAACCCCACUAUCUAUGAAACUAUUCCUACAAGGAUAACCAAAACUUACUUGUGGUCGGAGGGAUUCGGCCUCAGCUCAUAAACAAUUGUUGCCACGACGUCCCUCUUCAACUGUUACUCAAUAGACCAAAAACAAACCAAAUGGGUGUUAGAGGUGCAGGAAGGUAUUAGUUGGAAGCACAAACAUUUCACAGAUUAGAACAAGGAAAAAAAAAAUUAUUAAAACAAAGACAAUAACAAAUUCAUAAAAUUUGAUCUCAGCCAAUAAAUUACCUGGGUGGCUUCCCCUUUUAGGCCAAUGUAGUGUAUCUGAGUUGUGUCACCACCAAAAUUGUCAGGGAAGUGUAAUGUGAUAUUGGCCACACUUUGAAAUUUGGAAUACCUAAAGUAUGCAUUAAUAUGACAUUAAAAACAGUUCGUAACAGAUGAUUUUUUUUUUUGGUGGAAAUACAAUACAACAUCAACCAAACAAUGGUAAGUUGCUAAUAAAUGGGAAGCACCCAAAUUCAGUAGAUUAUGCCUGGUCACAUCAAUUGCUCAUCAUGAAAGUAUGGAUAUGAAGUGUUUGCAAACAAAGCCUCUAUUGCAUGUCAACAAAACUGAGUAGUAAUCAAUAAUUACCUUGUUUGGUAUUCUAACACUCCUUGCAAAUUCUCAACCAAAUCCCAUUCCUUGGAACAAAUGGUACAAAUGUGUCAGAUGAGUUGAAAUGAAGAAUUUGCUAAAAAUGCAAUGAUAAGCCAACAUGAGGCAUACCUGAAUAGCUUGCAUAUCUUGAGCAUCUGAGAAGUCAAUACCCUCUCGAUUGAUGAACCUAUUAAAAAAUGAAAAAAAAAAAAGAAAAAAAAACUCAGGACACCACUUCUUCUUUUAAGAAAUAUAAAAGGUAGAGAAAUAAAAACAAAUUUAAUAUUUGAGUAAUGGCAACAAGGGACUAAGAUUGAGCAUUUUUCGCUCAAUCCGCUAAUCAUCUAAUCCUAACCCAGACUAGACACACACACACACACAAAACCACAAAAAAAAAAAACUAGACUGAGAAUUUUAUGAUAAGCCAAUGAAAAUUCCAUCUAAAAUUUAUAUUUCUAAGAUCAUUUGAUCCCUUCCACUUACUACGAUGAGAAAAAAAAGCUAUUUGAGUUUCUUUCUAAAUUGGAUAGUAUUACAUCUAACAAUUGAUGAAGCAUUAUGACAGCAUACAUAAAAUUCACAAGUUCAAACUCACACUCUCAUCUUCGAAGGACUUGUUCCAUCAGCACCACCAACAAUUGAAAUGCUCUUGAUCUUAACAUCUGUAGUAAAUCUAUCAAAAUCAAGUGGAAGAAGGAUUCUCAAUGAGCCCUUUUAGAACAGAAGAAAUCUUUAGGGAAACAUGUUCUUAAGAAAGAACAAUAUGAAACAAUAAUUUCGAGAGCAUCUUACUAUGAAGAAAAAAUAGAUUGGUUUUAAGAAAAAAUUUAUGCAUAAGAAUUAUAGGUGCAGAAAUGCGGACAUCAAAUUUUGACUUUGUAUACAAAGUUGAGCAAAUAUUAUCUUUUAGACUCAAGAUGGUCUCUGAUUGUUCCUAGUAAGAGACAUUAUCGUUCCACUAAAGGAGAAAAAGUAUGAAUAAAGAUAACAGAAGUCCUUAGUAUUUUAAUCAUAAAUUUCAUUUCAUUCCAUCAAGCUUAUUUAUGAAAUUAGUAAAUUUCAAAAUAUUGCUCAUUUUAACAUCAAUAUAAUACAAAUUAUAAUUAGACAUAUAGAUUGGUGGGAUAUAAAGGGGUUUAGAAAGAACAAAGCCACUUGGGAUAUGAAAAAAUACAAAAUUAAAUACAGCUGGGGACAUGAGUGUAAUGAAAAUUAAUGUCUAUUUCUCUGAACCUUGAGAUCCCAGCUACUGUUUAUUCUUAGAGCAAAAGGUAGCCACUUACGGAAUAUAAACAAGUAACUCUGGAUCACCAUCAUUGCUUUCCAAAUGUUCCUGGGUCCACAAUGAGGAUCACAUAAGCUUUAAGAAGGCAUGUAAUGAAAGACUUGUUUCGAUACAUCAUAAGCAAAAUAUAGCAUGCUAAAUAUUGAUAUUUCCCCCAAAACAUCAUCUUGAUCAACUUGGCUUGCUUGCAGAUUCUAUAGUAACUUUUCUAACAGGGUAAGCGUCUUUUUUCUUUCAGAUGUAAUUUCCAGUUCUAGGUUAGAAACUGGCAAGAUAUUAAUUUGUGUAUUCAUAAAAUUGCAAAGUAGAAUAAUAACGAGGCUGAUAAAUAAGUGAAACAAAUCGCACAAUAAUCAAAAGAAGGCUAUACCUCAGUGGUUUUCCGGUUUGAAAUAGAUAUUAAUCAAAGAGCACUACUCAUAUGAGUAACAAGAAGUAAUGUGUAUCAUGACCAAAUUUAUUUUGCUUUGCAUUCAAAUCUUUUUAUUUGAAGCUUUCUCAUCAUUUCAGAAGAACCUAAUCAAGUGUGCUUAAUCAGGGUAGUUAUCCUAAGCACAGGUUGCAAUAUUAACACUACUUUCACAAGAGAGGCAUACAAGUGAUGCAUACACUUGUUUGCAAGUGAAACCCAAUCUCAGUAGAAUGACACCAAGGGUAAAAGGAAUCAAUUAACAGAAAUCAACUUCCAGUGGUCAGUAAAACAGCUUUUUGCAGCAUAUUUGAGGCACAUCUUCAAAAAUCUUGCAUCCUCAGUAGAACUUCAAAAGAUAACCAGGCAUAAUCAACCACCUUAACAGAAAUGUUUACCUAGCUGUAAUGUGAAAAAGUCACGCCAAUAAAUCGAAAGCAAAUCAAUACUACAUGUAGAAGUCAAUCAAUGUAAUUUUAAUUCAAAAUGGAGACAUAGAACUAGAUUUCAAGUACAAAAGUAUAUGGCUAUGGUGCAAGGAUGAGGACUUUUAGGAGGUCAACCAAACCUUCAAUGAAUGAUUCAAUGAUUGAACAUUUAUAACAUACUUAAAAGUUGGAAAUAGAUUCUGUGCAGCAAGAAAUAUUUUUUCAAUCACAUACAGGCACAUUCACCUGAGAGUACACACCCACAGAUGAGACACGCUUCUUGGAAACAUGCCAAUGUCUAGAUAAAAAAUGAACUACAAAAGAGUAUACAAAUGCAUGAAUUACCCCAGAAGAAUUCAGACGCUGCUCCCAUGCUUUGAAAACUGACUUGACACUCCCUGGAACAGCCUCAUUUAAUGCAGACACCUAGAAAGGCCAUCCAGUACAAAAGAAACGGAAAAAUCAGUGAAAGCAAUUAAAUGAAAUGAACUGAAAAAAGAAAAUAUAAACCAACAACAGCUCAGAAGGAAGUAGCUUCCUGUCGCAAAGCAAACGGGGCAUCCAUUCAAAUGAAGCAGCCCUUCACUCUGGACCUGUAAAGGAACAUAACCCGGCCUAUCUACUGAGUACACCAAAACAUGGUGGGAAAAUUGAUCUUAAAACAGCUCCCUUGCAAUUACCAAGACUUUUUUUUGAAAGCUCACUAAUGUUUUUUCACCUGGGCAAAGGGUAAUGAGAACUAAGGGCAAAGCCAAUUUGACAGCACAGGGGGAGUCUUAAAGUGGAAAAAGUUCUGCACAGCCAAAUUCUAUCGAAUUCAAGCUCUAUCCUGCUUACCCAUAAAGCAAAUCACAACUACAAUUUCCAAAUGAUCCCUUUCUCAUUUUAUCAUGCAACUGGCAUACAAAGAUGCGAGAAUCCAGAUAAUUACACAAAACCACAGCAUGCGCACCUCGUCAUCCAAAAUUUUAACCAAACCUGACUGACCCCCAAAAUACAAACAAAUAACAGGAAAAGUGAACACAAAUGCAGUUUAUCAAGCAACCACGCCUUUUACACAUUUAUUUCUCCGGCUAUUUCAUAUAUAUCGAGUGUGAAAAGAUAGAAAUUAACCUUGGAAAGAUCUAUAUGUUUGUAGAGAGACCAAUCAGAAGAGCAAUCGUGAUCUUCACAGCUAUGAUCGUGCAAACACGCCAUCCCCUUCCGCCUCUAAACCCGGUUACCGCCACAACACACACGACUAUGUGCGAGCUACAGCCUACAACCACGAGUUAAUCUGAUAUGACUAAAAUACCCCGGAACACAAAGGGAACAAAACUCCUCUUCUUUCUAAUAAUAUCAAGGGUAUUUUCGUCGCACUAUAUUUUUUCCACUUUGAAAACUAAAACGGUGCCGUAUUGUUGUAGUCUUUUUGUGCCACGACGUCGUUUCUAGUUUCUGAUGCAGCAAUUCAUGCGGAUUCAAACGCAGCGUGUGCGCUAUCUGUGUCUCCAACGAAGCUGAAUCAUCACUGUGUCUGUAGAAGAGAAAUCGAUGGAGGGAAUAGAGGGAGAAAGCUCAGGAGCAGGGCGAUUCACGUUGCCGCCAAUGCGCAUAAGCAACGAAGACAUAAUAUUUUGUGUAGAUGUGGACGCCGAAUCGCUAGUGGAAAUGAAAUCAACUGGCUUCAAUGGGAAACCAAUCACCAGACUGGAUGCUAUGAAGCAAGCGAUCCUCCUCUUCGUUAACUCCAAGCUCUCUAUCAACCCCGAUCACCGUUUCGCUUUUGUCACUCUCGCCAAAACCGCUUCCUGGGUACUCUCUCUUUUUCCCCUUUUCAUUUUUCAGUUGAAAUUCUGAACGACGUGUCGUACAUCCGUGGGUCCUGCUAUUCUUGUGAUUAAUUGAAAAAAGAAAUAGUCAAAUUUGAGAAUAAAGUAAAGAAUUUUCUUCAAUGCAGUUAAUGUAUUUCCAAAUCAUUGCAACUGAAGCACGUAAUUCUAUUACAAAUUUACGAACAUAUUGCUUGUAACUCAAGUUGGAAUACGUAGUCUGUAUACAAACUUUGUAAGAGUAGCACUACUUGUAUAUUUAUGCGAGCCAUUUUAAUGUGAACAAAAUGUUGCAUGAGUCAUUGUCAAUUCUUUUGCUCUUUUGUUGAAAUUAAGAAUUUGAUGUGUGUUUGAUAUGUUGUAGCUUCGGAAAGAGUUCAGCAGUGACAUAGAGUCUACUUUGACUGCAGUCCGGGGGAUUUCAGCUACUUCUGCCUGUGGUCAGGCAGAUCUCACCCAUCUCUUCAAGUUAGCAUCUCAUGAAGCAAAGAAAUCUCGUGCACAGAACCGGAUUCUCCGUGUGGUAAGAUUUAGUCAGUUCAUCUCACUCUGCUUAACAUGUGCUUAUGCAUUUUCUAGCUGAAUAUACAAAAUGUUUUAUCCGUUUAUCUUGUUGUCUUAUUUAAAUUUGCUAUUAGUUAAAUAGUCAAUCAGUGUGAUUACCACAACUUGCUGCAUCUUCACAAAAAUCAUAUAAUCUCUUUGUUAAAUUUACUGGCACUUCCAGAGUUUUGACAAGUAUUUGAAGCUUUUUUUUUUUUUUUUAAUUUCAUCAAAGCAUUUCCAUCUUGUUUCAACUUCAUUCUGGAUUGAGGUCAUAAUAAGAAGUUAUGAAGUUGUGAACUGCAACGCAACAUGAGAUCUGAUAUUCUGCUCUAUGUAGAUUCUUAUAUACUGCAGAUCAUCUGUAAGACCACAACAUCAAUGGCCUGUGAACCAGAAACUCUUCACUAUGGAUGUAUUGUACCUUCAUGACAAGCCUGGACCUGACAAUUGCCCCCAGAAGGUCUAUGAUGCUCUUGUUGAUGCCCUUGAACACGUCUCUGAGAAUGAGGGCUACAUCUUUGAGAGCGGGCAGGGGUUAGCUCGUAUCCUCUUCCGGCAAAUGUGUGUGCUGUUAUCACAUCCCCAACAACGGUGUGUGCAGGAUGAUGUUGACAUACCCAAGUCUCUUGUAAAGAAGUCACCUGCAGCUGACACAACAAAUGGUGAAGAUACUGUUCCUGUAACAUCCAGCCAGUGAAAAAGUCAACAACCUGAUUGGUUAGUUCAUUUUGCCUCUGAGCAAUCAGUUCUGUUUUCGCUUUUAUGCUUUUAGGUGGUGUAUUACUUAUUGCAUAAAAAUGCUUACCCUCUUUGGCCUUCUCCCAUCUUUCUUGUACAAAUUGUGUAUCCUUCAUGAGACUGAAUGGAUUAUUGAAUAUGAAAUGUUCAGUAUCAGAUUUUGGAUUUUUUUUUCUUAAUUUUCCCGUUACAACACAUUGCAACCUUGCCGUUUAUUGUGAAGUCUUGUGGACUGGACAAGUGCUUGUCUCGUUUUCUGAGCUUAUUGUUGGUUUCAUUGGAUAAGUAUUAUGCUUAUAAUGUGAUAGAAACUUUUAAGCAAUUAGAAAAGAAAACCAAUCUAGAUGAAGUUGCUAUUAUUGAAGUAAGGUUGAAUACUCAUUCCAAACCACCAGGAACAUGAGUGAAGUGUACGGGAAUAGAAGCAUGUGAAUUGAAUUGUUGAAGUUCAUUGUAUUGGGAUUAAAUAAAUUUGUUUAUUGAAGUGUGAUUAUAGAAAUAGGUCUGAAGGAUGACAGAGAUUAGGAUUGUGAUGAUCCUUGUCACCAUCAUAAUCAUCUUGUCCUCACCAAGCACAUGCCAUAGACACUGUCCACCUGAUUCUGGAUAAACUUUGAGUCGGCUCUUCAUAGAUUCUUGCCUGUGAGGCCAUCUUUUCUUGUUCUGGCAAAUGUAACAAUGCGAUUUAUUGUAUGAAUAUUAUCAUACGUGGGAUAACUUAUCCUCAUAAAGAAAAGGAAUCCUGUAGAUUCAAAGAAGUUUUAGAAAAAUAAGAACAAUAAUAGUCAAUGGCUUCUAGCAGUACCAACAGCCAUCCAAAUUAUGUCAACUCAAUAUUUUAAUCUCUCACCUACCAUGAAGUCUGACGGCAACAUAUGUGUUAAUUACCACUAACAAUAGGCAUUUCUAUACUGUCAAACAAUUGUUUGUCCGACACAAAGCACCAUGAUUGUGCUUUGAGUGCACUGAUAAAAGCCAUAGCAAGAGCAGCUCUUUGGGAAUUUGCAAGGUUUCAUUGGCAUGUGGUGAGAUUCAGAGAGCAACUGAGGCCACCGCACUCCAAAAGACAUGUUAAAGAAAGAUUGGGUCUAUAAUUCGGUCUAGUACGUCACAUGCACAAUCAAAUUAAUUGAAGGCCUAAUGAACUCAUUGGCGAGAUUGUUGGUAAUUUUCACUUUGAAUUGAAGAUUGAUCAAUAACUUUAAGAACCUGUACACAAACAGGGAAAAAGAGAGAGAGAGAGAGAGAGAGAGAACGGAAUGAACCUCUAAACAAAUAAAAAAUAACAUUUCUGGGUGAAGUUCAAUUCAUAAUAAAUUUCACUGUUAUCCAAAGUUCCAAUCAUUUGGAACCUCCCCCAAUCCCCAUCAGACUCAUGCUUUGAAGGGCUCAGGGUUCUUUUCUUUUCUCAUUCUUACAAACUGUAUGUGUUUUUAUUGUUAUCAAUAUCAAUAUCCAUGGGAUCAAUAAUUGAUACUAAAGAAAAAGAAUCGGGCAGAUUCAAAGAAAUUUACUUUAGAAGAAUAAAAAUCUAAGAAUAGUUAAUUGCAUAGUCAAUGGUUCCCUUGCUGACCAAAAGCCAUACAAAUUGGCAACAUAUCUCUUCAACCCAAUUGCUUGAAAUUUCUCCAUUCACAUUCAUUUAAAUAUGCAUUAAUUCCUUUGAAAAAUUAUAAGAUAUCAAUUGAUUAAAAUAUCUUGUAAAGGUCGGCAAGAUUCGUAUAACAUUACAAGCCAGGUGGGUGCUGAGAAAGUUUUGAUGAUAUUGAUAAGAGCAAAUACUUCUUAAAACGCAUUCAAUUUUGAUUGAAUCCAUUAUCAACUCAUAACAAGAUUAUAAUAUAAAAUCUUUCAAUUAUAUUAAAUUCGAAAGUUCAACACUCUUGCCCUUUCCUUCGUGGCUAAAGUUUUUUCACUUUAAAUAAGAAAUUAAUCAAACUUAUCUGACUAAUUUUUUUUUUGUAAUAAUCUAACUUUAUAUACCACUUGCUCGAAUCAUGCAGGGUUUGUUUUUUGGGCCAAUGGCUCGAUCGGGAAGACUCAAAUACCCACAAGAUUGGGAAUCGACCCCCUCCUUAACAAUCCAUCUAAAUAAUUUAUUUGAGAACAAAGUCAACGGAAUCGUGAUGAGGACCCAACUUGUGAAAAAAAAAAUUCCACAAUUUAAAUGGUCAGGAUCAUCUGAUCAAAUCUCAUCUGUAUAUGAAAGAUAUAUAUACUAAUUUUGCUCACCCAUAAAUAACAGUGUGCUUCGGUCCUGCUAAUUUGCGCAUGCUUGCGUUAAUUAUUAUAAACCAUAAUUACAACCUAUACGCCUAGAUCAUAUAUUUAAUUGCUUAAAGUAUUCUUUUUAGUGGUCACCAAUUAUAUAUAAUCUCUUUAUUUUCGGGGGAAAAGAACUAUAUUAAUAUAAUCUCUUUUGAUAGAUUUACCAAACUCAACGGAUUCCAAUGGCCUGGGAUCAAAUCUACUUUAAUUUAUCCAAAAAUGUGCUCCCACGACUCUUGUUGCUUUUUUUUUUUUUUAAUUACAUGUGAUUUUUGCUCAAUAGUACAAUUCCUAUUACAUAAGAUUACAACUGAUAUUUAUAAAUUAGACUACUACUGAGACUAAUUUACAUCAAUUAUUAUAAAGCACCGUCCAAAUUUUUACCCUCUCUAAUAUUCAAGGAACGUAUACUCAACUCACGUUUCGAAAAUAAGAAAAUUAUUUUCACUCAAAUUGAAAAAAAAAAUUAAACCCUUAUAAUUCAUGACCUCACAAUUGUGAGGUUACGUUUUCUAACCACUAGGCUUUAGCCUAGUAGCUUAGACUCUUCUUGCUUUUAAUAUUUGGAAGCGACCAAAAAUCAAUUUUACAUUUUGCAUGAUAAAGCCAUCUAAUAUCUUGUGCUAUUUGCUAAAACAUGAUUGAUAUCGGUCACGUAUUUAGAAAAUUAUAUCUACAUGUAUAAUUUACUGUCGACAUAUCUGUGUGAAUAUUUAAGUAAUUUUUAAUAUAAAUUUUGAAUUUAAAUUAUGUUAAUGUAUUUUAAAAUCAAAGUUUAAUGUAUUUACUUGGUGCAAUAGGAGCAAAUUUAUAAUUUAAUUUUAACUUAAUUAGAAAGAAAAUAUCUUAUGUGAUUGUUGGGUUAGUAGCAGACUACACAAUAAAAAUAAAUUAAAUAAUAUAAAAUAACAAUAAUAAUAUGAGUUCAGCUAUGUUGGUUAUGCUCUAACUUAAAGCAUCCAUUGCAGUCAUUGAAUCUAAAGUUGAAACAAAAAAUACUCAUUUUAUCUUUAGAUUCAAUGCAUUCGUGAACUUAAAGCAUCUCCAACAUAACAAAUCAGUUAAUAACUAACUAGAUGUGAGUUGUGUAUGAUGCAGCAGCAUUACAUCAAAUCAGUUAAUAACUAACCAGAUGUCCCAGAAUGCCAACACUUUUACUGAGAAAUAUGAAGUUUGCACGAGGAAAAAGUAAGCAAUUCGGUGCACGCGUAAAGCUAGAGCCGGCUCAGUAGAAGUGCUUUUAAGAUACUACUCUAGUCUAAACUUAUGAGUAGGGAACACCUCAUUUGCCUCUUUAAGUGAAUCUUGGGGUAGUCUUAACACUAAAAUAAUGCACGAACAUUAAAAAACCAAUGAAUCUAUAUAUUAUUAUUGAACAAAGAGUGUGCUUUCAGCUCGUUGGGAGCCACUCACACAUUUUUAUAUUUACAAUUAUUAUCUUUGCUAACAUGCGCUUUCUUUUUGUCCUUAAAAUCCAUGUUGCAGAAGACUAUUUUCAGUCAUAUUAGUUUUACGAGUUCAAGUGGAGAGGGUAAGAAAGAAAAAAAAAAAAAAUUGUACCAUUUUGAGAAAUGGGAAUCUGCGUAUCCACUGCAUCUUCAGAGAUUCACGAUCAAGUUGACAACGGCCAAGAAAAUGUUAUAUUUGUUGAAGGAAAUAUUGUUUCUCAUGGAGUUAAGAAACUUUGUUCCCUUUAUUCUAAGCAAGGAAGCAAAGGCCUUAAUCAAGAUGCAGGCAUUCUUUGCCAGGUUUGUACAAGUUGUUUCUUUCUUCGAGUUUUGUGCUUUACUGCUUUUGGGGUGUUUAUUAAAACUCGGAAACUUUUUGUUUGUUUAAAAGGGCUAUGGAACGGAAGAUGGAGAAUUCUGCGGAGUCUUUGAUGGGCAUGGAAAGCAUGGUCACGUUGUGAGUGAGCUUGUGAGAAAUCGGUUGCCAUCACUCAUACUAAGCCAAAAGAAUGCUCUUUCAAAUAGUAACGUUAAAGCAAAUGGAGAAGUGAUGAUGCCAAGCAUUGACUUUUAUAAAUGGCAAGAGGCUUGUGUUAAGGCCUUUAAGGUUAUGGACAAAGAAGUUAAGCUUCAAGAAAAUUUGGAUUGCUUUUGCAGUGGAACCACUGCUGUCGUCGUCAUAAGACAGGUAUUAAACCAAGUGAUUCUGUAAACAAACAAUGAAAUCAUUUCUUGCAAUUGUUUUCAGCUUUGGAUGUUAAAGAGUUCUAUUCAUUGUAAUCCAAGCAGGGUGAAGAUCUUGUCAUAGCUAAUCUUGGCGACUCGAGGGCUGUGCUAGGGACAGUUUCCGAUAACGGGGAACUCAAGGCUGUUCAAUUGACAACAGAUUUGAAGCCUAGCUUGCCCAGUAAGAAACUAAGAACCCUCUCGCUUUUCGCAUUCAAAAGUAUAAUGAGGUGAUGGGAAUGUUUAGUUGAAUUUGUUUGUGGUGAUUGACAAGCAUCUGUAAUGUAUAGGUGAGGCAGAGAGAAUAAAGCAAUGCCGUGGCCGAGUACUUGCAUUAAAGGAAGAGCCACACAUCCAGCGAGUGUGGCUGCCUCAUGAAGACACGCCAGGCCUUGCAAUGUCUCGAGCUUUUGGUGACUUCCUACUCAAAAAUCAUGGCAUAAUUGCAAUCCCUGAUGUUUCUUAUCGCCGCCUAACAUCUAAUGACCAGUUUAUACUUCUCGCAACCGAUGGGGUAAGUAUUUCGGAUUUCAACUGCUUGCAUCCCGUACUCUUUAUUCAGUUAAUAGAUGUUGCUGAUGGUGCUUAUUGCUUUUGUGUACACAGGUUUUGGAUGUGCUUAGCAGCAACCAAGUUGCAACAAUUGUUUGGGAGGCAGAUAACAAGCAGGAGGCCGCGAGAAAGGUGGUUGAGGCGGCAAACGCUGCAUGGAAAAAGAAAUUUCCAUCUUCAAAGAUGGAUGAUUGCACUGUGGUUUGCCUCUUCCUUCAAAAGAGGUGAUCAAGGCGUUAAACAAUUUGUGCAAAUGUUUCUCUGUAAUUCCUUGCUGCAGCAGAAGUCAAUCCUCCUGUGACUCUCUGUUCUGUUUCAUUUUGAAGCCUCAAUAUUCAACAUUGUCUGAGAAAAGGAUCACAAACAGCUGGUGCUUUGGUUGAUGAACCACUGUAAUCGAAGGAUAGGAAUACAAGGCUUCCAGUUUGUACAAAACAAUAAAUAAUUCAAUAAAACAAAAAUGGCCUCUCCAACACUUGCAAUAACAAGCUCUUAAUACAAAAUGAUAAGAGCAUUCUCUAUCCAAGAGUUACAUACCAAAAGCCUCCAUUGUCAUGGAAGAAAUCAUAUUAGCCAACAAUAAUCACUCUUUAAAACUAUUACUCUCAAUUCUCUCUUCUAAGACGGCGUGAAAAUUUUGUUCUGUUGCCUCUAUAUCCAUAUCUGUACCACCGCAUGUUAAAAAUUAGAAACAAGGCAUGACGGAUUUCCCAAGAAUCAAAUGGAAUCAUUCUUGGGAUCCUCUGCUAGCAGAUCAUCGUAUGAAACAGGUACCCUGAUCCUAUCAUGAACAGAUUUAGGUUUUCCUUCAGCACCAGACUUUCCAUCUUGAUCUUGAGGAACAGACUGAGAACCACCACCUAGAAUGCUGACUGAGGUUCCAUCAGUGGGUGCACCAACAGUUCUUUGUGUGGAAGCCUCUUUAAUUUGCUCUGGAGCAUGCCGGUUGUUUUGCUCUGGCACCUGUCUGUUGUUUUGUUGCCUAAAUUGCUUCUGCAAAAAUAAGAAAGAAAAUUGUAAUUUUGGAAUUAAAAAUUUAGCACCCUAGGAAGUUCAGAUACUGUACACAAACUCCCCAUACAAACUUCACCACUGCUAUAGCAAUGCCACUUCACUGUCGGAGUAAAAAAAAAGGAAGAGAGAAGCCAGAAAUUCUGCACAUACGAAACCAUAUCCAGGUCGAAAAAACGUCAUCCAAUUUUAACAGCUAAAUCCCCUGUUGUGGUGUAAGUGGACCACAGAAUAGGGGAAGCUAAUAAUAAAGGCAGAUUAAAAACAAAAAGCAGAGCAUGUUGGCAAAUGAGAAAAGAUUUUGAAGCAAAUCAUCACGCUUCUUUUUGUUUGAGUUUGCUUUCUUUCUCUUCCUUAGAGUCUGUGUGAGAUCACACACAAUUAGAACCAGGGCAGUUUGAGAUUUAUAGAACCAAACCCUAAUUGCCAUUUUUUUUUACAUUUCUCAUUACUCUCCAAUGAACACACCAAGGACGAUCUAAUACCUUUAAACAUAGGUAUGAAAAGAAAAGUAGCAUCUAAAUAACCAACUAAAACAGUAUUUACUGCAUAAAUUUCACACACACCUCAAAUUCCUUUGUCUUCUUUAUUAUCUCCUUGUAGGCCCCUGGUGCUCGUGCUUUAAUGAUGUUCCACAACACGCCGCCACCUGUCCGAAAACGUCUGCUAUCAGCAGUCAUCUGACCUCCACAUGCCUGAAUUGCCUCCACCUGAAAAUUAAAAUUUCAUCAUACAAUCCCAAUGGCAAAGCAAUGUUUACCCCAAAAACAAAACCCCAAAAAAAAGAAAGAAAAAAAGUCAGCCUAAAAGAAAUGAAAAUUUUCUAAUGACAGACAAUAAUAUCCAUAAUAAACCAAAUGUGGAAGUAGUACAAGAUUAAAAAUACAUAUAUAAAUGUAUACAAGCAAAGACCACAUUCCAUAGCACAAAUUCUCCAACAUAAACUCCAUAUCUCCAUGUAUGUACCUACAAGCAGUAGUUACAUAGAUCACGGUAUGUAUGCUUCCCACAACUAACACACUUCCACUCCCAACAGCAAGUUAAAAUAGCUUUAUAACUCCCAAAUUUCAGUCAACAUUUUCUAAUCAAACUAAAACCAUGGUCAAACGGCUAGUUUAUAAUCUAUGCUUUAUCUUCUGGCGCAAAAUACUUGAUGGAUAUGAAAGUUUCUUUAAAUAUAAUAAAAAGAUGAUGUAUAAUAAAGCAAGGGAGAAAAAGGCUUUCAUUUGAUAUUAAAGCCUGACAAUGAAGACCCUAAAACCAAGGAAAUUACAUAUCACUAGUAAAUAAGGGAACUUUAGCUUACACAAGCAGUGUAUAUGAAACAGAGACCUAAAACAGUACUUAUUUCCAACACUCACAUCAAAAUUUGAAUUCAUUGAAACAAAAGAUAUGAACUAACGUUUGCUCUAAAAAUUUGAAAAAUCCCCCCCCCCCCAAAAAAAAACAACAUAUCUUCAUUCAUCGGUAGCAUUUCUACUUAGAUUUUUAACAUAAAUCUAUGUAGAUCUAGGUAUUUCCAUGCACAAUGUUUGAAAAACUUGAAGGAAAAAUUAUAACAACCUACACAAAAAGUAAACGAUGAAUAGGUUCAGCCAUUGUAUAUCUCAGUUCAGAGCACAUAAUUUGAGCAGCAAAAUGGCUUCUGCCAGAAAGAUCUGCAAGGGUAUUGAAACAAUAUAGAGCAUCAGACAUCAAGAAUGGUAGAAUGGCUUUAAAUAGAGUGGAUAUAUAUUUCAGCUCUGGGCUGGUCCAAAUCCAACUACAACCCAGAUUCUCACCUUUCCUAAAAAAGACUCAAACAAAUCUUACUUUUGCAGAGACUUGAGUGGUUGAUUUCUAAACAUUACCAAUUGAAUUCGCGAAGUGGAGAAACUUCAGGAGAUAAGGUUACAUCAUUCCCAGAAGUAUUCAAAACUAACAUCACAGAUUCAGGACCAACAUCAGCAUAAUGCUGAAAGUUGUUUAAUGAAGUAAUUGGUACACAACAAGAUCUCAGCUCAAAGGUAUGAUUUUGGAUAAUAAUAUUACAACACACUCAUUCUAACACAAAAAGAUGCACAAGUAUAUCCAAAAAUAGGAGAUACUCGCACAAAGAUCACCAAAAACAAUAAACACCAAGUACUGCAUAGAUUUGGUGAAGAAAAUGGAGACAGCGGGAAACCUUUAAGUAAUCCAUGUACAAGUCCAGGGAUGCACAAUUAAUUUAUAAGCAUCAUAAUCAUAAUAAGUAAUAUCACUUUUAGUUUUAUAAUUCUUGUGAAAAGCAAAAUUAGGUAGAAGUAAAGGGAGAACAGUACCUCCUUAACGAGAUCACUUAGUGCAGGAAUGCCAAGACAACCAACAGCUGUGUAUACCAUGUAAGAUUUCUUCUCUUUUAGCCGCUUACAUGUGUCUGAAACAAACCUGAGAACAAUAAGUACUAGAUCAUCAGAACCACAAAAUGAACUCCUACAACCAAUUGUCCAACUGAGUGAUAUACGUAAGAGUAAGAAUAUAACCUGUUUACAUCAGUAACAUUUGGGCCAGGACCACUCCUCUUUUUCUUAUUCUUCUUCUUAUUUGCCCUCCGCCUGCGGUUUUUACUUUGUGAACCCUGAUUUCCUGCACUGACAUCCCCACUGCUGCUCUGCUCCACAUUGGUUUGUGAGCUUGAAUUAUGCUCCACAAGCUCUCCUUCCUCUACAUCAAGCAUCUCAACAUCUUCGCCAUCUUCUAAGUUAUCUUCACUAUCUUCAUAUAUUACUCCUAAAAUGCUCUCUCCUUCAUCCAUGUGAGUCCUAAAACUACAAAAGUAAAAUAAACAAUGAUUUAGAAAGGAACCACACCGACAAAUUAUAUUAACUUUGAAAUCGAAUACUGAUUAGGAUUACAGUUUCCUUAUCAUUGUUUUCCCCCUUAGCCCACUUCAUACCACGAACACAACUCACAACUAAGCCGCCACAAACAAACUUUAUAUUAAAUUAUUUGAAAUUAAAAAAAGGACAUAAAUGCAACUAAAAAAAAUCUGAAAAAUGGUGAAAAUCCUAGUGAUAGAAAUUCUUAAGCUCAAGUCAAAAAUACUGCUGUACGGCCAUUUUUUUUUUUUUUUUUGUGGUGACAGUAAUUAGUUAAUCGCCUAAAGAAUAAGAAACCAAAAAUCCUACAGAAAAAAAAAAAAAAAAUCGCAAGAACAAAGUUCACAAUAUAACUCAAAACCCUAGUAAUUGUCAUGUUAAACUUCAAAACUCCCCUGUACCAUGCAAUCAGUUACCUGACAAUCGUAGAUUGAAAACCUCAAACUAAAACCUUAAUUAGAAAAGUGAACAAGCAAGCAUGAAAUGUAUCUUUUAGAAUUCUAAUAGUAUAAUAGGCACUCUUGAGAAACAACAAAUAGGCGGUGAGUUGAGCUCAUGUUCACAUUCAUCUACGAGGAAAGAGGCCAUGAGCCACGAGUAGGGGUGGGAAGAUCGGGUUUCAGUUAGUGUUUUUCGGGUUUCGGCUUGGGUUACAAUCCGUUGGGGUUGGAAAAUUCAAUCCAAUCGGGUUCAAAACCCAAACACUGAAUUCGAUUUUCGGAUAGAAUUGGAUUAAAAAUUCAGGUCUUCAUUUAGAUUGGGGUUACAAUUCGGGUUACAACCUAAAAUUCCAUAUUCAUUUUCAAAUGAAUCAAAUCCCAACCACCUAAAAUUCGAAAUUCAGUUUCAUAUGAAUCAAAUUCUAGCCCAGAUCAACUGCAAAGGUUGUUGCUUGUCGAUGGAAGAAGAUAUUAGAAAGGUAAAUAAAUAAGAGAAACUCAUAACAGUUGUUAUUUUUGACUUAUUAUUGAUGAUGGCUAACACCUUCCCAACAAACCCAUUUCUUUAAGAAUACCACGACACAGAUUAUGGAAUCAAAAGAGUAAACAACCAAAUUACAGUAUUUAAAUAGCCAUCACCAUUGCAGUAUUUAAAUAACCAUCACCCAAAUUACAGUAAACAACCAUGAAUAAUAGCACCCAAAGUCCCAAAUUACACAAAAAAAAAAAAAAUCUUACCUUUUGCGGCUGACGACGGCGAACGAAGACGGAGGCAGUGACUGGCGACGGUAGAGACGACAGUUUCAGCUUUCGGCUGACCAACGAUUGAGGCAGCACCGGCGCAACUGAAAGGAGGUAACAGUGGCUGCAGCGUGGCGUGGGUGGUUGUCAGCUAAGGGUUAGCGGUUGCGCUAGGGAGAGGAAGAUUACGUGUUUUUUAUUAUGCGUUUUAUACCACUUUUGACUUUUGUUUUUUGUUUUUUUUAAACGGCAAACCCGAUCGGGUUUUUUUUUUAUUCGGGUUGAAACCGAACCGAAAAGAAAACUGAUCGGUUCCAAAUUAUUCUCGGGGAAUGAGAAUAGAGUUAGACUAUUAACACUCCUCCAAAAUUCUUUUAAAGCCGCUUUUUCAGUUAUACUAAAUUUAUUACUAAAAUUACUCUUAUUUCUAAAUAAAUAUAUUUAAUUUGUGAAUUUGUAAAUUUUUUAUUUUUUUUGCUCCUCACAAAUAAUUUUUAUCGGUGAUAAACUUCUUGACAAAAAUCAAUGAAUUAAAUAAAUUAUCUCUAAAAUUAUGAUGUAAAAAGUUUUUGUACGAGUCUAAAAAAAGUCAGAUAAUUUUAUCAAAAUGUGUUUUGUUUAUUAUCAAUAGAUUGUUGUAUUAAUUGAAGAAAAAUUUAUAGAGAAUUUAAGAAAAAAAAUUACAUGUGCGAGUGUGAUAGUAGAGAAAAUAUAAGAAUUUUUUUUAAAGAGAAAAAAUAUAAAAAUUUAAAGUGAGAUAAAAUAGACGUGAGAUAUAUUAAAGUGUUUGUCUUGAAAUAUGAUUGUAAUAAAAGAGGGUUUGAAAAGGAUUAUGGAGGGGCGCCAAUAGUCCAACUCAUGAGGAUAUCCCUGGGCUCGUUUUGUUUUAGCCAACCCAAUUAAUAAAAAAUCCAAGCUUCGGCUAAAAACUUGGGCUGGACCAGAAACAGACGUGAGAUAACCAACCCAAGUAAUUACCAGUUCCUUUUAGACCCCGUUUGCUAUAAUAUAUAUAGUUUAUUAAAAUUGGGUAUAAAAUUGGUGUAAAAUAGAUUCAAAUUUAUCUCAAAUUAAGCACUCUGAUAUUAUAAUUAAGAAAAUCCAGAAUAAUAAAAGUGGAGCCUAAAUAUUUGGAUAAGAAAAGAUGAGCUUGCGCUGGGGCCUCAAACUCAAGGAUCAACAUGGCGUCAAUUUCCUAUUGGAAUAGGUCUUUCAAGUUUUAACACCCCUUUAAAUUUUUUAUAAAACCCUUUUUUUCUCUAUCGAAAUGAUUUAAAUAACUAAAAUUAAUUUUUUUUUUCGGGAAAGAAAAAUUCUUCUUUUAACAAAAUUUUUACACCCAUCCUAUUUCAUAAAUUAUAAUUAUAUUUCCAAAUUUUAAUAAAAGAUUAUUUUAUUGAAAAACUUAUAAGAGUUCAAAGUUAUGGAGAUAAAAAUUAUAUAAUAAAAUUAAAAUAAUUUUAAAUUAUAUAUUUUAAAAAAAUUAUAAAAUGAAAACAUAAAAGAAAGAUCCUUUUCUAAGGUAAUAUUUUAUAGCAAAAUGUUAAUUUUAAUCUACAGGUAUAUAUUUUAUCAAUCAAACUAGUGGUAUUUUAGGAAUAAAAUUAUAAAAAUAAAAAUCGUUGUUGUAAGGAUUUUAGUUUUUAGAGUGAUGUAAAAGCUCCACUCUUUCGUAUCACGCAAGUGUCAGUACACAGACAGCCACAGAUUUCAAGCGGACGACGAUAGAUAGGAUAAGGCACAAAAUAAAUACAAGCGAAAAAUGUUAAGAACGAAUAAAUAAAUAUCUUUAGAAAAGGAAAGUGGGUGGAUCUCCCACGAUUCUUGCUGUUAAAUAAUGUUAAAUUCUUGAAUCUGACAUUAGAGAUUCAGGUUGGAUUCCUGCUCCUGGGGGCCCAAUUAUUCUAUGCCACUACAUCAUGAAACUGACAACUACAAUGACUUUCAUUAUCUUUAAUGCGUCAGAAUUGCCGUGCGUGGCAAGUGGCCAAUAGCAGCAUGACAGUGGCCGCUGCCCAAUUGCAAUUAUUUUCAGCGUUUGCAAAUGCCUACGAGGCUGCGAGGUUGAUUCCCCGUGAGCUUGAAAACGAAAACACCCCAGGCUGCGGGCUGCGGCUGCUAAUUAUGACUGCUUUGUGUCUUUUUUUUUUCCUCUUCUCAAUUAUUAUAAAAAACAACAAUCAUCCGAUAAAACAGCAAAUGCAUCUUCCCGGGACCCAGUCCGAAAUUCAGAAUCUUUUGAGAUGAAACUAAAAUUGUUGCGUUGAAGCACGGCUCCUCUUUCACUUCCUCCAAUAAUUCCGCAGUACACGCCACUCAGGCACUGGCGGUAGUGGCGGUUGGUGGGCUCGUCUCACACUCUCAGUGAAAAGUUAGAGGUCACAAGCAGAUUCAUGUUGCGCGCGGAAGGGAAGGGAAGGUUAGCCAGUCGACGCCACAAUAAAUUUGAGUAACCAUUUAUGCUGCACUACACGUAUAUCUAUUUAAAUUCUGAAUAAAUUUUUAAAUUGUAAUAUUUAUAGUAUGGUAAUCGAUCAUAAAAAAAAAAAGAAAAAAGAUAAAAAUCGUACGUAAACUACGCAAUAGUCCGAAAUUGAACAGCACAUGGCUUGUCACUGUGUUUCGAGGCUUAUUAAUAACCUGUACGUGUCCUUACUGGCAAGUGGCAACCUAGGCGUUCGUGUGCGCUGCUUUCGGUGGCCCAAAACCGAAAGAUAGAUGAUGUUGAUUUCUGUGAAAGAGGACUUGAAAUGAAACCAACCAAUGUGGAAAACUUUAUCACGGCAAAUAUUUGGAAUCCACAAUGGUCAAAUCUACUGUUAUCUAUCUAUAUAUAUUUGGACCGAGGGCUACAAGGUGAUUCUCAAGCAAGAUUGAUUUUUUAUUUUUAUUUUUUAUUGAACAGUCUUGAGCUUAAGGCAUGGAUAUUUUUUACAGUCUAAAUAUCACUCGGGUAGGAAACUUAAAAUCUCAAUUAAUAUAAGUAAAUCGUGGGUAUAUAUUAUGGGCAGGUUCAAAUUUGUGAGAGUGAAUUCUAACAAUUGGUGUGAUUUAUGGACAGGUUCAAAAUGGAAACCCUUACUAUUAUCAUAUGAUAGCAUUGAAUAUAAUAAUUCAAUAAAUUUGAAUUAAUUUUAGUGUGUAUUUGGGAUUGAGGUUGAGCAGCUGUAGUUUAAAAAGUUACAGUACUAAAGUAUUUGGUAAACAUUAACUGUUGUAACUUGUAAGCUAUGUUGAUAUAAUUCUUUACUUGUAUAAUAAAAAAUUUAUUAUAUCUUUAAUAAAAUUUUUUAAAUUAUUAUUUAAAUUUUAUAUUUACUAUAUAUUAUUAACUUUUGUUUGAUAGUGACAUCUUUGUUUUCAUAGCAAUUCUAGCUUAAGAGGUACAGUACUUCAAUUCCAAACGGAACCUUAAUGAAUUUGACUAGAUAUUUAACGUCCCUCCUGCUAAAAAAAUUAUUGAAUAAUUCAUCAAUUGGUAAUUUUUUUAUUAAUUCAAUUCAUGAUACUGGUAAAGAAUUUCAAAAUCAAAGGUAAAAAAGGGGGACAAAAGGUGGUUGAAGUGUGCAAGCAGGGAAAGGAUUCCUUAACCAAAUGGGCAUCAUCGCUUGCUGUUUACUGCCGAUUCUGUUUUGUCUUACAUGAAUGAUUUAAAUUGAUUCCAACUGAAUUCUGAUGAAUCGGCAAGGGCCAUAGGCCGUGGCCCAUGGUCGCGUUAUCUUUAUGUGCACGAUUCCAAAAGAUUCCCAUCGAAGUCAUUCUCACAACAAAGAGGCCAAGUUGAAAAAGUAUCUCGCUUGACAUUUAUUCCAAGUUUUGGUUAGAAAAAAAAAUGAGAUGAUAGGACAUACGUGUGUGCUUCACCAUUCGAUAAUUUCAGAUUCGUUUGAUUGAGCGAUUCUUAUCUCUGUUCCCCGGCUUAUACUUUUUUAUAAUUUAAUAAAAGAAAUUAUUAAAAAUAUCACAAAGAGUGUUUUUAUGCUUUAGAAAACUCGAGAGUUAGGUAGAGUAGAUUUCUCCAAAUUUAUUUCUAUGAGAUUUAUGUAAUUUCAAGCCAAUUUAUGGGUUACAUUCAUUAUUAUUGUGCUAAUCACGGCUAAUAUCCGUUUAAUAAUAAGAAUAAUAAAAUUAAUGUCAUAUUCAAGAAAAUCAAAGGACGAAACACUAUAUAUAUAGUUAUUAUCAAAUGUGGAAAAAAAGAGAGAGGUAACACAUUUAUAAAUUAAGUUAUUGAACUCAACAAUGAAUUAUAAAAAAUAAAAUGUCUUAUACUUAAAAAAAAAGAUUGUGUCUUUCAUAUUUUAUUUACAAGGUACAUGAUGAGUCUAUUGUCUACAUGCAUAUUAUAUACGUAAAUUCCGUUCACAGUUCAUCGUAUUCUCAUGAAUUUUAUUUUAUACACUCUUUUAUUAGGAUAAACCCUAACAUACAUUUAAUGUAUGUUACAGCCACUCACACCACUCAUUGUUCAUGUGAAUAGUGUAACAUACGUUAUGUUAAAAGGAUCCUCUUAUUAGUUAUCAAAAGAUUUUCGAAUUUUACAAUAAUAACAAAAAUAAAUAGUCGUUUGCACUAAUUUUGUGUUCCGUGUAAUACGGUCGGGUGUGUUUUCCAGGAAAAUGAAUAAUUUUUAUUUUUUUCUGGGAAAAAGAACAAAGACGUGAUGGGCCGAAACUCUCUUCGUUUGACGGGAUGAAAAGCAGACGAAAGCAGCCAAUACAACAACAUUACCUAACGAUUACCGGGGCGGCUAAGUGACCCCACGUUACAUCGCCCGUUUAUCCAACCUCGAAAGGGACCCAACCGCAGUCAUGCUAAAUUACCCCGGCAUCCCCUGCACUUCACACUUCCACAAUUCACGGCACGAACCUCAUGGAUCUUUCUUUCAUCAAUGCUGACGUACGGCUGAGACGCCUGGUGGCUGGUGCAGCUGACAUCAACUUUUGUUAGAAGAUCGGUUGCAUCUGGACCGUCCAUAAGAAAAUUAUCCUCACUUAGGCUGACGUGUACGUGCCAUCUGCAACCUCACUCGCUUUACACUAUCUAAAAUUCUCAAUUUCUCUAUGCAGAAUUAGAAUAAAGUAACGCUCAAACGUAAAAUCAACGCGACCCCAAACGUUUUGAUGUAUUUCAUUUAAAUUAAGAGUUUGAGCAGUCUGAAAAAUUAAUAUAACAAAAUAAUUUAUUAUCUUUAAUAAGCAGUGAAAUGAGAGUUGGGAUAUUAUAUUUGAGCUCAUAAAGAAUAGCAUAUAAAUCUAAUCAAGAAUCUCAUACGCUAUGUCGACUCAUCUAUUAUUUACAUUAUUUAUUUAAUAUAGUUUUUUGAUAUUUUUAAUAAAUACCCAUUUAACAUGAUUUUAAUAAAUAUUUUAGAAUAUUUAUAAUGCUGCAUAAAGUAUAAUCAACUUAAUUUUAAUUAUAACAAAUAAAAAUUAAAAUAUGAUCAAUAUAAUAUAGUCUUAAGAUUUCUAAUUUCCAAGUAUAAUUAUUGAACAAAUGAUUCUGUCCUAAUCGUUAGUUUUAACUUUUAACCAAAUAAGUUGGUAAUUUUGUAAUAAAUAGGGUAUUGAUUAAGAAUUUUAUAAAUUAUUUUACCCAAUUGAAAUAAAUUAAAACAUUUUUACCCCUUAUUAAUAUUUUCCCGUUUAAAAUAAAAUAACAAAAGAAAAAAUAUAUUGUCAGCAGUGCAUCACUCGGUAUUAUAAAUAACAGAGCUCUUCCUCCCCACAACAACAUUUCCAUAACUAGCUCCAGCAACCAAUCAACCCCCUUCAAAAAACCAUGACGCGCCUUGCCUCCGGCGUGCUAAUCACGCUCCUAGUCGCUCUUGCAGGAAUCGCCGAUGGAAGCAGAGACAUAGCAGGUGACAUUCUGAAGCUACCAUCGGAAGCCUAUAGGUUCUUCCAUAAUGGUGGGGGAGGGGCAAAGGUCAACGAUGAUGAU